AACUGAUAAUUUGUAUCGUUUCCAGGAUGGCAAAGGAGUUUUUUGUUUCCGUUAUGAAGCAUCUGUCUCAUUAACUGUGAAGGGAACAGAGUAUGAAGUGAAAAAAAUCCUUCAUAUUUACACAACCAUUGAUCUGUCCUGCAACAAAUUUCAAGGAGAAAUUCCAGACGUUAUUGGAGAGCUUAGAUGGCUUGCAUUGCUCAACUUAUCUCAUAAUAGUCUAACAGGACCUAUCCCAUCAUUGCUGAGGAAUAUGAAAGAACUCCAAUCUUUAGAUUUGUCUUCAAAUCAACUGACAGGGGCUAUUCCACCUCAGUUAACUGCAUUGACAUAUCUAGAGGUCUUGAACCUCUCGGGAAACCAUCUUAGUGGAGAGAUUCCUCAGAAAGGACAGUUCAGCACAUUCAACAAUGAUUCUUAUCUUGGAAACUCCGCGUUAUGUGGAUCACCUUUGACGAAGAAAUGUGCAAACACAGCAUCACCUCCACAAGAAGUCGGAAAUGGUGAUGAAGAUGAUGCUGGUGAUGAAUUGACAUGGGAAGCAAUCGUGAUGGGAUAUGGAUGUGGACUGAUAUGUGGAUUGUCAUCUGCAUACAUUGUUCUCAAACUAGGAAAGCCUUGGUGGUUUGUGAGAUAUGUCGAAGUACUGCAACUGAAGUUGAUGAAAAGAUAUGCUUGAAGAAUGGUACUGGCCGAUCAAGACGAACUUGAAAGUUGUUGUCCUUGUGCAUUUCUGAACCAGUUGUGUACUAUUCUCUUUGUGGCUGCAUAAGUAUUUGGUAUUGUGUAAUAUUCUGUUUGGUCUUGAAUCAUAAUGAUUCUUCUUGCUCCAGGGUUAUUAAUAUAAACCUUGGUAUUGUGUGCUAGCUGUAAUAUUCUGUUUGAUCAAUGUUUAUACCAGUAAUUUUAUGCUCCGCAGUGCAUCAUGCAGCUCUCAUAUUAUCUCUAUGAUUAACCUGAAUUCAGUUUCAUUUUGUUUCCGAAUCUCAACUACUUCAACUUGAGCUACAAUAGCUUCACUGGUCUAAUACCCCCAGAUAUUGAAAAUUUAACAGAGCUGCAAUACCUUGAUUUUAGCUCUAAUAAACUCACUGGUGCAAUUCCGGACCAGGUAAGCCAUCUUCAAACAUUGCGAACCUUAAACCUGUUGGAUAAUCACUUGGAAGCUCCAAACUGGUCCGCUUUUUCCCCUCUGCCUUCUCUGACAAACCUCUGUCUCAAUAAUAAUAAUCUUUCGUCGAAAUUCCCAGACUUCAUAUCAAAUUACAUCUUUUAUACGAUAUAUUAUGAAAACACUAUAUUUUGUAAUGUUCAUCUUAUCCUACCAGCAAAAUUACAUCGCUAACAAAAUUAUAUCAAUUUUAUUUUAUAAACUCAAAUAAUUUAAUUUAUGAAACAACUCUAUGAGAUUCUUAUCAUGAGUUAGAAUUCAAAUAAAUAAAGAGUUCAUAUUGAUAAGUGGAAUUGAUGUGCAAGUAAGGGGUAUAAAAAAAUCUCAAAAUAACUCCAAAAAGCACAUGACAUGUUUGAUUUAAUAGAACUGGUACAUAAACAGGGGGACCAUUAUAUUUAUAAGCAAGUGACCAACAAUAGUUUACUACUGAUAUUUUGUGAUAUUUUUUGUGAUAUUUUUUGAGACCUUUAACAUUAUUCUGUGAAGUGGUAUACUACUGUUACUAGUUCUGAAACUUCAAACAAAGUAGGCGCAACAUUGUAAGAGUGAUUAAUAAAGUUGAGAAACAGUGUGUACAUUGAGCAGUAUGACAAUCAGGUUCAGCAUAUAAUACAAUCAGAUUCACAAUCAGGUUCACGAGAAACAUGCUGCAUUCCAAAAAGCCUUAUUAUCUUCUUCACUAAAUAACAAGGCAAAUACAGCAUAUAAAUACAAGUGUGCAGUGUGGUAUUAGAUUCAUAACCCAGUUGAGGAGAAACAUGGCACACUUUGUAAGGCCUUCUCACCUUCUUCUCUUUGUUUUCUUUCUCUCAUCACUUGAAUCCAUUCUUGCAACAAGACAAGAGGGGGAAGCUCUUGUGAAGUGGAAGAAUAGCCUAGCCCCUUCUUCUUUUCUCCACUCUUGGUCACUCACCAAUCUCGAAAAUCUUUGNNNNNNNNNNNNNNNNNNNNNNNNNNNNNNNNNNNNNNNNNNNNNNNNNNNNNNNNNNNNNNNNNNNNNNNNNNNNNNNNNNNNNNNNNNNNNNNNNNNNNNNNNNNNNNNNNNNNNNNNNNNNNNNNNNNNNNNNNNNNNNNNNNNNNNNNNNNNNNNNNNNNNNNNNNNNNNNNNNNNNNNNNNNNNNNNNNNNNNNNNNNNNNNNNNNNNNNNNNNNNNNNNNNNNNNNNNNNNNNNNNNNNNNNNNNNNNNNNNNNNNNNNNNNNNNNNNNNNNNNNNNNNNNNNNNNNNNNNNNNNNNNNNNNNNNNNNNNNNNNNNNNNNNNNNNNNNNNNNNNNNNNNNNNNNNNNNNNNNNNNNNNNNNNNNNNNNNNNNNNNNNNNNNNNNNNNNNNNNNNNNNNNNNNNNNNNNNNNNNNNNNNNNNNNNNNNNNNNNNNNNNNNNNNNNNNNNNNNNNNNNNNNNNNNNNNNNNNNNNNNNNNNNNNNNNNNNNNNNNNNNNNNNNNNNNNNNNNNNNNNNNNNNNNNNNNNNNNNNNNNNNNNNNNNNNNNNNNNNNNNNNNNNNNNNNNNNNNNNNNNNNNNNNNNNNNNNNNNNNNNNNNNNNNNNNNNNNNNNNNNNNNNNNNNNNNNNNNNNNNNNNNNNNNNNNNNNNNNNNNNNNNNNNNNNNNNNNNNNNNNNNNNNNNNNNNNNNNNNNNNNNNNNNNNNNNNNNNNNNNNNNNNNNNNNNNNNNNNNNNNNNNNNNNNNNNNNNNNNNNNNNNNNNNNNNNNNNNNNNNNNNNNNNNNNNNNNNNNNNNNNNNNNNNNNNNNNNNNNNNNNNNNNNNNNNNNNNNNNNNNNNNNNNNNNNNNNNNNNNNNNNNNNNNNNNNNNNNNNNNNNNNNNNNNNAUUAAAACGUCUUUUUCUUUGGAGUAAUAAGUUUUCAGGUUCUGUUUCCAAUGAUAUAGGUUUGCUUUCUGAGCUUGAAUUUCUCAAUCUUUACGAUAAUUUUUUUGAGGGGCCGCUUCCAUGCAUCAAAUAUAUUCAAGCUCUCCAAAUUAAGGGUUCUUUACCUUAACGGUAAUAAACUUCUAGGUUCUCUUUCCAAUGAUAUAGGUUUGCUUUCUGAGCUUGAAAGCCUCGAUCUUAACUCCAAUUUUUUUGAGGGGCCGCUUCCGCCAAAUGUAUUCAAGCUCUCCAAACUAAAGAUUCUUUCCCUUUAUGAGAAUAACUUUUCAGGUUUUAUUUCUAAGGAUAUAGGUUUGCUUUCUGGACUUGAAACCCUCUAUCUUGACUCUAAUUUUUUUGAGGGUCCGCUUCCCCCACAUAUAUUUAGGCUGUCCAAAUUAAGAGAUCUGGACCUCUCAUACAGUAGAAAUUUAUUUGAAGGAAGUAUUCCUAUUGGACUGGGACUCUUGACUAACCUCAGGUACUUAGAUCUAUAUUCCAAUAAUCUCAGUGGCUAUAUUCCAUCUGACAUUGGAAACCUGAAGCUACUAGAAGGUCUUAUUCUCGGUUCUAAUAAAUUGACUGGACCAGUUUCAAAGAUCAUUUCUAAUCUCACAAAUCUUAUAUAUCUUGAUGUAAGUGAUAAUAGUCUUAGUGGAAAUAUUCAGAGUGACUUGUGGAAAUAUAACGAUCAUCCAACUUUGGAAUACAUCAAUUUAAGUGGGAACCAUUUUACGGGUAUAGUUUUUCUCUAUAGAUCUUUUCCUUUUCUCAUAUGUAACUAAGCUGGUAAUCUGAUUAUUGCAGUUUUACCAAAGUUUCAACAAUCUUGACAGGUGAGCUUCCAACAACAAUUUGCAAUGUCACUUCCCUUUCGGUUCUUGAUUUGUCAAAUAAUGCGUUAAGUGGUGCACUUCCAAACUGUUUCGGGAAUCUUGCUGAUGGAUUGCUUUACAUUAAUCUUGCUCAUAAUCAGUUUCGAGGAACAAUACCAACUACUUUCUCCAGGAGUUGUCAGCUGACAUAUCUGAACAUGGAUGAUAAUGAGUUUGAAGGAUUGAUGCCCCCAUCUUUGGCGAACUGUAAGCACUUGAAAAUUUUUGAUAUUGGCAAUAAUAAAAUAGGUGGUACAUUUCCGUCAUGGCUUUAUGUACUUGGAGAGCUAGAAGUCCUUGUCUUGAAAUCAAAUAAACUCUAUGGUACAAUAAGUGGAAGGAGCAGUGAAGAUCCCUUCCCCAAGUUGCGGAUUGUGGAUCUGUCCAACAAUCAAUUCACAGGCCAUUUGCCAAUUCAAUACUUUAAGAAUAUGAAAUCAACUGAUAAUUUGUAUCGUUAUCAGAAUGACACAAGAGUUUUUUCUUUCCAUUAUGAAGCAGCAGUCUCAUUAACUGUGAAGGGAACAGAGUAUGAAGUGAAAAAAAUCCUUCAUAUUUACACAACCAUUGAUCUGUCCUGCAACAAAUUUCAAGGAGAAAUUCCAGACGUUAUUGGAGAGCUUAGAUGGCUUGCAUUGCUCAACUUAUCUCAUAAUAGUCUAACAGGACCUAUCCCAUCAUUGCUGAGGAAUAUGAAAGAACUCCAAUCUUUAGAUUUGUCUUCAAAUCAACUGACAGGGGCUAUUCCACCUCAGUUAACUGCAUUGACAUAUCUAGAGGUCUUGAACCUCUCGGGAAACCAUCUUAGUGGAGAGAUUCCUCAGAAAGGACAGUUCAGCACAUUCAACAAUGAUUCUUAUCUUGGAAACUCCGCGUUAUGUGGAUCACCUUUGACGAAGAAAUGUGCAAACACAGCAUCACCUCCACAAGAAGUCGGAAAUGGUGAUGAAGAUGAUGCUGGUGAUGAAUUGACAUGGGAAGCAAUCGUGAUGGGAUAUGGAUGUGGACUGAUAUGUGGAUUGUCAUCUGCAUACAUUGUUCUCAAACUAGGAAAGCCUUGGUGGUUUGUGAGAUAUGUCGAAGUACUGCAACUGAAGUUGAUGAAAAGAUAUGCUUGAAGAAUGGUACUGGCCGAUCAAGACGAACUUGAAAGUUGUUGUCCUUGUGCAUUUCUGAACCAGUUGUGUACUAUUCUCUUUGUGGCUGCAUAAGUAUUUGGUAUUGUGUAAUAUUCUGUUUGGUCUUGAAUCAUAAUGAUUCUUCUUGCUCCAGGGUUAUUAAUAUAAACCUUGGUAUUGUGUGCUAGCUGUAAUAUUCUGUUUGAUCAAUGUUUAUACCAGUAAUUUUAUGCUCCACAGUGCAUCAUGCAGCUCUCAUAUUAUCUCUAUGAUUAACCUGAAUUCAGUUUCAUUUUGUUUCCGAAUCUCAACUACUUCAACUUGAGCUACAAUAGCUUCACUGGUCUAAUACCCCCAGAUAUUGAAAAUUUAACAGAGCUGCAAUACCUUGAUUUUAGCUCUAAUAAACUCACUGGUGCAAUUCCGGACCAGGUAAGCCAUCUUCAAACAUUGCGAACCUUAAACCUGUUGGAUAAUCACUUGGAAGCUCCAAACUGGUCCGCUUUUUCCCCUAUGCCUUCUCUGACAAACCUCUGUCUCAAUAAUAAUAAUCUUUCGUCGAAAUUCCCAGACUUCAUAUCAAAUUGUCGAAACCUGACUUACCUUGAUCUUUCAUUAAACUUGUUAACAGGUGAUUUGGUUCUUGGUAAUACGGAAUCGCUCUAUCACAGAAGUAAUUCUUUUGAGGGGUCAUUUCCACCAAAUAUAUUAAAACUUUCAAAAUUAAGAGUUCUUUCCCUAUCNCUUUCCCUAUCAUAUAAUAGAUUUUCAGGUUCUAUUCCGCAUGAUAUAGGAAUGCUUCGUGUUUUGGAAUCCCUUUUUUUUAGUAGCAGUUCUUUUGAUGGCCUGCUUUCACCAAAUUUAUUUAAGCUUCCAAAAUUAAAAGUUCUUUCCAUGUCAUUUAAUAACUUUUCGGGUUAUAUUCCAAAUGAAAUAGGAUUGCUUCAUGAUUUAGAGUCCCUUUAUUUUAAUGGAAAUUCUUUUGAGGCCGUUUCCACCAAAUAUAUUCAACCUUUCCAAAUUAAAAGUUCUUUACCUCUCAAAUAAUAACUUUUCAGGUUCUAUUCCUAAUGAUAUAAGUGUGCUUCGUGAUCUUGAGAUACUUGAUUUGUCCUCUAAUUCUUUUGAAGGGAUUAUUCCAUUGGAGCUGGGGUUCUUGAAUAAGCUGAGCUAUUUAUAUCUUGAUUCCAAUCAAUUGACUGGACCGCUUUUGAAGAACAUGUAUAAUCUCAGUAAUCUUAUUGAGAUCAACUUUAGUGGAAACCGCUUAACAGGUUUGCUAUUCAUUCUUGUUUUCUUCUUUAUGUAACUUCUUUAUGUAACUUCUUCAAUGCUGAUGAAAUGAUCACGAACCACAAUUUCACCAAAGCUCCUUUAAUUUCAACAGGUGAGUUUUCGACAGCAAUUUACAGAGAGAGAAUUACGAUGUUAUUAGGGAAAUCUAAAGAGAAGGUGCAGAGACCUCGGCAUAAUGAUCCUCCAACCUCUCAUUAACAAUGUCCAGGUUUCUUUAAAAGUAUUAAAUGUUAUUAACAUAGUACUUAAUGGUGUUAUAAAGAGAGUCGUGAUGUAACACUAUAUUUUGUUUACGAGAUAUUUUAAGUGUAAGAAGGUCCAUGCUGAGUUGUGAACAAUUAUUCUCACGUAUAUUAUCAAUGGUGAACAUCUUUAUUAGUAAGAUUGUGCUUUUUAGUUGGAUUGUGGUCCUUCUGUUGCUCCUUGGUAAGAUUUUUCGUCCUAGGUGGGAUUGUUAGGCACAAUGCCAGUCUAAUCAAGUUUGCGAAGGAAGUGUUAAAUACUAGAAUUAUUAAACCUGUAUAUAAAUUUAGAUGUCUGCACAGCGUUGUUACAUUGUCGAGUAGACAACUAAUUUUAAUCUGGUGGCAGGAAAUAGGGAAUCAAGAAGAAGAUGCAGCCAACAAUGAGAAGCUAGAGAAGCAAUUGAACUACUCGAACAAGAGCAAAAGCGGAUAGAAGCAGAACCAGAUGUUAAACUAGAGGCAAAAAAGAGAGCCUCCAACAGGCUUAUUUUAAGGUAAAUUACAAGAAAAGAAAGUCUGCCAUCAAUGUUAGACAAAAAGAUAUGCCGAUGCUCACAGAUAAUAAUAGUAGCAGGCGUACUUACUCUCUCUACAUAUAAUACUGUAACAAAGGUUUUCAAUGAGCCAAUUUAUUCCAACUAAGCAGGCACUAAGCAGCCACGUCAGAUCCACCUUAGCAAUCACUUUGCAUUUGUGAUGAUGAUCACAAUUAAAUCUUUAUCCCAAUGAUUUUUCUAUUAAUCUUUUGUGGAAUUCUAUGUCUGCAGAGAGAGCAAUACGUGUUGGUCAUGGUUUCUAUAAGUGAAGGUGAGACAACAAUGGUGUUCUCUUUGCCUCAAUUACACCCCUAAUUGCUGGCUAUUUGAGCUGCUGAAAGUUUAAUAAUGGCAAUCGUUUGUAGCUCGAAGAGAAUGAUGUAAGAAUUUAAUCUCAAUAGGAAGCUGUAGAACACAACAAUAUUGCAUAUAGAAGCCAUCCAGCUGCACACCCUGAUCACGGAGUUUUUGAGUCUUUAGAAUGCAAAAAUACAAUGCACAUGGGUAUGCCUACAAGUGGAGAUAUUUAGAAAACUGCUUCUUGUGCACAGUUAGUUAAAUAUUUACUAAUAAUAUAUCUUCAAUAACAACAUUACAGCUACAGUUCAGCAAUGAAUGAUCAUCAAAUGGCUUCUGCAGCACCGACACAGAAUGCCAGUGGACUAGUGGAGUAAUUCCAGGGGAUGCUCUGAUCAUAAAUUCUCGCUGGUGAAUUGAAGAAUUGAGCUUGAGCUAAGAAGGUGAUCUGCAUAUAAUCUUUAACCAUUUUCUGAUGGUACAAAUGUUGCUAUUUAAAAAAAUAAAGAUCAAAUAAACAAAUAUUACUUUACUAAUAUUUUACAUAGCUGCUGCUGUCGAAAACUGGAAACUUGUUGUGUAUUAUAAAAAUAGCAAGGAACUGAACUAAAUAAGCGAGGCAGGUAACUAUUGGAACAAACUGGCAUAUACCUUCUCUUUUCUUAUACUUCUUGCUUGGGGGCAAUAAGUCGUCUCUACCAUAAUAAAGUAAAAAGUAGUCAAAUUACAACUCCCUUGGGUUUCCGUUUGAAUUAGGACAUGUGUGGUGCACCAUACUCUCUUGUCAAAUAUUUUGAAGUUUUGCAUAUUGCAGUUUCACUUUUCAAAGAAACCUCUCUGUCAUUGCUAUAUUAGUAUGCGACUGUUAUUUGGAUUAGUUAUGAUCUGUAUCUAAAAUUAAUGGCACAGAUCUUGAUUUCUAGAACACCAGGUAAUAUUCUCAGAAACAGUGAUAUUCUGUUACAAAGUGAUUGUUGUCGACCAUCUUUACACAUUUUUCUUAUUAUUAAAAAAUAAAUUUUAUAAAAUAGAUUUUUAAAAUAUAGAUACUAUUGAUAUGGUCUUUAUAAUAGAUAUUAGAUAUUAAAAUUUUUAUUUAUAAAAAUUUAUGGAUGAGUUAUUGUAAUAACUGAUUGUCGAGAUCCUAGGUUCCUGGCUAAAUAGGAGUCCAUAUAUUUUGUUAUAAUAUAAUCAAAUAUCAAAACAUUCCUAGGAGGUCUAUAAGUUUAUAACGGUCCGAUAAAGGAAACAUGAAUAAAAUUGAUCAAAAUAUUUUGACCAUUUCAGGUGAUAAUGAUCAUAUAAUUUUCAUAUGACAGAACAAUAAGCCGUAGAGUUUGCUUAGGGGAUUAUGUAGGUUGCAGCAAGAUUUUCAAAAUAAAGCUGAUUUAUCAUUCAUAUAUUUUUUUGGUCCUCUUGGUUUAUGAGUGCUCUUUGUAUCUCUUGCUCUUAGCAUGCAUCCCCUCCCUUUAGUAAAUCAGCUUUGUGCUCAAUUACCUAAUUAUAGAUGAUGUUUCCUAAAUGGAAUAUUUCAAUUAAAUAUAUUAAUUGCUAAGCAACAGCCAAUAUGUUGUGUUGGUUAUUAAAUUAUUGUAGGCAUUUAUUCUUACAGAUGGUUUGGAGAUAAUUUCGAGCAAUCUAUGAGUUUGAAUAAUAUGUCUUAACAGUAUAUAGGGCCAUGAGGAGCUUGGCGCUGCCAGCUUGCGCUUGCGGGAAGAUGAAGAUUUUACGAGAUUUAAAAAUAUUGCAACUAUAGAGCUAGGAAGAUAAGAGAUUGGAAGUUGGUAAUUCUCCCCUUUCCCAUCAGAAUUCAAUGACUCUUUGAAACUGUACUUUCGUGAAUUUUGUCUUAAUUUCAUCAGGCGACCAGAACAACUUCAGAGACAUAUGGUGAGUUGUUGUCGAGUAUUUUGAAGAGUAUCGUUCGCAGGGAAGGAUUGAUAUCAAUACCAAUUUCAAGUCUUUUAUCUCUUAUGAUUCAGAAGUGUGGAGAAGAAUUUGGUGGGAUUUUCUAUCAACUAAUUAAUGUAAUAAGUAAAUAAAUAUAAUAAAUAUGAGAGAAAACAACCCAAGAAUUAGAGUUCUUCAAUCGCUAUCAUGAAUGUCUAAUUUGUGUCUCUUGUUUGCUAAAAACAAUCCUUCUAAUAUUAAUAAACUCCUCUCCCAAGGUAGAUUAUAAUGCUUACAAUUAUCCAUUAAAAGCCACUCCCAUGGUCAAUCAAAGAACACUUGUAAACUAUUAAGAACCAAGGAUUUUAAGUCUCACAAUUCUCAUAUCAAUCUCCCGAUCUAAUACUCAAAUUGUGUCCAUCAUAUCAUGUACUAGAAUUAUAACUCCUCUCCCGAUUCGUUAUAACUCCUAGAGAUUCAAUCACAAGUUAGCUACUCCUGUAAUUGUAUAAAGAGCUCAAUGACAGAUUAACAAAUCAAGAGAAAACACAAUCCAACUAAACAAACAUAUUAAGCCAAAGAAUACUACCUAACUCUUGGAUCAAAGGAUUAGCUACUCAUGAUAAGAUGAAACAAAUAUAUAUUUAUACCACAAACCAUGAGCGUAAGAAUUUAAAUACGAAGAAUACAACUUGACGAAAGAGCUUGAAGUCCGGAUGAAUCCCUUCACUCCUUCUUCCAAUAUCUCUCACAAGUGCUUCUCUCCCUUUUCUCUCUAAAAAAGCUAUCUCUAUAUUAUUCUAUAUGAUACAAAGUUAGUUGUCUCUAAUCUCUAUCAAAACCCUAAUAUAUAUAAGAGUUUUCUUAAUUUACAAGAAAAUAAAAUAAUAUCCUAAAACUAGUUGGAUUCUGAUGCUGAAAUUCGUAGGCUUCUGUUCAGGCCUGAUUCUGGGCUGAUCCAGUUGGAUUUUGACAUCUGGACCACCUUAAACUUGUAGAAAAUUCCUAUAUCUUCGCGUGGGCUGUUGAAUCGCCCAAUUCUGACAUCCAGAACUCAAGUUACGGCCCAAACAAGAUUUGCUUCGCUGGCUAUAUAUAAAGUCCGAAUUUCCAUCUAAUUAAGCCCAAAUAAGCUUGAUUUAAUCCAACUUUAGGAAUAUUUAUUUUCCUGCCACUAAACACUUAAAAUCAAUUAGUAAUAACCCGAUUAUUUACAAAAUACUAAAAUUAUGGGAAUAAAAUCAUAUAAAAACAUAUAUAAAUAUAUGCUCUAUCAUGAGUUUUGUGUCCUGCUUCUCAUUUCACAUACAUUGCCUUUUAAGAAGGGUGUUCUUAUAUAAUUUUGGAAGUGCUAUUGCUAAUUUGUUUCAGGUAAUAGCUGCACCGCAUAUAUAAAAUAUACAAAAAAUGUUUUUCCCGGCCUUCUUAAAAGUUUGAAUAAUAUUCCCCCUGUCUUGUGAUUGCAAACAAUAAUUGUUUUUGUAUCCAAGUACUUAAGCUUUUCCAUUAACUUUUUGGAUUUUGAACCAUGAUUGCCAAUGAGCAUUGAUAAUAUAGCCUAGGCCUCGGUCAUUUGAAUUUUUUGGAUAUUGUCUAAAGGCUUUCAAUGUAGUGAUUCUGUGACAACGUUGGACAAUAAUGUGUACAAGCUGGAUUCAGCAGAUUUCUAACAUGUGUUGAUUAUUACUAAUUAUGGAUUUACUGGUAUAGCAAGAAAUUACAGGCCCGAGGUCUUAAAGUUUGGGUGUCAUCACUUUUCUGGUCUACUUGCAAUCUUUUCUUCUUACUACCUCUUCUAGCAGUGUGUAGUUCCACUUUGCUAUUAAAUGAGCAAGUUAAUGACUGUUUAGGGGAUUGAGAUCUGACAAGUCUUGCUACUUUUGAUGGGUUUGAUAGGUUUGAUGAGUGCUUAAGUGAUAUUAAUCACCAAACUUAUGUAUAUGCAUUUUGAUGUGUUGAUUAUUUAGCAUAGUUGCUGCAUAACAAAUAUUAGUUAAAGGAUGAGAUCUUCUAAAAGAAGUCAGAAAUGUAAAAGCCAAUGUCAAAGUGGAUUUGAUCAAAAAGAGAUUCGCAUGCUGAUUAUUACUUUUUUGUGCAGAAAAAAUGUGAUCUCAAACAUCCCCUGGCAAUGAGAUAUAUCGCAGGGCACAUUGUCAAUGUUUUAGAUAUGUUUACAUGUUUAGCUGAUCUGCAAAUUCCUUUACGUCUUGGUUUCUGUCUCAUGUGAUUAUAUUCUCAGCGUUUGGAACUUGGAAUUGCAUAGCUUACCGCCAACACAAUUAUACAACUUCUUUUACUCAGUGAAUGAUGCUACACUUGAGACUUUCAUUAUGAUAUUUAUCUUGAGACACAUGUUCCCCAGUUUUAUAACUGGUAUAUUUGGCCUUGCUUUGUAUUUUUAAAUAUUACUGUUCAAUGGACUUAUACUAAACCCUUGCUUAUAAACAAGUACUCUUCAUCUGUUUGUUUGUUUAACUAUAUGACAUUUUACAUGUUUUUAUAGGUAGAUGGGAAAAAGAAUAAGGUUUAUGGGCAGAAUCUUUGUUAUCUGGAAAAAUUGUUUCUUGAUUACAAAACACUAUAUUAUAACGUCGAUUCACAAUAACUUAAUUGAUCAGCGCUCGGAGUCUCCUUUCUAAUCAAGGCUGUGGAGUGUGGAGGCCUAGGGCCUGAGCAUAUAAGGAUAUUCACAAUAAUUUUUUUUUUUUAUGAAUUUAUUUUCAUAGAUAUUUGUGUGUAGUUCCUUAAAUUGGGAAUACGGCUCGAGAGGAUAAGGGAUUGUUUGGUUGUUUAGUGUGAUUGGUAUUUUACUAGAUCAGAGAGUUUAUUACCACAAGCAUCCUAUGCAUUAACACUUGUCAGCAGCUGAAUUCCUGACAUAACACAUGAAUUCAGAAGACAUGACACAUGAAUUCAGUAUUUGGAAUUUGAUUGAAAUUCUGAAUGAUUUAUUGUUUACCAGAGGUUAUAACCACUACUUGUAUAUGGUAUCGGGUGUGUCCAUCUCCGGAAGAUCUAAUUGGCGUUAUAUGUUAAAUUUUCAAUAAAUAUCUCCGGAAGAUCUAAUUGGCGUUAUAUGUUAAAUUUUCAAUAAAUAUCUCCGGAAGAUCUAAUUGGCGUUAUAUGUUAAAUUUUCAAUAAAUAUCUGGAUGUGUAUUUUUGAUUAUCGAAAGAGUUCCCAUAUUAUUAUGUCGUUUUAUUUUCCUUCACUUUUGGCAGCCCCAAGUGAAAGUGAUGACUAUUGGUACUUGAGUUUUUUUGGCUGAAAUCACUAAUAUAAUUGUUACACUACAACAAAACUGGCAUCAGACAACACUAGUCACACAACGGACGCUGGAAAAAGUGUUGGCCGAAACAAAGACACAACACUUUAUUUUCGUCCUCGAAAAACUAUUGUCUAACACCUACGACCUACAACGGUUAAAAAACUGUUGUCUAAUAAAUUUAAUCAGACAACGGUCUCUUAACUGUGGUAUUGUGUAAUGAUGCACGUUAGACAACUGUUUUUAGAGCCGAUGUGUGAAGAAACUUCAGACAAUAUUCCGAGAAACCGUUGUUGUAAUGAGACAAGUGUUUUAUUUGUUGUGUUGUUUACGAAAAGAUCAGACAAGGGUUCCAUAGAGUGUUGUGUGACUGGGAAGCUAACAUACAAGUGUUUUUGUUAGCAUCGUAUCAUGGCCUUAUAGACAAGCCUUUAGCUAGUAAAACGUUGUCUGACUGAAUGACUUAUAAGAAAAUAAAUGUACAUAAAAGAGUGCAAACAUUCAAAAGUCCUAACCAAAGUUACAAAUAUAUAUUCAUUUUCUUAGUAGUCAUAGGCUUUUCUAGCAUUAGAUCAAGUAUUGAUCAAGGAAAUGCGAAUUUUUAACUCAUAAAAAUGAAAGUUUAUUAUACAACGGUUUUCUUCCCAUAAAUCGUUGUGUCAUUUUCAAUGAUACAACUUAGAUGCUUAUAAAAACCGUUGUGUGUUAGACACUACGGGACAAAAAAUACCUUUUUAUAAUAAGACAAAAUUUACAAUUAACAAGUAAUGUUAAAAAAACAUACAAAAUGAAUAUAAAAAAUUUAGAUUUUUUUUAUACAUGACUAAUAUUGUUAGUUCUCGACAUCCGUACGGUUAGAUCAUCGAAAAAAAUAUUUAAAAAUUAAUAUUAUGCUCAUCUUAUACAUAACAAAGAUUNNNNNNNNNNNNNNNNNNNNNNNNNNNNNNNNNNNNNNNNNNNNNNNNNNNNNNNNNNNNNNNNNNNNNNNNNNNNNNNNNNNNNNNNNNNNNNNNNNNNNNNNNNNNNNNNNNNNNNNNNNNNNNNNNNNNNNNNNNNNNNNNNNNNNNNNNNNNNNNNNNNNNNNNNNNNNNNNNNNNNNNNNNNNNNNNNNNNNNNNNNNNNNNNNNNNNNNNNNNNNNNNNNNNNNNNNNNNNNNNNNNNNNNNNNNNNNNNNNNNNNNNNNNNNNNNNNNNNNNNNNNNNNNNNNNNNNNNNNNNNNNNNNNNNNNNNNNNNNNNNNNNNNNNNNNNNNNNNNNNNNNNNNNNNNNNNNNNNNNNNNNNNNNNNNNNNNNNNNNNNNNNNNNNNNNNNNNNNNNNNNNNNNNNNNNNNNNNNNNNNNNNNNNNNNNNNNNNNNNNNNNNNNNNNNNNNNNNNNNNNNNNNNNNNNNNNNNNNNNNNNNNNNNNNNNNNNNNNNNNNNNNNNNNNNNNNNNNNNNNNNNNNNNNNNNNNNNNNNNNNNNNNNNNNNNNNNNNNNNNNNNNNNNNNNNNNNNNNNNNNNNNNNNNNNNNNNNNNNNNNNNNNNNNNNNNNNNNNNNNNNNNNNNNNNNNNNNNNNNNNNNNNNNNNNNNNNNNNNNNNNNNNNNNNNNNNNNNNNNNNNNNNNNNNNNNNNNNNNNNNNNNNNNNNNNNNNNNNNNNNNNNNNNNNNNNNNNNNNNNNNNNNNNNNNNNNNNNNNNNNNNNNNNNNNNNNNNNNNNNNNNNNNNNNNNNNNNNNNNNNNNNNNNNNNNNNNNNNNNNNNNNNNNNNNNNNNNNNNNNNNNNNNNNNNNNNNNNNNNNNNNNNNNNNNNNNNNNNNNNNNNNNNNNUUUUUUUAUACGUGACUAAUAUUGUUAGUUCUUGACAUCCGUACGGUUAGAUCAUUGAAAUAAAUAUUUAUGAAUUAAUACACAACUAAUUGAAUACAUAACAAAGAUUAUAUCUACUACUUUUUAAAUUGUAAACAUAAAACACAUACUAAUACAUGCGUCCGAAGUACAAAAUUGUCUCGGUUUUACACAUGAACAAUACAUAUUUGCAUAUAUACAUAACAUAAAUAUAUUUUUUUAAUACAAAGAGUGCAAAAACAAGAAUUAAUCAAGGAAAUGCGAAUUUUUAACUCAUAAAAAUUACCUUUUUAUAAUAAGAAAAAUUUUANACGAUUGACUAGUGUUGUUAAAAACCGUUGUCUGAUGCUGUUUUUGUUGUAGUGUUAUAUUAAAUUCUUGUGCUAAAACUUGUAUGGUUUGCCCCGCCCGCGGCUUCAAACAGCCAACAAGGUAAGCUAUUAUACUCAGGGGACCGAAAAAGGUAACAAAUGCAUAAACGAUUAGCUUUUCUUCUUUGCUGCAUAGUUUUUUUUUUUUUGUCAGGUUCUUUGCUGCAUAGUUAAUAACAAAUAACAUGAUCUCAAAAAAAAAAAAGAGGCGCGUACUAUGAAUGUAAAAAUAACAAUUUCAAUACUCUUUUUCACUAUAGAAAAACAAAAUUAUUGUGCUAGAUCUUUGCCCGUGCCUUGCACGGGCUUUAAAGCUAGUUUUUUAUUAAUAUGUGAAACUCCAAUAUAUAUUAUUAUACGAUAUAUUAUGAAAACACUAUGUUUUGUAAUGUUCAUCUUAUCCUACCAGAAAAAUUACAUCGCUAACAAAAUUAUAUCAAUUUUAUUUUAUAAACUCAAAUAAUUUAAUUUAUGAAACAACUCUAUGAGAUUCUUAUCAUGAGUUAGAAUUCAAAUAAAUAAAGAGUUCAUAUUGAUAAGUGGAAUUGAUGUGCAAGUAAGGGGUAUAAAAAAAUCUCAAAAUAACUCCAAAAAGCACAUGACAUGUUUGAUUUGAUAGAACUGGUACAUAAACAGGGGGACCAUUAUAUUUAUAAGCAAGUGACCAACAAUAGUUUACUACUGAUAUUUUGUGAUAUUUUUUGUGAUAUUUUUUGAGACCUUUAACAUUAUUCUGUGAAGUGGUAUACUACUGUUACUAGUUCUGAAACUUCAAACAAAGUAGGCGCAACAUUGUAAGAGUGAUUAAUAAAGUUGAGAAACAGUGUGUACAUUGAGCAGUAUGACAAUCAGGUUCAGCAUAUAAUACAAUCAGAUUCACAAUCAGGUUCACGAGAAACAUGCUGCAUUCCAAAAAGCCUUAUUAUCUUCUUCACUAAAUAACAAGGCAAAUACAGCAUAUAAAUACAAGUUAUAAGUACAAGUGUGGUAUUAGAUUCAUAACCCAGUUGAGGAGAAACAUGGCACACUUUGUAAGGCCUUCUCACCUUCUUCUCUUUGUUUUCUUUCUCUCAUCACUCGAAUCCAUUCUUGCAACAAGACAAGAGGGGGAAGCUCUUGUGAAGUGGAAGAAUAGCCUAGCCCCUUCUUCUUUUCUCCACUCUUGGUCACUCACCAAUCUCGAAAAUCUUUGUAAAUGGACUGGCAUUACUUGUAACUCUGCAGGUUCAGUCUCUGAGAUUAACCUUUGUGAGAAACAACUUGAUGGAAUGCUGUCCGAGUUCGGUUUCACUUCAUUUCCAAAUCUCAAGAAUCUCACCCUGGCAGACAACUUCUUCUCAGGUCCAAUACCACCAGCCAUUGAGAAUUUAACACAGCUUCAAUAUCUUGAUUUAAGCAUGAAUAGUCUUAAUGGUCCCAUUCCGUUCCAGGUUAGCCAUCUUCAGAGCUUGCUCAUCUUGAACCUGUCACAGAAUGCAUUGCAAGCUCCAAAUUGGUCCCAUUUCUCUCCCAUGCCUUUCUUGCGCAUCCUCGACCUUAGUUUUAAUAAUCUUGUGUCGAAAUUCCCAGAAUUUAUAUCCAAUUCUCAUAGCCUGACUCACCUUAACCUUUCAAAUAACAAGUUUACUGGUCAUCUUGUGCAUAAAUUUACCAAUCUACAAAAUCUUGAAACCCUCUACCUUCAGAUCAAUUCUUUUGAGGGGCCGUUUCCACCAGAUAUAGUCCAGCUUUCCAAAUUAAAACGACUCUCCCUGUCAUGUAACAAAUUUUCAGGUUCAAUUCCCAAUGACGUAAGGUUGCUUUUUGGUCUUGAAUCCCUAAAUUUAGGCAACAAUUCCUUUGAAGGACCGCUUCCACCAGAUAUAUUCAAGCUUUCAAAGUUAAAACGACUUGUUCUUUGGAGUAAUAAGUUUUCAGGUUCUGUUUCCAAUGAUAUAGGUUUGCUUUCUGAGCUUGAAACCCUCCAUCUUUACUCUAAUUUUUUUGAGGGGCCACUUCCGCCAAAUUUAUUCAAGCUCUCCAAACUAAAAGAUCUCACCCUGUCAAGUAACAAAUUUUCAGGUUCAAUUCACAAUGAUAUAAGGUUACUUUGUGAUCUUGAAGACCUAUAUUUAGCUAACAAUUCCUUUGAAGGACCGCUUCCACCAGAUAUAUUCAAGCUUUCAAGAUUAAAACGUCUUUUUCUUUAGAGUAAUAAGUUUUCAGGUUCUGUUUCCAAUGAUAUAGGUUUGCUUUCUGAGCUUGAAAGCCUCGAUCUUAACUCCAAUUUUUUUGAGGGGCCGCUUCCGCCAAAUGUAUUCAAGCUCUCCAAACUAAAGAUUCUUUCCCUUUAUGAGAAUAACUUUUCAGGUUUUAUUUCUAAGGAUAUAGGUUUGCUUUCUGGACUUGAAACCCUCUAUCUUGACUCUAAUUUUUUUGAGGGUCCGCUUCCCCCACAUAUAUUUAGGCUGUCCAAAUUAAGAGAUCUGGACCUCUCAUACAGUAGAAAUUUAUUUGAAGGAAGUAUUCCUAUUGGACUGGGACUCUUGACUAACCUCAGGUACUUAGAUCUAUAUUCCAAUAAUCUCAGUGGCUAUAUUCCAUCUGACAUUGGAAACCUGAAGCUACUAGAAGGUCUUAUUCUCGGUUCUAAUAAAUUGACUGGACCAGUUUCAAAGAUCAUUUCUAAUCUCACAAAUCUUAUAUAUCUUGAUGUAAGUGAUAAUAGUCUUAGUGGAAAUAUUCAGAGUGACUUGUGGAAAUAUAACGAUCAUCCAACUUUGGAAUACAUCAAUUUAAGUGGGAACCAUUUUACGGGUAUAGUUUUUCUCUAUAGAUCUUUUCCUUUUCUCAUAUGUAACUAAGCUGGUAAUCUGAUUAUUGCAGUUUUACCAAAGUUUCAACAAUCUUGACAGGUGAGCUUCCAACAACAAUUUGCAAUGUCACUUCCCUUUCGGUUCUUGAUUUGUCAAAUAAUGCGUUAAGUGGUGCACUUCCAAACUGUUUCGGGAAUCUUGCUGAUGGAUUGCUUUACAUUAAUCUUGCUAAUAAUCAGUUUCGAGGAACAAUACCAACUACUUUCUCCAGGAGUUGUCAGCUGACAUAUCUAAACAUGGAUAAUAAUGAGUUUGAAGGAUUGGUGCCCCCAUCUUUGGCGAACUGCAAGCACUUGAAAAUUCUUGAUAUUGGCAAUAAUAAAAUAGGUGGUACAUUCCCGUCAUGGCUUUAUGUACUUGGAGAGCUAGAAGUCCUUGUCUUGCGAUCAAAUAAACUCUAUGGUACAAUAAGUGGAAGGAGCAUAGAAGAUCCCUUCCCCAAGUUGCGGAUUGUGGAUCUGUCCGAUAAUCAAUUCACAGGCCAUUUGCCAAUUCAAUACUUUAAGAAUAUGAAAUCAACUGAUAAUAUGUAUAAUUAUCUGAAUUCCACAGGAGGAAUAUAUUUCACUUAUGAAGCAGCAGUCUCAUUAACUGUGAAGGGAACAGAGUAUGAAGUGACAAAUAACCUUCAUAUUUACACAGCUAUUGAUCUGUCGUGCAACAAAUUUCAGGGUGAAAUUCCAAAAAUUAUUGGAGAGCUUAGAUGGCUUGCAUUGCUCAAUUUAUCGCAUAAUAGUCUGACAGGACAUAUCCCAUCAUUUCUGAGAAAUAUGAAAGAACUCCAAUCUUUAGAUUUGUCCUCAAAUCAACUGACAGGGGCCAUUCCACCUCAGUUAACUGCAUUGACAUUUCUAAAGGUCUUAAAUCUCUCGAAAAACCAUCUCAGUGGAGAGAUUCCUCAGGAAGGACAGUUCAGCACAUUCAACAAUGAUUCUUAUCUAGGAAACUCCGCGUUAUGUGGAUUACGUCUGACAAAGAAAUGUGCAAACACAGCAGGGAUUCCUCAGAAAGGACAGUUCAGCACAUUCAACAAUGAUUCUUAUAUAGGAAACUCCGCGUUAUGUGGAUCACCUUUGACGAAGAGAUGUGCAAACACAGCAUCACCUCCACAACAAGUCGGAAAUGGUGAUGAAGAUGAUGCGGGAGAUGAAUUGAGAUGGGAAGCAAUCGUGAUGGGAUAUGGAUGUGGACUGAUAUGUGGAUUGUCAUCUGCGUACAUUGUUCUCAAACUAGGAAGGCCUUGGUGGGUUGUGAGAUAUGUCGAAGUACUGCAACUGAAGUUGAUGAAAAGAUAUGCUUGAAGAAUGGAACUGGCCGAUCAAAACGAACUCGAAAGCAGUUGUCCUUGUGGACAUUUCUGAACCAGUAGUGUACUAGCUGCAUAAGUAUUUGGUAUUAUGUAAUAAUCCACAUAUUCAAUAUCACACUCUUCCUGUGAGGAAACAAAUAUGGAGAAACAUUUCUAUUUACAAAACUUUUACCAUUAUACACUCUUAUAGUACUGGUUAAUAGUUUGUUGUUCAGCCUAGUCCUAAACUGAAAUUAUCAGUUCUAUGUGAGUAUGCUUUCAAAUAAGAAUUAGGUGAUCUGCCUAGUCCAAAACUACUCUAAUACUAUAUCGCUGGUAGUCUUUCAGUUCAUCCUAUUGUAUACAAUAGUUUCUUCCUUUGACACAAAAAUGUCUGCAGUCAGUGUCACCACCACAGGAAGUCGAAAAUGGUGAUGAAGAUUGAUUUGCGGAUUGUCUUAUGGGUACAUUUUUUUCAAAAAAGGAAGGCCUUGGUGGUUUGUGAGAUACAUCGAAGUGCUGCAACUUAAGUUGAUGUUACCAAGAAUGAAAAAUAUUGUUCGACCAAGAUCAACAACUUGAAAAUGUGUUCUGAAUCUGUAAUAAUAUUAAAAUAUUAAAAUAUUAUUCAUUUAACAAUAUCGUCCAAUCAAUUUAAUUGAUUAUCAUUUAAUCAAUAUAUAUAGAUGGAUAUUAAUUGUCUUCCCUAGCUCCAACCAAUGAUGAAAUAACCUCCCUAUAAAUCUAUUGAGUCAAAAUUGCAAACAACACUUUCAAAACAUAGGUGCCGAAUAGUCCUUAUUUUAAAUUAAUCAGAAUUGAAUAUUUGAUGGCGCUAAAAAAAUCUGUUGAAAUUAGCAGUUUAUAAGGCAUAUAAAUAGAAGUGUGCGUUACUUUAAGGAUUCAUGAUCAAGUUGAGGAGAAAUAUGCACAGUAUAUAAAGCCUCAUCAUCUUUUUCUCUUUGUUUUCUUUCUCUCAUUACUCCCAUCCAUUCUUACAACACUAGCUGAAACAAGACGAGAGGGAGAAGCUCUUGUGAAAUGGAAGAAUAGCCUAGCCCCUUCUUCUUUUCUCGACUCUUGGUCCCUCACCAAUCUCGAUAAUCUUUGUAACUGGACUGGCAUUACUUGUAACUCUGCAGGUUCAGUCUCUAAGAUUAACCUUUUUGAGAAACAACUUGAUGGAAUGUUGUCCGAGUUUGGUUUCACCUCAUUUCCACAUCUCAACAAUCUCACCCUUGCAGACAACUACUUCUCGGGUCCGAUACCACCAGCCAUUGAGAAUUUAACACAGCUUCAAUUUCUUGAUUUGAGCAAUAAUUAUCUAGAUGGUCCCAUUCCUUUCCAGGUUAGCAAUCUUCAGAGGUUGCUCAUCUUAAACCUGUCACAGAAUGCAUUGCAAGCUCCAAAUUGGUCCCAUUUCUCUCCCAUGCCUUUUUUGCGCAUCCUCAACCUCAGUAGCAAUCCUCUAGCGUCGAAAUUCCCAAAUUUCAUAUCCAAUUCUCAUGGCCUGACUCACCUUAGCCUUAAUUAUAACGAGUUUACUGGUGAUUUAGUACGUGAAUCAAUAUUUGCCAAUCUGCAUAAUCUUGAAGUCCUCGGUCUUGUUGACAAUUCUUUUGAGGGGCCAUUUCCCCCGGAUAUAUUCAGGCUCUCCAAAUUAAAACGUCUCUCCCUGUCAGGUAACAAAUUUUCAGGUUCAGUUCCCAAUGACAUAAGGUUGCUUUGUGAUCUUCAAUCUCUAUAUUUAGCUAACAAUUCCUUUGAAGGACCGCUUCCACCAAAUAUAUUCAAGCUUGCAAAAUUAAAAGAUCUUGCUCUUUGGGGUAAUAAGUUUUCAGGUUCUGUUUCCAAUGAUAUAGGUUUGCUUUCUGUGCUUGAAAUUCUCAAUAUUCACUCUAAUUUUUUUGAGGGGCCCCUUCCGCCAAAUAUAUUCAAGCUCUCCAAAAUAAGGUUUCUUUACCUCGGGGGUAAUAACUUUUCUGGUUCCGUUUCCAAUGAGAUAGGUUUGCUUUCUGAGCUUGAAUCCCUAUAUCUUGGUUCUAAUGUUUUUGAGGGGCCGCUUCCACCAAAUAUAUUCAAGCUUUCCAAAUUAAAAUGGCUUGACCUCGCAGACAAUAGAAAUUUAUUUGAAGGAAGUAUUCCUAUUGGACUGGGACUCUUGACUAACCUCAGCUACUUAGAUCUAAGUUCCAGUAAUCUCAGUGGCUAUAUUCCAUCUGUCAUUGCAAACCUGAAGCUACUAGUAUUUCUUGAUCUCAGUUCUAAUCAAUUGACUGGACCACUUUCGAAGAUCGUUUCUAAUCUCACAAAUCUUAUACUUCUUGGUGUGGAUUAUAAUAGUCUUAGUGGAAAUAUUCAGAGUGAUUUGUGGAAGAACUCUAUAUCCUUACGUUACAUUGAUUUUGAAAAUAAUUAUUUUUCUGGAAACAUUCCUGAGGAAUAUAACGAUCAUCCAACUUUGGAAUACAUCAAUUUAAGUGGGAACUAUUUUACAGGUAUAUUUUCUUAAUAUAUCUUUUCCUUUUGUCAUAUAUAUGUAACUAAGCUAGUAAUCUGAUUAUUGCAGUUUUACCAAAGUUUCAACAAUCUUGACAGGUGAGCUUCCAACAACAAUUUGCAAUGUCACCUCCCUUUCGGUUCUUGUUUUGUCAAAUAAUAAAUUAAGUGGUGCACUUCCAAACUGUUUCGGGAAUCUUGCUGAUGGAUUGCUUUACAUUAAUCUUGCUAAUAAUCAGUUUCAAGGAACAAUACCAACUACUUUCUCCAGGAGUUGUCAGUUGACAUAUCUAAACAUGGUUAAUAAUGAGUUUGAAGGAUUGAUGCCCCCAUCUUUAGCGAACUGUAAGCACUUGAAAAUUCUUGAUAUAGGCAAUAAUAAAAUAGGUGGUACAUUUCCGUCAUGGCUUUAUGCACUUGGAGAGCUAGAAGUUCUUGUCUUGCGAUCAAAUAAACUCUAUGGUACAAUAAGUGGAAGGAGCAUAGAAGAUCCCUUCCCCAAGUUGCGGAUUGUGGAUCUGUCCAACAAUCAAUUCACAGGCCAUUUGCCAAUUCAAUACUUUAAGAAUAUGAAAUCAAAUGAUAAUUUGUAUCGUUAUCUGAAUUCCACAGGAGAAAUAUAUAUCUCUUAUGAAGCAGCAGUCUCAUUAACUGUGAAGGGAACAGAGUAUGAAGUAGCAAAGAACCUUCAUAUUUACACAGCCAUUGAUCUGUCGUGCAACAAAUUUCAGGGAGAAAUUCCAAAGGUUACCGGAGAGCUUAGAUGGCUUGCAUUGCUCAAUUUAUCUCAUAAUAGUCUAACAGGACCUAUCCCAUCAUUGCUGGGAAAUAUGAAAGAACUCCAAUCUUUAGAUUUGUCCUCAAAUCAACUGACAGGGGCUAUUCCACCUCAGCUAACUGCAUUGACAUUUCUAGAGGUCUUGAACCUCUCGGGAAACCAUCUUAGUGGAGAGAUUCCUCAGAAAGGACAGUUCAGCACAUUCAACAAUGAUUCUUAUCUAGGAAACUCCGCGUUAUGUGGAUCACCUUUGACGAAGAAAUGUGGAAACACUGUAUCACCUCCACAGGAAGUCGGAAAUGGUGAUGAAGAUGAUGCGGGUGAUGAAUGGACAUGGGAAGCAAUCGUGAUGGGAUAUGGAUGUGGACUGAUAUGUGGAUUGUCAUCUGCGUACAUUGUUCUCAAACUAGGAAAGCCUUGGUGGUUUGUGAGAUAUAUCGAAGUACUGCAACAGAAGUUGAUGAAAAGAUAUGCAUGAAGAAAGGUACUGGUAGAUCAAGAUGAAAAGAUAUGAAGAAGUAUUUGGUAUUAUGUAAUAAUCCGUUUGGUCGGGACUCAAAAUGAUUUCUCUUGCUUCAGGGGUAUUAAUAUUAACCUUGCUAUCUUGUUCAAUGUUAAUGCAAAUUAAAAAGAAUAUAAAAGCAAAAAAUUUGCAUCAAACACCUGUUGUACCAACAUGCAUCCAUUAAUUUGCUUUCAUCUAUUAAGUAACAAUUUAAGAGCGCUUCCACUCUGUUUAAGCAUGGAGAUUACACAAAGAAGGCAAGUCCAUGGAUUAACACGUAGUCCACAUCUAUGCUACGAACAAUUCACAUUGAUCUUAUAUCUGUUCAACAGUCUCCCGAAGAUAGGCCAUAAAUGUCAUCUGUGGCUCUUAUGUUUGUCAGUAAAGGAGAAUCUCUGAUGCCUAUAACCUGGUUUUCUUACAAGAUGCCCAGGUUAUCAUGGCCAUGCAGAAAAAUGCCCAAAAAUGAAUAGCUCAGGUCUCCCCAAGCCUUCCAGGACUCAUUCCAAGUCUUCGGAGGACCACUGCCUCCCCCUUUCAAAGAUGUGAUUGUAGCUCGAAAGUGAUAUAAAUUAUUUUCCCCACAUUAAAAAUAAAAAAUCAGAUUAAAUUAAUCAAUAAUAAAUUAAGGAUGAAAUCCAAAUUAAUCCUAAAUUUUGAUAAUAUAUAAAAAUUAUAAUUAUAAAUUAUAUAACCAAAUCAGAAUUGAAUUAACUUACUUGGCACUAGAAUUGCUAAAGACAGUAUAAUAAUUUAAUUGAUGAAAAGUCAAAGUCUUCUAAUAAAUCCAUAAAGAAUAUGAUAAUAUGAAAAUUAUAAUUGAAAAAUCAAAAUCAAUAGUGUAUUGGAAUAGUGUUCACACACUUAUAUAUCAAAAUUUGUGGUCCAAAAACUAUAGCACAAUAUCCUAAAUACAUCACAUUAAAUAAUAGCACAAAAAUAUUCAAUAAAUAAUUGAUUUCAUUCAUAAAUUUGUUAUUUUAAAAACUAAUAAUUUGGUUGAUGUUAACCUAUAUUUUAUAUAUAAUUUCGUCUUAUUUUAUUUUACUAGAAACAAUAUUUUUAUAAUAUUUAUUACAUUAAAUAUAUUAAAAGAUAUAAUUUUAUUAAAAAAAUUGAAUAAAAUUAAAAGGAUAAGUCUCGGCCUCUCCAAGUCUACAAGACUCAUUUCAAGUCCACCGAGGGCCUCAACCAUUGAGAGAUGUGAAAGUAGCUUGAGAGUGAUAUAAAUUAAUUAAAUUAGUUAAUAAUGAAUCAAGACUAAUCAUGAAUUAUGAUAAUAAUUAAAUAAAUUAUAAAAUUAAAUUAUACAAAUAACACUAAACCUUAGUUACUUUAUUGGUAAAAUAAAUAUAAUAUAAUAAUUAAAUUGAUGAAAAAUCAAAAUCAUCUAAUAAAUUCACAAAAAAUAUAUGAUCAUUAGUAUAUUAUAUUAGUAUCCACACACUUAUAUUUCAAAUCUAUCCUCCAAAAUUAUCAUCUCGAUAAACUAGCCGCAUAAAAUAAAAAUUUAACGAUAUUAGAUAUUUAGCUAUUUUCAUUAUAUAAUUUUUCCACACUAAAUAACAAAAUAUCUUUAUCAAAUUAUUAUUUAUGAAUUAAAUAUUCAAGUUAUAAUUCCAGCAUGCAGCGUAUAAAUAGAAGUGUGCAGUAUGAUAUCAGAUUCAUAACCCAGUUGAGGAGAAACAUGGCACACUCUGUAAAGCCUUCUCACCUUCUUCUCUUUGUUUUCUAUCUCUCUUAACUUGAAUACAUUCUUGCAACAACACAAGAGGGAGAAGCUCUUGUGAAAUGGAAGAAUAGCCUAGCCCCUUCUUCUUUUCUCGACUCUUGGUCACUCACCAAUCUCGAUGAUCUUUGUAACUGGACUGGCAUCACUUGUAACUCUGCAGGUUCAGUCUCUCAGAUCAACCUUUUCGAAAAACAACUUGAUGGAAUGCUGUCCGAGUUUGGUUUCACUUCAUUUCCGAAUCUCAACAAUCUCACCCUCGCAUACAACUUCUUCUCGGGUCCGAUACCACCGGCCAUUGAGAAUUUAACACAGCUUCGGUAUCUUGAUUUAAGCUUUAAUUCUCUCCAUGGUCCCAUUCCGUUCCAGGUUAGCCAUCUUCAGAGCUUGCUCAUCUUAAACCUGUCACAGAAUGCAUUGCAAGCUCCAAAUUGGUCCCAUUUCUCUCCCAUGCCUUUUUUGCGCAUCCUCAACCUCAUUAGCAAUCCUCUUGCGUCGAAAUUCCCAAAUUUUAUAUCCAACUCUCAUAGCCUGACUCACCUUAGCCUUAAUUUUAAUGAGUUUACUGGUGAUUUAGUACGUGAAUCAGUAUUUGCCAAUCUGCAUAAUCUUGAAUUGCUCAGUCUCGUUGAAAAUUCUUUUGAGGGGCCAUUUCCGCCGGAUAUAUUCAGGCUUUCCAAAUUAAAACAUCUUCACCUGUCAAGUAACAAAUUUUCAGGUUCAAUUUCCAAUGACAUAAGGUUGCUUUGUGAUCUUGAAUCCCUAUAUUUAGGCAACAAUUCCUUCGAAGGACCCCUUCCAUCAAAUAUAUUCAAGCUUUCAAAAUUAAAAAAUCUUGUUAUUGGGAGUAAUAAGUUUUCGGGUUCUGUUUCCAACGAUAUAGGUUUGCUUUCUGAGCUUGAAAGCCUCUAUCUUGACUCCAAUUUUUUUGAGGGGCCGCUUCCGUCAAAUAUAUUCAAGCUCUCCAAAUUAAGGAUUCUUUCCCUUUGGCAUAAUAACUUUUCAGGUUCUAUUUCUAAGGAUAUAGGUUUGCUUUCUGGACUUGAAACCCUCUUUCUUGACUCUAAUUUUUUUGAGGGUCCGCUUCCCCCGCAUAUAUUUAGGCUCUCCAAAUUAAGAGAUCUGGGUCUCUCAGACAAUAGAAAUUUAUUUGAAGGGAGUAUUCCUAUUGGACUGGGACUCUUGACUAACCUCAGGUACUUAGAUCUAUAUUCCAAUAAUCUCGGUGGUUAUAUUCCAUCUGACAUUGGAAACCUGAAGCUACUAGAAGUUCUUGAUCUCAGUUCUAAUCAAUUGACUGGACCGCUUUUAAAGAUUGUUUCUAAUCUCACAAAUCUUAUGUUUCUUGAUGUAAGACAAAAUAGUCUUAGUGGAAAUAUUCAGAGUGACUUGUGGAAAUAUAACGAUCAUCCAACUUUGGAAUUCAUCAAUUUAAGUGGGAACCAUUUUACGGGUAUAGUUUUUCUCUAUAAAUCUUUUCUUUUGUCAUAUGUAACUAAGCUAGUAAUCUGAUUAAUUGCAGUUUUACCAAAGUUUCAACAAUCUUGACAGGUGAGCUUCCAACAACAAUUUGCAAUGUCACUUCCCUUUCAAUUCUUGAUUUGUCAAAUAAUGGAUUAAGUGGUGCACUUCCAAACUGUUUCGGGAAUCUUGCAGAUAGAUUGCUUUUCAUUAAUCUUGCUAAUAAUCAGUUUCGAGGAACAAUACCAACUACUUUAUCCAAAAGUUGUCAGCUGACAUGUCUAAACAUGGAUAAUAAUGAGUUUGAAGGAUUGUUACCCCCAUCUUUGGCGAACUGUAAGCACUUGAGAAUUCUUGAUAUUGGCAACAAUAAAAUAGGUGGCACAUUUCCGUCAUUGCUUUAUGUACUUGGAGAGCUAGAAGUCCUUGUCUUGCGAUCAAAUAAACUCUGCGGUACAAUAAGUGCAAGGAGCAUAGAAGAUCCCUUCCCCAAGUUGCGGAUUGUGGAUCUGUCCAACAAUCAGUUCACAGGCCAUUUGCCAAUUCAAUACUUCAAGAAUAUGAAAUCAACUGAUAAUUUGUAUUGGUAUCGUAUUUCCACAGGAGAAUUAUUUUUCCAAUAUGAAGCAGCAGUCUCAUUAACUGUGAAGGGAAGAGAGUAUGAAGUAGCAAAUAACCUUCAUAUUUACACAGCCAUUGAUCUGUCGUGCAACAAAUUUCAGGGAGAAAUUCCAACGGUUACUGGAGAGCUUAGAUGGCUUGCAUUGCUCAAUUUAUCUCAUAAUAGUCUAACAGGACCUAUCCCAUCAUUGCUGAGAAAUAUGAAAGAACUCCAAUCUUUAGAUUUGUCCUCGAAUCAACUGACAGGGGCUAUUCCACCUCAGUUAUCUGCAUUGACAUUUCUAGAGGUCUUGAACCUCUCGAAAAACCAUCUUAGUGGAGAGAUUCCUCAGAAAGGACAGUUCAGCACAUUCAACAAUGAUUCUUAUCUAGGAAACUCCGCGUUAUGUGGAUCACCUUUGACGAAGAAAUGUGCAAACACAGCAUCACCUCCACAAGAAGUCGGAAAUGGUGAUGAAGAUGAUGCUGGAGAUGAAUUGACAUGGGAAGCAAUCGUGAUGGGAUAUGGAUGUGGACUGAUAUGUGGUUUGUGAGAUAUAUCGAAGUACUGCAACAGAAGUUGAUGAAAAGAUAUGCAUGAAGAAUGAUACUGGCCGAUCAAGACGAACUUGAAAGUUUGUUGUCCUUGUGGACAUUUCAGCUGAACCAGUAGUGUACUAUUCUCUUUGUGACUGCAUAAGUAUUUUGUAUUGUGUAAUGUUCUGUUUGGGCUUAAAUCAUAAUGAUUUUUCUUGCUUCAGGGGUAUUAAUAUAAAACCGUUUGGUCGGGACUCAUAAUGAUUUCUCUUGCUUCAGGGGUAUUAAUAUCAUCCUUGCUAUCUUGAACAAUGAUAAUGCAAAUUAAAAAGAAUGAAAAAACAAAAAUAUUGCAUCAAACACCUGUUGUACCAAGAUCCAUUAAUUUGCUUUCAUCUCUUACGCAACAAUUUAACAGCACUUCCACACUGUUUGAAAGAUUAUCAUAAAUUCGAGUUUUCCUCUCCAGCACCAAAUCCAAAUUAAUAUACAAUGCCACACAUUCCAGUCUCAGCUUCAGCUCCCAGGGUAGCAUUCAUUUAGCCAAGCACGACAGUGGCCGCUUACGUGCCUAACAAUAACAGUUGGGGAUUUGAGUGAACUUGCCUUGGUCCUGCCUUCAAAUGUCUGACAAUAACAGUUGGAUAUGUCGACAAAAAAAUUGUUCCUCACAGAGGAGCUAAUAGCAAUUGACUUCGAAUAAAUCCGACAGUUCUUUUCAUCCAGUUAUUAUUUCAGCAAUAUGUCUAGCAAAUAUGUAGUGCACUGGACACCAUACUACCAACACAAGUAGUAAAAGGAGAGACCAUUGUUUCGAAUGCUCGGAAAUUUGAACAGGGUUUUUUCCACCUGCCCCCUGACUUUUUACACAAACAGGUCAAGAAAAACAGAAGCCGGCUUCUGGAAAAAUGAAGCACUACUUUAUGAGUGACCAUUGUUUUGAAUGCUCGGAGAUGUGAAGUGGAUUUUUUCAGCCUGCCCCCAGACUUCUUUUUGUAAAACUAGAUUUCUUUAGCUCCGGUGUCUUAGUAUUGGAGAUUAUGAGUGACUGUAGAAAAGACUUUAAUAUGAGUGUGAGAUAUACCCCGGUGGAAACAGGACCUUGAUCCAAAGGGUCACGGGUUCAAACCUCACCUGAUCGGGUUCCACUCCACGCUCGGUCCACAUCUAUGCUGGAUUCAUAUUAAAAUGAUAAUGGAACACGGGCGUCCAUGGUUGGGGAUAUCAUAUUAAAAAGAUUAGCUGGGCACAGAUGAAUAUUUAUAUGGAUUUUAAAAACAAACUAUGACUUAAUAUAAGAAAAAUCAUUAUUUUUUAUUUUUCCGACUAAACAUUUGUUAGCCUUCUCUGGUGCCCAUCCAAAUCAUUCAGCGGGUUCUACUUUCAGCUCAUCACAAGAACAUCAUUCUGCAGGUACUUUCUUAUAUUGUUUGCCAGCGGUGACCGAGCCAGAAACUUUUUCGAGGAGGGGCCGGAAUAGAAAUAUUAUUUAAAUUUGAAAAUAUUAUAUAUCAUAUUGAAAAUAGUAUUAGUAACAAAAAUCCAUUUAUUUUAGGUUUCUAUGAGAAAACUCAGUCGUUUCAUUAAGAAAAUUUAAUUACUUAAUUACCAAACGGUUGAGGAUGAAGAUUUGAAAGAACGAGUUGCAACGGGGAGACUCAUAGACGCGACAGAAAAAAAUAGAAAAAGAUAUUGUUCAACAACCGAGUCUAUAUUAUUAAAAUUUAUGAUAAAUGAGAUAAUUUUAUUUUAUAAACUAACUAAAUACAUAUAAUAUAGUAUUAUAUGUAAUGCUACGUAAAAUUGGAUACAAGAUUUUGCACAAAAUGAUAUGAUAACUAAAGUGAAAUAUUUUAAUUGGUGCUAUUAAUGUAUAUAUACAUUUAUUACAAUUAAAACUUAACACAUAUUAUUAAUUUUGUGAAUAAAAUAUUUUUCUUAAUAAUAUAUAAGUAAAAAAAAUAAAAAUCUAGGAGGGGCUCAGGCCCCCUCUGGACCCCUCUAGCUCCGUCUGUAUACACCUAUCAUAUUAUUGACAGGUGGCUCUCUCAUAUUGCUCACAGGCGAACUCCUGCAUAUACUUUGUGAACCAAUCAUGACAAAAAUAUCAUCAUCCAAUCAAUUCGAUUAAUUAUUCUUUAAAUCAGUACAAAUAUUGUUAAAUAUAUGGAUGAUUAUCGUGUUUCCGCGAACCAAUCAUGAAAUGAAAUUACCUCUGUAUAAAUCCAUCGGAAAUAAGACAAUUAAUGGGGCCGUUUGGGCAAGCUUAAAAGAAGUGACUUCUUGCUUAAACUAGAGAAGUGGAGCAGAAGUGAGAAGUAAAUAAGUUAUUAAAGUGUUUGGAAAAGAAGCAGAAGCUGUGAGACAAAAGCUAGCAUUCUCAGCUUUUUAAAAGUGACUUCUUUACACAAACGGGUAAAAAAAGCAGAAGCCAGAAGCAGCUUCUGCUUCCGUUAAACAAACAGGCCCAAUAUCUCAAUCGAAUACACCCCGUGAGUUGUCAAACUCCUCGAAACGUAUUAAUCACUUUAGAAAUUUGUUCCACUGGCGCCAUUCAGUUCCAGAGUUGGUGGUAGGGGCCGUGCUUCUUGUGUUUCUUCUUUUCAUUAUUGACAUUGUCAUCUAGGUCCUUGCUUCUGGGCUUUGGAGAAGUAAACAAUGGAUCUAUUAGUCUUCCAUAUCGCUGAUACGCGCUAACGCGCAUUAUAGUGGAUUGAUCUUUAUUAGUGAUUUCUGUGGAGAUGCAUAAUCAUUAUAAGCUCCAAUAUAAAAUAAACCUAAUUUAAAGUUAGUAUGGGCAUUUGUGUUGAUAAUUUACGCAAUGUUAACAGGGAUUGCUCCCAAGUCUUGGACGGAUUCUUUCCAAGUCUUCUGAGGACCUAUUUGCACACUAAUUUGUCGCCAACUAAAAAUUCAACGAUAUUGCUAGCUCCCUCUACUAAUUUUUUGCGGGACGUUUUUUACUUUUAACACAUAUCUUUAGAUAGAAUUAGUAUUGUAAAAAGCGGGAAUCAGACUUAAUCGGUGAAGUCACAGAACAACGAUUAAUCGAUGAUUAAUUGGAUUGAUUGGGUAUCAAUCGGAUGAUUAAUGAAAUAAUCGGAUAUUUAAUCCGUUCGACGAGUUACGGAACAGGGAUUAAUCGUGAUUAAUCACCGACUUUUAGAACAGAGGAUAGGAUAAUAAAAUUAUUAUUUUUGAUUAUUUUUUUUGUGAAUAAAAAUUUUGAUUAUAUAUUUUUAUUAAAAAAGAAUUUAAAAUAAUAUUUUUAACUAACCGGUCCAAACAGCUAAAAGUGUGUGCCCAAGCGUCAUAUAAAAACGGAGGGAGCGAGCAUGUGCUGACUAACGGUUCAACUAACAGUUUACAAGUACUCCAUCUGUCCCAUUUAGUCCUAUUUAAUUAUAUACGUUUUUUUUUAACUGUUUGACACGCACUUCAAUGCUCUUCUAAAAUAUGGUUCUAUAACUUAUUUUUAAAAUUUUCUUUUUCUGAAUAAAAAUAUAACAUUCAAACUUUUAUUCAGAAAAAAAUAUCGUAAAAAUAAGUUAUAGAAUUAUAUUUUAUAAGAGCAUUAAAGUCCAUGUCGCGUCCCCGUCUUCUGAUGUAUAAAUUUGCGCAAUGUUAACGGGGAUUGCUCAUUUGCUCUCAAGUCUUGGACGGACCAAGUCUUCUAGGACCCAUCUGCACACUAAUUUGUCUGCCAACUAAAAAAUCAACGAUAUUGCUGCCUCUGCUAUUUUUUACCAGGACGUUUUUUACUUUUAACACAUGUUUAGAUAGGAUAAUAAAUAUUAUUAUUAUUGAUUAAUUUUUUUGUGAAUAAAAAUUUUGAAUAUAUAUUUUUAUCAAAAAAAGAAAAUUUUAAAAAUAAUAUUUUUAAGGGAAAUUAUUAAUGGUACUAUUGUGCUACUGGCUUUUCUAAAUGGUACUAUUUUGGUGUUUUCGACUUACAUGCAUUAUCACUUCCAUUAACGAUACUACCAUUCCGUCCCUCAAAACGUUAAAACCAUUAGUUGACCGUAUUUAUUUUGUAUUUUCCUUGUAAAAAAAACAAAAGAAUACAACUAAUAUUUGUAUUUUUUGUUUGUGUUCAAAUCGUCGAGAUAUGGAAGAGGUUAUCAGAAUUUUAGAAUUGAUUCGAUGUCCUUCAGAAAGUCAGGGGGAAACGGAAUGAGAUACGAGUUUUGAACAAGAAUCCAGUUUAGUUGUUGUUUAUCUUGAAAAACAGAUUUGGAAGUCAUAUAUUUUCAGCCUUUGGCUUCAUGUAUUUCUGUCUCAUCAUUCCCAGAUACUUGCUGAGGUUUAUAGUCACUGUUUAUUAAAUGUUGUCGUACAUUUUCCUGUAUUAUGCACCCAUGUGGCGCCUGUGUUUUGCAUGUCAUGCACAAUUUGCUCAACUACAUACAGGUCACAGGAUGAGUGCAUGUGCCAAAGGGAUUAGUGCAUUGAUCUGUGUAGUGUGAGGACACUGUGAUACAAGGCACAAUUUCUCAGAUUUCUUCUGUCAACACCACUCCCAUCCAUAGCUCCCACCUUUUCUCUCUCAAUCUCAUGUUUCUCUCUUUCUCUCGCAGCUCCGCCGCCACCACUACAUCAGUCUUCAAGAACUCAAGAAAAAAUAUGGAUAUCAGUUAUAUUUUUUGUGUUUUUUAAAGAAGUAUAUGAAAUAAAUAUAGUCAACUAAUGUUUUUAACGUUUUGAUGGACCGAAUGGUAGUAUCAUUAACGGAUCAUAAACUGAGUGGUACCACUUGUAAGUAAAAACCAGUGUUGUAAAAAGCGGGAAUCGGAUUUAAUCGGUGAAGUCACGGAACAAAGAUUAAUCGGAGAUUAAUCGGACUAAUCGGUGAUUAAUCGGAUAUUUAAUCAGUUCGGCGAGCUACGGAACAGGGAUUAAUCGGUCGUGAUUAAUCACCGACUUUUAGAACAGAGGUAAAAACACGAAAUGGUAUUAUUCAUAAAAGCCAAUACCACGAUGGUACCAUUAAUAAUUUCCCUAUUUUUAAUUACCGAGUCCAAAUAUUUAAACGUGUGUGCCCAAAAUUAAAGCCGCAUAUAAAAAAACGGAGGGAGCAUGUACUAACCGUUUCCAUAACAGUUUACAAGUAUAAGUUAUACUCCCUCUCAAUUUUUUUAUUUUUUUAUAUGACGUUUUGAUCUUGGGCACACAUUAUUAAGUGUUUUGACCGGAUAGUUAAAAAUAUUAUUAUUUAAAUUUUCUUUUCUGAAUAAAAAUAUAUAACCAAAAAUUUUAUUCACAAAAAUUUUUAGUGAUUUUUUCGUGAAUACCUAAGGCCAAUUUUUCAAAUAUUUUGUAAAAAUACCAAUUUUUUGAAAAUAUUUGCAAAGAUAAUGUAUUCAACCACAUGCAACCAUACUUAUAACCAGAUGUAACCAUAAUUGCAACCUCUGCGGGACCAAUUAACUGAAUUUGUAUUUGGUUGCACUAGUUAGUAUUUUCUUAAAGUUAGUAUUUUUGUAAAUAUUUUUAAAAAAAAGUAAAAUCGCAAAAAAAAAAAUCGAAAAAAUGGUUUGAUAAAUUUCUAAAUAUUUAAUCACAGAACAAUAACUUUUACAAUCCGAUCAACUCAUUUAAAAAUGUGUGUCAAAAGUAAAAAUGUCAUAUAUAUAUAUAUCAUAUAAAUGUCAUAUAAAUUUAAAACAAAGGGAUNCAUAUAAAUGUCAUAUAAAUUUAAAACAAAGGGAUAUAUAUUUUUUAAUAAAAUAUACUCCCUCUAUCCCAAAUAAGUGUCAGUGACAUUUUGCAAAAAUAGCUUGGGACAAUAGAUUUUUUUGCCACUCAACUUAAUGUGUUUUUAGAAAUUCGCCACCCAACUAAUUUUUUUUUCCUUUUACUCACUAAUGUUAGGUUUGGAUUUUUUUUAGCCACCAACUUAGGUUCGGAUUUGAUUACUAGUAUUAUGAUAAUUUUAUUUAUCACUAAACUUACUGCGUCUUUAGGAAUUAACCACUGAACUAUAAUUUUUUUAUUUUACUCACUAAUGUUAGGUUCAUUUUUUUUGUCACUGAAGUUAGGUUCGGAUUUGAUUAUUAGCAUUAUAUUAAUUAUGUGUAACAUUAUUAAAAUAUAGUGGUCUAUAAUAUUUUGAUGAUUUGGUAUAUGUCUGUAUCUUUAUAUAUAGUACUUUUUAUGUCUCCAAUGUCGUUUAACUUGAGUGGUAAGAAUUUUACACGCAUUUUAUGGCUUUUAAAAGAUGUAGUUUCAUAAAUAAUUUUAUUUUUUUCUUCCGAAUAAAAAUUCAGCGUUUUACACACAAAAAAAUAACAAAAAAAAGUUAUGAAGCUAUGUUUUAUAAGAGUCUUAAAAUACGUGCUAAGCAGUAGAAAAAACUGUAAACUAAUGAGAGGGACAUGUAGUAAUAAUAAUAAAAUGAUGCAUUAUAGAGGACAAUCAUCGAAAAUUAAGUUAACCUCUCUAUUUAUUUAUCUUGAAAAUUGUAGUAAAAUAAAGUUAUUAAAAUUUAUGAAGAUAAAUUUGAGAGAGAUCUUGGACUGAGCUAGUCAAUUGAAACUUUAAUAGCGAAAGAUGAUGCAUCAUAUCAAUCAAUUACACUUUAUCUUCUUAUCAUCAGGGAGGGUGAAUUGUUUGAAGUCAUUGAUUUCAUAUUCAUGAUUUAUUGAAUUUUAGAAUUCUAAUUACGAUUUUUCCUGGUUUUAAUUUUUCAUCGGCUCAUUUUAUAUUAUUUUUGUUAUAUAUAAGGAUAUAAACAUACGACACAUCAUCAAAAUAUUACAUACUAUCACUAUGUAUAAAUGAUGCGACAAAAAUUAUCAUAAUGCUAGUAAUUAAAUCCGAACCUGAGUAGUGGCUAAAAAAAAAUCCAAACCUAAUAUUAAUGGUAAAAGGAAAAAAAAAAUAGUUAGGUGGCAAGUUUCUAAAAACACUAUAAAUUGAGUGGCAAAAAAAAUCUAUUUUCCAAACAUAGCUUGGGGUAAUAACAAAACCUUAAUCAACGCAAGCACAGCAGACCGCAGGCAUAAGGCUUAUAAAUAGAAGUGCAGUAUUGUGUUGAUGGUCAAGUUGAGUGGAAAUAUGGUACACUUUGUAAAGCCUUGUUAUCCUCUUCUCUUUGUUUUCUUUCUCUCAUUACUUCAAUCCAUUCUAACAACACUACCUGAAUCCAGACGAGAGGGAGAAGCUCUUGUGAAAUGGAAGAAUAGCCUAGCCCCGUCUUCUUUUCUCGACUCUUGGUCACUCACUGAUCUCGAUAAUCUUUGUAACUGGACUGGCAUUACUUGUAACUCUGCAGGUUCAGUCUCGGAGAUUAACCUUUGUGAGAAACAACUUGAUGGAAUGCUGUCCGAGUUUGGUUUCACUUCAUUUCCAGAUCUCAACUAUCUCACCCUCGCAGACAACUUCUUCUCGGGUCCGAUACCAUCAGCCAUUGAGAAUCUAACACAGCUUCAAUAUCUUGAUUUAAGCAUGAAUAGUCUCAAUGGUCCCAUUCCUUUCCAGGUUAGCCAUAUUCAGAGCUUGCUCAUCUUAAACCUGUCACACAAUGCAUUGCAAUCUCCAAAUUGGUCCCAUUGCUCUCCCAUGCCUGUCUUGCGCAUCCUCGACCUUAGUUUUAAUAAUCUUGUGUCGAAAUUCCCAGAAUUUAUAUCCAAUUCUCAUAGCCUGACUCACCUUAACCUUUCAGAUAACAAGUUUACUGGUGAUCUUGUGCGUGAAUUUACCAAUCUACAAAAUCUUGAAACCCUCUACCUUCAAGAUAAUUCUUUUGAGGGGCCGUUUCCGCCUGAUAUAGUCCAGCUUUCCAAAUUAAAACGUCUCGCCCUGUUAGGUAACAAAUUUUCAGGUUCAAUUCCCAAUGACAUAAGGUUGCUUUGUGUUCUUGAAUACCUAUAUUUAGGCAACAAUUCCUUUGAAGGACCACUUCCACCAAAUAUAUUCACGCUUUCAAAAUUAAAAUUACUUGUUCUUUGGGGUAAUAAGUUUUCAGGUUCUAUUUCCAAUGAUAUAGGUUUGCUUUCUGAGCUUGAAACCCUCGUUCUUGACUCUAAUUAUUUUGAGGGGCCACUUCCGCCAAAUAUAUUCAAGCUCUCUAAAUUAAAGGUUUUUUCCCUUGUGUACAAUAACUUUUCAGGUUCUGUUUCCAAUGAUAUAGGUUUGCUUUCUGAGCUUGAAUAUCUCCGUAUUGGCUGCAAUUCUUUCGAGGGACCGUUGCCAACAAAUAUAUUCAAGCUUUCCAAAUUAAGUAAACUUGACCUAUCAAAUAAUAGUAAUUUUUUUGAAGGAAGUAUUCUUAUUGGAUUGGGACUCUUGACUAACCUCAGCUACUUAGAUCUAGAUUCCAAUAAUCUCAGUGGCUAUAUUCCAUCUGAGAUUGGAAACCUGAAGCUACUAGUAUUUCUCGAUCUUAGUUCUAAUCAAUUGACUGGAUCGCUUUCAAAGAUCUUUUCUAAUCUCACAAAUCUUAUAUAUCUUCAUGUAUAUGAUAAUAGUCUUAGUGGAAAUAUUCAGAGUGACUUGUGGAAAAACUCUGUAUCCUUGCGUUUCGUUGAUCUUGCAAAUAAUUAUUUGUCUGGAAACAUCCCUAAGGAAUAUAACGAUCAUCCAACUUUGGAAUACAUUAAUUUAAGUUGGAACCAUUUUACAGGUAUAUUUUCUCUAUAUAUCUUUUCCUUUUCUNCUCAUAUGUAACUAAGCUUGAUUAUUGCAAUUUUACCUAAGUUUCAACAAUCUUGACAGGUGAGCUUCCAACAACAAUUUGCAAUGUCACUUCCCUCUCGGUUCUUGUUUUGUCAAAGAAUGGAUUAAGUGGUCCACUUCCAAAUUGUUUCGGAAAUCUUGCUGAUAGAUUGCUUUCCAUUAAUCUUGCUAAUAAUCAGUUCCGAGGAACAAUACCAACUACUUUCUCCAGCAGUUGUCAGCUGACAUAUCUAAACAUGGAUGAUAAUGAGUUUGAAGGAAUGUUGCCUCAAUCUUUGGCGAAAUGUAAGCACUUGAAAAUUCUUGAUAUUGGCAAUAACAAAAUAGGUGGUAUAUUUCCGUCAUGGCUUUAUGUACUUGGAGAGCUAGAAGUCCUUGUCUUGCGAUCAAAUAAACUCUAUGGUACAAUAAGUGGAAGGAGCAUAGAAGAUCCGUUCCCCAAGUUGCGGAUUGUGGAUCUGUCCAACAAUCAAUUCACCGGCCAGUUGCCAAUUCAAUACUUUAAGAAUAUGAAAUCAACUGAUAAUUUGUAUCGUUAUCGGAAUUCCACAGGACCAUUAUCUUUCUCUUAUGAAGCAGCAGUCUCAUUAACUGUGAAGGGAACAGAGUACGAGGUAGCAAAGAACCUUCAUAUUUACACAGCCAUUGACCUGUCAUGCAACAAAUUUCAGGGAGAAAUUCCAAAGGUUACUGGAGAGCUUAGAUGGCUUGCAUUGCUGAAUUUAUCUCAUAAUAGUCUGACAGGACCUAUCCCAUCCUUGCUGAAAAAUAUGAAAGAACUCCAAUCUUUAGAUUUGUCCUCAAAUCAACUGACAGGGGCUAUUCCACCUCAGUUAACUGCAUUGACAUUUCUGGAGGUCUUCAACCUCUCGGGAAACCAUCUUAGUGGAGAGAUUCCUCAGAAAGGACAGUUCAGCACAUUUAACAAUGAUUCUUAUCUAGGAAACUCCGCGUUAUGUGGAUCACCUUUGACAAAGAAAUGUGCAAACACAGCAUCACCUCCACAAGAAGUCGGAAAUGGUGAUGAAGAUGAUGCUGGUGAUGAAUGGACAUGGGAAGCAAUCGUGAUGGGAUAUGGAUGUGGACUGAUAUGUGGAUUGUCAUCUGCGUACAUUGUUCUCAAACUAGGAAAGCCUUGGUGGUUUGUGAGAUAUAUCGAAGUGCUGCAACUGAAGUUGAUGAAAAGAUAUGCUUGAAAAAUGGUACUGGCCGAUCAAGACGAACUUGAAAGUUGUUGUCCUUGUGGACAUUUCUGAACCAGUAGUGUACUAGCUGCAUAAGUAUUUGGUAUUAUGUAAUAAUCCGUUUGGUCAGGACUCAUAAUGAUUUCUCUUGCUUCAGGGGUAUUAAUAUUAACCUUGCUAGUUAAUUCAAAUUAAAACAAAUAUAAAAUCAAAAAAUUUGCAUCAAACACCUGUUAUACCAACAUCCAUUAAUUUGCUUUCAUCUCUUACGUAACAAUUUAACAGCGAUUCCACACUGUUUUAGGCAUGGAGAUUACACAAAGAAGGCAAGUCCAUGGACUAAUAUACGAACAAUUCAUAUUGGUCUUCCAUCUGUUCAACCGUCUCCCGAAGAUAGGCCAAAAAUGUCAUCUGUGGUUCUUAUCUUUGUCAGUAAAGGAGAAUCUCUGAUGCCUAUACAACCUGGUUUUCUUACCGAAAGGAAUGUAGGUGAAACCAGGGGCAUAAAAUGAAUCGGGACUAAAAUCUGCUAAAAUGAUAAUUAUUUACUCAUCAUUCGAGAUUAGUCGGGCUCGAAUGAAGAUUUAUAUGGAUUUUAAGAACAAACUAUGACUAAAUAUGAAAAAAUCAUUAAUUUUUCCGACUCAAUAUUUUUAGCCUCCCCCGGCCCUGGGUGAAACCAUAAGCUUCUCUGGUGCACAUCCAAAUCAUUCAGCUGGUUCUACAUUCAGCUCACCCACAGGAACAUCAUUCUGCAGGUACUCUCUUAUCUGUACUUUCUUAUAUUGUAUGCCAGAAAAUUUAAUAUCGACAAACUGCACAAUACACCUCGAUCUCAUAUUAUUGACAGGUGAGCUCCUCUCAUAAUGCUCACAGGCGAACUCCUGCAUAUAUACUUUGUGAUGUCAUUGAUGAUCGAUAGGCUUGAAAAAAAAUUAUGACAAAGAUUCAUAAAAUAUCUACUUCCAUCCUAAUUCAGUAUUCAAUAUUAUUCAUUCCGUAUCAUCAUCCAAUCAAUUCUAAUAGUUCUUCUUUAAAUCAGUAUAAAUAUUGUUAAAUAUAUUGAUGAUGGUUGUCUUUCCGCGAACCAAUCAUAAAAUUACCUCUGUAUAAAUCCAUCGGAAAUAAGACAGUUAAUAUCCCAAUCGAAUACACCCCUGUCAGUUGUCAAACUCCUCGAAACGUAUUAAUCACUUUAGAAAAUUUGUUCCACUGGCGCUAGUCAGUCCCAGAGUUGGUGGUGGGUGCUUCUGGGCUUUCGAAAAGCACCCAUUUACUCCAUUGUUUAGAGAAGUAAAACCCCACCUUCCGCUCAUUUGAUUGAUCAGCUGAAUUAGGCAGAGUUUACAUGGUCAUGAUCAUAGUCUCCCAUUUCCCAGAUACGCGCAUUAUAGUGGAUUUAUCUUUAUCAGUAAUUUCUGUGGAGAUGCAUAAUCAUUAUAAACUCCAAUAUAAAAAUUUAAAGUUGGUAUGGGCAUUUGUGUUGAUAAUUUGCGCAAUGUUAACAGGAAUUGCUCCCAAGUCUUGGACGGACUCUUUCAAAGUCUUCUGAGGACCCAUCUGCACACUAAUUUGUCUCCCAACUAAAAAAUCAACAAUAUGUUACUCCCUCCGUUUUUCUUAAACGAGGUUAAAAUUUUUGACACAAGAUGGGUUGACAGUAUAAUAAAAAUUUUUGUGAAUAAAAUUUUUUUUAUUUAGAAAGAUAAUCUUGAAAAUAAUAUUAUUAACUAAGUUAAAUCACUUAAAAGUGUAUGUCCAAAAAUUAAAGCGGCAUAUAAAAAAAAGGGAGGGAGCAUGUACUAACUGUUUCCAUAACAGUUUACAAGUAUAAGUUAUACUCCCUCUCUAUUUUUUUAUAUGACGGUUUGAUUUUGGGCACACAUUUUUAAGUGUUUUGACCAGAUAAUUAAAAGGGGUUUUCUCAUAAAUACCUAAGUCUAAAAUUAUUUUUACGAAAAUAUUAUAUCUUUUUUUAAAUAUUUUGCAAAAAUACCAAACUUUGUAAAUAUUUACAAAAAUACGGUAUGCAACCCGUUGCAACCACAUGCAACCUUACUUGCAACCAUAUUUGCAACCCCUGCGGGGUCAAUUAACUGAAAUUGCAUCUGGUUGCGUUUAGUUGCAGACCGUAUUUUUGCAAAUAUUUUCUAAAAAGUUAGUAUAUUUGCAAUUUUUUUAAAAAUAUAAGAAAAUCGCAAAAAUUAUAACAAAGCUUCAAGAUUUUUAACAGGUGAGCUUCCACUAAAAAUUUGCAAAGUCACUUCCCUUUCGCGUCUCAUUAUGUCAGAUAUUGGUCAAGUGGUGCACUUCCACAGUGUUUGGGGAACCUUUCUUUGCUUGGUUUCAAUAAUCUUGCUAAUAAUCAAUUUCAAGGACCAAUACCAACGACUGUCCAAGACUUGUCUGUGCAUAUCUAAACAUCCAUAACAAUCACUUUGAAGGUUUGUUGCUCCAAUCUUUGGCAAACUGUAAACACUUACAAAUUCUUGAUAUUGGAAACAACAAAAUAGGUGGUACAUUUCCGUCAUGGCUAUUUACUGUUGGAGAGCUAGAUGUCCUAGUUAGGACGGUAUUUCGACUAGAGCAAGCCGAGUUUUGAGCGGAGCCCAAUUCGAGCCAAGUUUAAUCGAGUCGAGCCGAGUCAGUUCGUUUGGCUAAUCGAGCCUAAAACUCUGUCCGAACUCGACUCGUUUAAUUUCACGAGUUGAGUCAAGCCAGCUCAUUUAGCUAAACGAGUUGGUUUUAACGAGUUAAACGAGUGAGCUCGUAUAAUUUUAACUUAAUCGAGCCUGGAUCUCUAUCCGAACUAUUGGCUCGUGUAAUUUCGCGAGUCGAAUCGAGCCGGCUCGUUUUAUUAAACAAACCGAAAUUUUUGCCCAAAUUUUGCUCGUUUAACAAGCCGAUCUGAACCUAGUUAAAUGAGUUCGAGCUAGUCGAGCUCGCAGCUUGCGAGCUCGCCGGACAGCUCUAGUACUAGUCUUGCGAUCAAAUAGGUUUCACGGUAUAGAAAGUGGAAGGAACACAAGGCAUCUGUACUUUCUUGUACUGUAUGCCACUUUGACAGUAAAAUUUAUACUCCCUCCGUCCGAAUGAAUUGUAUACAGUUUACUUUUUGGGACGUCCCAUCAAUUGUAUACAUUCCUAAAGUAGUAAACUUUUAUAAUAUAAAACAUCAUUAAACCAACUACUUUCUUCCCCUAUCUCCAUUCUAUAAUAAUAUAAACACUAUUACACCCACUACUUUCCUCCACUAUCUCAAAUUUAUUAUUAAAUAUAAAUGGGUCCCACCACUAUACUCACUUUUCAUCCAACUUUACUCAUUUCUAAUAAAAUUUCUUGGUCUCCGUGUCCCAGCCAUUUGUAUACAAAUGACUGGGACGGAGGGAGUAUCAACAAACUGCACGAUUAAAUCCUCGUACAAUUGACAGGUGAACUCCUGCAUAUGUUCUGAACUAUUACGUACUAUAUUAUGCAAGCUGUUUGCAACUUUCAUCAAAAUUUUCAAACAUUUCUUAAUAUGUUUUUUCAAAAAAUUCUCGGGCCCUCUUAAGGCCUAUUAUUAUUGCAACUCUCACGUUAUGGACCACUAUGUAUUUUACAAGCACGACGAAUCAUGUGGUCAUUAUGGACUCCCCAAGCCUUCGAGGACUCACUCCAGGUCUUAGGAGGACCACUGCCUAGCUCACCCUUUCGGAGUGAUGUAAAUUAUUUUCUAGACACUAAAAAUAAGUAUUCAGAUUAAUCAUUACAAAAUUAAGGAUAUAAAAUCAGAAUAAAUCCUAAACUUUGAUGAUACAAAAAAAUUAUAAUUGUAAAUUAUACAAUCAAAUUAAAAUCGAAUUAACUUCCCUCACACUUAAAAUUUAUAGCGAUCAAAUCAAAAUCGAAUUAACUUUCCUAUUACUAAAAUAUAAUUACAAUAUUAUUAGAUAAAGAGAAUAUAUAAUAAUCAAGAGAAAAUAGAUUUUUUUUUGCCACUCAACUUAUCGUGUUUUAAGAAACUUACCACCCAACUAAAUUUUUUUUCCUUUUGCUCACUAAUGUUAGGUUUGGAUUUGUUUUUAGCCACCAACUAAGGUUCGGAUUUGAUUACCAGCAUUAUGAUAAUUUUUUUUGUCACUAAACUUAUUGCGUCUUUAGAAACUAACCACUCAACUAAAUUUUUUUUUAUUUUACUCACUAAUGUUAGGUUCAGUUUUUUUUUGUCACUGAAGUUAGGUUCGGAUUUGAUUAUUAGCAUUACAUUAAUUCUGUGUAGCAUUUUUAAAAUAUGGUAGUACUCUGUGAUAUUUAGAUGAUUUGAUAUAUGUCUGUAUUUUUAUAUAUAGUAUAUUUUAUGUCUCCAAGAUCAUUUACCUUGGGUCAUAAGAAUUUUACACGCAUUAUAUGACUUUUAAAAGAUGUAGUGUCAUAAAUAAUUUUAUUUUUUUUUCCGAAUUAAAAUUCAGCAUUUGAAUUUUACACACACAAAAAUCGCAAGAAUAAGUUAUGAAAUUAUGCUUUAUAAGAGUCUUAAAAUACGUGCUAAACGGUAGAAAAAACGGUGAAAUAAUGAGAGGUACAUAGGAGUAAUAAUAACAUAAAAUGAUGCACAAGUUAGUAUAUUGGACUAAUAUUCACGCAUUUAUAUACGAGAAUAUAUGGUCCACAAGUUAGUGCACAAUGUCCAAGAAUCUUUAUCAAAGUAACACGGCAAGCAUGCAGCAUAUAAAUAAGAGUGGGCAGUAUGGUAUUGCAUUCAUAACCCACUUGAGGAGAAAUAUGGCACACUUCCUAAAGCCUUCUCACCUUCUUCUCUUUGUUUUCUCUCUCUCGUUACUUCAAUCCAUUCUACCAACAAGACCAGAGGGAGAAGCUCUUGUGAAAUGGAAGAAUAGCCUAGCCCCUUCUUCUUUUCUCGAUUCUUGGUCACUCACCAAUCUCGAUGAUCUUUGUAACUGGACUGGCAUUACUUGUAACUCUGCAGGUUCAGUCUCUGAGAUUAACCUUUAUGAGAAACAACUUGAUGGAAUGCUGUCCGAGUUUGGCUUCACUUCAUUUCCGAAUCUCAACAAUCUCACCCUCGCAUACAACUUCUUCUCGGGUCCAAUUCCACCAGCCAUUGAGAAUUUAACACAGCUUCAAUAUCUUGAUUUAAGCAUCAAUAGUCUCGAUGGUCCCAUUCCGUUCCAGGUUAGCCAUCUUCAGAGGUUGCUCGUCUUAAACCUGUCACAGAAUGCAUUGCAAGCUCCAAAUUGGUCCAAAUUCUCCCCCAUGCCCUUUUUGUGCAUCCUCAACCUCAGUAGCAAUCCUCUUGCGUCGACAUUCCCAAAUUUCAUAUCCAAUUCUCAUGGCCUGACUCACCUCAGCCUUGAUCAAAACGAGUUUACAGGUGAUUUAGCGCGUGAAUCAAUAUUUGCCAAUCUGCAUAAUCUUGAAGUCCUCAGUCUUGUUGGCAAUUCUUUUGAGGGGGCCAUUUCCGCCAAAUAUAUUCAAGCUUUCCAAAUUAAAACAUCUUAGCCUGUCAGAUAACAAACUUUCAGGUUCAAUUCCCAAUGACAUAAGGUUGCUUUGUGAUCUUGAAUACCUAUAUUUAGGCAACAAUUCCUUUGAAGGACCGCUUCCACCAAAUAUAUUCAAGCUUUCAAAAUUAAAACAUCUUAUUCUUUGGGGUAAUAAGUUUUCAGGUUCUGUUUCCAACGAUAUAGGUUUGCUUUCUGAGCUUGAAAGCCUCUAUCUUGACUCCAAUUUUUUUGAGGGGCCGCUUCCGCCAAAUUUAUUCAAGCUCUCCAAACUAAAGAUUCUUUUCCUUUAUGAGAAUAACUUUUCAGGUUUUAUUUCUAAGGAUAUAGGUUUGCUUUUUGAACUUGAAACCCUCUAUCUUGACUCUAAUUUUUUUGAGGGGCCGCUUCCCCCACAUGUAUUUAGGCUCUCCAAAUUAAGAGAUCUGGGUCUCUCAGACAAUAGAAAUUUAUUUGAAGGAAGUAUUCCUAUUGGACUGGGACUCUUGACUAACCUCAGAUACUUGCGUCUAUCUUCCAAUAAUCUCGGUGGCUAUAUUCCAUCUGACAUUGGAAACCUGAAGCAACUAGAACUUCUUGAUCUCGGUUCUAAUCAAUUGACUGGACCGCUUUCAAAGAUCGUUUCUAAUCUCACAAAUCUUAUAUAUCUUGAUGUGAGUUAUAAUAGUCUUAGUGGAAAUAUUCAGAGUGACUGGUGGAAAAACUCUGUAUCCUUACGUUACAUUGAUUUUGAAAAUAAUUAUUUGUCUGGGAACAUUCCUAAGGAAUAUAACGAUCAUCCAACUUUGGAAUACAUCAAUUUAGGUGGGAACCAUUUUACAGGUAUAUUUUCUCUAUAUAUCUUUUCCUUUUGUCAUAUGUAAAUAAGCUAGUAAUCUGGUUAUUGUAGUUUUACCAAAGUUUCAACAAUCUUGACAGGUGAGCUUCCAACAACAAUUUGCAAUGCCACUUCCCUUUCGGUUCUUGUUUUGUCAAAUAAUGGAUUAAGUGGUGCACUUCCAAAAUGUUUCGGGAAUCUUGCUGAUGGAUUGCUUUACAUUAAUCUUGCUAAUAAUCAGUUUCGAGGAACAAUACCAACUACUUUCUCCAGGAGUUGUCGGUUGACAUAUCUAAACAUGGAUAAUAAUGAGUUUGAAGGAUUGUUGCCCCCAUCUUUGGCGAACUGUAAGCACUUGAAAAUUCUUGAUAUAGGCAAUAAUAAAAUAGGUGGUACAUUUCCGUCAUGGCUUUAUGCACUUGGAGAGCUAGAAGUUCUUGUCUUGCGAUCAAAUAAACUCUAUGGUACGAUAAGUGGAAGGAGCAUAGAAGAUCCCUUCCCAAAGUUGCGGAUUGUGGAUCUGUCCCACAAUCAAUUGACAGGCUAUUUGCCAAUUCAAUACUUUAAGAAUAUGAAAUCAACUGAUGAUUUGUAUAGUUUCCGGAAUUCCACAGGAACCGCAUCUAUCUCUUAUGAAGCAUCGGUCUCAUUAACCGUGAAGGGAACAGAGUAUGAAGUAGCAAAUAACCUUCAUAUUUACACAGCCAUUGAUCUAUCGUGCAACAAAUUUCAGGGACAAAUUCCAAAGGUUACUGGAGAGCUUAAAUGGCUGGCAUUGCUCAACUUAUCUCAUAAUAGUCUAACAGGACCUAUCCCGUCAUUGCUGAGAAAUAUGAAAGAACUCCAGUCUUUAGAUUUGUCUUCAAAUCAACUAACAGGGGCUAUUCCACCUCAGUUAACUGCACUGACAUUUCUAGAGGUCUUGAACUUCUCGGGAAACCAUCUUAGUGGAGAGAUUCCUCAGAAAGGACAGUUCAGCACAUUCAACAAUGAUUCCUAUCUAGGAAACUCUGCGUUAUGUGGAUCACCUUUGACGAAGAAAUGUGUAAACACUGUAUCACCUCCUCAGGAAGUCGAAAAUGGUGAUGAAGAUGAUGCUGGUGAUGAAUUGACAUGGGAAGCAAUCGUGAUGGGAUAUGGAUGUGGACUGAUAUGUGGAUUGUCAUCUGCGUACAUUGUUCUCAAACUAGGAAAGCCUUGGUGGUUUGUGAGAUAUAUCGAAGUACUGCAACUGAAGUUGAUGAAAAGAUAUGCAUGAAGAAAGGUACUGGUAGAUCAAGAUGAACUUGAAAGUUGUUGUCCUGGUAGACAUUUCUGAACCAGUAGUAUACUAGCUGUGUAAGUAUUUGGUAUUAUGUAAUAAUCCGUUUGGUCGGGACUCAAAAUGAUUUCUCUUGCUUCAGGGGUAUUAAUAUUAACCUUGCUAUCUUGAUCAAUGUUAAUGCAAAUUAAAAAGAAUAUAAAAGCAAAAAAUUUGCAUCAAACACCUGUUGUACCACAGGCUUCCGACUCAAUAUUUGUUAGCCUCCCGUGCCCUGUGUGAAACCAUAAGCUUCUCUGGUGAAUAUCCAAAUCAUUCAGCUGGUUCUACUUUCAGCUCACCGCAGGAACAUCAUUCUGCAGGUACUCUCUUAUCUGUACUUUCUUAUAUUGUAUGCCAGAAAAUUUAAUAUCGACAAACUGCACAAUACACCUCGAUCUCAUAUUAUUGACAGGUGAGCUCCUCUCAUAAUGCUCACAGGCGAACUCCUGCAUAUACUUUGUGAUGUCAUUGAUGAUCGAUAGACUUGAAAAAAAAUUAUGACAAAGAUUCAUAAAAUAUCUACUUCCAUCCUAAUUCAGUAUUCAAUAUUAUGCAUUCCGUAUCAUCAUCCAAUCAAUUCUAAUAGUUCUUCUUUAAAUCAGGACAAAUAUUGUUAAAUACAUGGAUGAUGGUUGUCUUUCCGCGAACCAAUCAUGAAAUUACCUCUGUUUAAAUCCGUCGAAAAUAAGAAAAUUAAUAUCCCAAUCGAAUACACCCCGUGAGUUGUCAAACUCCUCGAAACAUAUUAAUCACUUUAGAAAAUUUCAACAAUCUUGACAGGUGAGCUUCCAACAACAAUUUGCAAUGUCACCUCCCUUUCGGUUCUUGUUUUGUCAAAUAAUAAAUUAAGUGGUGCACUUCCAAACUGUUUCGGGAAUCUUGCUGAUGGAUUGCUUUACAUUAAUCUUGCUAAUAAUCAGUUUCAAGGAACAAUACCAACUACUUUCUCCAGGAGUUGUCCGUUGACAUAUCUAAACAUGGAUAAUAAUGAGUUUGAAGGAUUGAUGCCCCCAUCUUUGGCGAACUGUAAGCACUUGAAAAUUCUUGAUAUAGGCAAUAAUAAAAUAGGUGGUACAUUUCCGUCAUGGAUUUAUGCACUUGGAGAGCUAGAAGUUCUUGUCUUGCGAUCAAAUAAACUCUAUGGUACAAUAAGUGGAAGGAGCAUAGAAGAUCCCUUCCCCAAGUUGCGGAUUGUGGAUCUGUCCAACAAUCAAUUCACAGGCCAUUUGCCAAUUCAAUACUUUAAGAAUAUGAAAUCAAAUGAUAAUUUGUAUCGUUAUCUGAAUUCCACAGGAGAAAUAUAUAUCUCUUAUGAAGCAGCAGUCUCAUUAACUGCGAAGGGAACAGAGUAUGAAGUAGCAAAUAACCUUCAUAUUUACACAGCCAUUGAUCUGUCGUGCAACAAAUUUCAGGGAGAAAUUCCAAAGGUUACCGGAGAGCUUAGAUAGCUUGCAUUGCUCAAUUUAUCGCAUAAUAGUCUAACGGGACCUAUCCCAUCAUUGCUGAGAAAUAUGAAAGAACUCCAAUCUUUAGAUUUGUCCUCAAAUCAACUGACAGGGGCCAUUCCACCUCAGUUAACUGCAUUGACAUUUCUAAAGGUCUUAAAUCUCUCGAAAAACCAUCUCAGUGGAGAGAUUCCUCAGGAAGGACAGUUCAGCACAUUCAACAAUGAUUCUUAUCUAGGAAACUCCGCGUUAUGUGGAUUACGUCUGACAAAGAAAUGUGCAAACACAGCAUCACCACCACAAGAAGUCGGAAAUGGUGAUGAAGAUGAUGCUGGUGAUGAAUUGACAUGGGAAGCAAUUGUGAUGGGAUAUGGAUGUGGACUGAUAUGUGGAUUAUCAUCUGCGUACCUUGUUUUCAAACUAGGAAAGCCUUGGUGGUUUGUGAGAUAUAUCGAAGUACUGCAACUGAAGUUGAUGAAAAGAUAUGCAUGAAGAAUGGUACUGGCCGAUCAAGACGAACUUGAAAGUUGGUCCUUGUGGACAUUUCAGCUGAACCAGUAGGUACUAUUCUCUUUGUGACUGCAUAAGUAUUUUGUAUUGUGUAAUGUUCUGUUUGGUCUUAAAUCAUAAUGAUUUUUCUUGCUUCAGGGGUAUUAAUAUAAAACUUGGUAUUGUGUACUAGCUGUAAUAUUCCGUUUAAUCAAUGUUAAUACCUGUAAUUUUAUGCUCCUGACUGCAUCAUGCAGCUCUCAUAUUAUCUUCAUAUGUGUAUUUAUUUGGAUAUUGAAGUUGCAUGGACAUAUGGAUAUGUGUUAACGGGGAUUGCUCCCAAGUCUUGGACGGACUCUUUCCAAGUCUUCCGAGAUCCUAUUGGUUCAAAUUAGUCCAAUUUGAACUGCCAUCAAAUGCAACUCUGUAGAUUCUGUCUCUGAGAUUAACCUUUCAGGACAUCAGCUCAAUGGUACACUUGCUGAAUUCAGUUUCGUUUAAUUUCCGAAUCUACAAAUUAAGCUACAAUAACUUCACUUGUCCAAUACCCCCAGACAUUGGAAAUUUAACAGAGCUGCAACACCUUGAUUUUAGCUCUAAUAAACUCACUGCUGCAAUUCCGGACCAGGUAAGCCAUCUUCAAACAUUGCGGACCUUAAACCUGUAGGAUAAUCAACUUGGAAGCUCCAAACUGGUCCGCUUUUUCCCCUAUGCCUUCUCUGACAAACCUCUGUCUCAAUAAUAAUAAUCUUUCGUCGAAAUUCCAAGACUUCAUAUUAAAUUGUGGUAACCUGACUUACUUUGAUCUUUCAUUAAAUAUGUUAACAGGUAAUUUGGUUCCUUCAUCAAUUUUUAGAAAUUUGUAUAAUCUUGAAUUCCUUUAUCUUUCUAGCAAUUAUUUUGAGGGGCCUUUCCCGCCANNNNNNNNNNNNNNNNNNNNNNNNNNNNNNNNNNNNNNNNNNNNNNNNNNNNNNNNNNNNNNNNNNNNNNNNNNNNNNNNNNNNNNNNNNNNNNNNNNNNNNNNNNNNNNNNNNNNNNNNNNNNNNNNNNNNNNNNNNNNNNNNNNNNNNNNNNNNNNNNNNNNNNNNNUUUCCCUAUCAUAUAAUAGAUUUUCAGGUUCUAUUUCCAUAUGAUAUAGGAAUGCUUCGUGUUUUGGAAUCCCUUUUUUUAGUAGUAGUUCUUUUAAUGGCCCACCUCCACCAAAUUUAUUUAAAUUUUCUAAAUUAAAAGUUUUUUCCCUAUCAUUAAUAACUUUUCGGGUUCUAUUCGAAAUGAAACAGGGAUGCUUCAUGAUUUAGAGUCCCUCUAUCUUAAUGAACAUUCUUUUAAGGGGCCGUUUCCACCAAAUAUAUUCAACCUUUCCAAAUUAAAAGUUCUUAAUUACCUCUCAAAUAAUUCCUUUUCAGGUUCAGUUCCUAGUGAUAUAAGUGUGCUUCGUGAUCUUGAGAUACUUAAUUUGUCCUCUAAUUCUUUUGAAGGAAUUAUCCCAUUGGAGCUUGGGUUCUUGAAUAACGUGAGCUAUUAUUAUAUCUUGAUUCCACUCAAUUGACUGGACCGCUUUUGAAGAACAUUUAUAAUCUCAGUAAUUUUUUGUGUUGGCUUGAAUGGAUCAUUCCAUUCCCUCCAAAACUCAUUCCGUUCAUGUCAACCAAACAGAGCAUCAAUUACUAGUUACUGGGAAAUGCAUUAGCCUAAAUGUUCCUGGUUCAUUGUUACCGGUAUUUCUUAACUGCUGUGAUUGCAAAUUCAGUUGCAGAUUGUUCAUAUAUAUCUAGAGAGACCUGACAUAACUUUAGCCUCUGAUAUACAGCUUCCUUUCACAGUUGUGCCUAUUCACCUAGACGCGUUUUUAACUGCAUAAUGUUGGGUCAACUUCCGACCAUUUAUUUUCUCAUUUGAAAUUAGUGUAUUAAAGUUCGACUUUAAGAAAAUAUAUAGUUUUGUUAAACAAAAAUUCCAAAAGGUUUGGUACGUUUUGAGCUGGGACUUUGAAAUUGUUUGUCGUUAAAGAUGAAGAUUCACUUUUUAAGUUAUAUUAAUCUGUAGUGGUAGACUGGUAGUUUUUCUUUAUUGCUACUUUCCUUGUGCGUUCUUUAUAUUGAUUUAUUAUUUAAUUCGUAAAGUGUUGCGAACUACAUUCCUGCAAAAGUAAAAUCAGUGGAAUUUGUUUGAUAGCAUGAUGAAUAUUUAAAGGGGUUAAUUAUCAAAUUGGUCACUGAAGUGACUUUAAUGUAUCAAGUUGGUCACUGAACUCAAAACGGUAUUAAGAUAGUCACUGAAGUGGACAUAAAUAUCAAACAGGUACCUUGAAAUAUAAGUUCAAGCAGUAAAGAUAUUAUUUAUAAAAUUUUACACAUUAUUUUUAAAUGUUACCACAACCAACUAAAAGGUUAUGACUUCUAGUAUUUAAAUUAAUAUAUUUAUUUUAUCAAGUUUAUUUAUUAUUUAUAUUUUAUUAUAUAGUUAUUUUCUUUGUUUUAAUUAAAAAUAAAUAAUAAAUAAACUUGAUAAUAUCUAAAUAUAUUAUCAUAAAUAUUAGAAUUCAUAACCUUUUACUUGGUCUAGGUAACAUUCAAAAAUAAUGUGUAAAACUUUAUAAAUAAUAUUAUCUUUAUAUUCUUUCCUUUUCUAUGUACCUAUGCUAAUUAUCUGAUUAUUAAAAUUAUAACAAAGCUUCAAGAUUUUUAACAGGUGAGCUUCCACUAAAAAUUUGCAAAGUCACUUCCCUUUCGCGUCUCAUUAUGUCAGAUAUUGGAAACAACAAAUAGGUGGUACAUUUCCGUCAUGGCUAUUUACUGUUGGAGAGCUAGAUGUCCUAGUUAGGGCGGUAAUUCGACUAAAGCAAACCGAGUUUUGAGCGGAGUCAAAUUCGAGCCAAGUUUAAUCGAGUCGAGCCGAGUCGGCUCAUUUAGCUAAUCGAGCCUAAAACUCUGGUCGAACUCGACUCGUUUAAUUUCGCGAGUCAAGUCGACCCAGCUCGUUUAGUUAAAUGAGCUGGUUUUAACGAGUCAAGCGAGUGAGCUCGUAUAAUUUUAACUUAAUCGAGUCUAAAUCUCUACCCGAACUAUUGGCUCGUGUAAUUUCACGAGUAGAAUCGAGCUGGCUCGUUUUAUUAAAGAAGCCGAAAUUUUUGCCCGAAUUUGGCUUGUUUAACAAGCCGAUCUUUCAUCAAAAUUUUCAAACAUUUCUGAAUAUGUAUUUUCAGAGAAUUUCUCCGGCACUCUUAAGGCCUAUAAUUAUUGCAACUCUCACGUUAUGGACCACUAUGUAUUUUACGAGCACGACGAAUCAUGUGGUCAUUAUGGACUCCCCAAGCCUUCGAGGACUCAUUCCAGGUCUUAGGAGGACCACUGCCUAGCUCACCCUCUCGGAGUGAUGUAAAUUAUUUUCCAGACACUAAAAAUAAGUAUUCAGAUUAAUCAUUACAAAAUUAAGGAUAUAAAAUCAGAAUAAAUCCUAAACUUUGAUGAUACAAAAAAAUUAUAAUUGUAAAUUAUACAAUCAAAUUAAAAUCGAAUUAACUUCUCUCACACUUAAAAUUUAUAGCGAUCAAAUCAAAAUCGAAUUAACUUUCCUAUUACUAAAAUUUAAUUACAAUAUUAUUAGAUAAAGAGAAUAUAUAAUAAUCAAGGGAAAAUAGAUUUUUUUUUGCCACUCAACUUAUUGUGUUUUAAGAAAUUUACCACCCAACUAAAUUUUUUUUCCUUUUGCUCACUAAUAUUAGGUUUGGAUUUGUUUUUAGCCACCAACUAAGGUUCGGAUUUGAUUACUAGCAUUAUGAUAAUUUUUUGUCACUAAACUUAUUGCGUCUUUAGAAACUAACCACUCAACUAAUUUUUUUUUUAUUUUACUCACUAAUGUUAGGUUCAGUUUUUUUUUUGUCACUGAAGUUAGGUUCGGAUUUGAUUAUUAGCAUUACAUUAAUUCUGUGUAGCAUUUUUAAAAUAUGGUAGUAGUCUGUGAUAUUUAGAUGAUUUGAUAUAUGUCUGUAUUUAUAUAUAUAGUAUUUUUUAUGUCCCCAAGGUCGUUUACCUUGGGUCAUAAGAAUUUUACACACAUUUUAUGACUUUUAAAAGAUGUAGUUUCAUAAAUAAUUUUAUUUUUUUCUUCCGAAUUAAAAUUCAGCGUUUGAAUUUUACACACAAAAAAAUCGCAAAAAUAAGUUAUGAAACUAUGUUUUAUAAGAGUCUUAAAAUACGUGUUAAACGGUAGAAAAAACUGUAAACUAAUGAAAGGUACAUAGGGAGUAAUAAUAACAUAAAAUGAUGCACAAUCAUCGAAUUAAGUUUUCCUCUCUCUCUAUAUAUUUAUUUUGAAAAUUAUAAUAAGAUAAAGUUAUUAAAAUUUAUGAUAUAAAUUUAAAAGAGAUCUUAGACUGAGUGGCAAAAAUUUAGUUGGAUGGUAAGUUUCUAAAAAUACAAUAAAUUGAGCGGGAACAAAAUCUAUUUUCCCAAUAAUCAAAGUGAUGAAAAAUUAAAGUCAUCUAAUAAGUCCAGAAAAAAUAUGACCAUUAGUAUUUUGGAAUAAUAUUCACGCAUUUAUAUACGAGAAUAUAUGGUCCACAAGUUAGUGCACAAUGUCCAAGAAUCUUUAUCAAAGUAACACGGCAAGCAUGCAGCAUAUAAAUAAGAGUGGGCAGUAUGGUAUUGCAUUCAUAACCCACUUGAGGAGAAAUAUGGCACACUUCCUAAAGCCUUCUCACCUUCUUCUCUUUGUUUUCUCUCUCUCGUUACUUCAAUCCAUUCUACCAACAAGACCAGAGGGAGAAGCUCUUGUGAAAUGGAAGAAUAGCCUAGCCCCUUCUUCUUUUCUCGAUUCUUGGUCACUCACCAAUCUCGAUGAUCUUUGUAACUGGACUGGCAUUACUUGUAACUCUGCAGGUUCAGUCUCUGAGAUUAACCUUUAUGAGAAACAACUUGAUGGAAUGCUGUCCGAGUUUGGCUUCACUUCAUUUCCGAAUCUCAACAAUCUCACCCUCGCAUACAACUUCUUCUCGGGUCCAAUUCCACCAGCCAUUGAGAAUUUAACACAGCUUCAAUAUCUUGAUUUAAGCAUCAAUAGUCUCGAUGGUCCCAUUCCGUUCCAGGUUAGCCAUCUUCAGAGGUUGCUCGUCUUAAACCUGUCACAGAAUGCAUUGCAAGCUCCAAAUUGGUCCAAAUUCUCCCCCAUGCCCUUUUUGUGCAUCCUCAACCUCAGUAGCAAUCCUCUUGCGUCGACAUUCCCAAAUUUCAUAUCCAAUUCUCAUGGCCUGACUCACCUCAGCCUUGAUCAAAACGAGUUUACAGGUGAUUUAGCGCGUGAAUCAAUAUUUGCCAAUCUGCAUAAUCUUGAAGUCCUCAGUCUUGUUGGCAAUUCUUUUGAGGGGGCCAUUUCCGCCAAAUAUAUUCAAGCUUUCCAAAUUAAAACGUCUUACCCUGUCAAGUAACAAAUUUUUAGGAUCAAUUCCCAAUGACAUAAGGUUGCUUUGUGAUCUUGAAUUCCUAUAUUUAGGAAACAAUUCUUUUGAAGGACCGCCUCCACCAAAUAUAUUCAAGCUUUCAAAAUUAAAACAUCUUGUUCUCUGGAGUAAUAAGUUUUCAGGUUCUGUUUCCAAUGAUAUAGGUUUGCUUUCUGCGCUUGAACUUCUGAAUCUUCACUCUAAUUUUUUUGAGGGGCCGCUUCCGCCAAAUGUAUUCAAGCUCUCUAAACUAAGGUUUCUUAACCUCUGGGGUAACAACUUUUCAGGUUCUGUUUCCAAUGAUAUAGGUUUGCUUCCUGAGCUAGAAAUCCUCAAUCUUCACUCUAAUUUUUUUGAGGGGCCGCUUCCGCCAAAUAUAUUCAAGCUCUCUAAACUAAGGUUUCUUAACCUCUGGGGUAACAACUUUUCAGGUUCUGUUUCCAAUGAUAUAGGUUUGCUUCCUGAGCUAGAAAUCCUCAAUCUUCACUCUAAUUUUUUUGAGGGGCCGCUUCCGCCAAAUGUAUUCAAGCUCUCUAAACUAAGGUUUCUUAACCUUUGGGGUAAUAACUUUUCAGGUUCUGUUUCCAAUGAUAUAGGUUUGCUUCCUGAGCUAGAAUUCCUCAAUCUUCACUCUAAUUUUUUUGAGGGGCCGCUUCCGCCAAAUGUAUUCAAGCUCUCUAAACUAAAGUUUCUUCAUCUUCGAGGUAAUAAGUUUUCAGGUUCUGUUUCCAAUGAUAUAGGUUUGCUUCCUGAGCUUGAAAUCCUCAAUCUUCGCUCUAAUUUUUUUGAGGGGCCGCUUCCGCCAAAUGUAUUCAAGCUCUCCAAACUAAGGUUUCUUUCCCUUAAGGAAAAUAAAUUUUCAGGUUCUGUUUCCAAUGAUAUAGGUUUCCUUUCUGAGCUUGAAUACCUAUAUCUUGACUAUAAUUUAUUUGAAGGAAGUAUUCCUAUUGGACUGGGACUCUUGACUAACCUCAGCUACUUAGAUCUAAGUUCCAAUAAUCUCAGUGGCUAUAUUCCAUCUGACAUUGGAAACCUGAAGCUACUAGUAUUUCUUGAUCUCAGUUCUAACCAAUUGACUGGACCGCUUUUAAAGAUCGUUUCUAAUCUCACAAAUCUUAUGAAUCUUGAUGUAAGUGAUAAUAGUCUUAGUGGAAAUAUUCAGAGUGACUUGUGGAAGAACUCUAUAUCCUUACGUUACAUUAAUUUUGCAAAUAAUUAUUUGUCUGGGAACAUUCCUAAGGAAUACAACGAUCAUCCAACUUUGGAAUACAUCAAUUUAAGUGGGAACCAUUUUACAGGUAUAUUUUUCUCUAUAUAUCUUUUCCUUUUCUCAUAUGUAACUAAGCUGGUAAUCUGAUUAUUGCAGUUUUACCAAAGUUUCAACAAUCUUGACAGGUGAGCUUCCAACAACAAUUUGCAAUGUCACUUCCCUUGCGGUUCUUGUUUUGUCAAAUAAUGGAUUAAGUGGAGCACUUCCAAAUUGUUUCGGGAAACUUGCUGAUAGAUUGCUUUCCAUUAAUCUUGCUAAUAAUCAGUUUCGAGGAACAAUACCAACUACUUUCUCCAGGAGUUGUCAGGUGAAAUAUCUAAACAUGGAUAAUAAUGAGUUUGAAAGAUUCUUGCCCCCGUCUUUGGCGAACUGUAAGCACUUGAAAAUUCUUGAUAUUGGCAAUAAUAAAAUAGGUGGUACAUUUCCGUCAUGGCUUUAUGUACUUGGAGAGAUAGAAGUCCUUGUCUUGCGAUCAAAUAAACUCUAUGGUACAAUAAGUGGAAGGAGCGUAAAAGAUCCCUUCCCCAAGUUGCGGAUUGUGGAUCUGUCCAACAAUCAAUUCACUGGUCAUUUGCCAAUUCAAUACUUUAAGAAUAUGAAAUCAACUGAUAAUUUGUAUCGUUAUCAGAAUUCCAAAGGAUAUCUAUCUUUCCAUCAUGAUGCAGCAGUCUCCUUAACUGUGAAGGGAACGGAGUAUGAGGUAGCAAAGAACCUUCAUAUUUACACAGCCAUUGAUCUGUCGUGCAACAAAUUUCAGGGACAAAUUCCAAACGUCACUGGAGAGCUUAGAUGGCUUGCAUUGCUCAAUUUAUCGCAUAAUAGUCUAACAGGACCUAUCCCAUCAUUGCUGAGAAAUAUGAAAGAACUCCAAUCUUUAGAUUUGUCUUCAAAUCAACUGACAGGGGCUAUUCCACCUCAGCUAACUGCAUUGACAUUUCUAGAGGUCUUGAACCUCUCGAAAAACCAUCUUAGUGGAGAGAUUCCUCAGAAAGGACAGUUCAGCACAUUUAACAAUGAUUCUUAUCUAGGAAACUCCGCGUUAUGUGGAUCACCUUUGACGAAGAAAUGUGCAAACACAGCAUCACCUCCACAAGAAGUUGUAAAUGGUGAUGAAGAUGAUGCUGGUGAUGAAAUGACAUGGGAAGCAAUCGUGAUGGGAUAUGGAUGUGGACUGAUAUGUGGAUUGUCAUCUGCGUACAUUGUUCUCAAACUAGGAAAGCCUUGGUGGUUUGUGAGAUAUAUCGAAGUACUGCAACUGAAGUUGAUGAAAAGAUAUGCAUGAAGAAUGGUACUGGCCGAUCAAGACGAACUUGAAAGUUGUUGUCCUUGUGGACAUUUCUGAACCAGUAGUGUACUAGCUACAUAAGUAUUUAGUAUUAUGUAAUAAUCCGUUUGGUCGGGACUCAUAAUGAUUUCUCUUGCUUCAGGGGUAUUAAUAUUAAACUUGCUAUCUUGAUGAAUGUUAAUGUAAAUUAAAAAGAAUAUAAAAUCAAAAAAUUUAAAUCAAACACCUGUUGUACCAAGAUCCAUUAAUUUGCUUUAGUCUCUUACAUAACAAUUUAAUAGCACACUUCCACACUGUUCACACGUGUAAUGUAUAAAAAUUCCAGUCUUCUUCGGAGGCCUACAGCUUCAACAACCUCUCAAAGAUGUAGCAGUUGCUUGACAGUGAUAGAUAUAUAUUAGAUAAACACUAUGCAAUAACCAAAGUGACAGAAAAAUCAAAGUCCGCUAAUAAAUUCAUAAAAAAUAUAAUAAUCAACAACAAGAAUCAUAGUCUUACAAGUUCAUAUAAAAUAUAGGAUCAUUAGUAUUCCACAUGUAUAUUUUCUUCUCUUUCUUUUCGAGUUUUCCUCUCCAGCACCAAAUCCAAAUUAAUAUACAAUGCCACACAUUCCAGUCUCAGCUUCAGCUCCCAGGCUAGCAUUGAUUUAGCCAAGCACGACAGUGGCCGCUCUUGGUCCUGCCUUCAAAUGUCUAACAAUAACAGUUGGAUACGUCGACAAAAAUAUUGUUCCUCAUCAUACUGAGGAGUUAUUGAAUUCGACAGUUUUACACAAAGAAGACAAUUCCAUGGACUAAUCUAUUAGUAACACGUAAGCUAUAAACACGUAGUCCACAUCUAUGCUACGAACAAUUCAUAUUGGUCUUCUAUCUGUGCAACAGUCUCCCGAAGAUAGGCCAAAAAUGUCAUCUGUGGUUCUUAUCUUUGUUAGCAAAGGAGAAUCUCCGAUGCCUAUACAACCUGAUUUUCUUACAGAAAGAAAUGCAAGUGAAACUAGGGUCGGAUACCAUGUUAAAUGAUCAAUUCUCCUAAAACUAGGUUCAGGAUGAUCAUGAUAUAUUCUAACAUCAAGAUUAGCAGGACUAAAAUGAAGAUUUAAAUGGAUUUUAAAAACAAGCUCCUACUGAAUAAAAAGAAUCAUUAAUUUUUCUGACUCAACAUAUGUUAGCCUCCCCUGGCCCUGGGUGAAACCAUAAGCUUCUCUGGUGCACAUCCAAAUCAUUCAGCUGGUUCUACUUUCAGCUCAGCACAGGAACAUCAUUCUGCAGGUACUCUUGUAUCUGUAGUUUCUUAUUAAUUUAUUAACAAAAUUUAGCUAUUAAAUAUUUUGAUAAAAUAUCUAUUUAUUAAAAUAUUUUUUUAUUUAAUUGGUCUGAUAAAAAUAUUAUUGAUAUAUAAAUUUUACCUUUUUUCUGAAACAAAUUAUAAUUUUUGCUUCAAGCUUUUGUAUGAUAAGUUGAGAAAUAUUAGUUUUCUUUAUCACCGUGAGAGUAGAUCCUCGUUCCACAAAAAUUUGUAACUGAAAAAUAAAAUAGAGCCCUAAAACUUUUCGAUAAAUAUGGACUAAACAAUUUUGAUGCUCAAGUCUCAAUAGGAUUUAUAAACGGUCAUGAUGAGUUUGAUUAUCAAUGACACCAAAAAAAUAUUAGAAUUAUAUUUAAGUUAUAAAUUUGUCAAUAAAUUGUGUGAUAAUCAUACUUUCCAAGUCUUCUUCAGAGGCCUCCUGCCUCAACAACCUUUCAAAGAUGUAGUAGUUGUUGCUCGAGAGGGACAAAUAUAUUAGGUAAAGACUAUGCAAUAAUCAACGUGACAGAAAAACCAAAGUCCUCUAAUAAAUUAAUAAAAAAUAUUAUAAUCAAUAUCAAGAAUCAUAUUAUCAUAGUCUUCUAAGUUCAUAUAAAAUAUAGAAUCAUUAGUAUAUAAAUAGAAGAGUGCAGAGUAAAGCCUUUCAUAAUCCAGUUGAGGAGAAAUAUGGCAUACUUUGUAAAGCCUUAUCACCUUCUUCUCUUUGUUUUCUUUCUCUCAUCACUUGAAUCCAUUCUUGCAACAACACGAGAAGGAGAAGCUCUUGUGAAAUGGAAGAAUAGCCUAGCCCCUUCUUCUUUUCUUGAUUCUUGGUCACUCACUCAUCUCGAUAAUCUUUGUAACUGGACUGGCAUUACUUGUAACUCUGCAGGUUCAGUCUCUGACAUUAACCUUUUCAACAAACAACUCACUGGAAAGCUUUUUGAGUUUGGUUUCACUUCAUUUCCAAAUCUCAACAAUCUCACCCUUGCAGAUAACUUCUUCUCUGGUCCAAUACCAUCAGCCAUUGGGAAUUUAACACAACUUCGGUAUCUUGAUUUGAGCAAUAAUUAUCUCAAUGGUUCCAUUCCGUACCAGGUUAGCCAUCUUUCAAGAUUACACAUCUUAAACCUGUCAGAGAAUGAACUGCAAGCUCCAAAUUGGUCCGAUUUCUCCCCCAUGCCUUGUUUGACCAUCCUCGACCUUUAUCAAAAUAAUCUUAUGUCGGAAUUUCCAGAAUUUAUAUCUAACUCGCGUAACCUGACAUACCUUGACCUUUCAUAUAACAAGUUCACAGGCGAUCUUGUGCGCGAAUCAGUAUUAACCAAUCUAGGUGAUCUUGAAACCCUCUAUCUUAAUGAAAAUUCUUUUAGGGGGCCAUUUCCACCAGACAUAUUCAAACUUUCCAAGUUGAGAGUUCUUGCCCUGUUCAAUAAUUUUUUUGAGGGGCCGCUUCCGUCAAAUAUAUUCAAGCUCUCUAAACUAAGAUUCCUUUUACUUUGGAGUAAUAAUUUUUCAGGUACUCUUUCGAAUGAAAUAGGUUUGCUUUCUGAGCUUGAAGACCUAGAUCUUCACUCCAAUUUUUUUGUGGGGCCGCUUCCGCCAAAUAUAUUCAAGCUGUCUAAACUAAGAACCCUUUUCCUCUGGGGUAAUAACUUCUCAGGUUCUAUUUCCAACGACAUAGGUUUGCUUUCUGAGCUUGAACACCUAUAUCUCGACUCCAAUUCUUUUGAGGGACCUUUUCCAACAAAUAUUUUCAAGCUUUCCAAAUUAAUACAACUUGGUCUCGCAAACAAUACAAAUUUAUUUGAAGGAAGUAUUCCUCCAGGACUGGGGCUCUUGACUAACCUAGAGGACUUGUCUCUUGCUUACAAUAAUCUUGGUGGCUAUAUUCCGUCUUCCUUUGGAAACCUAACACUACUAGUAUAUCUUAAUCUCGCUCGUAAUCAAUUGGUUGGAACACUAUCAAAGACCAUUUCUAAUCUCACAAAUCUGUGGUUUCUUGAUGUACAUCAUAAUAGUCUCUCUGGGAAUAUUCAGAGUGACUUCUGGAAAAACUCUACAUCACUGCUUUACAUUAAUUUGGCAGACAAUAAUUUUUCUGGGAACAUUCCUAAGGAAUAUAAUGUUCUUCCAAUCCUGGAUCACAUCAAUUUUAGGGGGAACAACUUUACAGGUAUUUUUAAUUCCAUAUUUUUUCCUUCUGUUGUAUUUAAUUAUGCUAACAACUACUGCCUCUGUUUUCAAAUACAUAUCGUUUGACUUUUUGGCACAAAACUCUAUAAUAAUUCUAACUAUAAGGUCAAUGAACUUAGAAAUAUAUGUCAAAAAGUCAAACGUCAUAUAUUUGAAAUUAGAGGGAGUAUGGCUUAAUGACCUUUUAGCCCUUAAAGUUUGGGUAGAAGUUCCGAUGCGGCGUCGAAGUUUAAAAACGUACCUUUCGACCCUCAAAGUAUCUUUGUCGUACCUUUUAACCCUUAUGGCGUAUACCGGUAUAUAACGGGUGGGCAAAGUUGACAUUUCACACGUGAGGGUUAAAUGGGGCAUUAAACAUUAAGGGUUAAAAGGAACAUUUAAUAUAUUUUAAUGUAUUAUUUAGGGAUUAAAAGGAACGAGAUGUAUACUUUAAGGGUUAAAAGGUACGCCCAAACUUCACCCCGAAUAUGAAUUGUCAAGUUUAUCCCCCGAUUUGUAUCGGUAUUUUUAAAAAGGGCUAAAAAGUACGACAAAGAUACUUUGAGGGUCGAAAUGUACGUUUUUAAACUUUGAGGCCGCAUCGGAACUUCCACCCAUUCUUCGAGGGCUAAAAGGUCAUUAAGCCGAGUAUAUAUUACAGUUUUACCAAAGUUUCAACAAUCAUGACAGGUGAGCUUCCACCAACAAUUUGCGAUGCAACUUCCCUUUCGAUUCUUGAUCUGUCAAAUAAUGGAUUAAGUGGUGCACUUCCACAUUGUUUGGGGAAUCUUGCUGAUAAAUUGAUUUCGAUUAAUCUUGCUAAUAAUCAGUUUCGAGGACCAAUACCAACAAAUUUCUCCAAGAGUUGUCGUCUGACGUAUCUUAACAUCUAUAACAAUCACUUUAAAGGAUUGGUUCCCCAGUCUUUGGCAAACUGUAAGCACUUGCAAAUUCUUGAUUUUGGAAAAAAUGAAAUAGGUGGAACAUUUCCGUCAUGGCUUUUUACUCUUGGAGAGCUAGAAGUCCUGGUCCUGCGAUCAAACAGAUUUUUCGGGAGAAUAACUAGAAGGAGCAUACCACACCCCUUUCCCAAGUUGCGGAUUUUGGAUCUAUCCAACAAUCAGUUCACCGGCUAUCUGCCAAUUUCAUACUUCAAGAAUAUGAAACCAAAUGAUAAUAAUUAUGAUUAUUUCAACAACACAAACGAAGCCUAUUACGUUUAUCAAGUUUCUAUCACAUUAAAUGUGAAAGGAAGCGAGCAUGAAGUGACAAAUAUUCUUUAUAUUUACACGGCCAUUGAUCUGUCGUGCAACAAAUUUGAAGGAAAAGUUCCAGACAUUACCGGAGAGCUUAGAUGGCUUGCAUUGCUAAAUUUAUCUCAUAAUAGUCUUUCGGGGCCUAUUCCAUCACAACUGGGAAAUAUGAAAGAGCUCCAGUCUCUAGAUUUGUCGUCAAAUCAAUUGACAGGUGUUAUUCCGGAUCAACUUACUAGUAUGACAUUUCUUGCUAGUUUGAACCUGUCAGAAAACCAUCUUUCUGGGAAAAUCCCUCGGAAAGGACAGUUCAGCACUUUUGGCGAAGAAUCUUACUUAGGUAACUCGGCCUUGUGUGGAGUUCCUUUGACAAAGAAAUGUAUAGACGAAGUGCCCCCUUCACAAGUUGGAAAUGGCGAUGAUGAAAAUGUUGAUGAAGAUGAUACCGUUGAUGAAUUCAAUUGGAAAGUGAUCCUGAUGGGAUAUGCAUGUGGAUCAAUAGGCGGAUUGUCUGCAGGAUACAUUGUCUUCACAGUUGGAAAGCCUUGGUGGUUUUUGAGGUACAUUGAGACACUGCAGCAGAAGUUGAUGUGAUGCGCAACUAGAAACAACCUUAUCUUAGAAUGAAUCUGAUCAAUGUUAGCAUAUACUGAACUUUUUUUUUUGUAAAUAUGAUUUCAAGUUCUCAUACUAAUACAAGAACCACUUGUUAAAUCUUGACCAUGCUAAGAGGAUGCUGAAUGCUGAUUUAACACUUUGCGAUGCAAAGCAGGGGCGCAUUAGUAUUUUAUAUGUGUUGAUAAUUUGCGCAAUGUUAACAGGGAUAGGUCUUCUUCUCUGCCAGAUCUUCGACAGACUCUUUCAAGGUCUUCUGAGGACCCAUCGGCUCGAAUUAGUCCAUCGUGAAUUAUGAUCUGAGAGCUAUCUGCACACUAUUUCCAGGUCUUCUGUCUCGUUAACUAUGAAAGGAAGAAAUCAUGAAGUGAAUAAAAUUCUUCAUAUUUACACAAUUGAUCUAUCAUGCAACAAAUUUUGAGGAGAAAUUUCAGAGGUUUCCGAAGAGCUUAAAUGGCUUGCAUUGCUCAAUCUAUCUCAUAAUGAUCUUACUAGACAUCUCCCCGUUGCUCGCCAUUAGAAAACAGGGAUUAUUCACUCGUCCGCCGCACCGCGAACUCAUUCUUAGGUGCUCGGAGGUUUUUGAGGAUUCUUGUUGAUUAUUAAUUUUGUGAUUUUGUUGAAUACUCUAUCACUUAAUAAUGUAAUAAUUGUGUUAUUAAAUAAUUAUAUUUUAAAUUGUUAAGGAUAUUGAACUAUUUGUUUGAUUAUUUGGUUUAAAUAUAAAUGUAACUCUUGAAAUACAUUUAUUAUAUAUAUAUUUAACAUGUUAAUAUUUACUGAAUCCCUCGCAUCCGAAUCCCGAUAUUUUUAAAUUUACGGAUUCUCGUAUUCAUGUACCGUGCACUACCAUACCUUCAACCACACUCAUACUUUCUAGCUGCUCGGAAAUAUGAAUCAAUCUUUAGAUUUGUCUUCAAAUCGAUUGACGGAGGCUAUUCCACACCAGUUAGGCAGUUAACUAGAUUGACAUUUCUAGAGGUCUUGAACUUCUCAGAGAAUAAUCUUACCGGGAAAAUACCGCAAAAAGGAAAAAUCAGCACUUUCGAGAAUAUAUGAGUCAGUGUGGUUCACCUGUCUAGACCAAAAAUGUCAUCUGAGAUUCUUAUGUUUUUUAGCUAUAUAUGAGUGGAAGAAAAUUGUCGAGUCGAGGUUAAUCGAAUAAGGCGAGCCGGCUCAUUUUAAUUUAAUUGAGACAAAACUUCUACGGAGUUCGACUCCUUUAAUUAAACGGCUAUGAAAUCUCAUUAAAGUCAGCCUUGUAUAUAAACUCAAGCCAGGUCGAGUUUUAUUGAACAAAUUUCAGCUCAAACCAGUCGCGAGCAGCCCAGCUCAAGUUCGAGGCCUGCUCAUCUGUCUUCGAGUCUUGGACGAGAUUUGAAUCAUCAACUCCUUCCAAAAAGAGUAUUACACUGACAAAAAUGCAGUAACAUGUUUAAUUUAAAAGUAUAUCAUCUGUUCCCGCAGUUUAAUUUUACCCAUAUUUUUGAGAUUCAUAUAAAUUAUAAUUCCAUAAUAUUUUUUCAAUCAUAUUGGUUUUGAAUAAAAAUAUAAAUAUCAAACUUUUAUUUUUAAAAAAAUUAUAAAAUUAUAUUUUAUAAGAGUCUCAAAUACGUGGGAAAGUGGGAGUAUUAAUUUCGCCCACUAAGUCACUGACAGGUUUGUUAAUUUGUUUCCAUUUGAAGGUGUACACUGCAUAUUUUCACCAGGGAUGGCAACAAGUCGAAUCAGUUCAGAUAUAUCAGAUAUCUCAAUCCAAAUCCAAAUUAUUUUUAAAAUCCAAAUCCAAUCGAGUUUCACAUAUCAAAUUCAAAUCCAAAUUCACGGGUUUCAGAUCGGGUUCAGGUUUGUUUGGGUUUAUCCAAAACCCGAAUCCAGAAAUGUAAGUAGUAUUGUAAAAAUAUUAUUUUUUAUUUUUUCACCCUUGAAUUUCAUUAUAUUUAAAACUAAACUACACACAUUCACACUUUAUCUAUCCAUAUUAUAAACACAAUUUAGUAUAUUUAAAAUUGAAAAAAAGUAUAUUAGUAUACUACAUACAUAUAUUUGGAUAUUUGGAAAUUUUUUCGGGUUUUGUGUUUGGAUCGAAUUUAGAUUUCGGGUCCGGUUUUGAUACGGAAUACUUAAUAUCUAAAUCCAAAUUCAAACUGGUUCGGGUCUAAAAAUUAAAUUCAAAUCCAAAUCCAAAAUAUCAUGUUCGUUAAAAUUCAUUCGGGUCGAGGUUGAGUAUCCAUUCGGAUCAGAUUUUUCUCUAACCAAUAAAUUUUGUAAAUGGUCUGCACAAACGCAGUUACCGGCCCAUUUCCGUAUGAAGCCCAUGAACAAUUAUUUGUUCUGUAUAUUUUUCAAUCAAACCAAACCCAAACGCUAACAGCAGAAUUAAUUAAAUUCCUUUCACAUGUGAUUUUGUAAUGGGCCUACAUUACAAAAAUACUGUAGGACUAUCCCACUAUCCCUGACCCUACAUGUUUUCUCAAUAAUUUUGAUAAAUAUAUUAAACAGAUAUUGAACUGUUACAAAAAUAUAACGUCUGUUUUUCAAAUAAGUAACGUACGGUUUCCGAGAGAUAAAGUUUGACUUAUAUUGACAAGAUAACGCUUGAAUUUAAUAUCUUUUUAAAAAAAACUAAUAUAAAAUCUAAAUUAAAUCUUCUUCUUAAAUGAGAAUCCAGAAAAAUCUCAAAAAUUCACAACUACAUCAAUAAAAUAUAAUAUCCAACAUUAAAUAAAAAUCUUUCAAUAUCCAUUUUUUGUGUAAUUUUCAACCAAUCUGCUCUAAUUAUUUCGUCACCUUUUAAAAUUUAAAAUUUUUAAAUACUCAAAACAAUUACCCUAACCGCCAACCACCUUAGAAUUAUAAAAUCUUAAAAUUAAAUGCUAAUAAGAUUAUCAGUGUUACUCACCUAAACCAAAACGGUUACAAAAUCUAACGGCAAUAUUAUAAACUUUUAAAAAUUAAAUUUUUAAUUAAUUUGGCAAGUGGUAUUCAUAUAGAACAAAACAGUUACAAAAUCAAACUGCAAAUUAUAAAAUCUUGAAAUUAUAUUUAAUACUGUAAGAUUUAGCAUGUGGGUCCCACACAAUCAGAAAAUAAUAUGAACACGAAAUCUUGCUCUAUUAAAUACACACACCUGUACAUACAUAUAUAAACACCCACCGCCUCUUCAACUUUCCAACAUCAAAACCCUCGUAAUUCAAUUGGGUUUCUGCUGUUAUUCUCCCCUCUCUCCUCUCUCUCGCCGAGAUUUUUAUAUGCAUACAUGCGUGGGUAUAUGUAUAUGUACACCCCCUUGGCAAAAACACAGACUAAACACUAAAAGAACCCACAGAAUCAUACCCAUGUUAUGGAUAUUAUCUGGGGUUUGUUGAAAUUGUUGUAGAAGGCCUAAAGAUUUGAUUUUGGAGUAGCCCAUUUGGUUCUUGAUUGAAUUUGGUUGUGUUUUGAGUGUGAAAAGGCAAGAUUUUAUGAUUCUUGAUGGAUGAAAGUGCUAUGUUUGGCUUGAAUGGAGAUAAUGANACAAAAUCUUGAAACGCUGUUUCUUGAUGGUAAUUCUUUUGAGGGGACGUUUCCACCGAAUAUAUUCAGGCUUUCUAAAUUAAAACACCUUUCCCUAUCUGCUAAUAAGUUUUCAGGUUCUGUGCCGGAUGACAAGUUGGUGUCGAAAGUGAGAAUGUUGCGGUAGGGGGUGAUUCGGAUGAGCUUGUUGUUGUUGGGGAGACAGGGCAGGUAUAAUGCUGCAUUUGUUGUUUUUGUCGAUAUUAUGUGUUGCUUUUGUGUUUUUUGUUAUGUUUUCAUAUGUUUAGUCCGUUAUUUUUUGGAGAAUUAAGUAGUCUGAUGAAUGUUGAUUAAUCCAAUAUAUAAGCUGGGCGUUUUUGUUUAAUGUGCUUAUUAUGAUUAUAUUAUUUUGUUUGAUAAUUGAAUUGUGUUUAGAUUGUUAAUCCAAAGCCAAGGUCAAAAGACGUAAGGUAACAUUGAUGUUAAUUGAUAAAACUAACCUCAGAAAGUAGAUUGUUUGAGGCAAUAGAGAGUGUGAGCCUCUAUCAUGACAAUUUAAGAAGUUUAUAGUUGAGUCGUUGACUGCAUUACUAUCAAAUGCAUAGGGGUAUGGAAAUGAAAACGGUUAAUAACAUAUGGGCAUUUAACCUAAUAAUUUGACAACUCGACACUCGGACUUGUAUAUGUAAGUUGUAGUAGAUGCAUACGGUGUUUUAGUAGUUUAUUUGUGUACAAAUUAUUUCAUUGGGUAUUAUUUGAAGUGAAUAGUAUAUUGGAUUCAUGCAUGUUCAGACUUUAAUAUCAACAUCUUUCAGAUUUUUCUGGAUAAUGGUUAAUAAAUUCUUUGUUUAAUAAUGACCGCUUCACUUAAUGUCAUUUCUCUUCUUUCUUUUUUUAAUUAUCGGAGUGGAUAUUUAUUUAAUUUUUUCUGAUUUAUGUUGCAACUUCCAAUAUAAUUUGUUUGGGUGCUAUACUUUGAUGGAUUAUAGGUCGCAUGUCGAGACUAUCCUCACCCACGAGAUCUUUGUGCUAAACUUCCCUUUACAUCUACUCCUCAUGAANUGCUAAACCAGGUAAUAAUAUUUUUUCUCAGAAUUAAUUAUUACACCUCUUUUCAGUGCCGAACGUUCUGCGUAUCUUAUUUGACCAUUGUCUGUUGCAGUGUCACUGUUAUGUUUGUGAUGCACCGGCUCCAUGUCUCAAAUGGGGAACUGGCAUAUCUGUCAGUGACCAUUGUCAUGCCACUGGGAAGGUGGAAUUCUGGAAUCAACAAAGCCUAAAUUUUUUGAAAAGGCUUUAAAAAAUUUGGAAUUUUUUAAAAAAAUGAAAAAUGUAAAAAUUAAAAAAAUCUAAAAAUAUCUGGAAAUUCAAAAAAUAUACCUAAAUUUUUGAAAUUAAAAAAUUUUAGAAUUUUUCCAAAUUUUCAGAUUUUUUCAAAGUUUUAAAUUUAUUUUCAAAAUUUUUAGAUUUUUUCGAUGUUUUUUCAUAUUUUUUAAAGUAUUUUAAAAAAAUUCAACUUUAUUAAAAAAUCGAUAUUUAUAUUUUUCUCAAAGUUUUUUUUAUUUUUUUUAAAGGAUUCUGUUAAAGGCAGCUGAUAUUUAACGUCGCAGUGACCUAUUUGCAAACUUUUAUUAGUUCAGUGAGUUGACUGCAACUUAAAUCGAGUUCUGUGAUCCGUUUGCAAACUUUUUAAGUUCAGUGACUUAACUGCAAGUUGGCCAUGAGUUCAAUGAUCUUUUCGCCUAUUAACCCGGACUAAAUCUACUAAAAUGAUAAUUAUGGACUCACAAUGUAUAUUUUUAAUUUAUAUGUUUAGUUAAAAAUUGGUUAAUUUGACUUUCGAAAAUCAAAAUGAACAUGUAAAAGGAGAUCGUGGUAAUAAGCCCCUCAACGUGUGUAAAUGUUAAGUAAAAGGGAUAUGUUUAUUUUUAUUUUAAAAAAGAAUUAAAAAUAUUAUUUUACAAAUUAAAUUAUAAAAUACUCUCUAUAUUCCAAAUUAGUGAGUUCGUUAAUUUUAGGCACACUAAUUUAGAUGAUUUAACUGCAUAGCUAUAUAAUUUAUUUUUAAUAUUUUUAAAAAACAAUUAAAAAUAAUUUCACGAAUAACAGAUGAUCAUUAUCUUUUAAAUCACAUGCUGAAAAUCGGAUGUUGCCCUUAUCAUUAUCACAUUUUUAAGUAGUAAUGUCUCGAAAAUUAAAUAUUAGAUCCAAUAUGAUUUCAAAUAUCACUUUAUAAUAUUCUUUUUUGUCAUAAUAUCACUUAAUAAUGUUAAAUGAGUGACGUUUAUAUUUUUUUUAAAGUGUUACACAAUGAGAAACUCUAAAAAAUAUAACGGUAGAUAAUGUAGUAUCAUAUCAAAACAUUACUUUAUCUAACCAGAACAUAAUAUUCCAAGGACAAUUUAACUUUUUUUAUAAUAUUCAGAACCUUCUUUUUUUUUUUUGAAUAAAAGACAAAUUUCAUUAAUACGAAAUGUCAUACAGAAAAAUCUCCAACAAUACAUCUCGAGGAGACAUAAACACUUUUUGACAAUUUAAAGAACAGGAUAAUUUAGCUACUAGAUGAGCUACUCCAUUCGCUUGUCGUUUAACAAAUGAAACUGAAUAACAUGGCUUCGAAUUUAAAAUAAGCUUGCAGGCAUUCAAGAUGUGACCAACUUCUAAAAGAUUUUCCUGAGAGUCAUGCAAGGCUUUAAUGGCCAGGAGAGAGUCUGAUUCAAUUUCCACCACCUCAUGAUUUAAUGAGCACAACCACGGGAGACCUUCAAAAGAGAAAAGGCCCCCAGUAACCUUUUUUUAGUGUCAAAUGCCCUAGUUGUCAUUAUAAUAAAAAAUGGCCCUCAUUAUCACUCUAUAACACUACUUAAACUCACGUUCUGUUUUUCCAUCAUAAACGGCACACGCAACAGUGUUUCCAGGUUUAAUACUUUUUAAAAAAAGUCUAACGUAACAUGAAGUUACGUUCACUGAUCUGAGUUUUUUUUUCAUAUUACUCACAUCUUGCUUAUUUCCAUAUAGAAAGAAAUUCACUCACUAGUCAACGUUAUAACAAAUUAUAAUAAUAUUUAACCAGUGCACCCCAAAGGGUAGCGGCUGCGGUUUCCUACGUUAAAAAGAAUAUUUAAGCGUUCAUACAUGGGGUUUAGAAAAAUUUGUUUAUAAUUGUAAAUUAAUUUUCUGAACGUUAGGGUUUAGGAUUGAGGGUGUAGGGCCGGUAGGCCCUACUCCCUCGAGCCUAAAACCUAAUUAAUGCGAGGCUGAAGGGCCGAAGGCCCUGAAGCCGAGAAAUCGGCAGAAUAAAUAAAUUUACAAUCGUUAACAUUUAGGGUUUAGAUUUGGGUUGCAGAAUGAUUAAUUCAUACUGUAAAUUAAUUGGCCGAACGUUAGGGUUUAGGAUUGAGGGUGUAGGGCCGGUAGGCCCUACUCCCUCGAGCCUAAACCCUAAUUAAUGCGAGGCUGAAGGGCCGAAGGCGAGAAACCGGCGGAAUAAAAAAAUUUACAAUCGUUAACAUUUAGGGUUUAGGUUUGGGUUGCCAUAAUGAUUAAUUCGUACUGUAAAUUAAUUGGCUAAACGCUAGGUUUUAGGAUUGAGGGUGUAGGGCCGGUAGACCCUCCUCCCUCGAGCCUAAACCCUAAUUAAUGCGAGGCUGAAGGGCCGAAGGCGAGAAACCGGCGGAAUAAAUAAAUUUACAAUCGUUAACAUUUAGGUUUAGGUUUGGGUUGCCAUAAUGAUUAAUUCGUACUGUAAAUUAAUUGGCCAAACGCUAGGUUUUAGGAUUGAGGGUGUAGGGCCGGUAGACCCUACUCCCUCGAGCCUAAACCAUAAUUAAUGCGAGGCUGAAGGACCUUCAAGCCCUAAACGCUCGAGCCUAAACCCUAAUUAACUCGAGGCUCUAGGGCCGUGAGACCCUAAAGCCGAGGAACCGGAAUUAAAAUAUAAAACAAAAUUUUAAAUGGCGUUUAAAGUGGCGACAGAAUUGUAAGUUGGGUGUUAAGCUAGCAAACGACAUUAAGUUACGUUUUAGAUUUUUAGGUUAUUAAAAAAUAAAAAAAAAAAUCAAGAACGUCACAUGAAGGCACGUUUUACUUCUGAUAUCAAGAACGUCACAUGAAGGCACGUUUUACUUCUGAUAAACACACCAGCACGUGACUAAAGUCUCGUUUUCAUAUAUAACAGCAAUUGAAGUGACGUUUUGCUUUUUUUAGUUUAAAAUAAUAACCCCAUAACGUGACCAGGAGUCACGUUUUAGUAUAAAUCCUAAACGCUGCUUCAGAACAUGUUUUGGAGUGACACCCGGGGCCAUUUUACGGGAUUGUGACUUUAAGGUCCAUAUUGUUACUGAUGGUGACUCACAGGGCCAACACCCCCUUCAAAAAUAGCGCUUGCUUCGGCUUCAAGGACAGUAGCCACCAUGGCUUUACAUAUUGUUUUACCCAUCACAAAAACUCCCUCGCUGUCACGCAGAACCAAACCCAACGAGACCGAGGCCUCACCGAAACGCACACCUGCAUCAACAUUUAGUUUGAGAACUCCAUCCGUCAGCUUUUUCCACUUCACUCGAGAAGAAGAUGCGGAACUAGAAGUACUACCAACCUGAACAACACGCUUAGCUUUAGCCUCCUUCCAGUCAGAAAUAAUCUUAGCGCUCCAAUCCAUAGCUAUAGCAGCUGUAACAACCUUGUGAUCCCAAACCUUCUUGUUUCGAAAAAACCAAAUUCCCCAAAGAACUCGAGCAAUAUUAAAAGUUUCAUGAUCAGGACCUGAUUCAAACCUAGCAAGUAACCAAGAGGGGGCAAACUCCACCAGAGACAAAUCAAAGACCAUACCUGAGUAUUGCCAACAUAACAUUGCAAACUGGCAGGUGAAAAAUAUGUGAAUAAGGUCUUCGUCACCAGAGUUACACAUGGGACAGUCAAGAGAAAGAUUUACUCCCUUAGAUUGUAAUCGACUUUUCACAGGCACAUUAUUCCUGCAAAAACGCCAUAAAAACACUUUGAUCUUAAGAGGAACCUCCAACUGCCAGAGUUUCUUCCACCCACUAGAUUGUGUAACAGUGCCAGUGCCAAUAUUUUGGGCAUGUCAAAACUGGUAACCUGUUUUCACAGAAUUUUGGCUGUUAGUAGUCUUUGACCAAGCUAGACGAUCCACGGUCGACCUACAGGGAACAUAAGUUUUUAAAAAUUAUGUAAUUCAUUCAAUUCCGUAUCAGACAAUACAUCUUAUCAUCGGUGAUAAUGAAAAUAGUGUAGAUGUUUGACCUAGUCCCUGUUUGACAACCAAUAUAAUAAGAAAUAAAUUCUUAUUUUUCUAAAAAAUAUAUUUUUGUAUAUAAAUGUUAAAGAGAUAUUUCUUAUUUGUUGUUUGAAAAAAGUAAAGACUUAUUUCAGAAUAAAAAAAAAUUAUUGUACAUUCUCUUUAUUUCUGAAAAUAAGUUUGGUCAAAUCAUCCAUAAUUCACGUAAUUCAAAAGCCCAUUAAUUUUUUUUUUCUUGCUAAUUGAUCAGCACACGCACACGUUUCCAACUUCCCGCAAAGGGUACAGGAGUACCACCGGAGUACCAUCACACCGACGCUUUGUUGGGCCCAAUAAUUGGCUGAAGUUGAACGGGGCUUUCUGCCUCCGCUGGACCCCAGUUGGGAGGACUCUUUCCAAGUCUUUCGGAGCCUCUUUCCCAUUGACUCCAACUUUCCAGGGUGUAUACAAAUUUUUUGAAAGAGGGUGUAUACAAAUUAUUCACGGCCAUCAAAUCAACCAGCGUAGCUGGUGAACAAAUAUUAUUGUUUAUUAUAAUUUUAUUUAAUUUAAAUGUGAUUAUAAGAACAUAAGAGGACGUUUGAAAGUGUGGGUCUUAUUUCAAACAGUAGAUUUAAAAAAAUAUGAUUUCAAUUGUUAUUUAAAAUUCUUAAAUUUAUAUUAUAUUAAAAUGUUCUUAUUCUAAUUAAUGAGUCACUAUUCGUAUUCUCAAGCAUGUUAGUUUGUUAAAAUUUAAAAUUUCAAAUGAAAUUAGGCUAAAAGACCAUAAUAUCAAAGCAAAAUCUCAUUAUCCAAUAUAUUGGUGGGCAAAAAUAUUAAACCUGGCUAUUCAUUAAUAUUGGUUCUUUAUUCAAAUUAUGUCAAAUUUAUAUAAAAUUUCGAAAAUUAUUUAUGAAUAAGAGUCGGCAUUCAUAUAUUUAUUAAGGAUACAAGUGAGAAAAUGUUAUUAAAUUAAUAUUUUUUUAAUAUACGUAAGUUUUUUAAAAUAAAUUUGUAGCGUGGGACGGGAGUAUUAGACUGAUUCUGGCUUGGAGUGAAUCAGCCCAUAAAGUUUACAGGGUAGAUGACCAUUCUUAAAUCUUAAAGAAUCUUACGGUGACAGCUAACUGAACGACUCGGUUUCAGAAGUGCUGAAAAGUUUCGACGUAAACUACAAUUUGCCUAGCAUGUAAUUUCCAUGCAUUUUCUCGUUACUAGUGACAGAUAACUUUUUUGAUAUUUAUAUAUUUUUAAUUAUAAUAAAGAUACUAGUGAUUAUGGUUAGCUUUUGGAGUACUUUCGGAGUACUUGGAAAUUUUCUUUUCGAGAAAGACGAGAGUACCUAUUUCAAUUUUUUACCAAAAAUUAUAAUUGAAAACAACGGACUUUUAUACUUAUCAUAACAAUUUUUAACAUCUUGUUUAGAAAUAACCUGUUGUUGUAUUAUGCAAAAGUAAUAUCACUAGUUUCUAUAUUCGUAUUCUAAUGAUAAUAAAAACAUCUCUAAUUCAUUAAAACUCUUACAUAGAAAAUGAUAAAAAAAAAAAAGAAGAUAUAAAAUAAUUUAUUAAAAAUAUAUCAAAGNGAAGAUAUAAAAUAAUUUAUUAAAAAUAUAUCAAAGUUUUUGCACUCGGUUAUAAUUAUUGUGUAAUUUCUUUUUUCAAUUCCAAGAUAUUGUUAUAAGAAAAUUUUACAUCAUAUAUAUAUUACAAAAAAAAUUAAUGUAUUCUAUAUAUAUAUAUAUAUAUAUAUAUAUAUAUAUAUAUAUAUAUAUAUAUAUAUAUAUAUACAAUAAANNNNNNNNNNNNNNNNNNNNNNNNNNNNNNNNNNNNNNNNNNNNNNNNNNNNNNNNNNNNNNNNNNNNNNNNNNNNNNNNNNNNNNNNNNNNNNNNNNNNNNNNNNNNNNNNNNNNNNNNNNNNNNNNNNNNNNNNNNNNNNNNNNNNNNNNNNNNNNNNNNNNNNNNNNNNNNNNNNNNNNNNNNNNNNNNNNNNNNNNNNNNNNNNNNNNNNNNNNNNNNNNNNNNNNNNNNNNNNNNNNNNNNNNNNNNNNNNNNNNNNNNNNNNNNNNNNNNNNNNNNNNNNNNNNNNNNNNNNNNNNNNNNNNNNNNNNNNNNNNNNNNNNNNNNNNNNNNNNNNNNNNNNNNNNNNNNNNNNNNNNNNNNNNNNNNNNNNNNNNNNNNNNNNNNNNNNNNNNNNNNNNNNNNNNNNNNNNNNNNNNNNNNNNNNNNNNNNNNNNNNNNNNNNNNNNNNNNNNNNNNNNNNNNNNNNNNNNNNNNNNNNNNNNNNNNNNNNNNNNNNNNNNNNNNNNNNNNNNNNNNNNNNNNNNNNNNNNNNNNNNNNNNNNNNNNNNNNNNNNNNNNNNNNNNNNNNNNNNNNNNNNNNNNNNNNNNNNNNNNNNNNNNNNNNNNNNNNNNNNNNNNNNNNNNNNNNNNNNNNNNNNNNNNNNNNNNNNNNNNNNNNNNNNNNNNNNNNNNNNNNNNNNNNNNNNNNNNNNNNNNNNNNNNNNNNNNNNNNNNNNNNNNNNNNNNNNNNNNNNNNNNNNNNNNNNNNNNNNNNNNNNNNNNNNNNNNNNNNNNNNNNNNNNNNNNNNNNNNNNNNNNNNNNNNNNNNNNNNNNNNNNNNNNNNNNNNNNNNNNNNNNNNNNNNNNNNNNNNNNNNNNNNNNNNNNNNNNNNNNNNNNNNNNNNNNNNNNNNNNNNNNNNNNNNNNNNNNNNNNNNNNNNNNNNNNNNNNNNNNNNNNNNNNNNNNNNNNNNNNNNNNNNNNNNNNNNNNNNNNNNNNNNNNNNNNNNNNNNNNNNNNNNNNNNNNNNNNNNNNNNNNNNNNNNNNNNNNNNNNNNNNNNNNNNNNNNNNNNNNNNNNNNNNNNNNNNNNNNNNNNNNNNNNNNNNNNNNNNNNNNNNNNNNNNNNNNNNNNNNNNNNNNNNNNNNNNNNNNNNNNNNNNNNNNNNNNNNNNNNNNNNNNNNNNNNNNNNNNNNNNNNNNNNNNNNNNNNNNNNNNNNNNNNNNNNNNNNNNNNNNNNNNNNNNNNNNNNNNNNNNNNNNNNNNNNNNNNNNNNNNNNNNNNNNNNNNNNNNNNNNNNNNNNNNNNNNNNNNNNNNNNNNNNNNNNNNNNNNNNNNNNNNNNNNNNNNNNNNNNNNNNNNNNNNNNNNNNNNNNNNNNNNNNNNNNNNNNNNNNNNNNNNNNNNNNNNNNNNNNNNNNNNNNNNNNNNNNNNNNNNNNNNNNNNNNNNNNNNNNNNNNNNNNNNNNNNNNNNNNNNNNNNNNNNNNNNNNNNNNNNNNNNNNNNNNNNNNNNNNNNNNNNNNNNNNNNNNNNNNNNNNNNNNNNNNNNNNNNNNNNNNNNNNNNNNNNNNNNNNNNNNNNNNNNNNNNNNNNNNNNNNNNNNNNNNNNNNNNNNNNNNNNNNNNNNNNNNNNNNNNNNNNNNNNNNNNNNNNNNNNNNNNNNNNNNNNNNNNNNNNNNNNNNNNNNNNNNNNNNNNNNNNNNNNNNNNNNNNNNNNNNNNNNNNNNNNNNNNNNNNNNNNNNNNNNNNNNNNNNNNNNNNNNNNNNNNNNNNNNNNNNNNNNNNNNNNNNNNNNNNNNNNNNNNNNNNNNNNNNNNNNNNNNNNNNNNNNNNNNNNNNNNNNNNNNNNNNNNNNNNNNNNNNNNNNNNNNNNNNNNNNNNNNNNNNNNNNNNNNNNNNNNNNNNNNNNNNNNNNNNNNNNNNNNNNNNNNNNNNNNNNNNNNNNNNNNNNNNNNNNNNNNNNNNNNNNNNNNNNNNNNNNNNNNNNNNNNNNNNNNNNNNNNNNNNNNNNNNNNNNNNNNNNNNNNNNNNNNNNNNNNNNNNNNNNNNNNNNNNNNNNNNNNNNNNNNNNNNNNNNNNNNNNNNNNNNNNNNNNNNNNNNNNNNNNNNNNNNNNNNNNNNNNNNNNNNNNNNNNNNNNNNNNNNNNNNNNNNNNNNNNNNNNNNNNNNNNNNNNNNNNNNNNNNNNNNNNNNNNNNNNNNNNNNNNNNNNNNNNNNNNNNNNNNNNNNNNNNNNNNNNNNNNNNNNNNNNNNNNNNNNNNNNNNNNNNNNNNNNNNNNNNNNNNNNNNNNNNNNNNNNNNNNNNNNNNNNNNNNNNNNNNNNNNNNNNNNNNNNNNNNNNNNNNNNNNNNNNNNNNNNNNNNNNNNNNNNNNNNNNNNNNNNNNNNNNNNNNNNNNNNNNNNNNNNNNNNNNNNNNNNNNNNNNNNNNNNNNNNNNNNNNNNNNNNNNNNNNNNNNNNNNNNNNNNNNNNNNNNNNNNNNNNNNNNNNNNNNNNNNNNNNNNNNNNNNNNNNNNNNNNNNNNNNNNNNNNNNNNNNNNNNNNNNNNNNNNNNNNNNNNNNNNNNNNNNNNNNNNNNNNNNNNNNNNNNNNNNNNNNNNNNNNNNNNNNNNNNNNNNNNNNNNNNNNNNNNNNNNNNNNNNNNNNNNNNNNNNNNNNNNNNNNNNNNNNNNNNNNNNNNNNNNNNNNNNNNNNNNNNNNNNNNNNNNNNNNNNNNNNNNNNNNNNNNNNNNNNNNNNNNNNNNNNNNNNNNNNNNNNNNNNNNNNNNNNNNNNNNNNNNNNNNNNAAUCAUCUGACAGGGCCUAUCCCCCAAAAAGGACAGUUCAGCACAUUCAACAAGGAUUCUUACCUAGGUAACUUUGCCUUGUGUGGAUUACCUUUAACUAAUAACUGUACACACACUGUGUCACCACCACAAGAAGGCGGAACUGGUGACAAUGAUGCCUAUGAUGAACCCGAUUGGGAAGUGAUCCUCAUGGGAUAUGGAUGUGGACUAAUAUGCGGAUUGUCCACUGGGUACGUUGUCUUCACAUUCAGAAAGCCUCAGUGGUUUAUGAGAUACACUGAAAGCGUGCAACAGAAGUUGAUGAGAUGAUGCAUGUUGAGUACCGUUCAAUCAUGAAGCACAACUGGAAACAAUGUUAUCUUAGGAAAACAUGUGUUCUGAACCAGUAGUGUUUGCACAAAAUUUGUGGUGCUAUGUAAUACUUAUAUAAUUGUACGUAUGAUUAUUGAUUAGUCGUUGAGAAAAUGCAUUUUAUUUCAGUGUCAAUGAUAAUCUACAUGUUUUGGAUACUUCCAGCUUCUCAUACUAAUAUAGGAACCACUUGAAAAAUUUUGCGAUGCAAAGCAGGGACUCAUGAGUAUUUUCAUAUGUGUAUUAGUUUUGAAGAUAAAAGUUGUAUGGACAAUUGUGUUGAUAAUUUGCGCAAUGAUAACUGGGAUAGGUCAUCUUCUCUCCCAAGUCUUGGAUGGACUCUUUCCAAGUCUUCUGAGAACCCAUCAGCUCAGAUUAGUCCAUACAAUGUCAAGGGUCCUAUGAUAUGGUCUACUAACAGCCCAGUGUCGGUAAUAAAUCCAAUUGCAUAUAACCUAUUCAAAAUCAAUCCCCUAUAAACAAUCAUCUCUAAAAACUAUUCACAUAAAAUAAAAUUUUAAAAAUAUAAAAUAUCUAGUUGUUUUCAAUAUAUAAUUUUCCACAGUAGAUAACAAAAUAUCUUUAUCAAAUUAUAUUAUUUAUGGGUUCAAUAUUUAAGCUAUAAUUCCAAUAACACGGCAAGCAUGCAUGCAGCAUAUAAAUAGAAGUGUGCAGUAUGUAUGGUAUUCAUAACCCAGUUGAGGAGAAACAUGGCACACUUUGUAAAGCCUUCUCACCUUCUUCUCUUUGUUUUCUUUCUCUCAUCACUUGAGUCCAUUCUUGCAACAAGACGAGAGGGAGAGGGAGAAGCUCUUGUGAAAUGGAAGAAUAGCCUAGCCCCUUCUUCUUUUCUCGACUCUUGGUCACUCACCAAUCUCGAUAAUCUUUGUAACUGGACUGGCAUUACUUGUAACUCUGCAGGUUCAGUCACUGAGAUUAACCUUUUCGGAAAAAAACUUGAUGGAAGGCUGUCCGAGUUUGGUUUCACUUCAUUUCCAAAUCUCAACAAUCUCACCCUUGCAGAUAACUUCUUCUUGGGUCCAAUACCACCAGCCAUUGAGAAUUUAACACAGCUUCAGUAUCUUGAUUUAAGCUUUAAUUAUCUCGAUGGUCCCAUUCCGUUCCAGGUUAGCCAUCUUCAAAGGUUGCUUGUCUUAAACGUGUCACAGAAUGCAUUGCAUUCUCCAAAUUGGUCCAAUUUCUCAAACAGAUGAAAUUAUGCAACUGAAAUUGAUGUAGUCUUAAAGAAUUCUCAGGCACUUAAACAUGUUUCAAAGAAUUCUCAGGCACUUAAACAUUUGGACGGGUUCUUUGGAAGCCAAGAUGCCCAGGUUAUCAUGGCCAUGCACAAAAUGCAGUAUAAAAAAAAAAUGAAUACCUUAAGAGAGAUUGCUCUGGGUCUCCCCAAGCCUUCUAGACUCAUUCCAAGUCUUCUGAGGACCACUGCCUCGCGCUUUCAAAGAUGUGAUGGUAGCUCGGGAGUGAUAUAAAUUAUUUUCGGGACACUAAUAAUAAAUAAUCAGAUCAAAUUAAUCAUCAAUAAUAAAUUGAGGAUACGAAAUCAAAAUUAAUCCUAAAUUUUGAUAAUAUAUAAAAAUUACUUUACGUACACUGUUUGCACGCAUUUUGAGCUCGUAUAAAGUAUAGUUUCAUAACUUUUUUUAAAAAAUUUCUUUUUUGAUAAAAGUUUAAACGUCAAACUUUUAUUCAGAGAAAAAAAAUUAAAAAAUAUAUCACGGAACUAUACUUUAAAUUAGUAUGGAAAAACGUGCCAAAAUUAACGUAAAGAAAUGAGGGGAACAAAGAUAGUAUAAUUAUAUUAUAAAUUAAAAUUGAAAUAACUUACGUGGCACUGAAAUUGAUAAAGGCAAUAUGGUUAAAUUGAUGAAAAGUCAAAGUCCUCUAAUAAAUCCAUAAAGAAUAUAAUAAUCAAAACGACGAAAAUUAUAAAUGAAAAAUCAAAAUCAUCCUAAUAAGUACACAAAAAGAAUAUGAUCGUUAGUGUAUUGGAAUAGUGUGCACACACUUAUAUAUCAAAAUUUGUGGUCCAAAAGCUAUGGCACAAUAUUCUAAAUACACCACAUUAAGUAAUAGUUCAAAAAUAUUCAAUAUAUAAUUGUUUUCAUUCAUAAUUUUGUUAUUAUUUUAAAAAAUAAUUUGGUUGCUGUUAACCUAUAUUUCAAUUAUAUAAUUAUAUUAUUUUUUAUUUUAUGUAUCUAGAAACAAUAUUUUUGUAAUAUUUAUUACAUUAAUUAUAUUAAAAGAUAUAAUUUGUUAAAAACUUGAAUAAAAUUAAGAGGAUAACUUUAUGUCUCUCCAAGUUCACAGCACGGGUGAGCAUUGGGUUCGGAUAUCCAUAUACCGAAUGGAUAUAUCAAAUCAAAACUAAUCAUGAAUUAUGAUAAUAAUUAAAUAAAUUAUAAUUAAGCUAUAUGAAUCAACUCCAAAUGACAACAACAGCACCAAACCUUAGUUACUUUAAUAUUGGUAAAUAAAUAUAAUAUAAUAAUCAAAUUGAUGAAAAAUCACAUCAUCUAAUAAAUUCACAAAAAAUAUAUGAUCAUUAGUAUAUUAUAUUAGUAUCCACACACUUAUAUUUCAAAAUCUAUCCUCCAAAAUUAUCAUCUCUGUAAGCUAGCCACAUAAAAUAAAAAAUUUAAAGAUAUUAGAUAUUUAGUUAUUUUCAUUAUAUAAUUUUUCCACACGAAAUAACAAAAUAUCUUUAUCAAAUUAUUAUUUAUGAGUUAAAUAUUCAAGUUAUAAAUCCAGUAUUCAGCGUAUAAAUAGAAGUGUGCAGUAUGAUAUCAGAUUCACAUAACCCAGUUGAUGAGGAGAAACAUGGCAUACUCUGCAAAGCCUUCUCACCUUCUUCUCUUUGUUUUCUUUCUCUCAUCACUUGAAUCCAUUCUUGCAACAACACGAGAGGGAGAAGCUCUUGUGAAAUGGAAGAAUAGCCUAGCCCCUUCUUCUUUUCUCGAUUCUUGGUCCCUCACCAAUCUCGAAAAUCUUUGUAACUGGACUGGCAUUACUUGUAACUCUGCAGGUUCAGUCUCUGAGAUUAACCUCUGUGAGAAACAACUUGAUGGAAUGCUGUCCGACUUCGGUUUCACUUCAUUUCCAAAUCUCAAGAAUCUCACCCUCGCAUACAACUUCUUCUCGGGUCCAAUACCACCAGCCAUUCAGAACUUAACAAGGCUUCAAUGCCUUGAUUUAAGCUUUAAUUAUCUCAAUGGUCCUAUUCCGUUCCAGGUGAGCCAUCUUCAGAGCUUGCUCAUCUUGAACCUGUCACAGAAUGCAUUGCAAACUCCAAAUUGGUCCCAUUUCUCUCCCAUGCCUUUCUUGCGCAUCCUCAACCUCAGUUACAAUCCUCUUGCGUCGAAAUUCCCAGAUUUUAUAUCCAGUUCUCAUAGCCUGACUCACCUUAGCCUUAAUUAUAACGAGUUUACUGGUGAUUUAGUACGUGAAUCAGUAUUUGCCGAUCUGCAUAAUCUUGAAAAGCUCAGUCUUGUUGGCAAUUCUUUCGAGGGGCCAUUUCCGCCGGAUAUAUUCAGGCUUUCCAAAUUAAAACAUCUUAGCAUGUCAGAUAACAAACUUUCAGGUUCAAUUCCCAAUGACAUAAGGUUGCUUUGUGAUCUUGAAUACCUAUAUUUAGCCAACAAUUCCUUUGAAGGACCGCUUCCACCAAAUAUAUUCAAGUUUUCAAAAUUAAAACAUCUUGUUCUUUGGGGUAAUAAGUUUUCUGGUUCUGUUUCCAAUGAUAUAGGUUUGCUUUCUGAGCUUGAAACUCUCGAUCUUAGCUCUAAUUUUUUUGAGGGGCCGCUUCCGCCAAAUGUAUUCAAGCUCUCCAAACUAAAAGUUCUCACCCUGUCAAUUAACAAAUUUUUAGGUUCAAUUCCCAAUGACAUAAGGUUACUUUGUGAUCUUGAAUACCUAUAUUUAGGCAACAAUUCCUUUGAAGGACCGCUUCCACCAGGUAUAUUCAAGCUUUCAAAAUUAAAACAUCUUUUUCUUUGGGGUAAUAAGUUUUCAGGUUCUGUUUUCAAUGAUAUAUGUUUGCUUUCUGAGCUUGAAACCCUCGAUCUUAACUCUAAUUUUUUUGAGGGGCCGCUUCCGCCAAAUGUAUUCAAGCUCUCCAAACUAAAGAUUCUUUCCCUUUAUGUGAACAACUUUUCAGGUUUUAUUUCUAAGGAUAUAGGUUGGCUUUUUGAACUUGAAACCCUCUAUCUUGGCUCUAAUUUUUUUGAGGGGCCGCUUCCCCCACAUGUAUUUAGGCUCUCCAAAUUAAGAGAUUUGGACCUCUCAGACAAUAGAAAUUUAUUUGAAGGAAGUAUUCCUAUUGGACUGGGACUCUUGACUAACCUCAGGUACUUAGAUCUACAUUUCAGUAAUCUCAGUGGCUAUAUUCCAUCUGACAUUGGAAACCUGAAGCUACUAGUACUUCUUGAUCUCAGUUCUAAUAAAUUGACUGGACCGCUUUCAAAGAUCAUUUCUAAUCUCACAAAUCUUAUAUUUCUUGAUGUAAGUGAUAAUAGUCUUAGUGGAAAUAUUCAGAGUGACUUGUGGAAAUAUAACGAUCAUCCAACUUUGGAAUACAUCGAUUUAAGUGGGAACCAUUUUACGGGUAUAGUUUUUCUCUAUAGAUCUUUUCUUUUUCUCAUAUGUAACUAAGCUAGUAAUCUGAUUAUUGCAGUUUCACCAAAGUUUCAACAAUCUUGACAGGUGAGCUUCCAACAACAAUUUGCAAUGUCACUUCCCUUUUGGUUCUUGAUUUGUCAAAUAAUGAAUUAAGUGGUGCACUUCCAAACUGUUUCGGGAAUCUUGCUGAUAGAUUGCUUUUCAUUAAUCUUGCUAAUAAUCAGUUUCGAGGAACAAUACCAACUACUUUCUCCAGGAGUUGUCAGCUGACAUAUCUAAACAUGGAUAAUAAUGAGUUUGAAGGAUUGUUGCGCCCAUCUUUGGCGAACUGUAAGCACUUGAAAAUUCUUGAUAUUGGCAAUAAUAAAAUAGGUGGUACAUUUCCGUCAUGGCUUUAUGCACUUGGAGAGCUAGAAGUCCUUGUCUUGCGAUCAAAUAAACUCUAUGGUACAAUAAGUGGGAGGAGCAUAGAAAAUCCCUUCCCCAAGUUGCGGAUUGUGGAUCUGUCCAACAAUCAAUUCACUGGCCAUUUGCCAAUUCAAUACUUUAAGAAUAUGAAAUCAACUGAUAAUUUGUAUAGUUAUCAGAAUGACACAGGAGUUUUUUCUUUCCAUUAUGAAGCAUCUGUAUCAUUAACUGUGAAGGGAACAGAGUAUGAAGUGAAAAAUAUCCUUCAUAUUUACACAACCAUUGAUCUGUCCUGCAACAAGUUUCAAGGAGAAAUUCCUGACGUUAUUGGAGAGCUUAGAUGGCUUGCAUUGCUGAACUUAUCUCAUAAUAGUCUAACAGGACAUAUCCCAUCAUUGCUGAGAAAUAUGAAAGGACUCCAAUCUUUAGAUUUGUCUUCAAAUCAACUGACAGGGGCUAUUCCACCUCAGUUAACUGCAUUGACAUUUCUAGAGGUCUUGAACCUCUCGGGAAACCAUCUUAGUGGAGAGAUUCCUCAGAAAGGACAGUUCAGCACAUUCAACAAUGAUUCUUAUCUAGGAAACUCCGCGUUAUGUGGAUCACCUUUGACAAAGAAAUGUGUAAACACAGCAUCACCUCCACAGGAAGUCGGAAAUGGUGAUGAAGAUGAUGCUGGCGAUGAAUGGACAUGGGAAGCAAUCGUGAUGGGAUAUGGAUGUGGACUGAUAUGUGGAUUGUCGUCUGCGUACAUUGUUCUCAGACUAGGAAGGCCUUGGUGGUUUGUGAGAUAUAUCGAAGUACUGCAACUGAAGUUGAUGAAAAGAUAUGCAUGAAGAAAGGUACUGGUAGAUCAAGAUGAACUUGAAAGUUAUUUUCGUGGAUGACAUUUGUGAACCAGUACUGUACUAGCUGCUUAAGUAUUUGGUAUUAUGUAAUAAUCCGUUUGGUCGGGACUCAUAAUGAUAUUUCUUGCUUCAGGGGUAUUAAUAUAAACCUUGGUAUUGUGUACUAGCUGUCUGUUUGGUCGUGACUCAUAAUCUUUCAUGUAUUAACAUAAGGUUUUAAUACAUCCCGUACCAGGUUAGCCAUCUUCAGAUAUUACACAUCUUACUGCUGUCGCAUAAUGAAUUGCAAUCUCCAAAUUGGUCCAACUUCUCUUCCAUGCCCUUUUUGCGCAUCCUCGGCCUUGGCAGCAAUAAUCUGGUGUCAAAAUUCCCAGAAUUUAUAUCUGACUCUCAUAGCCUCACUUUCCUUGACCUUUCUUUUAACAAGUUUACAGGUGAUCUUGUGCUUGAAUCAAUUUUUACCGAUCUACAUAAUCUUGAAAACCUCCAUCUUGCUGGAAAUUCCUUUGAGGGGCCGAUUCCACCUAGAGUAUUUAAGCUUUCCAAUUUAAAAGUUCUUGAACUCACGGGUAAUAACUUUUCUCGUUCUAUUUCCAACGAUAUAGGUUUGCUUUCUGAACUUGAGACCCUCUAUCUUGACUUCAAUUUUUUUGAUGGACCAAUUCCCCCAAAUAUAUUCAACCUUUCCCAAUUAAAAAUUCUUGAACUAACAGAAAAUAACUUUUCUGGUCCUGUUUCCAAUGAUAUAAGUUUGCUUUCUGAGCUUGAAAACCUCAAUCUUGCCUUAAAUUCUUCUGAUGGGCCUUUUCCAUCAAAGAUAUUCAACCUAACCAAAUUGAGACAUCUAAAUCUCUAUGGCAAUAAGAAUUUAUUUAAAGGAAGUAUCCCACUGGAUAUCAGAAACCUGAAGCUCCUGGAAUCUAUUAAUCUCGGUUCUAAUCAAUUGGUUGGACCACUUUCAAUGCUCAUUUCUAAUCUCACUAAUCUUAAGAUGGUUGGGCUAAGCGAUAAUAGGUUUUUUGGCAAAAUUCCUAGUGACUUCUUGAAAAACUUGCCAUCCUUACACGUCAUUGAUCUUUCAAAUAAUAAUUUGUCCGGAAAUAUUCCCAGGGAGUAUAACGUGCAUCCAAUUUUAGAAUACAUCAAUUUAAGUGGAAACCAUCUUACAGGUUUACUUCUCCCUCAAUAUAUUUUAUUUUCCUUUUGUAUGUUACAUUGAUUACACUUUUACCGAAGCUCAAACAAUUUUAACAGGUGAGAUCCCAGCAACAAUUUGCAAUGCUACAAACCUUUAUAUUCUGGUUCUGUCAGAUAAUGGAUUAAGUGGUGCCCUUCCGCAUUGUUUGGGAAAUCUUGCAGAUAAAAUGCAUUGCAUUGAUCUCGCUAAUAAUCAGUUCCGAGGACCAAUACCAACAACCUUCUCAGAGAGUUGCCAGUUAAGAUAUCUAAACAUGUAUGACAAUCAGUUAGAAGGACUUUUGCCCCGAUCUUUGUCAAACUGUAAGCACUUGAAAAUUCUUGACAUCGGGAACAACAAAAUGGGCGGUACAUUUCCUUCAUGGCUAUUCACUCUCAGAGAGCUAGAAGUCCUAGUCUUGCAAUCAAAUAAACUGUAUGGUCCAGUAAGUGGAAGGAGCACACAUCACAUCCAUUCCCCAAGUUGCGGAUUCUAGAUCUCUCCAACAACCAAUUCACGGGCUAUUUGCCAAUUCAAUACUCUUUAAGAAUAUGAAACCAGCUGCUGAUAACAUUUGUCUUAGGAUGACACAUGUUCUAAACUAUGACAAUAGUAUGCAAUCUCGUUUAAUACUUUCAUAUUAUGAACUAGUUCUGUUGAAUAAAUAAAUAUUAUUAAUUAAUCAAUCAUGUGCGCUCGAGUUUCCCUGGCCAGAUGCCCAGAUUAUUAGAGCAUCUCCAGCAGAGUCUUAACCGGUUCUCUAAAUAUAUAAUAAAAUAUGUAUCUUUUAAGGGAUUACUACAUUUUAGUGAAUGAGAACUCCAACAACAUUCCCUAUUUACAUUCUCUAUUAUUAUUAUAAUAUUAUAUUCAACUUGUAAUAAGAGAGAGAAAGUUUGGAAAGAGUAAAAGUGAGAAAAAAUAAGUGAAUAUUUUAUUCUUCAGAAUAAUAUAAGGAAAGAAAAUGCCAAAACAAUUAACUAUAAUCUACGCAAUAAUUUUUUAUAUUGAUUAGACGUUAUCUUUAUCAAUAUUUAGUCAGAUAUUCGGAUAUAUAUCAUUCCCUUUGUUUUUAUACCAUCUUUUUUUUGACUUUCGGGCCAAAUCACUACGUGGGUUGACUGGAUAGUAGAAAUUAAUAUUUUUGUCUGUUUUUUAAAAUAAAAAUCUGUAUUUUUAUUUUGAUUUCGAAGAAUAUAAUCCAUAAGGUAAAUAAUUUUUAANNNNNNNNNNNNNNNNNNNNNNNNNNNNNNNNNNNNNNNNNNNNNNNNNNNNNNNNNNNNNNNNNNNNNNNNNNNNNNNNNNNNNNNNNNNNNNNNNNNNNNNNNNNNNNNNNNNNNNNNNNNNNNNNNNNNNNNNNNNNNNNNNNNNNNNNNNNNNNNNNNNNNNNNNNNNNNNNNNNNNNNNNNNNNNNNNNNNNNNNNNNNNNNNNNNNNNNNNNNNNNNNNNNNNNNNNNNNNNNNNNNNNNNNNNNNNNNNNNNNNNNNNNNNNNNNNNNNNNNNNNNNNNNNNNNNNNNNNNNNNNNNNNNNNNNNNNNNNNNNNNNNNNNNNNNNNNNNNNNNNNNNNNNNNNNNNNNNNNNNNNNNNNNNNNNNNNNNNNNNNNNNNNNNNNNNNNNNNNNNNNNNNNNNNNNNNNNNNNNNNNNNNNNNNNNNNNNNNNNNNNNNNNNNNNNNNNNNNNNNNNNNNNNNNNNNNNNNNNNNNNNNNNNNNNNNNNNNNNNNNNNNNNNNNNNNNNNNNNNNNNNNNNNNNNNNNNNNNNNNNNNNNNNNNNNNNNNNNNNNNNNNNNNNNNNNNNNNNNNNNNNNNNNNNNNNNNNNNNNNNNNNNNNNNNNNNNNNNNNNNNNNNNNNNNNNNNNNNNNNNNNNNNNNNNNNNNNNNNNNNNNNNNNNNNNNNNNNNNNNNNNNNNNNNNNNNNNNNNNNNNNNNNNNNNNNNNNNNNNNNNNNNNNNNNNNNNNNNNNNNNNNNNNNNNNNNNNNNNNNNNNNNNNNNNNNNNNNNNNNNNNNNNNNNNNNNNNNNNNNNNNNNNNNNNNNNNNNNNNNNNNNNNNNNNNNNNNNNNNNNNNNNNNNNNNNNNNNNNNNNNNNNNNNNNNNNNNNNNNNNNNNNNNNNNNNNNNNNNNNNNNNNNNNNNNNNNNNNNNNNNNNNNNNNNNNNNNNNNNNNNNNNNNNNNNNNNNNNNNNNNNNNNNNNNNNNNNNNNNNNNNNNNNNNNNNNNNNNNNNNNNNNNNNNNNNNNNNNNNNNNNNNNNNNNNNNNNNNNNNNNNNNNNNNNNNNNNNNNNNNNNNNNNNNNNNNNNNNNNNNNNNNNNNNNNNNNNNNNNNNNNNNNNNNNNNNNNNNNNNNNNNNNNNNNNNNNNNNNNNNNNNNNNNNNNNNNNNNNNNNNNNNNNNNNNNNNNNNNNNNNNNNNNNNNNNNNNNNNNNNNNNNNNNNNNNNNNNNNNNNNNNNNNNNNNNNNNNNNNNNNNNNNNNNNNNNNNNNNNNNNNNNNNNNNNNNNNNNNNNNNNNNNNNNNNNNNNNNNNNNNNNNNNNNNNNNNNNNNNNNNNNNNNNNNNNNNNNNNNNNNNNNNNNNNNNNNNNNNNNNNNNNNNNNNNNNNNNNNNNNNNNNNNNNNNNNNNNNNNNNNNNNNNNNNNNNNNNNNNNNNNNNNNNNNNNNNNNNNNNNNNNNNNNNNNNNNNNNNNNNNNNNNNNNNNNNNNNNNNNNNNNNNNNNNNNNNNNNNNNNNNNNNNNNNNNNNNNNNNNNNNNNNNNNNNNNNNNNNNNNNNNNNNNNNNNNNNNNNNNNNNNNNNNNNNNNNNNNNNNNNNNNNNNNNNNNNNNNNNNNNNNNNNNNNNNNNNNNNNNNNNNNNNNNNNNNNNNNNNNNNNNNNNNNNNNNNNNNNNNNNNNNNNNNNNNNNNNNNNNNNNNNNNNNNNNNNNNNNNNNNNNNNNNNNNNNNNNNNNNNNNNNNNNNNNNNNNNNNNNNNNNNNNNNNNNNNNNNNNNNNNNNNNNNNNNNNNNNNNNNNNNNNNNNNNNNNNNNNNNNNNNNNNNNNNNNNNNNNNNNNNNNNNNNNNNNNNNNNNNNNNNNNNNNNNNNNNNNNNNNNNNNNNNNNNNNNNNNNNNNNNNNNNNNNNNNNNNNNNNNNNNNNNNNNNNNNNNNNNNNNNNNNNNNNNNNNNNNNNNNNNNNNNNNNNNNNNNNNNNNNNNNNNNNNNNNNNNNNNNNNNNNNNNNNNNNNNNNNNNNNNNNNNNNNNNNNNNNNNNNNNNNNNNNNNNNNNNNNNNNNNNNNNNNNNNNNNNNNNNNNNNNNNNNNNNNNNNNNNNNNNNNNNNNNNNNNNNNNNNNNNNNNNNNNNNNNNNNNNNNNNNNNNNNNNNNNNNNNNNNNNNNNNNNNNNNNNNNNNNNNNNNNNNNNNNNNNNNAUAUACACUUCCAUUUCCACUUUCCAGUAUUAAGUUUAGAAUUAAGAUCUUAACAACAUAGCAAUCAUUUAAACCUCGAAGAAAAUUGUGCACAUUAACAAGACCAAAGAGAAAACAGAUAGCAUAAAAUUGUGUAACACGUAUAAUUUAAAUCCACUUCUCAGUAUACUCCACAUUCAAGGUGAUCUAACUGCUACAAUAUUCUAAUUUUCACAGCUACGACACUGAACAAUAUAAGAACCAGUUUACUGUAAGUUUACUGAACAUAUAUAUACGACAUUGAACAAUAUAAAAUAGCUAUCCUUUGUAAGACCAAAAACAAAGGACACUAGCUAGCUAAUUCAAUAUACAAAACCACUCCAAUCAGUUUAUGAUAAGCAACUACAAACAUACAAAUACAUAUAAACAUACAAAUACAUAUAAACAUACUAUCUCAUUUUCCAAAAACCACAACUACAAACUAUCUCAUUUUCCAAAAACACACACUGAAAUACAUAUAUACAUACACAUACAACCACAAGGAUACCCAAACUCAAGUAAUAAAUAAGAAAUUACCUCCUCCAACUCGAAGAGAGCUUGAAUAGACUUGAACAGAGCUUGAACAGACUCCGAGCUCGAACUCCCUACAAACUCGAACUGAAGUACGAGCACCCACUAAACCCACAAACUCCACACUCGAACUGAACUCUGAGAUCUGUUGAAAAAACGAAUUAAAGAAGCAAAUGAGUAUUGUAAUCGAACAAACAUCAGUUUAUUAGGUACAAAUCAACCUUUAUCGCACAAAUUUAAGGAUGAAAUCGGCCGAAUUGGAACCUAGGGUUCGCUCGCUGAGAAAGGGGGAAGAACGGGGAGAGAGAAUGUAUUUUGUACAAAUGAUUUAAUUUAGGUAGUUUUAUUAGUUUUAUGUCUUUUUCCUUUUAAUUUUAUGUUUAAAGACAGGUGUUGAUGUCUUGUUCAGACAACACAUCAACUAAGCAGCGGGGUUUUAAAGGCGGGGUUUUUUUGUUUGUGAAAAAUUUGGCUAAGUGGGGAAUAGAAGCGGGGAAGCGCGGCCAAUUUUUUAAAAACAUGUUUUAGACAUCGGUUCUACACUAAGAUGAUGUCUAGUUUUUUAAUAGACAUCGGUUUUUAAAAUUUCGAUGUAAAAAAGGGUUUUAACAUCGGUGGUUUUUUUAACCGAUGUCUAAUCUGUGAUGUCUGAUCCUGUUUUUCUAGUAGUGAUCACUGCAACAAAAUAUUAGUUACGACGGAACAAUGUCGCUGGACUUUAUUUGUUUACAUUUUUUUAAUAGUAGUUAAUUUUUAAACUUGCGACGGAAAACAUACGACAGUCUACUUCGCGAGAGAAAAUCAUUUUAUUUUAUUUUUUAGCGCCAGAAUUUUAAUACUAAACUACUAUAGGGCCGUUUGGGCUAGCUUAAAAAAAGUGAUUUUUUACUUACAGUAAAGAAGUGGAUUAAAAGUGAGAAGCAAAUAAGUCAAUAAAAUGUUUGGAAAAGAAGUAGAAGCUGUGAGAGAGAAGUUAGCAUUCUCAGCUUCUUAAAAGUGCUUCUGCUUAUUUACAUAAACGGGUAAAAAAAAAAAAGCAAAAGCCAGAAGCAGCUUCUACUUCUCGAAACAAACAGGGCCAAUAUAUAUGAAGGAAACUGAUCUCUAUUGUUUUCAGCUUGCUCAUCCAUGGUAAGUAAUCCGUCGAAAAAGUUAGUUUGUUGUCGUGGUGUCUUAUCAUGAGAGAAAAUGGUAAUAUCGCAAAAUAUUUGCAACUGAAAGAUAAAUUAUAGUUCUAGAAACCAUUUAGGUAACGAUGCGCGGAGUUAUUUUCACUCACUUAGAAUUAAUGAUAAAUAUUUGCAACUGAAAGAUACAUUAUAGUUCUAGAAAAGGAUCCACGGAAUUAUUUUCACUCACUUAGAAUUAAUCCUAAGUUAUUGUGAGUUUUUGAAUAUGGAUUAUCUCAAAUUUUAUUAAAACACAUAUCGAUUCAUAUAGACAAAUUUGCCUACCUAAUAUUAUAAUAUUUAUGGCGAAGUUGUAUGAACAAUUGUGUAGAUAAUUAUACUUUACAAAGCAUACUUCUGCUAGCUGAAUUUUGAUUAAAAAAUCGAAAGGGAUAGGUCUGGGUCUCUCCAAGUCUUUGAGGACUCAUUCCAAGUCUUCUGAUGAGGACAAAAUAUAUCGCUGGUAGUCUUUCAGUCCUUCCUAGAGUAUUUUAUGCUCUGCACUGCAUUUGUGUUGAUAAUUUGCGCAAUGUUGAUGAGGAUUGCUCCAAGUCUUGGCGGACUCUUUCCAAAUCUUCCGAGGACCUAUCGGUUCAAUUUAGCCCAUUAAAAAUUUUAUUAUCUCAAAGCUAUCUGCAAAAUAAUAUAUAAGGUAAAAAUGAAUAUAUACCAUUGUUUUGUGAUUAAGUUGUAUAGGCAAUAUGCAUUGCAAAAUCAGCAACAGGAUAUAUGAAUACUAAUUAAUUACCUGAUAUCAGUAUGAACAAAUACUUUCUAUGUAGUUGUAAUAUUAGUCUUCUUUAAAAGUUAUCAUGAGGGAAGGUAUAUAUUGUGAUGCGGGAGAAAUAUUGUCACUGAAAAUAAUUAUAAUUCUAAAAUUUCCAUUAUACACUUUUUUUAGUGUUUGUACGUGGUAAGUACUUCAGACGACAUUUCUCGCGUAUGCCUCCGAUUAAGAAUUUGAUGUUCAGCCUAGUCCUAAACUAAAAUUAUUAUAAAUGUGUACUUCAAAAUUAUAUAUAUUGCUGGUAGUCUUUCAGUUCUUCCUGGUGUAUGCAAUUGUUUCAUUCAAUACCAAUUAUUUUAUACUAUGCACUCUGAUAUCAUGUUGAGAACAAUCCAUCAAAAACUUUAAACCUUAAUUAAGGUGUUAGAGGAAAAUACCAAUUAGAUCUUAUGCUAUAUUUCAAUACUUCCAACACUCUGCGAUGCAAAGCAGGGACUCUUGAGUAUUUUCAUAUGUGUAUUAGUUUUGAAGAUAAAAGUUGUAUAGAGAAUUGUGUUGAUAAUUUGCGCAAUUGCGCAAUGAUAACUGGGAUAGGUCAUCUUCUCUCCCAAGUCUUGGAUGGAAUCUUUCCAAGUCUUCUGAGAACCCAUCAGCUCAGAUUAGUCCAUACAAUGUCAAGGGUCCUAUGAUAUGGUCUACUAACAGCCCAGUGUCGGUAAUAAAUCCAAUUGCAUAUAACCUAUUCAAAAUCAAUCCCCUAUAAACAAUCAUCUCUAAAAACUAUUCACAUAAAAUAAAAUUUUAAAAAUAUAAAAUAUCUAGUUGUUUUCAAUAUAUAAUUUUCCACAGUAGAUAACANNNNNNNNNNNNNNNNNNNNNNNNNNNNNNNNNNNNNNNNNNNNNNNNNNNNNNNNNNNNNNNNNNNNNNNNNNNNNNNNNNNNNNNNNNNNNNNNNNNNNNNNNNNNNNNNNNNNNNNNNNNNNNNNNNNNNNNNNNNNNNNNNNNNNNNNNNNNNNNNNNNNNNNNNNNNNNNNNNNNNNNNNNNNNNNNNNNNNNNNNNNNNNNNNNNNNNNNNNNNNNNNNNNNNNNNNNNNNNNNNNNNNNNNNNNNNNNNNNNNNNNNNNNNNNNNNNNNNNNNNNNNNNNNNNNNNNNNNNNNNNNNNNNNNNNNNNNNNNNNNNNNNNNNNNNNNNNNNNNNNNNNNNNNNNNNNNNNNNNNNNNNNNNNNNNNNNNNNNNNNNNNNNNNNNNNNNNNNNNNNNNNNNNNNNNNNNNNNNNNNNNNNNNNNNNNNNNNNNNNNNNNNNNNNNNNNNNNNNNNNNNNNNNNNNNNNNNNNNNNNNNNNNNNNNNNNNNNNNNNNNNNNNNNNNNNNNNNNNNNNNNNNNNNNNNNNNNNNNNNNNNNNNNNNNNNNNNNNNNNNNNNNNNNNNNNNNNNNNNNNNNNNNNNNNNNNNNNNNNNNNNNNNNNNNNNNNNNNNNNNNNNNNNNNNNNNNNNNNNNNNNNNNNNNNNNNNNNNNNNNNNNNNNNNNNNNNNNNNNNNNNNNNNNNNNNNNNNNNNNNNNNNNNNNNNNNNNNNNNNNNNNNNNNNNNNNNNNNNNNNNNNNNNNNNNNNNNNNNNNNNNNNNNNNNNNNNNNNNNNNNNNNNNNNNNNNNNNNNNNNNNNNNNNNNNNNNNNNNNNNNNNNNNNNNNNNNNNNNNNNNNNNNNNNNNNNNNNNNNNNNNNNNNNNNNNNNNNNNNNNNNNNNNNNNNNNNNNNNNNNNNNNNNNNNNNNNNNNNNNNNNNNNNNNNNNNNNNNNNNNNNNNNNNNNNNNNNNNNNNNNNNNUGUAUUAGUUUUGUAAGAUAAAAGUUGUAUGGACAAUUGUGUUGUAUAAUUUGCGCAAUGAUAACUGGGAUAGGUCAUCUUCUCUCCCAAGUCUUGGAUGGAAUCUUUCCAAGUCUUCUGAGAACCCAUCAGCUCAGAUUAGUCCAUACAAUGUCAAGGGUCCUAUGAUAUGGUCUACUAACAGCCCAGUGUCGGUAAUAAAUCCAAUUGCAUAUAACCUAUUCAAAAUCAAUCCCCUAUAAACAAUCAUCUCUAAAAACUAUUCACAUAAAAUAAAAUUUUAAAAAUAUAAAAUAUCUAGUUGUUUUCAAUAUAUAAUUUUCCACAGUAGAUAACAAAAUAUCUUUAUCAAAUUGUUAUUUAUGGGUUCAAUAUUUAAGCUAUAAUUCCAAUAACACGGCAAGCAUGCAGCGUAUAAAUAGAAGUGUGCAGUAUGUUAUCAGAUUCAUAACCCAGUUGAUCAGGAGAAACAUGGCAUACUCUGCAAAGCCUUCUCACCUUCUUCUCUUUGUUUUCUUUCUCUCAUCACUUGAAUCCAUUCUUGCAACAACACGAGAAGGAGAAGCUCUUGUGAAAUGGAAGAAUAGCCUAGCCCCUUCUUCUUUUCUCGAUUCUUGGUCCCUCACCAAUCUCGAAAAUCUUUGUAACUGGACUGGCAUUACUUGUAACUCUGCAGGUUCAGUCUCUGAGAUUAAUCUCUGUGAGAAACAACUUAAUGGAAUGCUGUCCGAGUUUGGUUUCACUUCAUUUCCAAAUCUCAACUAUCUCACACUCGCAGACAACUUCUUCUCCGGUCCAAUACCACCAGCCAUUGAGAAUUUAACACAGCUUCAAUAUCUUGAUUUGAGAAAUAAUUAUCUAGAUGGUCCCAUUCCGUUCCAGGUUAGCCAUCUUCAGAGCUUGCUCAUAUUAAACCUGUCACAGAAUGCAUUGCAAGCUACAAAUUGGUCCAAUUUCUCUCCCAUGCCUUUUUUGCGCAUCCUCAACCUCAGUAGCAAUCAUCUUGUAUCGAAAUUCCCAGAAUUUAUAUCCAAUUCUCAUAGCUUGGCUAUCCUUGACCUUUCACAUAACAACUUUACAGGUGAUCUUGUGCGUGAAUUUACCAAUCUACAAAAUCUUGAAACCCUCUGGCUUUAUUGUAAUUCUUUUGAGGGGCCAUUUCCGCCGGAUAUAUUCAGGCUCUCCAAAUUAAAACGUCUCUCCCUGUCAAGUAACAAAUUUUCAGGUUCAGUUCCCAAUGACAUAAGGUUGCUUUGUGAUCUUGAAUCCUUAAACUUAAGCAACAAUUCUUUUGAAGGACCGCUUCCACCAAAUUUAUUCAAGCUUUCGAAAUUAAAGAGUCUUUUUCUUUGGAGUAAUAAGUUUUCAGGUUCUAUUUCCAAUGAUAUAGGUUUGCUUUCUGAGCUUGAAUUUCUCAAUCUUUACGAUAAUUUUUUUGAGGGGCCGCUUCCAUGCAUCAAAUAUAUUCAAGCUCUCCAAAUUAAGGGUUCUUUACCUUAACGGUAAUAAACUUCUAGGUUCUCUUUCCAAUGAUAUAGGUUUGCUUUCUGAGCUUGAAACCCUCAAUCUUCGCUCUAAUUUUUUUGAGGCUCCGUUUCCGUCAAAUAUAUUCAAGCUUUCCAAAUUAACAAUUCUUGACCUCGCAUACAAUAGAAAUUUAUUUGAAGGAAGUUUUCCUAUUGGACUGGGACUCUUGACUAACCUCAGCUACUUAGAUCUAACUUCCACUAAUCUCAGUGGCUCAUCUGCCAUUGGAAACCUCAAGCUACUACUAUAUCUUGGUCUCAGUUAUAAUCAAUUGACUGGACCGCUUUCAAACAUUGUUUCUAAUCUAACAAAUCUUAUAUUUCUUGGUGUGGAUCAUAAUAGUCUUAGUGGAAAUAUUCCGAGUGACUGGUGGAAAGCCUCUGUAUCCUUACUUUACAUUGAUCUUGGAUAUAAUUAUUUGUCUGGGAACAUUCCUAAGGAAUAUAAAGAUCAUCCAACUUUGGAAUACAUCGAUUUAAGUGGGAACCAUUUUACAGGUAUUUUUUUCUCUAUAUAUCUUUUCCUUUUGUCACAUGUAACUAAGCUAGUAAUCUGAUUAUUGCAGUUUUACCUAAGUUUUAACAAUCUUGACAGGUGAGCUUCCAACAACAAUUUGCAAUGCUACCUCCCUUUCGGUUCUUGCUUUGUCAAAUAAUGGAUUAAGUGGUGCACUUCCAAACUGUAUUGCGAAUCUUGCUGAUGGAUUGCUUUACAUUAAUCUUGCUAAUAAUCAGUUUCGAGGAGCAAUACCAACUACUUCAUCCAAAAGUUGUCAGCUGACCUAUCUCAACAUGGAUAAUAAUGAGUUUGAAGGAUUGCUGCCCCCAUCUUUGGCGAACUGUAAGCACUUGAAGAUUCUUGAUAUUGGCAAUAAUAAAAUAGGUGGUACAUUUCCUUCAUGGCUUUAUGCACUUGGAGAGCUAGAAGUCCUUGUCUUGCGAUCAAAUAAACUCUAUGGUCCAAUAAGUGGGAGGAGCAUAGAAAAUCCCUUCCCCAAGUUGCGGAUUUUGGAUCUGUCCAACAAUCAAUUCUCAGGCCAUUUGCCAAUUCAAUACUUCAAGAAUAUGAAAUCAACUGAUAAAUUGUAUCGCUAUCAGAAUGCCACAACAUUAACGGGUUUCCAAUAUGAUGCAUCAGUCCCAUUAACUGUGAAGGGAACAGAGUAUGAAGUGAAAAAUAUCCUUCAUAUUUACACAGCCAUUGAUCUGUCCUGCAACAAGUUUCAAGGAGAAAUUCCUGACGUUAUUGGAGAGCUUAGAUGGCUUGCAUUGCUGAACUUAUCUCAUAAUAGUCUAACAGGACCUAUCCCAUCAUUGCUGAGAAAUAUGAAAGAACUCCAAUCUUUAGAUUUGUCGUCAAAUCAACUGACAGGGGCUAUUCCACCUCAGUUAACUGCACUGACAUUUCUAGAGGUCUUCAACCUCUCGGGAAACCAUCUUAGUGGAGAGAUUCCUCAGAAAGGACAGUUCAGCACAUUUAACAAUGAUUCUUAUCUAGGAAACUCCGCGUUAUGUGGAUCACCAUUGACGAAGAAAUGUGCAAACACAGCAUCACCUCCACAAGAAGUCGGAAAUGUUGAUGAAGAUGAUGCGGGUGAUGAAUUGACAUGGGAAGCAAUCUUGAUGGGAUAUGGAUGUGGACUGAUAUGUGGAUUGUCAUCUGCUUACAUUGUUCUCAAACUAGGAAAGCCUUGGUGGUUUGUGAGAUAUAUCGAAGUGCUGCAACUGAAGUUGAUGAAAAGAUAUGCAUGAAGAAUGGUACUGGCCGAUCAAGACGAACUUGAAAGUUGUUGGACAUUUCUGAACCAGUAGUGUACUAUUCUCUUUGUGGCUGCAUAAGUUUUUGGUAUUGUGUAAUAUUCUGUUUGGUCUUGAAUUUCAGGGGUAUUAAUAUAAACCUUGGUAUUGUGUAAUAUUCUGUUUGAUCAAUGUUUAUAUCAAUAAUUUUAUGCUCCUCACUGCAUCAUGCAGCUCUCAUAUUAUCUUCAUAUGUGUAUUAUUUGGAUAUCAAAGUUGCAGGGACAUAUGGAUAUGUGUUAACAGGGACUGCUCGGUCUUGGACGGACUCUUUCCAAGUCCUCUGGGGUCCUAUCGGUUCAAAUUAGUCUAUUAUCUGCAUACUAAUUUGUCCAACUCGGGCUUGAAUAGUAAAGAUAAAGAGUGCGAGUUGAGUUUCUCAAAGUAUGAGUACAAUAUCGUUUUUGAAUGAUAGUUAGGGGUGCGAUAUGCAAUUACCUCAAAAAUAUAUGAUCAUUAGUAUAUUAUAUUAGUAUCCACACACUUAUAUCUCAAAAUCUAUCCUCCAAAAUUAUCAUCUCUAUAGGCUAGCCACAUAAAAUAAAAAUUUAAAGAUAUUAGAUUUUUAGUUAUUUUCAUUAUAUAAUUUUUCCACGCAAAAUAACAAAAUAUCUUUAUCAACUUAUUAUUUAUGAGUUAAAUAUUCAAGUUAUAUAAUUCGGACAUGCUGGGUAUAAAUUGAAGUGUAACGCCUAAUUUCCGGGGUCUGGGAGUAGUUGGCGGGGUAUGAGAGAGCAGGCUAUUUAGAAGUCUUGGUCAUGAAAACUUCCAAGCUAAACUUCGACAACGGAAUCUUCUGAGGCUACUAUUCUAAAGCACGCAUAAUCAUUGUAUCCAUUUUCCGACAAAAAGUCUAUUUAAGCAAAUGAAAUACAAACAACUGAGUGGAAUGCUGACCGAAAGUCUUUUUGACUAAGCUUAUGAUUUAUUAGUACAUGAUUAAUAUGAUAAGCUAAGCUGAGAGCAUAAGAUAUCGUGUGUAUAAUUUUGUGUUUAUUAAUGACUUAUAAAUUAUUAAAAAUAUAAUAAGAAAAAUAAAAAUGAUUUAUAACUAAUUUAUGUUUUAUGAGUAAUUUUUAUUAGAAAAAAGUUUUAAAAAAUUAUUUCACUGGAAAAAAAACCUCCAACUAACUUUUGGCUCUAAGUCAGUUUUUGAUUUAUUUAUGACUUUAUGUCGGAUUCUGAUUUUUACACAAAAAUCUGGUUUUAAACCUCUGAGUUUGGUUUCACUUCAUAUACAAACCUCAACAAUUUCACCAUCAAACACAAUGACUUCUCCAAUCUCCGGUCCAGUACCACCAGCCAUUGAGAAUUUGGCACAACUUCAAUUCCAUACCAGGUUAGUCGUCUUCGGAGAUUACACGUCUUAGACCUGUCAAAUACAAAUUUCAAUCUCCAAACUGGUCCGAUUUAUCUUCUAUGCUUUUUGUUGAGUCCGGCUCAUCUAAAGCCUUAAGAUGUUAGAGGAAGCACCCAAUGAAUCUUAUAUAUGCUAUAUUUUAACAAUUCUGAGCACACUCAACCUUGGUAUUAAUAAUAUUGUGUCGAAAAUUCCAGAAUUUAUAUCUAAUUCUCAUAGCCUAACUUUCCUUGACCUUUCCAUAUAACAAAUUUACAGUUAAUCCUGUGCUUGAAUCAGUAUUUGCAACCAAAAUUAUGCAAUUAUAGUGCAGGUAGUCUUCCAGUUUACGCUCUACACUCCAGGAUAAGCUCGCAUAUAAUUGACAGCUAUAAUCCUUCCAACACUUUGUGAUGCAAAGCAGAGGGAUAGGUUGGCUUAAAAAUAUAUAAGGUCACUUAUGCAUCGCUCUUCACACACUUAGACCCUGUUUGUGUGGGCUUUAAGUCCCGGCUCAAGCUAUUUCGACUUAAUCACUUCCGAGACCAAUACCAACAAGUUAAGAUAUCUAAAUAUGUAUGACAAUCAGUUAGAAGGACUAUUGCCGGGCAACAACCUUCUCAAAGAGUUGCCAGUUAAGAUAUCUAAACAUGUAUGACAAUCAGUUAGAACUUUAGAAGGACUAUUGCCCCCAUCUUUGUCAAACUGUAAGCACUUAAAAAUUCUUGACAUCGGGAACAAUAAAAUGGGUGGUACAUUCCCUUCAUGGCUAUUUAAUCUCGGAGAGCUAGAAGUCCUAGUCUUGCGAUCAAAUAGACUGUACGGUCCUGUAAGUGGAAGGAGCACAUCACAUCCAUUCCCCAAGUUGCGGAUUCUAGAUCUCUCCAACAAACAAUUCGCGGGCUAUUUGCCAAUUCUAAACUUUAAGAAUAUGAAACCAGCUGCUGAUGAUAACGCGUAUAGUUAUAAAAAUAAGUCACAAGGACUAAUUAAUUACAUCUAUGAAGCAUCUAUCUCCUUAAAUGUGAAAGGAACAGAGUAUGAAGUGAAGAACAUUCUUCAUAUUUACACAGCCAUUGAUCUAUCGUGCAACAAAUUUCACGGAGAAGUUCCAAAGAGAGCUUAAAUGGCUUGCAUUGCUCAAUCUAUCUCAUAAUAGUCUUGCCGGACAUAUGUUCUGAAUUAUUAUUAUGCUUUCAUCAAUAUUUUCAAACAUUUCUCAAUAUGUAUUUUCAAAGAAUUCUCAAGCCCUGGAACAUUUGGACCGGUUCUUUGGAAGCCAAGAUACCCAGGUUAUCAUGGCCAUGCACAAAAAUGAAUAAAUUAUUCCAAGUCUUCCAUGACUCAUUCCAAGUCUUCGGAGGAGACCCUGAGCACAAAGAUGCUCAGGGUCUCCCCAAGCCUUCCAGGACUCAUUCCAAGUCUUCGGAGCACGGUCUCGCCUCGCCCUUUCAAAGAUGUGAUAGUAGCUCGAGAGUGAUAUAAAUUAUUUUCCCGACACUAAAAAUAAAUAAUCAGAUCAAAUUAAUCAAUAAUGUAUUAAGGAUGAAAUCCAAAUUAAUCCUAAAUUUUGAUAAUAUAUAAAAAUUAUAAUUAUAAAUUAUAUACCAAAUCAGAAUUGAAUUAAUUCCUUGGCACUAAAAUUGAUAAAGAAAGUAUAAUAAUUUAAAUUUAAUUGAUGAAAAGUCAAAGUCUUCUAAUAAAUCCAUAAAGAAUAUGAUAAUCAAAAUAAUGAAAAUUAUAAUUGAAAAAUCAAAAUCAUUAGUGUAUUGGAAUAGUGUUCACACACUUGUAUAUCAAAAUUUGUGGUCCAAAAACUAUAGCACAAUAUCCUAAAUACACCACAUUAAAUAUUAGUUCAAAAAUAUUUAGUAAAUAAUUGUUUUCAUUCAUCAUUUUGUUAUUUAAAAAACUAAUAAUUUGGGUUGAUGUUAACCUAUAUUUUAAUAUAUAAUUAUAUUAUUUUCGUCUUAUUUAUUUAACUAGAAACAAUAUUUUUAUCAUACAUCAAUUAUAUUAAAAGAUAUAAUUUUAUUAAAAAAAUUGAAUUAUUAUUUAUGAAUUCCAGCAUGAAGCGUAUAAAUAGAAGUGUGCAGUUGAUCAGAUUUAUAACCCAGUUGAUCAGGAGAAACAUGGCAUACUCUGCAAAGACUUCUCACCUUCUUCUCUUUGUUUUCUUUCUCUCAUCACUUGAAUCCAUUCUUUCAACAAGACGAGAGGGAGAAGCUCUUGUGAAGUGGAAGAAUAGCCUAGCCCCUUCUUCUUUUCUCGACUCUUGGUCACUCACCAAUCUCGAAAAUCUUUGUAACUGGACUGGCAUUACUUGUAACUCUGCAGGUUCAGUCUCUGAGAUUAACCUUUGUGAGAAACAACUUGAUGGAAUGCUGUCCGAGUUUGGUUUCACUUCAUUUCCAAAUCUAAACAGUCUCACCCUCGCAGACAACUUCUUCUCGGGUCCAAUACCACCAGCCAUUCAGAACUUAACAAGGCUUCAAUACCUUGAUUUAAGCUUGAAUUAUCUCAAUGGUACCAUGCCUUUCUUGCGCAUCCUCAACCUCAGUAGCAAUCCUCUUGCGUCGAAAUUCCCAGAUUUUAUAUCCAGUUCUCAAAGCCUGACUCACCUUGACCUUUCAUAUAACAUGUUUACCGGUGAUCUAGCAUGUGAACCAUUAUUUGCCAACCUGCAUAAUCUUGAAGUCCUCAGUCUCGUUGAAAAUUCUUUUGAGGGGCCAUUUCCACCGGAUAUAUUCAGGCUUUCCAAAUUAAAACAUCUUAGCCUGUCAGUUAACAAACUUUCAGGUUCAAUUCCCAAUGACAUAAGGUUGCUUUGUGAUCUUGAAUACCUAUAUUUAGCCAACAAUUCCUUUGAAGGACCACUUCCACCAAAUAUAUUCAAGCUUUCAAAAUUAAAACAUCUUGUUCUUUGGGGUAAUAAGUUUUCAGGUUCUGUUUCCAAUGAUAUAGGUUUGCUUUCGGCGCUUGAAGCCCUCGAUCUUUAUUCUAAUUUUUUUGAGGGGCCGCUUCCACCAAAUAUAUUCAAGCUCUCAAAACUAAGGAUUCUUUCCCUUGGGAACAAUAACUUUUCAGGUUCUGUCUCUAAUAAUAUAGGUUUGCUUCCUGAGCUUGAAACCCUAUGUCUUGACUCUAAUUUGUUUGAGGGGCCGCUUCCCCCACAUAUAUUCACGCUCUCUAAAUUAAGAUAUCUAGACCUCUCAAACAAUAGAAAUUUAUUUGAAAGAAGUAUUCCUAUUGGAUUGGGACUCUUGACUAACCUCAGGUACUUAGAUCUAUAUUCCAGUAAUCUCAGCGGCUAUAUUCCAUCUGACAUUGGAAACCUGAAGCUACUAGUAGGUCUUAAUCUCGGUUCUAAUAAAUUGACUGGACCAGUUUCAAAGAUCGUUUCUAAUCUCACAAAUCUUAUAUUUCUUAGUGUAAGAAAUAAUAGUCUUAGUGGAAAUAUUCAGAGUGACUUGUGGAACUUCCCUAAGGAAUAUAACAAUCAUCCAACUUUGGAAUACAUCGAUUUAAGUGGGAACCAUUUUACAGGUAUCUUUUCUCUAUAUAUCUUUUCCUUUUCUCAUAUGUAACUAAGCUAGUAAUCUGAUUAUUGCAGUUUUACCAAAGUUUCAACAAUCUUGACAGGUGAGCUUCCAACAACAAUUUGCAAUGUCACUUCCCUUUCGGUUCUUGAUUUGUCAAAUAAUGGAUUAAGUGGUGCACUUCCAAACUGUUUCGGGAAUCUUGCUGAUGGAUUGCUUUACCUUAAUCUUGCUAAUAAUCAGUUUCGAGGAACAAUACCAACUACUUUCUCCAGGAGUUGUCGGCUGAAAUAUCUAAACAUGGAUAAUAAUGAGUUUGAAGGAUUGAUGCCCCCAUCUUUGGCGAACUGUAAGAACUUGAGAAUUCUUGAUAUUGGCAACAAUAAAAUAGGUGGUACAUUUCCGUCAUGGCUUUAUGCACUUGGAGAGCUAGAAGUCCUUGUCUUGCGAUCAAAUAAACUCUAUGGUACAAUAAGUGGAAGGAGCAUAGAAGAUCCCUUCCCCAAGUUGCGGAUUGUGGAUCUGUCCAACAAUCAAUUCACAGGCCAUUUGCCAAUUCAAUACUUUAAGAAUAUGAAAUCAACUGAUAAUUUGUAUCGUUAUCAGAAUGACACAGGAGAUUUUAUUUUCCAUUAUGAAGCAUCUGUCUCAUUAACUGUGAAGGGAACAGAGUAUGAAGUGAAAAAUAUCCUUCAUAUUUACACAGCCAUUGAUCUGUCGUGCAACAAAUUUCAGGGAGAAAUUCCAAAGGUUACUGGAGAGCUUAGAUGGCUUGCAUUGCUCAACUUAUCUCAUAAUAGUCUUACUGGACCUCUCCCAUCACUGCUUGGAAAUAUGGAAGCACUCCAAUCUUUAGAUUUGUCUUCAAAUCAACUGACAGGGGCUAUUCCACCUCAGUUAACCGCAUUGACAUUUCUAGAAGUCUUAAACCUCUCGAGAAACCAUCUUAGUGGAGAGAUUCCUGAGAAAGGACAGUUCAGCACAUUCAACAAUGACUCUUAUCUAGAAAACUCUGCGUUAUGUGGAUCACCCUUGACGAAGAAAUGUGUAAACACUGCAUCACCCCCACAGGAAGUCGGAAAUGGUGAUGAAGAUGAUGCUGGUGAUGAGUUGACAUGGGAAGCAAUCGUGAUGGGAUAUGGAUGUGGACUGAUAUGUGGAUUGUCAUCUGCAUACAUUGUUCUCAAACUAGGAAGGCCUUGGUGGUUUGUGAGAUAUGUCGAAGUACUGCAACUGAAGUUGAUGAAAAGAUAUGCAUGAAGAAAGGUACUGGUCGAUCAAGACAAACUUGAAAGUUGUUGUCCUGGUAGACAUUUCUGAACCAGUAGUGUACUAGCUGCAUAAGUAUUUGGUAUUAUGUAAUAAUCCAUUUGGUCGGGACUCAUAAUGAUUUCUCUUGCUUCAGGGGUAUUAAUAUUAACCUUGCUAUCUUGAUCUGUGUUAAUGCAAAUGAAAAAGAAUGGAAAAACAAAAAAAUUGCAUCAAACCUGUUGUACCAAGAUCCAUUAAUCUGCUUUCAUCUCUUACGCAACAAUUUAACAGCACUUUCACACUGUUUGAAUGAUUAUCAUAAAUUCGAGUUUUCCUCGCCAGCACCAAAUCCAAAUAUACAAUCCCACACAUUCCAGUCUCAGCUUCAGCUCCCAGGCUAGCAUUGAUUUAGCCAAGCACGACAGUGGCCGCUUGUGUGCCUAACAAUGACAGUUGGGGAUUUGAUGGAACGUGCCUUGGUCCUGCCUUCAAAUGUCUAACAAUAACAGUUGGAUAUGUCGACAAAAAAAUUGUUCCUCACACUGAGGAAUAACUCUGACAGUUCUUUUCAUUGUGCCUUGGUCCAGUAAGUGGAAGGAGCACAUCACAUCCAUUCCCCAAGUUGCGGAUUCUAGAUCUCUCCAACAACCAAUUCACGGGCUAUUUGCCAAUUCAAUACUUUAAGAAUAUAUGAAACCAGCUGCUGAUAAAGCGUAUAGUUAUCAAAAUAAGUCACAAGGACUAAUUAAUUACAUAUAUGAAGCCUCUAUCUCCUUAAAUGUGAAAGGAACAGAGUAUGAAGUGAAAAACAUCUCUUUAUAUUAUAGCUCCUGAUGCGUGAUUUGUACAGUUACCACACUGCUUAAUUCUUCACCUCAAAGUUCCACCUUAUUACAAAAAUGCCACCGCUCUAUUAAGCGGCACCCACGUAAGCUCAUUGCCACCACGUGCUAUCUUCCUGCUGUCUUUUGUUUAUUUUAUUCACUAAACCGUACUUACCCGAAGCUUAUGUAACAAGCUUACAUUCUUUACAUUUUACUCAUUUCAAAAUUUAAAACCCAGCCUCCACGGCUCCCUUACAAAAGUAACCGGUUUGAACGUAAAGUUUUCAAAACUAACCAGCCUACGUUCAACUUUUCAAAACUAACCAGCCUAAAUCAAAAAAAGUCGGGCGACCCUUACCUGUUUUUUUCCCGAGCACCGGUCGCCCUCCUCAGGGGCGUCCCCCAUUGGAGUUCAUCAAGCACAGGUCGCCCUCCUCAGGGGCGUCCCCCCUUGAAGUUCUGUGACGUGGUCCGCCCAAUCACGGGCGACCACGUGUGACACUACCCCCUUAAAACCCCCUCCCAGCCACACAAACACACAAUUACACACACAUUUGCACACACUCAGUUUGAAAACAACACUGCAGCAGCCACAGCAAGGAGCCGAAAGGGGAGAUUUUGGUAAAGGAAGGAAGAAAAGUGGGAGAGGAUCGCCCGAGCUAGCAUCAAGGUCGCCCACCCUAGCAAAAAAUUUGAAGGUACUACCUUAUUCCUCCCCUAAAUAUUAGUAUAUAAAGCCUUGAUUUGUAAUUUAUUACUUGAUUAGUUUGUCUUGCAUGUUACAAAUAUCGAUUAUGUUCAUGAUUAUGGCUAAUUUAUAGACUAGUGUUAUAAUUACCGGCUUGAGAUUAGUGUUAUAAUUACCGGAUUGAGAUUUGGUACAUUAUGAUUUUUAAAUUUGUUAAAAAAUUUAAAGAUUUAUAAUAGAAAUUAAGGAUAAUUUAUAGAUUUGAUAUGUUGGAAUUUAAGAUUUUAUGCUUUUUAGAUUUUGUAGGUAGUAAUUAAAUUUAGUUGGAGAGAAAAAAUAUAAUAUAAUAUUCGAAUUAAAAAGAUAUUGAGAAUAUAAUAUUCGAAUUAAAAAAUAUUCGAAUUAAAAUAUAUUAAAAUAUAAUAUUCGAAUUAAAAAUAUAAUAUAAUAUUCGAAUUAAAAUAUAAUAUAAUAUAUAUUCGAAUUAAAAAAUAUUCGAAUUAAAAUAUAUUAAAAUAUAAUAUUCAAAUUAAAAAUAUAAUAUAAUAUUCGAAUUAAAAUAUAAUAUAAUAUAUAUUCGAAUUAAAAAAUAUUCGAAUUAAAAUAUAUUAAAAUAUAAUAUUCGAAUUAAAAAAUAAUAUAAAAUAUAUUGAGAAUUAAAAAAAUUAGAAAGCAAAUAAAAUAUUCGGAUAAAAAAGAUAUUAAUAGCUAAUAUUAAAAAAAAUCGAUUUAUAAUAAUAAAAAUUCGAAAAAAAGCAAAAUAAUCGAAUUAAAAUAAAAUUUUCGAACAUAUAUUAAUAAAAAUCUUAAUUAUAUUAAUAUAUAAUUCGAAUAUAUGAAAUUUCGAGAAUUAGAAUAUUUAUGAAAUUAAGAGAAUUAAAAUAAAUAGGAAAUUCGAACAAAAAUUAAUUUAAGGUACGCUCUCGAUUCUCUCUAAAUUAAUGUGUAUAUAUAUAUAAUGACUUGAUUUGGAUUAUUGUUGUUUUAUUAGCUUGAGUUGCAUGUUAUAAGAUCGGUUAGUUUAUUGAUUGUGGCUUGAGAUUUGUUAUAAUUGAAAUUAAGGCUAAUUUAUAGAUUUGAUAUGUUGGAAUUAAGGCUAAUUGAAAUUAAGGCUAAUUUAUAGAUUUGAUAUGUUGGAAUUAAGGCUAAUUGAAAUUAAGGCUAAUUUAUAGAUUUGAUAUGUUGGAAUUUAAGAUUUUGUGCAUGUUAGAUUUUGUAGGUAGUAAUUUAAUUUAGUUAGAAACAAAAGCUUUGAAUUCGAAUUACAAAUAUUAUGUUGGAAUGAGAUUUUGUAUAUAUACAAAAGCUUUGAAUUCGAAUUAUAAAUAUAUUUGAAAAUUGUUGGCGCAGAUGGAUCCUGCAGCUUAUCAUCCCGGGCCGGUUAACGGCACUUUGUUGACAUUGCAGGACACGCAUAGGUCCACUUUUGUGUGGAACAGUAGUACGGUAAUGACUUGAUGGACUGUUGUUUAUUAAAGUUAAUGUUUGCUUCACUAUAAACUGCUGACAAGUUCCUGUAUUUUAAAUUGCAGGACAUUCCUGAUCUUAGAGUCAGGACGAACUUCGGUGAGUACUGGAAUGUAGUUGACCAAACCAGGCCGCCUCAGACGAUAAUAGAUGCUAUUAAUGAUGCGGGCUUUGAGUGGGUGUUCAGGUUGGGUCAGGUCAAGCAUGACAGGGGCUUGAUCACUGCUUUUAUCGAGAGGUGGCGUCCAGAGACGCACACUUUUCAUCUACCUUUCGGGGAGGCCACCAUUACACUGGAGGAUGUCCAUCACAUUCUCGGGUUACGAACCACUGGCCGGCCAUUUAUUCUACAUGGCUUCACCACCACAGCUCGCGAGAGAUUGGCCAUGAUACGCGAUGUUCUUGGAGUGACUCCUAAGCCGGCUGAUGUGAGGAAGAACGGCUUGAGGAUCGGUUGGUUGAUUGAAAAAUUUGGCGACUGUGCCCGGUUGGACGAGGCAGCGGAGGAUUUUGAUGCACAGACUAUCUUUCACAUCAGGGCACACCUACUGUGUGUUAUUGGAUCGUUGUUUCCUGAUAGCAGCGGGAACUAUGUGAAUCUCAACCUCCUUUGGAUGCUACGUGACUUGCAGAGCGUGGAUGGUUAUAGCUGGGGGAGUGCUGUUCUUGCAUACCUUUAUAGGAAGAUGUGCGAUUCCACCCAUAAAGUCACAACCGGCUUCAUUGGCUACGCCACCACUACGCCAUAUAUGAUCUAUCGCAAUGGUAUGAACGCGAGUGUUGCAAAAUUAUGUUGCAAUAGAGACACUGAUCCAUAUCUACCGCAACGAUAACCAUUCAUGUCAAUUAUAUGUUGCAAUAGCAAACAUUAUGUGUUGCAGCUUGUAAUAUACUUGUAAAAGUGUUAGCUUAAAGUAUUAUAAUAUUAUUUUAACAUUAAAUAAUAAUUUAAAUUAUUUUAACAAUAUUUUAAAGUGAUAUGCAAAUUAAAUAAAUAAGAUACGCGAUGAUAUGCAAAUUUUAUUCAUAAUAAUUAAAAAAAUUAAAAUAGGAAUUUUAAAAGUAAUUAAUUUUUUUAAAAGCAAUGAAAAGUAAAAAUAAUUAAAUUCCCCUUGUUUUGAUAUCAGAACUGAUAUAUAAGUUUCAAAAAUAAAAAUAUAGAUAUACGAAUUAUAAGUAGUAAUAAAUACAUAUAAUGAAUUUUGUUCCUAAAAUAAUUACAUGAAUUUUAUUUGUUAAAAUAAUAAAGUAUAGGUGCAGACGUGCAGUACAUUAUUUGACUUUAUUGAACUGGGCAAAUAUCGAGCUCAAAGCGGGUAAAAAUUAGGCUUACAGCCGCCCAAAUUUUCAGCCAAGUUUGAAAUUUUCACACAUACACUAUACACGCUCGAGUCUCCUUGAAUACCCUCAACACUCACUACACUCUCUCCCUCGCUCAACUCUCUCUCCCUUCUCUACUCUCUCUCUCUUGUUAAUCUCUCUGAAGCUAAUCUCUCUCUGGCCACCAUUUUCACUCAAUCUCGCCAUCACUUUUAAUUAACUUGGAUUUGCAUUUAUAGUUGGAGCACAGUUGAUUUGUGGGUCGAGGUUCCAAUUCUUCAAUUAGGGUUUUGGCUUUUCAAUCAGGGUUUUGGUUCUUCAUUAAACUUCAAUUAGGGUUCAAUUACUUACAUAUAAUCUCUUAAACUUCAUCUGAUAUCUCUUUCUCUUUGAUUUCAGGUGUUCUUAGUUUGGGUUUGCACUCCAAGACUUUAUUAUAAGGUAUUUUUGAAUUUAGGGCUUCAUGUUAUGAGUUUAUUUGCAUUUAGUGUUCUUUGUUUUUAUGUUUAUUUGGUUUAUUAUCUUUAUCUAGUUUAUUUCCUUUGAUUUUUUGUUUUUUUUUUCAUUUGUUUUGUGAAAUUGCAAUACUCUGUUUUUGUGUUAAUUUUUUUGUUGCUUAAAAGUGUUCAACAACAAUAUUCUUCUUAAUUAUAAAAGAUCUAUCACGAGGAAGAGGUCCCUGUUUUGUAUAAUAUCUUGUAUGUCUUUUCUUUUCUGUAUAUUAUUAAGCUACCUUGGGGCAUCCUUUUUCUAGACCAGAUUUCGUGCGCAAUCUUUAGUAAAGAGCAAAUAUUCCGAUUCUUUUGCAUUUGUCUCAAUGUCAGUGCUUUGCAUAUAUGGAUAUAUUUUACAUGAAAAUGGUGCUUUUGUUGUUGGCCUGCUUAAUGUUCAAGACAUGUAGUCAACUCAGUUUAGUGUGACAAUAAGACUUUCUCAUUUCAUUAUGAUUCUCACAUAUUUUAUGCUCGUCACAGUACAACACAGUUUUGUAUUUGGUGUGAGUGAGCAGUAAAGAAUUCUAUGGAAGAUGCUAGUGACUACCGGUGGUAUAUAACCAGGUAAAAAUAAUGCUCAGUUGAUAAUCCUUAUAAGGGAGGCUCUUACUAUUUCUUCCUCUUUAACAUUGAGUUGUUUUAAUGUACAUACUAGCUGGUUGCUCAAGUGUUCUAUCAUUAUAAUGUAUACAUUGGAUACAAUAUUUGUUCAAUGAGGUAUCUAACUAGCUUGCUGAUGGCCGGGGACUAUAGAUUUAUUCAUUGCUAAUUGGUUAUAUUCGUUGUACCUGUUAUGCCUCAAUCAUAAUGGCAUAGUGACAAUAAAAGGAAAACGAAUUAUAAAUAUUUCACAUAGCAUGCUCUAGUUAUCUACAACUAUUGUUUUGGACUUCUGGUUUGGCAUUUAUAAUAAGUUGGCAUAUGUCUUUGAAUUCAUAUAGUUUGUAGCAUGACCUAAUUGGCACAAGUCAUCCUCUGCCAUGUCUUAUAUCUUUAGUUAGUAAGAAUUAAUAUUUCCCAUGUUUCAGCCACUAUACAAAUAUUGAUCAUGGACGAAGUUCUUACCCUGUUUAGUAUUAAUUUCAUUAUCUGCUGCAACUUUAUUGUGUUAUCUGUGCACUGCCCAACUAAGUACACAUAAUUUGAGUUUAAAAUAAAGCAUGCUUCUUUACUGGAGCUCAGCUUAGUAGUUGCAUUGUAUUGUUGCAGGAGAAGCUUAAGCCGUUAAUGGAUCAACUUAACAAAGUCAAAGACUUGACUGUUCCAGAAUUUGGAAAUUUCCGAACUUGAGAAGUGCGAGCAAAUGCAAGAAUAUGUUUAUAUAUAAUAGUGUAGUGUAGUGGGAUGUUUGGUUGGAUUCGUUUAAUACUUUGAUUUGGUUGGAUUUGUUAGGUAGUUUUGUUUGGUUGGAUUUGUUAUAAACUUUGAUUUGUAUGAAAGAAUAGUUUAAUGUUUCAGUGGAUAUAGUGAAAUAUUGCAAAGUUGUUAAUUUAGUCUUGCAUUAGCACAUAUAUGUUGUAGUAGCUAAUAUAUAUAUGUUUCAAUUUAUAACAAAAAAUGUUGCAAACAUGCAACUGAAAAACAGGUGUCCAAACAUAGGACCCACAUGUGUGACCCACGUGUGGGUCCCACUUUUUUUGAAAUCAGGAGGUCUAACGUAACAUAAUAUAUUUGUUGCUAUAGGGUAGUCAGAUGUUGCAAUAUCACGUCUAUUGUAACAUAAAAAGCCGUGUUGCAGUAGGUUACCCAAAUGUUGCAAUAGAAGCCUAGGGCAACAUGAAAAAAUGCAACUUAAAUUUUAUGUUGCAAUAGCCCUUUUUCGGGCUAUGGCAACAUAUUUUGGGGUUAUGGCAUCAUUUUUUUGAUGUUGUCNNNNNNNNNNNNNNNNNNNNNNNNNNNNNNNNNNNNNNNNNNNNNNNNNNNNNNNNNNNNNNNNNNNNNNNNNNNNNNNNNNNNNNNNNNNNNNNNNNNNNNNNNNNNNNNNNNNNNNNNNNNNNNNNNNNNNNNNNNNNNNNNNNNNNNNNNNNNNNNNNNNNNNNNNNNNNNNNNNNNNNNNNNNNNNNNNNNNNNNNNNNNNNNNNNNNNNNNNNNNNNNNNNNNNNNNNNNNNNNNNNNNNNNNNNNNNNNNNNNNNNNNNNNNNNNNNNNNNNNNNNNNNNNNNNNNNNNNNNNNNNNNNNNNNNNNNNNNNNNNNNNNNNNNNNNNNNNNNNNNNNNNNNNNNNNNNNNNNNNNNNNNNNNNNNNNNNNNNNNNNNNNNNNNNNNNNNNNNNNNNNNNNNNNNNNNNNNNNNNNNNNNNNNNNNNNNNNNNNNNNNNNNNNNNNNNNNNNNNNNNNNNNNNNNNNNNNNNNNNNNNNNNNNNNNNNNNNNNNNNNNNNNNNNNNNNNNNNNNNNNNNNNNNNNNNNNNNNNNNNNNNNNNNNNNNNNNNNNNNNNNNNNNNNNNNNNNNNNNNNNNNNNNNNNNNNNNNNNNNNNNNNNNNNNNNNNNNNNNNNNNNNNNNNNNNNNNNNNNNNNNNNNNNNNNNNNNNNNNNNNNNNNNNNNNNNNNNNNNNNNNNNNNNNNNNNNNNNNNNNNNNNNNNNNNNNNNNNNNNNNNNNNNGCUUAUCCUCGUAUGUAGUUUGUUUAUGGUUAUGUACCUGACCAUGUACUCGUACAUUUUUAUUUCUUGAUCUGAUUAUGUACUCUUAGUCUAGUAGAUCGGUUGUUACGUUAUUAUGCAGUUCUUGUGCAUUCUUAUGUCAUAAUGUUUUAUAAUGAUUCAAGCAUUGAAAUUCAUAUGGACAAUAAAGGAAACCUAACAUAACAUAAUAAACGACAGAACACUAAAACACAUACACAUGUUGAUCUUUCUCGAAACCAGUAAAACUGACUUUAUUUUGACUAAACUUUACAUAUAUCAAAUAACUGAAAAAAAUAAUAUAAAAUUUGAAUUACUUGAACAACAAAAGUUGAGACAUUACAUAUAAGAUACAAUACAUAUAGUAAUGGGGGUGAUCUUUUGGAGAAAAUACCUAACUCAAAGGGAUUUCUUCAAAUAAUUUGAGAUGGGUCAGAGCUUCAAGAAUCUGUGUACUCUGCUUUUACAAGUACAAAGUGGGAAAAAGUGAGACAUAAAUAAAAUGUAGUGAAGUAUUUGAGAUGGGAGAAAGUAAAACUAACUUAAUUUCAUAUUAAUAUUGUGAAGAUAUUAGCAUAGAAUGAUAAAUAUACAUUUCUACUACCCAUUUAUAAAAGAAAUAUUAUAAAAUAUAAAACUCUACGCUUUAAAUUUAAAUUGUUUUAAGUUGUUUUCUAUUAAAUUAUUUUCCCCACAGGGGAAAAUAAUAUUAAAUUGUUUUAAUAUUAUUGUUUUAUUAUUAUUUGAUUAUUAAAUUAACGAGUACAUAAUUUGUAAAGUUUAGUGCUAAGAUAUAUAUAUUAUUUAAUUUUAUUAAUUAUAUUAAUUUCACAAAACAAUUAAAAUUUGAUUUUAAAUAAAAUAUUAAAUAUAUAAUACAAUAAUAUUAAAUGGCGUAUAAUCAGUGUUACAGAAAUCGGGAAUCGGACCUAAUCGGUUGAGCUACCGAUUCAGGGAUUAAUCGGAAAUCGGAGAUUAAUCGGACUGAAAAUCGGAUUUAUUUUAAUAUUAAAAUAUUAUUUAUUAUUUAGUUAUUAUUAUAUUAGGUAUCUAGUAACUAAUAUAUUUACUAUAUUCAUAAACUCUAUAAUUAUUCAUAUUUAAAGUAAUAUAGUAUUUUAAUUCUAAUAAUUUAUCACAUAUACUUCUAUUAGAAAAUAUGUUAUAAGGAUUAAUCGGAUUUUAAAAAUCGAAUCGGUGGCCGACCUUGCAGGAGAUUAAUCGAGGAUUAAUCAGUUAAAUCGGGGAUUUUUAGAACAUUCGGCGUAUUAUAAUACAAUUAUAUCAAAAUUUAAAAAAAAAUCAGUACCUCAGUUUGGGUAUCGGUCAGCCACCUAGGACAAGUGAAUGAGUGAAACCGCUACAAAAAAUGUAGUAGUAUGGGUCGCCCCUGUCAAGGGCGAUCCUAACUGUAUUUUGUAACAGUAUGGGUCGCCCCUGACGAGGGCGACCUGAACGGGGAAAAACUUCAGCUUGGGUCGCCCGACUUUUUUUGAUUUAGGCUGGUUAGUUUUGAAAAGUUGAACGUAGGCUGGUUAGUUUUGAAAACUUUACGUUCGAACUGGUUACUUUUGUAAGGGAGCCCAGCCUCCACCAUUGCAGCUCUGAGCAGCCAUGAACCAGGUUAUACUCCAGUCUCCUUUUCUCCCCCGCGUGUGUAAGUCUGUACUGCAGCCCACAUUUUCAACACGCUUCUGUCCUAAGCUUCGCAAGAAAUAUCUUUUUUUUGAAAUUCAAAAAAUUUGCGCACCAUAUCAUCGUCCAGCCAAACCACCAUCGGCGAAUCAGCAAAUAUACAUAUCAGAUCUAAUAUACACCAAUCUGAGCUUUGAUGACUGAGGUUUGAUUUGUGUUUUAUUUAAUAAAAUGAUAAAAUGAUGUCUUCUUUCAUGAUCAUGCGAUUAAUCGAUUGUAACUUUAAGGGAGAUGGAACAAGCAAUUCACGACGUCUAUUUACCUCCGAAGACAUGAUUAGUGGUAUGGUUACAUAAAUUUAACUUCUCUAUUUUUCUACCAUGUGUGGCCUAAUUGUUUCAUCUCUUGCUUUGUAGGUUAUCAGUCCAAAAAGCGGAGGAAAAGGGGCUACACAAUUAAGAGAUGAAACAGUAUUGAGCAUGUGAGCUUUAAAACUUGAUGAUUAAAUUUUUCAUAUUAUAUUUGUUCUGUAUUUAGAAAUUUGUGGAGGAUGUGUUUGAUAAUAUGUCUGAGAGAAGAAGUUAAUAAAUUUAUCGUGUUGAGGAUGUGUUUGAUGAUAUGUCCGAGUGAAAAAAUUAAUAAAUUUAUUUUCAAAAUGUUGCGAACAAAUUGUAAUUUAUAUCUAGCAGCUUCAAAUAAUUUUUUUUAGAGCAAAAAGAAUCGCAAUUGCAUGUGAAGAGAUGCACCUCCCUGAUAUUAGACUUUUAGUGUAAUUGCAUGUGUAACUAAACCGCUUGACUAUAAUGUUGGUGUAGAGUACGGAGCUUUAAUUUAUGAUGUUCUCCUCAAUCUGUCCAAAUUAUAGCUGAUCGUGGGAAUCAACUUUAGGGUAAGCUCUGCUCUGAAACUCAUUUUCUUAUAUUGGAACUUGGUUAUUUCUUAAAUGAAACGACUUUGACGUUUUCACCGAGUAGUCAUAGAUGCGUGAGUUGUACAAUAGUAAAAGAAAAAUAAAUUACAUAAAGACUGUCUGAGGUAAAAUAGUAUACAAGCUGCAAUUUUAUAUUUGGUACAUUGACGUAAAAAGUUAUUGUUAUGUUCAGGGGGAGGUGCUGAGAAAUGACAUGAUUAUAUCAUACGAGCGGCGACAAACUACUGAAGUUGCAAAAGAAAUGAUCUUAAAGAAAGCAGAGAAAGUGGGGGAGUUUUUUCAAGAAAAGAAUUUAAAGAGGAGAUGAGAUGCCAGAGUAUUACGCGCUAUUGCCGAAACAGGAUUAAAAACUAUAUUGGGUAUCUCUUCUUGAUCUCUUGAUUAAUUCCACUAGGAAGCUUCAAUAUUAUAUAGGAAGUUUUCUUUUUAAGCUUAAUUUUGAAUUUGAAUCCUCAAACUAUAACUACUGUAUAUCUCUUUAUAUUAUAGCUCCUGACGCCGGGAACUUCCCCUUCUACAACCAGCCCAACUGUACAUAACAGUUGCUUGCUUAUGAAUUUCAAAUUUAUAUUAUAAUGUUUAUAUGUAAUAUUGAAUCAAAGUUGCUUGCUUGCUUAUGUAAUAUUGAAUAUCUACUGUUGGAUGAUUGUUAACUGCUGUGUUACCAAGUGUUUGAUUAAAUUCCUACAAGUUUUGUUUGAAUUUUGUUCUUUAUUUAUCAUUAGUAUGUUUCAUUUUUAUGUUUGACUCUAUGCUAAUCGCUGAUAAGAUUUCUAUGAUUAUAGGAGAUGAGUGUUCUUAUGGCAUGAAUGAUAUUGGAAAAGUGAAAUGUGUUGAUGCUUUGUGUAAAUAAAUCAUGAUCUGCCGUUAUAGUUUUCUGUUUGUUUUCAAUUUGUGUGUACCUAGGUGGUUGUUACUGAGCAUUGAUCAACUGUGUUAAUUAAUUUAUUAAAAUGGAGUUGAGUCUGAGAACUAAAGGGCAAUUAUAUACUUCUUUAGGCUUUCCUUAACAUGUUUUUAUUCAUUAAAAAAAAUCGAUGAGUUUUUAUAAAUAUAUAUACUCUGUUAUUUUCUCUGUACCUAAUUAAAAGGAUUUUAAUUCGAAUUAUAGGUGUUUGUCAUGUGAAUAUUAUCUAAAAGAUAAUGGGGCCGUUUGGGUUAGCUUAAAAGAAGUGACUUUUUGCUUAUAGUAAAGAAGUGGAGUAGAAGUGAGAAGUAAAUAAGUUAAUAAAGUGUUUGGAAAAGAAGCAGAAGCUGUGAGAGAGAAGCUAGCAUUCUCAGCUUCUUAAAAGUGCUUCAACUUCUUUACACAAACAGGUCAAGAGAAGCAGAAGCCAGAAGCAGCUUCUGCUUCUCUUGGCCAAACAGGCCCAAUAUCUUUAAGGUCUCUUGCAUUGGUCAUUUAAUGUGUUAAUUAAAAGUUUACAUUUAAAUUUUUUGAUCUAAUAAUUUUGGAUAGAUGGUUUGUGAGGUUAAUGAAUGAACUAAUAUGGAAUGAUAAAAUGUAGGAGGUCUGGAAAGAUGGGUUUCAAUGCAGGUUUAUUGCUACUUUCCUUCAGGUCUGCAUUGCUUUGGUCUGUCUUCAGGACUGAGACUGUGAUUGGUUUCGGAACAGACACAAGUAUAUAUAUGGACCAAUGCAAAGCACCUGAUUAUCAUACUUUAGGCUUUUGCUCUGCUUUCUAUGGUAAAAAAAAGUGACAUUACUUCGAAUCUGAUACAGUUUAUCCAAGAGCUUGCUUCAAUAUUAAGAAUGCAAUACGUGUUGCAGAUAAAAUUUUGACCAGCAACAUUGGGGCACCCAACCCAAAUCUAGCAACAUUGGCCGUGGAGCUUUAAAUAUCUCCGUAAGAUUCUUUUCCCUCGCAGGCAGGCAUCUUUUUCUGCGAAAAAUAUACAAGAAAAAAGGACUAAUUUGUUUAAUUGAAAAUAAAUUUCGGAUGAGUUGGAUUAAGAAUCAAAUGGAGAGUCCUGUUUUGGUUUCAUUUUGAUGGAGAGGUUGCUUAGGUCCUGUUUUGAUCGAAAGGUUGAAAAAAUAUUUGGUAUUUUUUGGUCUCAUUUUGGUUUGUUUCGUUCCUUCACAGGUGUGCAACAAGUGAUGAUAGUAUUUAAACAUGAUUAGCAAACUGCCCAGCAAUCCAUGCAUGGCAAGGGGAAUGCACAGCUUAAUGAUUUCAGUCUCCGUACCAUCCAAGUGCAACAAAAAUCAAUUAUCUUGUGAUGUCUAGGAUUCUACAAAAGUAAGAAGCCUUCAUUCAUCUUCAUUCAUCCCCUGUUACUAGAAAAGCAUUGGUAGCCUAUAAGCAGGUACACUAAGUAGCUCACCUAAUUUUUGCAUUUCAGUAUCAACGGAAAGUGGUGCAGGACUCCACUUUAUAAUUAAAUUAUGUGUCUAAAUUAUGCGUGUUGUAAUGUUUAGUGACCAUGUUCCAGACCCGACAUGUCCUUACUUGGCAGAUCAAGUUAUCCAAGAUUUGGGAAGGAGUUUCGCCUUUGAGAUCUCCAACAAGUAAGAAGAAAUAAUGUCAAGGAAUGAACUAAUGUAAAAUGAUAAGAAGAUGAAGGUAUAAAACAAUGAUUAUAAUGUAGGCUUCUUCGUAAUGUAAUGAACAAAAUAAUGGAGUAACUAUAACUAUUCUUGCUGCAAGCCUGUGUUUGUUUAAUGCUAUCUGGCAGUAGUUUAGCAUUGGUAUAUUCCUUAAGGUGGAUUUGGAUAGAGUGAGAGGAGACAUUACUUAUCUUUACCUAGCUACUGCUUUUCAUGAGAUUUGGGCAGAGCGUAACAUUAGAAUUCAUCAUCCUAAGAGUUUUAAAGUUGCAAACCGGCUUAUCAAGGACAUAAUAGCCUCUGUUACUAUUUUUACAUGCUCCUCUAUUGUUGUGUGAACUUGCUGAACUCCUUUUUUCUGUUGUUCUACUUACUAAAAUCUUUUUAAUUUUCUUUUGUUAGGUACACUAAGUGGUUCACUCAAUUUUGGCAUUUUAGUAUCAUUGGCAAGUGGUGUAGGACUCCAUGAUUCUGUGUUGUCCACAAGCAACGAAAAAAANNNNNNNNNNNNNNNNNNNNNNNNNNNNNNNNNNNNNNNNNNNNNNNNNNNNNNNNNNNNNNNNNNNNNNNNNNNNNNNNNNNNNNNNNNNNNNNNNNNNNNNNNNNNNNNNNNNNNNNNNNNNNNNNNNNNNNNNNNNNNNNNNNNNNNNNNNNNNNNNNNNNNNNNNNNNNNNNNNNNNNNNNNNNNNNNNNNNNNNNNNNNNNNNNNNNNNNNNNNNNNNNNNNNNNNNNNNNNNNNNNNNNNNNNNNNNNNNNNNNNNNNNNNNNNNNNNNNNNNNNNNNNNNNNNNNNNNNNNNNNNNNNNNNNNNNNNNNNNNNNNNNNNNNNNNNNNNNNNNNNNNNNNNNNNNNNNNNNNNNNNNNNNNNNNNNNNNNNNNNNNNNNNNNNNNNNNNNNNNNNNNNNNNNNNNNNNNNNNNNNNNNNNNNNNNNNNNNNNNNNNNNNNNNNNNNNNNNNNNNNNNNNNNNNNNNNNNNNNNNNNNNNNNNNNNNNNNNNNNNNNNNNNNNNNNNNNNNNNNNNNNNNNNNNNNNNNNNNNNNNNNNNNNNNNNNNNNNNNNNNNNNNNNNNNNNNNNNNNNNNNNNNNNNNNNNNNNNNNNNNNNNNNNNNNNNNNNNNNNNNNNNNNNNNNNNNNNNNNNNNNNNNNNNNNNNNNNNNNNNNNNNNNNNNNNNNNNNNNNNNNNNNNNNNNNNNNNNNNNNNNNNNNNNNNNNNNNNNNNNNNNNNNNNNNNNNNNNNNNNNNNNNNNNNNNNNNNNNNNNNNNNNNNNNNNNNNNNNNNNNNNNNNNNNNNNNNNNNNNNNNNNNNNNNNNNNNNNNNNNNNNNNNNNNNNNNNNNNNNNNNNNNNNNNNNNNNNNNNNNNNNNNNNNNUUUUACAUGCUCCUCUAUUGUUGUGUGAACUUGCUGAACUCCUUUUUUCUGUUGUUCUACUUACUAAAAUCUUUUUAAUUUUCUUUUGUUAGGUACACUAAGUGGUUCACUCAAUUUUGGCAUUUUAGUAUCAUUGGCAAGUGGUGUAGGACUCCAUGAUUCUGUGUUGUCCACAAGCAACGGAAAAAAAGCCUGCAGAAAUGUUUCGAAUACUUUGAACGAAAUAAAGGUACAUUAUUAGGCAAGUGAUUGUGGCGGCAGAGAUAGCAGUUUGAUUGCUACACAAUUAUGUGUUUCACAAGAUUUUGCUAUUUUAAAUUAUAGUAAAUUUGAUUAAAUCCCACUCGGAAAGUUUGAAAUUUCUUGAUGUUGCUUAGUUAAAAUUUGGAUAUGGACAAUUAUGAUAUUUGUGAAUUUGGGUUCUUUUUAUAGGUGAUUUUUGAACAUUGCUAGAAUGAUAUAUGAUCUCAGGCCUCACACUCUUAACAUCUUUACGAGGCUUACGAGGUUCGAGAUGAGUUGGUUACUUAACAUGAUUCGUUUAAUUUAAUUAUGUGUUUGUGUAGUUGGGUUGAUUUGUUGUUUGUUUCGUUUAAUUGUACAAUUAAGGAGAUGGUGUUUACAAUAAUAAUAUUGAAGAUAGUUUGUAACUAGAGUAUGUUGUUAAUAAUUUGGUUAUGAGAAAUUGAGGCCGACACAAGUUUAAUCUGGCUUUCUCGAGAUGAUCUGACCUCGAGAAGAAAGAUUAUCUCAAAGUAGUUUUGUAAGUUGCUUCUCUCUGUUUUUGGACAAUGUAAAUUCUUACAUUACAUCUGCCUCUUGCAGGUAACAUCUUUGCUUUUAGGCUCUUUAUAUCGCCGAUGUAAGUUUUGCUCCAUAAAUUUCAGUGUUUGGCUAGAUCUCCUACAACUGUACUUUUAAAGAAAAAUAGAAGAAAUCAAGAACUGAGUUUACUGUACUUUUGCAGUGAUAAUCAGAUAUGUACCGGUUUUGCUUCGCAUAGUCACACCUUUUCUUUGUACAAUUGCAGACCCACUUUUAGGGGUAUUAUGAUGAGGAACGAGUGUACAGAAGACUUCUCAGGUCUUCCAUAUCUAUAUGCCCUCCUGCACUGCUUGAUUUGUGCCUGGUAUGGCAUGUCGUUUAUGUCAGAUGAUAAUGUGCUUGAUAACUGUAACCUUAUACAGCUACAUUUACUUUAAAUGUCUUGAACACAGUGGUUGCAAAUAAUGGUUAAAUGAUUAAUAUUUACACUGAUCUACUGCUUUUACACUGAUCACUGCUUAUGAUGUUGAAAAACCAAAAUUUGGUGGAGAAAUUGGGAUCAAUGGAGGGAGCUUGCACUGACACACGAAAUCUGUCAAAGCCUAGAUUACAAAGUAAUACUUUACUUGACUGAUCGACGGUUCAACUCAGCAGGAUAUGGAGUAUGCUCGCAGUGUACAUAACAUCCAAUCUCCCAAGGUCUCAUCAUCUACUUUGGAGACAACCUCAAAAUGGGUGUAGUUGCACUUGCACCCAAAAAUGAAGCCAGUGCAAAAAUCAAAGAGAUGACCCAUUUGUUAAAAAUGUUGAGGCUGAAGAGUACAAGGGAACCAAGGUCAGAGAUGUCUCCUCCGCUAAGAGAUGAGGAAAUAUGGCAGUCGUUGGUAUUUGGGAAAUGCAUGUUAGCAAAUACAUGGAUUAUAAAUUGUAUGAGUGACAGGAUGAUAAUAUAGCGUCUCAUAGUCUAAUAUUGCCAAUGACAGGGCUAAUAGCAAUAGCACUUUCAAAAGUAGGUUUGCAGCUGUGAAAUUCACUCAAAGUUGUGAAAUUUGUGAAAUUUGCUUUUGCUCUAACAUGUAAUACCCCGGGUUCCAUUCUUUUGUUUACUUGAAUUUGAAUUGUAUUGUUAUCUUUGUUUUUUUAUUAUAAUUAUCCAAAAAUAGAUGUCCAUCUUGACUUUUGGUUGGUUAUUAGACAGAGGAAUUGAGCCCGGAAAUAAAAGUGUUACUAAUUAUCAUCCAUUAUUAAAGCAAUUAUUAUAUUAGACCAAUUUUAUUUUUGCACUAUUUGAAAUAUUCACUUUAUCUGAAUGAUGAAUGGUUCUUCUUUCAGUUAAUACAGUGUCAUUCACUGGUUAACAAAUGACCUCUUAAAUUAUUCAUGAAAUCAUUUAAAAAUAUAUAAAGUUUAAUUGACAAAUUUAUCUUUUUUAAUAAAAUUAUACUCAAAUUUUUGGUUGAAAUGUAUGUAGCUUUAAGAUUAUAAUCACUUUUAGCCGAAAGUACUUUAAUAUUAGUGUUCAUAAAAAUAAUUUUUGAAUAACUUAUUAAUGAUUAAUUAUUUUAUGUAACGGUUUAAUAAAAUUAUACAAAUAUAAUGAUUUCUAAUUUGAGAAUAGUUUUUUAUAGUUCAAAACAAAAUUUAUAAUAAAAAAAUUUAACGAGUUAUCAGUAAUUAAUAAUAUACAUUUACAAUUAAAUUAUCCAAAUUAAUUAUAAAAUAUUAAAAUUUAAAAUAUUUGACUAAAGUGCGAGGCGUCACCGCUCGGCGACGUCGAGGGGCACUUGAUAGAAUAUGACUUUUCAUAUAUUACAAAGUUUAGCUAUAUAAUUAUUUUGAUUAUAAGAUAUUAAAAUAUAAAAUAUUCGACUAAAGUGUGAGGCGUCGCCGCUCGACGACACCGAGGAGGACUUGAUAAAAUAUGACUUUUCAUAUAUUACAAAUGUUUAGCUAUAUAAUUAUUUUGAUUAUAAAAUAUUAAAAUAUAAAAUAUUCUACUAAAGUGUGAGGCGUCACCGGUCGGCGACGACGAGGAGCACUUGAUAGAAUAUGAUCUUUCAUAUAUUACAAAGUUUAGCUAUAUAAUUAUUUUGAUUAUAAGAUAUUAAAAUAUAAAAUAUUCGACUAAAGUGCGAGGCGUUGCCGCUCGGCGAGCCGAGGAGUACUUGAUAAAAUAUGACUUUUCAUAUAUUACAAAUGUUUGGCUAUAUAAUUAUUUUGAUUAUAAAAUAUUAGAAUAUAAAAUAUUCGACUAAAGUGCGAGACAUCGCCGGGGAGCACUUGAUAAAAUAUGACUUUUCAUAUAUUACAAAUGUAUUAUAUAAUUAUUUUGAUUAUAAAAUAUUAAAAUAUAAAAUAUUCGACUAAAGUGCGAGGUGUCGCCGAGGAGUACUUGAUAAAAUAUGACUUUUCAUAUAUUGAAAAUGUUUAGCUAUAUAAUUAUUUAAAUUAUAAAAUAUAAAAUAUUCGACUAAAGUGCGAGGCGUCGCCGAGCGGCGACGCCGAGAAGUACUUGAUAAAAUAUGACUUUCAUAUCUUUAAAAAUAUUAUGUAAUUUUCGAACGUAAAUGAAUUUUAAUUACGAAUUAACUUUUAUAAAUACUCAAGUUAUACAACGGUUUUUGUUGAAUUUGAUUUUUAUUUUACACUGAACUUUUAUUUUUAUAACUACAAAAUCACAAGUUAUAUUUAAUAUUUUUUUUAUAACUCAAUUGUUGUUUUCUUGCAUAUAAAAGUUUGUAAGUAUAAGUAAUGGAUAUAAUAACGUCAUAUUAAUUUUCAAAAUAUAAUCAAUAUUUUAAAUCUUAUUGACAAAAAAAGGACUAAAUUCUAUCUAUUAUUUUAAAAUAUUAUUUUAAAAUAUUAUUGUAUAUACAAAUACUCACAAAUACUCCAUGACGCUGACGAACAUCCAAUAAUCAUUAUCAGGUAGUGAAAGAUCUGAGGAACACAUUAAAAUUUGUACUUCAAUAAAACACAAUUGAAAGAUGAAUUUUAGCCAAAAUAAAUAUGCAUGAAUACAGGUUGGCAAAUUGGCGUAACAACCACUGAGCUACUCAAGUACAAGGACUCGAUGAAAGGCCUCUACUACUCCCAGAACCUGAAAAUGCUAUUUCUAUAAUUCCAUCACGUUAUUUAUCUUAUUUAAUGUACUGUUCUGUGAUAACGUAUGGGAACUCGCUAAUAUGGAAUGCUAGCUUUGCAUUUGGUCUCCUCGCCAUAUUCACAAAUCAUUAGGAUUCAUAUAGAAUUGGUGCGUGUUCAAAACAGAAUUUUUUCAAGCACAAGAUCAGCAAAAAUAAAUUUAUUAAUCUUCUGCAAUUUAAAAUGCCCAGCAAGGCGGGCAUAAAUACUAGUUCUUCAUAUUUACACAACCAUUGAUCUGUCUUGCAACAAAUUUCAAGGAGAAGUUCCAAAGGUUACAUGAGAGCUUAAAUGGCUUGCAUUGCUCAAUCUAUCUCAUAAUAGUCUCACCGGACAUAUCCCAUCACUCCUCGGAAAUAUGGAAGCACUCCUAUCUCUAGAUUUGUCUUCAAAUCAAUUGACAGGGGCUAUUCCACACCAAUUAACUAAAUUGACAUUUCUAAAGGUGUUGAACCUCUCGGGAAAUAAUCUUACUGGGGAAAUCCCGCAAAAAGGGCAAUUCAGCACUUUUGGAAAUGAGUCAUACUUGGGGAACCCGGCCUUGUGUGGACUUCCUUUGACGGAAAAAUGCAUGCAUGCAGUGUCACCAACUCAAGAAGUCGGAAAUGGUGAUACUGAUGAAGAUGACGAUGCUGAUGAUGAACUUAAUUGGGAAGCCAUCCUGAUGGGAUAUGGAUGUGGAUUGAUAUGCGGAUUGUCUUUGGGGUACAUUGUUUUCAAGAUAGGAAAGCCUUGGUGGUUUGUGAAAUACAUUAAAAUACUACAACUGAAAUUGAUGAAAACAUGCACAAAGCAUAGCAGACGAAAGACUUGAGGAGAUGUUGUCUUAGGAUGCAAUCUCGUUUAAUACUUUCAUCAUUAUUCUCCAAGAUGUCUGAACAUGUAUUUUCAAAGAAUUCUCAGUUCACCUUUAGCCUUAUAAAGUAAAAGACAUUUUAAAGGCACUCUCAACUUACACCUAUAUAUACACGUACGGUUCACUUCAGUACAAAGAUUAUUAGCCAUGCAAAACAUGCAGAACCACUAGUAAUGCAGAAAAACAAAAUAUCAGUUUUCUCCAAAUAUCACUACAACAAAACUGCCAUUUUACGACGGAAAUCUAAUAUUCUAAAGGUUUACGACCAAACUAUGUUGGUGGACUUUAUUUUAAUUUACAGUUUUAACAGUAGUUAAUUUUGGAUAUCUAAACUUGCGACAGAAAACAUACGACAGUCUACCUCGCGAGAGAAAAUCAUUUUAUUUUAUUUUUUAGCGCCAGAAUUUUAAUACUAAAAUAUUAUAUAUAUGAAGGAAACUGAUCUCUAAUGUUUUCAGCUUGCUCAUCCAUAUGUAAGUAAUCCGUCGAAAAAGUUAGUUUGUUGUGGUGGUGUCUUAUCAUGAGAGAAAAUGAUAAUAUCGCAAAAUAUUUGCAACUGAAAGAUAAAUUAUAAUUCUAGAAACCAUUUAGGUAACGAUGCACGAAGUUAUUUUCACUCACUUAGAAUUAAUGAUCAUAAAUAUUUGCAACGGAAAGAUACAUUAUAGUUCUAGAAAAGGAUCCACGAAGUUAUUUUCACUCACUUAGAAUUAAUUGUAAGUUAUUGUGAGUUUUUGAAUAUGGAUUAUCUCAAAUUUUAUGAAAACACAUAUUGAUUCAUAUAUACAAAUUUGCCUACCUAAUAUUAUAAUAUUUAUGGAGAAGUUGUAUGAACAAUUGUGUAGAUAAUUAUACUUUACAAAGCAUACUUCUGCUAGAUGAAUUUUGAUUAAACAAAAUCGAAAGGGAUAGGUCUGGGUCUCUCCAAGUCUUUGAGGACUCAUUCCAAGUCUUCUGACGAGGACAAAAUAUAUUGCUGGUAGUCUUUCAGUCCUUCCUAGAGUAUUUUAUGCUCUGGACUGCAUUAUGCAGCUCUCAUAUAACUUUGCGAUGCAAAACAGUGGCAAGUAAGUAUUUCCGUAUGUGUAUUUAUUUGUAUAUUAAAGUUGCGUAACAUUUGUGUUGAUAAUUUGCGUAAUGUUGAUGAGGAUUGCUCCCAAGUCUUGGACGGACUCUUUCCAAAUCUUCUGAGGACAUAUCGGUUCAAAUUAGUCCAUUAAAAAUUUUAUGAUAUGAAGCUAUCUGCAAAAUAAUAUAUAAGGUAAAAUGAACCAUUGUUUUGUGGUUAAGUUGUACAGGCAAUAUGCAGUGCAAAAUCAGGAACAGAAUAUAUGAAUACUAGUAAUAUGAUAUCGGUAUGAACGAAUAUUUUCUAUGUAGUUGUUAUUGUGAUGCGGAAAAAAUAUUGUAACCAAAAAUAAUUAUAAUUCUAAAAAUUUCCAUUAUACACUUUUUUAGUGUUCGUGGUACUUCAAAUGACAUUUCUCGCGUAUGCCUCCAAUUAAGAACUUGAUGUUCAGCAUAGUCCGAAACUAAAAUUAUUAUAAGUGUGUAAUUCAAAAUUAUAUUGCUGGUAGUCUUUCAGUUCUUCCUAGUGUAUGCAGUAGUUUCAUUCGAUACCGAUUAUUUUAUGCAUUGCCCGAGAACCAGUCUAUCUAAAACCCUAAGAUGUUAUAUUUUUAUACGUGUAUUAGUUUUGAAGAUUAAAGUUGUAUGGACAAUUGUGUUAAUAAUUUGCGCAAUUGCGCAAUGAUAACUGGGAUAGGUCAUCUUCUCUCCCAAGUCUUGGAUGGAAUCUUUCCAAGUCUUCUGAGAACCCAUCAGCUCAGAUUAGUCCAUACAAUGUCAAGGGUCCUAUGAUAUGGUCUACUAACAGCCCAGUGUCGGUAAUAAAUCCAAUUGCAUAUAACCUAUUCAAAAUCAAUCCCCUAUAAACAAUCAUCUCUAAAAACUAUUCACAUAAAAUAAAAUUUUAAAAAUAUAAAAUAUCUAGUUGUUUUCAAUAUAUAAUUUUCCACAGUAGAUAACACAAUAUCUUUAUCAAAUUAUUAUUUAUGGGUUCAAUAUUUAAGCUAUAAUUCCAACAACACGGCAAGCAUGCAGCAUAUAAAUAGAAGUGUGCAGUAUGGUAUUGCAUUCAUAACCCAGUUGAGGAAAAAUAUGGCACCCUUCCUAAAGCCUUCUCACCUUCUUCUCUUUGUUUUCUUUCUCUCAUCACCUGAGUCCAUUCUUGCGACAACACGAGAAGGAGAAGCUCUUGUGAAGUGGAAGAAUAGCCUAGCCCCUUCUUCUUUUCUUGAUUCUUGGUCACUCACUCAUCUCGAUAAUCUUUGUAACUGGACUGGCAUUACUUGUAACUCUGCAGGUUCAGUCUCUAAGAUUAACCUUUUUGAGAAACAACUUAAUGGAAUGCUGUCCGAGUUUGGUUUCACUUCAUUUCCAAAUCUCAGCAAUCUCACCCUCACAUACAACUUCUUCUCGGGUCCCAUACCACCAGCCAUUGAGAAUUUAACCCAGCUUCGGUAUCUUGAUUUGAGCUAUAAUUAUCUGGAUGGUCCCAUUCCGUUCCAGGUUAGCCAUCUUCAGAGCUUGCUCAUCUUGAACCUGUCACAGAAUGCAUUGCAAGCUCCAAAUUGGUCCCAUUUCUCUCCCAUGCCUUUCUUGCGCAUCCUCAACCUCAGUUACAAUCCUCUUGCGUCGAAAUUCCCAAAUUUUAUAUCCAAUUCUCAUAGCCUGACUCACCUUAGCCUUAAUUUUAAUGAGUUUACUGGUGAUCUAGUACGUGAAUCAAUAUUUGCCAAUCUGCAUAAUCUUGAAGUCCUCAGUCUUCUUGGCAAUUUUUUUGAGGGGCCAUUUCCGCCAGAUAUAUUCAAGCUUUCCAAAUUAAAACAUCUUCACCUGUCAGGUAACAAAUUCUCAGGUUCAAUUCCAAAUGACAUAAGGUUGCUUUGUGGUCUUGAAAACCUAUUUUUAAGCAACAAUUCCUUUGAAGGACCGCUUCCACCAAAUAUAUUUAAGCUUUCAAAAUUAAAACAACUUGUUCUUUGGAGUAAUAAUUUUUCAGGUUCUAUUUCCAAUGAUAUAGGUUUGCUUUCUGAACUUGAAACCCUCAAUCUUCAAUUUAAUUUUUUUGAGGGGCCGCUUCCCCCACAUAUAUUUAGGCUCUCUAAGUUAACAGGUCUAGAACUCGGAGACAAUAGAAAUUUAUUUGAAGGAAGUAAUAUUCCUAUCGGACUGGGACUCUUGACUAACCUCAGGUACUUAGAUUUACAUUCCAGUAAUCUCAGUGGCUAUAUUCCAUCUGACAUUGGAAACCUGAAGCUACUAGUACUUCUUAGUCUCGGUUCUAAUCAAUUGACUGGACCGCUUUCAAAGAUCGUUUAUAAUCUCACAAAUCUUAUAUUUCUUGAUGUAAGUAAUAAUAGUCUUAGUGGAAAUAUUCAGAGUGACUUGUGGAAAUAUAACCAUCAUCCUACUUUGGAAUACAUCGAUUUUAGUGGGAACCAUUUUACAGGUAUAUUUUUUCUCUAUAGAUCUUUUCCUUUUGUCAUAUGUAACUAAGCUAGUAAUCUGAUUAUUGCAGUUUUACUGAAGUUUCAACAAUCUUGACAGGUGAGCUUCCAACAACAAUUUGCAAUGUCAUGUCCCUUUCGGUUCUUGAUUUGUCAAAUAAUGAAUUAAGUGGUGCACUUCCAAACUGUUUCGGGAAUCUUGCUGAUGGAUUGCUUUACAUUAAUCUUGCUAAUAAUCAGUUUCGAGGAACAAUACCAACUACUUUCUCCAGGAGUUGUCAGCUGACAUAUCUAAACAUGGAUAAUAAUGAGUUUGAAGGAUUGUUGCCCCCAUCUUUGGCGAACUGUAAGCACUUGAGAAUUCUUGAUAUUGGCAAUAAUAAAAUAGGUGGUACAUUUCCGUCAUGGCUUUAUGUACUUGGAGAGCUAGAAGUCCUUGUCUUGCGAUCAAAUAAACUCUAUGGUACAAUAAGUGGAAGGAGCAUAGAAGAUCCCUUCCCCAAGUUGCGGAUUGUGGAUCUGUCCAACAAUCAAUUCACAGGCCAUUUGCCAAUUCAAUACUUUAAGAAUAUGAAAUCAACUGAUAAUUUGUAUCGUUAUCAGAAUUCCACAGGAGUUUUUUCUUUCCAUUAUGAAGCAUCUGUCUCAUUAACUGUGAAGGGAACAGAGUAUGAAGUGAAAAAUAUCCUUCAUAUUUACACAGCCAUUGAUCUGUCCUGCAACAAGUUUCAAGGAGAAAUUCCUGACGUUAUUGGAGAGCUUAGAUGGCUUGCAUUGCUCAACUUAUCUCAUAAUAGUCUGACAGGACCUAUCCCAUCAUUACUGCGAAAUAUGAAAGGACUCCAAUCUUUAGAUUUGUCCUCAAAUCAACUGACAGGGGCUAUUCCACCUCAGAUAACUGCACUGACAUUUCUAGAAGUCUUAAACCUCUCGGGAAACCAUCUUAGUGGAGAGAUUCCUCAGAAAGGACAAUUCAGCACAUUCAACAAUGAUUCUUAUAUAGGAAACUCCGCAUUAUGUGGAUCACCAUUGACGAAGACAUGUGCAAACACAGCAUCACCUCCACAAGAAGUCGGAAAUGUUGAUGAAGAUGAUGCGGGUGAUGAAUUGACAUGGGAAGCAAUCUUGAUGGGAUAUGGAUGUGGACUGAUAUGUGGAUUGUCAUCUGCAUACAUUGUUCUCAAACUAGGAAAGCCUUGGUGGUUUGUGAGAUAUCUCGAAGUACUGCAACAGAAGUUGAUGAAAAGAUAUGCAUGAAGAAUGGUACUGGCCGAUCAAGACCAACUUGAAAGUUUGUUGUCCUUGUGCACAUUUCUGAACCAGUAGUGUACUUGCUGCAUAAGUAUUUGGUAUUAUGUAAUAAUCCGUUUGGUCGGGACUCAUAAUGAUUUCUCUUGCUUCAGGGGUAUUAAUAUUAACCUUGCUAUCUUGAUCAAUGUUAAAGCAAAUUAAAUGAAUGAAAAAACAAAAAGUAUGCAUCAAAUCCGCUCCUGCUGUACCAAAAUCCAUUAAAUUGCUUUGGUCUCUUACCUAACAAUUUAACAGCACACUUCCACACUGUUCAUACCUAAUUUGCGUGUAAUAUGAAAACUAAGAGGCAUGGCUUUUGUCUCUAUAAGUCUUUGAGAACUUAUUCUUCCAAGUCUUCUUCGGAGGCCUGCUGCCUCAACAACCUUUCAAAGAUGUAGCAGUUGCUCGAGAGUAACAUAUAUAUUAGAUAAAGACUAUGCAAUAAUCCACGUGACAGAAAAACCAAAGUCCAAUUAGUUUUCCAAGUUCAUAAAAAAUACUAUAGGAUCAUUAGCAUUACAUUAGUAUUCCACUAGCAUACAGCAUAUUAUAAGACAAAAGUAAGCGGAAAUAAACAUAAUUUCAAUAGAUUUAACUUACUCUUCAGAAUCGAUAAGUUUGGAACACGUUGAUUGAGCACAAGACGAAGGCCACACAUGCGCAUCAUCUGAUGCAGCUAUAUAUGGUGCCUUUACAGUUGCUCAUACAUAUAGUGAAACAAUAAGGAUCAACUCCUCCAUUGUACGUACACAUUUUCAUACAAGCUAUAAAGCAUGGUGAUAGAGUCUUUGCAAUCUCGUCAUGACCGGCACAUCCGAUUAUGAUAAACUCUAGCAGGAUCAUCCAAGUAAUAAUUUUCAUAAUGAUAUUAAUUAUCAUUGUGAAUAGUUGCAUUGAGUUAUAUAUGUGUGUGUAUAUAUAUGCAAUGGAUUUUGUGGUUGAGAAUAUCUAUUAGAUUUUGUAUAUCCAUAACAAUUAUUAAAAUUUAAACAAGAAUAUCUAUUAUUGGUUGUGGUUGACUAUUGUAGUAGUCCAAGAAAUCAAUGCAAGUGAAAUCUAUAUUAUAUUUUAAAAGAUUAUACAUGAAAUACAAAAGGUUUUUUUAGGACUGCUGUUAAAAAUUGUUAUGUUGUACGAAAAAAUGCUGAUAAAAAGAGUGUUAUACGAAAAAAUGCUGAUAAAAAAAAUGUCGUAUAAAUCAGAUAUGACAGCUUCCCACAAAAACUAAAAAAAACAGUUUUCCGUAAUAAUAUGGGAGAGGAAAAACUGUUUGUAGAUUUAUAGAACAAUUUUUCGGUAAAAAACUGUUGUUGUUUUCGAGAGUAAUGACAAACAGUGCCGAAAUCAUUUUGCAGGUAGUUAAUCUCACUUCCAUAUAAUAUACUCCUAUAUAUUACCGAAAAAACAUGAAAUGAUGCAAACCUCAUACUAUUGACAACAGCUAAACUCCUUGCAAUACUUUCAGCUGCAAAAUCCAUCAAAUUUUUUGAUUUAUCAUGUAACUGUUUGACAGAGUACUUCCAAGCCUAAGUAUCAAAAAUCACUACCUUACGAAAUAUAUCUCACCCUACCUUCUCUGCUUAACUGUUUCGAGUGCUUUUACCAAGCAUAUUUUCCAUUAAGCGUGAAAGGCACAGAAUAAUUAGGAUCACCGAAUAUCCCAUCAGUGCUGGGGAAUAUGGAACCAUCUUAUCAAUUAACUAGUUUAACAUUUCUUGCGGUCUUGAACCUCUCAGAAAACCAUCUUAUCCUAAUGUGCCGACUUCCUUUGACGGAGAAAUGGUGAUGCUGAUGCUAAUGAUAAUGAACUCAACUGGGGAGUGAUCCUUAUGGGAUACGGAUGUGGAUUGAUAUGCGGAUUUUCUUUGGGGUUUAUAUUUUGUGGUUUGUGAGAUACAUUGAAGUACUGCAGCUGGAGUUGAUCAUUAUAAAGAACAUAGGCAAGUUAAUCGCUUAUUGAAAUUAGUAAUUGUCAAAAGUAAAAUGUUGAAAUUACUUUUUUCGAUUGAAAUCAUUGAAAAAAAGUCUCUGUCGAAAUUGAUCUGCCAAAAUUAUGUUUAAUAUCUACGGCCAAGAUUAUCUGUCGAAUAUAUUUCCCGACAAUUUUAAAAGACAAAUUUUUCGCCUCUCAGCUGUGAGCGGGAACAGAUAUUUUCGACAGAAUUCCAUUGAAAUUAGCUAAUUUCAACAUAAAUUUUCUAUCGAAAUUACUUGAGUUCUUUGUAGCUUGUUUUCACAAAUACGCUGAUAGCCUUUGGGGACGGGUAUAUUGUUUUCACAAAGCCCUGGUGGUAUGUGAGAUGCUUCGAAGGACUGCAACUGAAGUCGAUAAGAACAUGCAGAAAGAAAACCGAUCCAUCUUGAUAAACUUGAAAAAUGUUGUCAUAUGGUGAUAUAUACUCCCUGGCCCCAGUCUCUUGGAAAGAACUUGGUUGAUUUUUUUUUUUCAGUAUUGUUGGAGCUGUCAUACUAGUGCUAGUGUGCCGACUAGCACUAGUAUGACAGCUCCAACAAGUAUCCAUCCCUAAUAAUUGCAGCAAAUUAAAAAAUAUAGCUAUAUCUUUUUAGCAAUGGUGCAAUUUGGAAAGCUUUCUCAUCAUCUUCUUCUUUUCUUUAUCUCAUUACUCUCAUCUAGUUCCACUGUCCUAUCUGCAACAAUUCGCGAAGGAGAAGCUCUUGUGGAAUGGAAGAACAGCCUAUCCCCGAAUUCAUUUCUUGGUUCUUGGUCACUAAUUAAUCUCACUUAUCUUUGUAAUUAAGUGGACUGGCAUUGUAUGCAACUCUGCAGGUUCAGUCAGUCAGAUUAAUCUUCAAGAACUCACACUUGCUAACCUCCGUUUCUUUUCGUUUCCAAAUCUCACCAAUCUCAACAUUACACAUAACAACUUCACUGGUCCAAUACCACCCGAGACUUUAGCUAUAGUAAUCUCAAUGGUACCCUUCCAUACCAGGUCAGCCAUCUUCAGAGGUCGGUCGUCUUAGGCCUCUAAUUUAAUCACUUGAAAGCUCUAAGCUUGUCCAAUUUUUCCCCCAUGCCUAUACUGGUUGGUCGCGGUCUUGGUGGUAAUAAGCUGGCGUCAAUUUUUCCAGAAUUCAUAUCUAAUUGCUAUAACAUGAUUAACCUUGAUCUUUCAUUUAACAUGUUAACUGGUGAUCCCUUCAACAACUUGCGAAUCUUGGAUCUCUUCGACAAUGAAUUCACUGGUUACUUGCCAAUCCAAUAUUUUAAUAAUAUGAAACCAGUUAAUACCGUGAUUGAUUAUUACAACAUAACAGUGAAUCAUGAUUAUCAAGCAUGUCUUGUUAACAUUUUGCACUCGUAUUAAUUGUCUUAUAUAUGACUAACUCAUCUUGCACUCGUAUUAAUUGUCUUAUAUAAUACUAAUAACAAAAAUAUGAGGCGGUGCUUAGUCAGAUGAUUUUAGUUGUUAAAAUAUUUUUGUGUUAUUUAUAGAUAGUGAAACAUGUCUAAUAUUUUAUCAAUUUUGUUUCGUUUCUUGAGAUUUCCAAAUAUUUAUUGGGACAUUGUACCAUGGUGUAUUUCACAUAUUCGCAAUUUUAAUUAUUUUGUAUUUUUAUUUUAAAGAUAUGAUAAAGUUUAUUUAUUUAUUUGUUUUUAUCUUAAAAGCGAUUUUCGAGUGUUGCUUAAACCUCGAAGAUUCCAAUCGAGUUUUAUUCUCGGAUCUGUUUCGGAAUUGAGCUUGGCCUUGAUUGUUUUCUGAAUAAAUCAGAUCUUUUGAAAUCAAAGGUUCGAUUGUGUUUUCCCGUCUCGCCUUUUGGCGUGUGUUGAUUUAGUACCCAAUUUUUGGGUGAUUCUGCGUUGUUAUAUUUGUGGUUGUUAUGUCUUUCUGUGUUAUCAAUGAGAAUGAUUGGGAUGGAGUUUUGGGAGAUUUGGCUUAUCGCAUCAUUACAUCUUUCGGCAUGUCUAUAGCUGGCUCCCGGCAUGUAGAUAGCUGGGGUAUGCUUGGAACGGUGGCGAUCGCAUGUGCUCACCUGUCACAAAUUAUAGUUGUUCAUUAUUCGAGGGCUCUUGUUCCUCGUUGCUUAGUUUUUACAACUGAGUCGUCUGAACACCGCAACAGCCAUGGAACUAUUGUGAAGGUCAAUUGUGAAGCUAUCAUUUUCGAGAUUGAUGUAGGCUGGAUUACUCGAGAAGCUUUUGUAUUCAUUUUCAGUUUCAAGAAUUCUUGAAUUCAGUGUGUUAAGCAGUCUGGAAACAAUGCGGCUAUUUGAUUAGCUCGUUUUAUUGUUUAUCAACCUGAUUGCAUUGUCAGUUGGGGAUUUGUCCCGAUUAAACUUGUUUUAAUAUAAUGGAAUGAAUUUGCAUUUUGUCAAAAAAAAAAAAAAAAAGCGAUUUUGAGUUGUUUGAGUUAGAUAUAUACUCCUACUGUGGUUCAACUAGUUUUGCCAUAAGUGAAUAACUUCCGGUCAAUAUUUUGAAAUUUGUCGUUAUCUUCUAAUUAAAAUAAAGGGUUAAAUAGCUACUUCAUCAUUAAUAUCGUUGAAAAUUUGCAGCUGAGUCAUGUUGUUGAAAAGACUUUCAAACUGCAUCAUUAAGUAAUUAAAAAAUUUCAAAAACACCACUCUCCGUCAGUUAUGUUAAACAAUUAACGGAAAGUUCGAAAAAAAAUAAAGAAAAGACAAAAAAACAUUAAAAAAAUUUGAAAAAAAAACCCGAAAAAAUGUGAAUAAACUAUGAUAUUUUUUUUCUUUUUUUGAAAAAUGUGAAUAAAAUCAAAAAAUCAAAAAAAAUGGGAAACCAAAAGUGGCAAGCUUUUUUUUUUUUUGUUCCUUUCAAAUUUUCUAAAAUCUGGGGAAAAAAGAACUUGCCAACUAAUUUUUUCCAAAUUUUUUCAAAUUCUUUUCAGAUUUUUGAAUUUUUUUCCAAUUUUUUCCUCACUUUUUUUCUGUUUUUUUUUGAAUUUAUUAAGAUUUUUUUUGUUUUUUCUGCUUAUUCUGAAUUUUUUAAGAUUUAUUCGCAUUUUUAAAAAAUAUUUUUGAAUUAUCCGUUAAGUAAUUAAUGGAACUGACGGAGAGUGAUGCUUUUGAAAGUUUUUAAUUACUUGAUAAUGCGUUUGAAAAUUUUUUCAACAACAUGACUCAGUUGCAAGUUUCCGGCGAGGUUAGUAAUGAAUUAGUUAUUUAACUCUUAAUAAAAAUCUAUCUAAACAAUAUUAUAAAUAUAAUGUUAUGGGUUCGAUGAGUCGUGUAAAACAUGGAAGAAGUUUAGGUGGGGUAAAAAGAGCCUAGCUGUGUGAUUUCCAUUCUGUUAUACGUGAUAUACUGUAGUUGAUCAUCUCCUUUGUCCGCUUCAUCCUGUGCAACCUUAACCUUUAAGGAAAAACUUAUGAGAUUCUCUAGUGCAUCUAAAUUCUUGUGUGAAGAAUGUGAAGAAAAAUGUUAGUCUCAGAUUAUUUUUCCUAAAAUGCUUGCAUGUUACAUUUUAUAUGUAUGUCCUGACUUUAAGUAUAAUUUAGCAUUUUUAUUUAGUAUUGUGUAAAAAUAAUAUAUUUUAUUCAGUCUUAUUAAAAAUAUAAUCAUGUUAUACUGUAAAAGUAUUUGUGAAUUUCUUUGUUACAUAUGUGUUUAAAUUAUUUUAUUUAUAUAUGUUUUACAAUUUUUUACAAAUAUAUAGGUUGAGUAUUGCAUAGGAAUAUAAUUACACGUUAGCAAAUAUGAUUAUGUGUAAACUGUUCUGCGUGCAUGUAUAUUGCUGCUAAGUUUUAAACUUCUUACUAACCGGAAUAAUUUUGACAGAUGUGUGGAACUUGAUUAAUUUAGUUGCACUAUAAGAGAAAGCGUUUUUGUCAAUAAAAAUUGUUAAGGAAAUUAGUCCGUUGGUAGUUCUCAACGGAUUUGUAACAAUUUGACUGGUCAAUGUUCUGUCAACCAAUUCGUAAUGAAAUACCCACACUUAUUUACAACGAGAUGUUCUAUUAGGAAAUAUAGCCACACAAUGGAAUAAUAACAAAAGACCAAGGAAUGAGCAACAGACUAGCAACGAAAGUAUCUGUUAUUACAUUCGUUGAUAUUCCCUUGAUAAAUACUAGACUUUUUAGCACUUUGGUGGCUUGUACUAUUUCAAAUUUGCACGUUAGUGGCCGACCUUUAAAAGUCAUCAAUUGUGUUGCUGAACUUAUUUUUUUUUAACACAUUAGGGGCUCCGCAUCAUAUCCGUUAAAUCGAAGUAACGGCGUCAAAUGAUCAAUACAUAUCUCCUCCUCCUCUUAUUUCCCUCCAAAUUAAAAAACGAAACGGCUACCCUCUUUUCCGAAGCAAGAACGACGACGAAUUCCUGCUUACAGAGAUGAGUUGGUUCCGGCGUCUUAAAGAGGAUGCUGAUGUGUAUUAGCCUCGACAGUGCCCCGAUUACUGUAGUAAGCUCUUCAACUUUUCUUCUUUGUAGCAUAUGAAAUGAGUUUAAUUGACCAUUAUUUCAGUGUUUGUUGUUGUUAGUGGCUAGUUGUUUAGUAUUAUGGACCUGCAAUUGCUUUAUACUAUUAAAAUGAAAGAUUCUGCUUGUGGGUUUUUAAAAAUUAAGGCUUUUACAUAGUCCAAGAUUCGGUCAUUAUAAAAUCAAUUUAUGCCUGUUUUAGUAUAGUGCUUGUUGUUAGUGGCUAUUUGUUAAGUAUAGUGUUGUUUAUUGUAAAUAAAACUGUUGCUUUGCACUCUACAUUUGCAGAACCUGGUGAUUUUACCCUAAAAAUAUAUCAUGGGGCCGAUUGGGUAGAUAACCCUAGGGCAUAUGUGGGAGGUACAGUAGAUUUCUUUGACUUCUGUAAUGCUGAUCAGAUCAGCAUAAUUGAGAUAUAUAGUAUGUUGAAAGAGGUUGAUGAGUUUGGGUUUCACCAACUGUGGUAUAAGCUACCUGGCACUACAUUCGAUAGAGCUUUUGUACUAAAUAAUGAUGAGGAGCUAAUGACCAUGUGUGAGCUUAUAUCUGAUGUGGAUAAGUAUAUGGAGAUUUAUGUCACCACUAUGGCACAUCUAAGUAUAGUGCCCUAUAGAGAUUUAGAGGUUGAAUUUGUUGAACCAACUCCUAAAGAAGCACCUGAAAAGAACAAUCCAUCACCUGAAAAGAUCAAUCCAGCACCUGAAAAGAUCAAUCCAGCACCUGCAAAGAUGUAUCCAGCACCUGCAAAGAGCAUUCCAACUGUGGGAAAUGAUGAUGAUCAGGAAGAGUUUGAGUUUGAUUUUGACAAUACACGGUUUUGGGAUACCACCCAAAAUGAAAUUGAAAUUGUGCAACAAGUUAGGGAAAUGGAGGGGUUGGAAGAGGAAUUUUCAGACACAGAUUCUGAUGAUGAGGAUUUUGUGCCAGAAGAAAAGGAAAGUAGUGAUGAGACCUUCCACUGUGAUAGUUCCAAUCAAGAUAAUUCUGAUGAUGAUUUGUUGUUUGAUGAUGAUUACUACCAUCCUUACCAGCAGAUGGAAACCAACAAAGAAAAAUAUACAACAACAACAACACAGCAAGAAUUUUCCAGUUCCUUGCUUGCUUCUGCGCCUCGGAUAGUUCUUCACUGUAGAAAUCCUUGUACUCAUCUUUGGCCUUAAUCAUUUCAGCAAAACAUUCAUCGUCCUUGUUCUUCAAACGCCUUAUCAGUCCAUUGAUUACACUCUUGCUGCGCGCAUCAAACUCGGGUUCAACCCACUUGAAGAAAUUGCACCUUCCAUUCACGCAAGUCAAGAAUCUUCUACCCGGAUUGUACUCCGUCCACGAUGUCUUCUCCACUGCCCAGCUUCCACACAUACAUUGUUGAUUCAUCUUUGCAGAGCUUUUUGGUUUGGAUGAGAGAUUUAGGUUUGAAUAUGCUCAAUUACACACAGCAGAAACGUAUAUAUAUACACAGCAUAUAGCCGUUGCAAAAAUAUUUUCCUGAAAUACCCCUGACGACCGUUACUUCGAUUUAAUGGAUAUGAUGCGGAGCCCCUAAUGUGUUAAAAAAAAAAUAAGUUCAGCAACACAAUUGAUGACUUUUAAAGGUCGGUCACUAACGUGCAAAUUUGAAAUAAUACAAGCCAUCAAAGUGCCAAAAAGUCUAAAUACUAACAGUUUCGUUAGUAAUUGAUUAUUAGUUUUACAUGGACAAUUGAUAUACACCACAUGAGCACAUACACGGAUACAAUGCCAGGCUCUUAGUUGAAAUGUGUGUACUGCUAAAGCUCAAGGAGAUUUAGUUGACUAAAUUGAUUUGAGUUGUAGAAAAAGGUUUAAUAAUAUAAUGGACUUUGAUAUAUGUAUUGUAGAUAUUAAGUAAUUCUCUUGAAUUUAUAUAUGUAACAUAAUUGUUAAUUGGCUCAUCCUUAACUAGAUAUUUUAUAUUACAUUCUUAACUACAGAUUUUGUAUUUAAAAUUUUUUUAAAAAAUUAACCUUUAUUUGGUAUGUGGAUUUUGUAGUCAAAUGUGGUCAAUUUACUUAGCCUUCGAUCGAAUACCUACCCAAAACAUAAAAAUAUUUUUUAAUCAUUUAUUUUCGACGAUCCAACUAUACGGAUAUUAUUGUAAUGUGAUAAUAUUGUUUACAAAUUUUUUUUAAAAAAAUUAGCCUUUUAUUUGGUAUGCGCAUUUUGUAGUCAAAUGCAAUUAAAUUACUUAGUCUUUAGUGGAAUCUUUACCCGAAACAUAAAACUUUUUUUUAAAAAAAAAUUUGGACAAUCCAACCGUACAGAUGUUAUUGUAACGUGUUAAUAUUGGUUAAAAUAAAUUUUGAGAAAAUAUGUCUUUUAUUUGGUGUGUGGAUUUUGUGGUCAAAUGCGGUCAAAUUACUUAGCAUUUAAUCGAAUACUUACCCAAAACAUGAAACUAUUUUUUUUAAAAAAUAAUUUCGGACGAUCCAACCGUACGGGGGUAUUGUAACACAAUAAUAUUGAUUAAUUUUUUUAUAGGAAAAUUAUAGCCUUUUAUUUGUUGUGUGGAUUUUGUUGUCAAAUGCAGUCAAAUUACUUAGCCUUUAAUGAAAUACUUACAUUAAACAUGAAUUUAUUUUUUUUUAAAAAUCAUUUGGAUGAUCCAAUCGUACGGAUGUUAUUAUGACAUGUUAAUUGAUUAAAAAAAUAUUUAAAAAAAAUGCCUUUUAUUUAGUAUGUGGAUUUUGUAGUAAAUGCUACUUAGCCUUUAAUCGAAUACUUACCCGAAACAUGAAACUAUUUUUCUAAAAAUCAUUUUGGACAAUCCAACCGUACGGAUGUUAUUGUAACAUGAUAAUAUUGAUUGUUUUUUUAUAUAAUAACCUUUUAUUUGGUGUGUGGAUUUUGUAGUAAAAUGCGGUCAAAUUACUUAGCUUUUAAUCGAAUACUUACCUGAAACAUGAAACUAUUUUUAAUAAAAUUAUUUUAGAUGAUCCAACCAUACAGAUGCUAUUGUAACGUGAUAAUUGAUUAUUUUUUAAAAAAAUUAGCCUUUAAUAUGGUGUAUGGAUUUUAUAGUAAAAUGAGGUCAAAUUACUUAGUCUUUAAUGGAAUAUUUAUUAGAAAUAUAUUUUAAAAAAUUAUUUUGGACGAUCCAAACUGUAUGAAUGUUAUUUUAACAUGUUAAUAUUGAUUAAAAUUGUUUUUAAAAAAAAAUUAGUUGUAUUUUAUGUGUGAAUUUUUAGUCAAAUACGAUAAAAUAUUUAUUUAGCUUGUAAUGAAAUAUUAAAACCCUACUUCAAAAGAAACUUGUCUAAAACUACCUAUAAGUGUUAGAGAAUCAUCGAUUUAGUUAUCAAAUUAGUUAUCAUAAGGGUUUUACUCCGCUUUUCUCUGGUAUGAUGUUGAUUUUUGGGGUUUGAUUGGUCGAUUUUCAUGUUUUAUAAGUUAUGUGAGUUCGAUUUUGAUGUUUUUACAAUUAGGUUUAUGUAUGUUCUUAUACAGGUUUCAUGUUCAUGUUUUGAUUUGUUGAUUUCCUAUUUUUCAUAUUUUGUUGAUUAGUUAUUUGUGUGGGUUUUGAACUUUGAUGAGUGUGUAUGUAAUCUCCUGUUUUUUUUUUUCAUUUUUCUGGUUCGAACACUUCGAUUAGUAGCUGGAAAAACAGCUGAUGCGGCAGUAGCGGCUAGUGAGAUGGAUAACAAGAAAAGGAUGAUUUCGAGGUCAUCUCGUGCAAGUCUUCAGAUAUAGUUUUGUUCCUUUAUGUUUUUAAUUGACAUAAAUUUUCACAUUUGAUGAUUAUAUUAUGGGGGAUUCUGGGUAUACUUGUAUAUAAUCUAGCAAGUUAUUAUAAUUCUGGACGGGGGGCUUAUUGUGAAAUUAAAUUGAGGGAUAAGUUGUGUUAUUGGUUCUAGUGGAUUAAAUUUAUGUUGACACUUGAUAUAUGCAUUGAUGUCGUAAAAUAAGUUGCACAUCAAACUAUUUGGCUUGUUUAAGUUGUAUGGAGUAAGGCUGUACGCGGAUCGGAUCGGUUCGGUUGGAGGGUAAUAACCAAACCAAACCGCAACUUACGGUUUUCUAAAAUCUCAAACCGCGACCAUACUGUUGGUUAAAAAAACCCAACCAAAUCCAUCCACGUAAUUGCGGUUGGUUGCGGUUCAACUGCUAAAAUAGUUAUAACAAAGAAAAUAUAUAAGUUAUUGCUUAAAAUCUUGCAUAAAGUACAGACUUUAACUCAAAAAUAUAUAAUUUAUCACUUAAAAUCUUGAAUAAAGUUAAUACAAUAAAUCUGAUUACAUAUUACAAAAGCAAACUACUCCGGAAAUAUAUAACUUGAAGCAGAGCUUCAAGUUAAUGGUUAUUAAAAAUUUCAUCCGCGACUGCCCACAUUUUACGGUUAUCCAUAAUACACGGAUCGGUUGCAGGUGGUUGUUGCGGUUAAUGCGGUGGAGCGGAUUGAACGUACAGCCCUAUGAAGUAUGGUUGCCAAGCAUUGGUUGGUUGUACACGUGUAAACAAAAUGAUAUUUUAAUAUUUAAACAAAACAAUACAGUCAUAAACAGAUCGUGUCGGGCUGGACUGAUUGUGAUUUUCCUUUUUGGAACUCGUACUCGGCAUCUUCCAAGCGAAUGAUAUUUAGAAGUUUGUUGCUAGUAUACUCCAUGUCAUAAUAAGAGUUCUUUAGAUUUUUUAUAUGUAAUUCGAAGUAUAAAAAACAUAUUUUAACAUAUUAUUUUUAAAUUUUUUAUACAUAAAAAUAUAACAUCUAUAUUUUUAUUUAGAAAAAAAUUUGAAAUAUAAUAUAUAGAUGCAUGUCUUUUUUAUACGUGAAAUUACAUGUAAAAAAUUAAAAGACUCUUAUUUUGAGUAAGAGAGAAUAUGAUGUACCAUAAAGUCAUCGAUCUUUUGUUAUCAAAUAAAUGUGAUAUUUAAUUAUUUAAGAGCAAGUCCAAAAGUAUCUUAGUUAAAGUCCUAAAUAUAAUAUAAAAUAUUACGUUCUGGUGAUUUAGGAUAUAUUUUACUAACUUGGACUCCAACAAUGUGUCUUAUUCUCAUAAGAAGUUUAAUAUUUUAUUAUUAAAGACUCUCUUUCAUCAUUAAAGCAUAAUAUAAAAGUAGAGAGAGAAAAAGAGUGUUGAUAAGAAUUAAUAAUAAAAUAUGGGAUAGGGUUAGGAGAGAUGUGCCUCAAAAAUAGGGUUUGAGGAGUUUCAUUAGGUGUGGACACGGAGACCAAGAAGUAAAAGAUGAGUACAGUUAAAUGAAGAUGUGGUAAAAUAAUGUGACCCAUUUAUAUUUAAUAAUACAUUUGAAAUAGUGGAGGAAAGUAACGAGUGUAAUAACGUUUAUAUUAUUAUAGCAUAUAGAUAGCAGAAGAAAGCAAUGGGUAUAAAAGUGUAUUAUAUUAUUAAAGUUUUGAAAUGUUUAGAAAUAAUGGGGCAAUCAAAAAGAAAACUGUAUAAAAAUGGACGAGAGAAUACAAUUCAAGAAGUAAUAUAUCUCAAUUCAAACUAGGUAAUAUAUUUAUGAAUUAUAUUAAAAAAAAUUUGACAUUCAAAUAUAAAAAUUUAUUUUAUCAUCUUAACAAUGGAAUAUUCGAUUAUUAACUUUCGUAAAUAACAUUAAUUUUUCAUUAUAAUAUACUCUAAACUUUUAUUUUAUGUGCCUGUUUGUUUACAAGAAGCUGGAGUCCUACUUCUCUUGACUCGUUUGUGUAAAAACGUAAAAAGUGCUUUUAAAAAGUACUGAGAAGGAAAUGGAAGUAGAAAAUGCUAGUUUUUCUUUAUAAUAUCUAUUUCUUUUCUAGACACUUUAAUAAUUUAUAUAUAUUAAUUUAUUUCUCACUUAUACUCCAUUUUUUUAUAGAGAACUUCUUUUAAACUAAUCGGCUCCUAUAAUCAGUAGUUUCUCAAUUUUAAUAGGAAUAAGAGCAUGUUUAUCUGAGCUUAAAGCCCGGGGUUUAUAUCAUCUCUGGCUUUAAGCUGAAAAAUGUAUGUUUGUGUAUUAAGUCGGAAGUCGGCUUAAAGUCGGAAAUAAGUCAAAAAUUGACCUAAAACCAGAAGUUAGUUUGAGAUACUUUUCUCGGUGACUAAUUUUUUUUUUAGCCAUUUUUUGAUAAAAAUUAUUCCUAAAUCACAAAUUACUCAUAAAUUACUUUUAUUAUUAUUAUUAUUAUAUUUUUAAUAACUUAUAAAUUAUUAAUAAAUCAAAAUUAAUCAAACAAAUAUUUUAAGUUCUCAUAUUAUGAGAUAACUAACGUUAAGUCAUGAAUCAACUGAACGGGAUGUAAGUCUUCUUCUCCCCGAGUCAUCAGCAGACUUUUUCCAUGUCUUCUGAGCCCCCAUUGGCUCACAAUUGGCCCAAAAAAUAUUUGGUUAUGCAUUGCUAUUCACACACUUAGACAUCAAAAUUUAUCAUCCGACAGGCGACAGCUAACUGCACACUAUUUUUCCCACAAGCUGAAAAAUCAACGAUCAAUUAAUUUUUCUUAUCAAUUAAUAAAGUUAUGAUUUCACGUACACGGCAGGCAAAAUGCUAAUAAAUAGACGAGUGCAGUAUAGUAUGGGUUCAUGAUCACCUUGAGAUUUAAUUGAAAAAUAUUAUGGUGAUAUAGAUUAAAUUAAAUUAUAAUAUCUUGAAAAGUUAUAAAUAAUUUUAAUUACUAAUAAUAUUUAUUUGUACAUUUAAAUAUUUUUAUAAAAACACAAAAAUAGCAUUAUACUCAUUUAAGUUUCUCGUAUCCGCCUCUCUUCUUGGAGAUUGUGGAUUUGCGAUAUUUAUAUUGAUUAUUAUAGGAAAAUGUUAUUUCCAGAGCAAACAUUUUUAUUUCCGGAGCAAAUUCAAACAAAUUUUUCCAAAUUGUUCUGGAAAUUAAAAUAUUGAUAUGGAUAUAACAAUUCCCUUAUUAUAUCCUAUGUAUAUUACAUUAAUGCAAUUAACAUGGUUGAUUGUUUUAGUAUAUAAUCAUAUUACUGUGACCUUUUAGUAUAUAAUUAUAUUAUUUUUGUUAUAUUUUAUGCAUCUAGAAACAAUUUUUUUAUGAUAUUUAUUAUAUUAAUUAUAGUAAAAGAUAUAAUUUUGUUUAAAAAAUUGAAUAAAACUAAGAGGGAUAGCCUACGUCUCUCCGAGUCUUCGAGGACUCAUUCCAAGUCCGAGAGGACCACAGCCUCAACCUUUAAGAGAUGUGAAAGUAGCUUGAGAGUGAUAUAAAUUUAUUUUUGACAAUAAAAUUUAAUAAUCAAAUAAAUUAAAUUAAAUUAAACUAGUUUAUAAUCGAUUAAAAAUAUAUAAAUCAAAAUUAUUCCCGAAUUAUGAUAACAAUUAAAAUCAUUUUAAAAGUUGCAUAAAUCAAAUCCAAAUCGAACAAAUUCCCCUAACACUAAAAUGUAGUUGCUUUAUUGUAGAUAAAAACAGUAUAAUAAUAGUAUUGAUGAAAAAUCAAAUUCAUCAAAUAAGUUUAUAAAAAAUACAUGAUUUUAAUUUUAAAAAAAAAACAUGAUUUUAGUGUGUUGUAUUAGUAGUGUGUCCACGCAUUUAUAUAUUAAAAUCUAUCCUCUAAAAACUAUCGAUCUAUUUACACAACUAUUGAUCUGUCGUGCAACAAAUUCCAGGGCGAAGUUCCAAAGAGAGCUUAAAUGGCUUGCAUUGCUCAAUCUAUCUCAUAAUAGUCUUAACGACAUAUGUUCUGAAUUAUUAUUAUGAUUUCAACAAUAUUUUCAAACAUUUCUUAAUAUGUAUUUUCAAAGAAUUCUCAAGCACUUGAACAUUUGGACCGGUUCUUUCGAAGCCAGGCAAUGCACAAAAAUGUCCAAAAAUGAAUAAAUUAAGAGAGAGUAGCUCACCCUUUCAAAGCCUUCCAGGACUCAUUCCAAGUCUUCGGAGGACCACUGCCUCCCCCUUUCAAAGAUGUGAUAGUAGCUCGAGAGUGAUAUAAAUUAUUUUCCCGACAUUAAAAAUAAAAAAUCAGAUUAAAUUAAUCAAUAAUAACUUAAGGAUGAAAUCCAAAUUAAUCCUAAAUUUUGAUAAUAUAUAAAAAUUAUAAUUAUAAAUUAUAUAACCAAAUCAGAAUUGAAUUAACUUACUUGGCACUAGAAUUGCUAAAGACAGUAUAAUAAUUUAAUUGAUGAAAAGUCAAAGUCUUCUAAUAAAUCCAUAAAGAAUAUGAUAAUAUGAAAAUUAUAAUUGAAAAAUCAAAAUCAAUAGUGUAUUGGAAUAGUGUUCACACACUUAUAUAUCAAAAUUUGUGGUCCAAAAACUAUAGCACAAUAUCCUAAAUACAUCACAUUAAAUAAUAGCACAAAAAUAUUCAAUAAAUAAUUGAUUUCAUUCAUAAAUUUGUUAUUUUAAAAACUAAUAAUUUGGUUGAUGUUAACCUAUAUUUUAUAUAUAAUUUCGUCUUAUUUUAUUUUACUAGAAACAAUAUUUUUAUAAUAUUUAUUACAUUAAAUAUAUUAAAAGAUAUAAUUUUAUUAAAAAAAUUGAAUAAAAUUAAAAGGAUAAGUCUCGGCCUCUCCAAGUCUACAAGACUCAUUUCAAGUCCACCGAGGGCCUCAACCAUUGAGAGAUGUGAAAGUAGCUUGAGAGUGAUAUAAAUUAAUUAAAUUAGUUAAUAAUGAAUCAAGACUAAUCAUGAAUUAUGAUAAUAAUUAAAUAAAUUAUAAAAUUAAAUUAUACAAAUAACACUAAACCUUAGUUACUUUAUUGGUAAAUAAAUAUAAUAUAAUAAUCAAAUUGAUGAAAAAUCAAAAUCAUUUAAUAAAUUCACAAAAAAUAUAUGAUCAUUAGUAUGUUAUAUUAGUAUCCACACACUUAUAUUUCAAAAUCUAUCCUCCAAACUUAUCAUCUCUGUAAACUAGCCACAUAAAAUAAAAAUUUAAAGAUAUUAGAUAUUUAGUUAUUUUCAUUAUAUAAUUUUUCCACACGAAAUAACAAAAUAUCUUUAUCAAAUUAUUAUUUAUGAGUUAAAUAUUCAAUUUAUAAAUCCAGUAUGCAGCGUAUAAAUAGAAGUGUGCAGUAUGAUAUCAGAUUCACAUAACCCAGUUGAUGAGGAGAAACAUGGCAUACUCUGCAAAGCCUUCUCACCUUCUUCUCUUUGUUUUCUUUCUCUCAUCACUUGAAUCCAUUCUUGCAACAACACGAGAGGGAGAAGCUCUUGUGAAGUGGAAGAAUAGCCUAGCCCCUUCUUCUUUUCUCGACUCUUGGUCACUCACCAAUCUCGAUAAUCUUUGUAACUGGACUGGCAUUACUUGUAACUCUGCAGGUUCAGUCUCUGAGAUUAACCUUAGUGAGAAACAACUUGAUGGAAUGCUGUCCGAGUUUGGUUUCACUUCAUUUCCAAAUCUCAACAAUCUCACCCUCGCAUACAACUUCUUCUCGGGUCCAAUACCGCCAGCCAUUGAGAAUUUAACACAGCUUCAAUACCUUGAUUUAAGCUUUAAUUAUCUCGAUGGUCCCAUUCCGUUCCAGGUUAGCCAUCUUCAGAGGUUGCUCAUCUUAAACCUGUCACAGAAUGCAUUGCAAGCUCCAAAUUGGUCCCAUUUCUCUCCCAUGCCUUUCUUGCGCAUCCUCGACCUUAAUAGCAAUCAUCUUGCGUCGAACUUCCCAGAAUUUAUAUCCAAUUCUCAUAGCUUGGCUAUCCUUGACCUUGGAUAUAACAACUUUACAGGUGACCUUGUGCGUGAAUUUACUAAUCUACAAAAUCUUGAAACCCUCUACCUAGAUGAAAAUUCUUUUGAGGGGCCAUUUCCGCCGGAUGUAUUCAGGCUUUCCAAAUUAAAACAUCUUCGCCUGUCAGGUAACAAAUUCUCAGGUUCAAUUCCCAAUGACAUAAGGUUGCUUUGUGAUCUUGAAUCCCUAUAUUUAAGCAACAAUUCCUUUAAAGGACCCCUUCCAUCAAAUAUAUUCAAGCUUUCAAAAAUAAAACAUCUUGUUCUUUGGAGUAAUAAGUUUUCUGGUUCUGUUUCCAAUGAUAUAGGUUUACUUUCUGAGCUUGAAACCCUCGAUCUUAACUCUAAUUUUUUUGAGGGGCCGCUUCCGUCAAAUAUAUUCAAGCUCUCCAAACUAAGGUAUCUUUCCCUUUGGGGUAAUAACGUUUCAGGUUCUAUUUCCAAUGAUAUAGGUUUGCUUUCUGAGCUUGAAACCCUCGAUCUUAACUCUAAUAUUUUUGUGGGGCCGCUUCCGCCAAAUUUAUUCAAGCUCUCCAAACUAAAGAUUCUUUCCCUUUAUAAAAAUAACUUUUCAGGUUUUAUUUCUAAGGAUAUAGGUUUGCUUUUUGAACUUGAAACCCUCUAUCUUGGCUCUAAUUUUUUUGAGGGGCCGCUUCCCCCACAUGUAUUUAGGCUCUCCAAAUUAAGAGAUUUGGGUCUCAGAGACAAUAGAAAUUUAUUUCAAGGAAGUAUUCCUAUUGGACUGGGACUCUUGACUAAUCUCAGGUACUUGAGUCUAUUUUCCAAUGAUCUCAGUGGCUAUAUUCCAUCUGAGAUUGGAAACCUGAAGCUACUAAAAGUUCUUGAACUCGGUUCUAAUCAAUUGACAGGACCGCUUUUAAAGAUAGUUUCUAAUCUCAAAAAUCUUAUAUAUCUUGGUGUAAGUGGUAAUAGUCUUAGUGGAAAUAUUCAGAGUGACUUGUGGAAAUAUAACGAUCAUCCAACUUUGGAAUACAUCAAUUUAAGUGGGAACCAUUUUACGGGUAUAGUUUCUCUCUAUAGAUCUUUGUCAUAUGUAACUAAGCUAGUAAUCUGAUUAUUGCCUUUUCACCAAAGUUUCAACAAUCUUGACAGGUGAGCUUCCAACAACAAUUUGCAAUGUCACAUCCCUUUUGCUUCUUGAUUUGUCAAAUAAUGAAUUAAGUGGUGCACUUCCAAACUGUUUCGGAAAUCUUGCUGAUAGAUUGCUUUACGUUAAUCUUGCUAAUAAUCAGUUUCGAGGAACAAUACCAACUACUUUCUCCAGGAGUUGUCAGCUGAAAUAUCUAAACAUGGAUAAUAAUGAGUUUGAAGGAUUGUUGCCCCCGUCUUUGGAAAACUGUAAGCACUUGAGAAUUCUUGAUAUUGGCAAUAAUAAAAUAGGUGGUACAUUUCCGUCAUGGCUUUAUGUACUUGGAGAGCUAGAAGUCCUUGUCUUGCAAUCAAAUAAACUCUAUGGUACAAUAAGUGGAAGGAGCAUAGAAGAUCCCUUCCGCAAGUUGCGGAUUGUGGAUCUGUCCAACAACCACUUCACAGGCCAUUUGCCAAUUCAAUACUUUAAGAAUAUGAAAUCAACUGAUAAUUUGUAUAGUUAUCAGCUUUCCACAGCAGUUUUUUCUUUCCAUUAUGAAGCAGCAGUCUCAUUAAUUGUGAAGGGAACAGAGUAUGAAGUAGCAAAUAACCUUCAUAUUUACACAGCCAUUGAUCUGUCGUGCAACAAAUUUCAGGGAGAAAUUCCAAAGGUUACUGGAGAGCUUAAAUGGCUGGCAUUGCUCAACUUAUCUCAUAAUAGUCUAACAGGACCUAUCCCGUCAUUGCUGAGAAAUAUGAAAGAACUCCAAUCUUUAGAUUUGUCCUCAAAUCAACUGACGGGGGCUAUUCCACCUCAGUUAACUGCGCUGACAUUUCUAGAGGUCUUAAACCUCUCGGGAAACCAUCUUAGUGGAGAGAUUCCUCAGAAAGGACAAUUCAGCACAUUCAACAAUGAUUCGUAUCUAGGAAACUCCGCUUUAUGUGGAUCACCAUUGACGAAGAAAUGUGCAAACACAGCAUCACCUCCACAAGAAGUCGGAAAUGUUGAUGAAGAUUAUGCGGGUGAUGAAUUGACAUGGGAAGCAAUCAUGAUCGGAUAUGGAUGUCGACUGAUAUGUGGAUUGUCAUCUGCAUACAUUGUUCUCAAACUAGGAAAGCCUUGGUAGUUUGUGAGAUAUGUCGAAGUACUGCAACAGAAGUUGAUGAAAAGAUGCUUGAAGAAAGGUACUGGUCGACCAAUAAGAACUUGAAAGUUGUUGUCCUGGUAGACAUUUCUGAACCAGUAGUAUUUGGUAUUAUGUGAUAUUCUGUUUGGUCCGGACUCAUAACGAUUUCGCUUGCUUCAGGAGUAUUAAUAUUAACCUUCCUAUCUUGAUCAAUGUUAAUGCAAAUUAAAAUGAAAAGGCAAAAAAUAUGCAUCAAAUCCCCUCCUGUUGUACCAAGAUUCAUUAAUUAAGAGGCAUGGCUUUUGUCUCUCCAAGUCUUCGAGAAAUUAUUCCAAGUCUUCUUUGGAGGCCUACUGCCUCAACAACCUUUCAAAGAUGUAGCAGUUGCUCGACAGUGAUAUAUAUAUUAGAUAAAGACUAUGCAACAACCAACGUGACAGAAAAAUCAAAAUAGGACAAAAUCCGUACGAAUCAAAAUAGUUUAUUUCUAAGGGGAAUAGCUGAAUUAAAUUGUAAGAGAAGUAAAACAGAUUCUUUUAUAUUUUGGAAUAUAACUGAAAAAGAUUUUGAGAUAAUUUUCAGAAAUCAAACCAGUCAAAUAAAUAUUCGCUGAAGGAACAGAGUAAAGAUACAACGAAUAUAACAAGUUGUAAGAUGAAUAUCGCUGAAUCAAACAGGGUAGAACCCGUACAAAAACGCCAAACAGAAAGGAUCAAAACAGAGUAAUCAAAUUUACCUAACACUAAUAGAAGUAGUGCUGAAUAAAAGAGAACGAAAUCUGUACCUUAAAAAUAGCAAACGCAAACACUAACCAACCUCACAAGGGACCAUCUAAACUCCCUAACCCCGACUUUAUCUUAAACUCCAAAUAUCUCCCUGACUCCAAUAUGCCCAGAACAAUAAACGAAUGUUUUGACCUUCUAAACGAUGUUUUCUGGAAUAACGCAAAACACGAAAAUCGUAGAGAACGAAAAGACCUUUCCGAAAAGGUAAGGCUCGUCAAGAACGGAGUCAUAACGAAUCGGGAAUUAAAUAAAACGUCCGCUGAUUCAGAACUCAAAGCGAGAACAGGAUCUGAUUAAGUUUUGUAAUUUUGAGAACAGUUUGAAACAUAAUCUGAGAAAACAUUAUAAACGAAAGUAUAUGAGAUUGAAAGAGCUUUCCGAAACAUCAAGAAUCAUCAAAUUCCGAUAAGAAUUGAAUUUUCUACGAAUUUUACAAGACAGCUGAUUUGUGAGAAUAAAGCCCUACGAAUUUUUGUCAUAAAAAUGAAGAGAAGGUUGAGUAGCUCUCAAAAGUAUAUAAAAAGAAUGAGAGAACAAAUCAAUAUACUCCCUUUGUCCCUCUCGUUUAUUUACAGUGUUUGACACGCAUUUUAAAGCGCAUAUAAAACAUAGUUCUAUGAUUUAUUUUCAAAAUUUUUCUUUUUUGUAUAAAAAUUUAAACAUCAAAUUUUUAUCUAGAAAAAAAGGAAGUUCAAAAUAAUUUAUUGAACUACGUUUUACGAGAGCAUUAGAAUGCGUGCCGAGCCCCCGUCCCCCAAUGUAAACAAAUGAGAGGGACGGAAGGAGUAUAUAUACAGAGUCUUGAGACCCUAAUUCUAAACCUAUCCAUUAUCUGAAUGCAAGGCUGAUCUAUAUUUUAAGUACACUAUCCUAAUUCAAUUUUAAAUCCUAUUCAUAAUCUAAUUUUAAUCCUUUAUUAUUAUUACUAACCAAUUAAUAUUAUUUUAAAAAAAUACUGGAUAUUACAUUCCUGAUCAGACUAGUGAUCGGAUUGCAACCGCAAAGCAGCCUAUAUAUAGUGACAAUUAAAUACACAACAAAACAACUUCUUUCUUCUCUCUUGGGUUAUAAUACUCAGACGGACAAGCUAUAUCUGAGGCGAUUUUCUGGGCGAUUAAACACACAAUAAAAGCAGCUUCUUCUUCUUCAAUUAAGGUUUAUUCUACACCCAAUCACAUACACACACACACUUUAAUAUGACUAGUGAGUUCAAUUUUUGGUGGUAUUAUAUGAUUAUCAUGUUCUCUUUUUAAAUAUUAGUAACGUUAUUUUCGGAGUGGACUCUGUUGAUGUUUAAAUUUGAUAUAGAUAUUGUAAUUGAAAAUUUAUGUUGAUUUGUUGUUCAGAUUUCAAGUAUUAAUUUGUGUGUGAUCAAAAUUUUGCUUCUACAUCGAUUAUCAGGAGGAAAUAUGAGGCCGAUCUUGAUCAAAGGACACGAAAGGCCAUUAACAUAUCUAAAGUAUAACAAGGAGGGUGACCUCCUCUUCUCCUGCGCAUUAGACAGAAACCCCGCUGUUUGGUACGCUGAUAAGGGAGAGCUUUUAGGCACUUACCGUGGGCACAUUGGUUCUGUUUGGGGUUGUGAUGUUUCUAGGGAUUCAAAACUUUUAAUAACUGCAAGUGCGGAUCAAACAGCAAAGGUAUGGGAUGUUCAAACUGGGUCUGAGCUGUUCACGUUUGAAUUUAAGUCCACUGUGAAAUCAGUAGAAUUUGGUGUCGGAGACAAGCUUGCUGUCAUUGCAACAGACUCCUUUCGUGACAUGUCUUCUGCAAUUCAUGUCAAACACAUAGCCAGAGAUCCUAGUGAACAGUGCGGUGAUUCUGUGAUUGAAUUCUCACCUGGAGGAAGAAUCAAUAGAGCUGUUUGGGGACCUUUAAAUAGGACCAUAAUAAGUGGUGGUGAACAAGGCGUUGUUCGUGUGUGGGACGUUGAGACAAAGAAAGUGAUUUAUGAGUCAGACAAGGAUACUGGUCAUCAGAAGGCCAUUACAUCACUUGCAAAAUCAAGAGACGGUUCACAUUUACUUACUGCUUCCAUUGACAAAUCAGCUAAGCUUUGGGACAUCAGAUCAAUGAAACUUCUCAGGACAUACAAGGCUGAAGCCCCAGUUAAUGCAGUUGCACUCUCUCCACUACUUGAUCAUGUCGUGCUCGGAGGUGGUCAAGAUGCAUCGACUGUUACAAACGAUCCUCGUGCUGGCAAGUUUGAGGCCAAAUUUUAUUCCAAGGUCCUUGAAGAAGAAAUUGGAUCUGUGAAAGGACACUUUGGUCCGAUAAAUGCAUUGGCAUUCAACCCUGAUGGAAAAAGUUUCGCAAGUGGAGGUGAAGAUGGUUAUUUGCGAUUACAUCACUUUGAUCAUGACUACUUCAACAUGGCGAUUUAAUUCGAAUUACUUACAUUGCUACGUCUUUUUUUUUUUUUUUCCGGUUUUAUUCAAGUUAUUUUCUGGUUUUUAUGUUGAUCUUAUGUUCUUUGUUAUAAAUAGAAGUGUGGUUCCUUUUAAAACUAUUUACAUAAGUUUUUGGCUUUUCAUGUAAUUUAAUCAAAGUAAAUGCCAUGAGAUCCUGAAUAUAUCUACUUAUCUAUCUAUCUACUUAUUAAAGCAGAAUCAGGGGAAAAAUAUACCAGAAAUUGGAUGAAAAAUUUACAUACACACCCUCAAUUAUUCAUCAAUUCCGAAAUUGGCCUGUAGUUUAGCUGUUAACUUGCAGGAUUUUUGUAAAAGUAGGAAUCAGCGAUUCUUAGGUACCCCAGUGACCCCGAAUCGGUUUCUCAGAUUCUUGGAAAUCCUCGGUCAGUUGAUUUAGAUUGUGGGCAUAUAUACACCUAUAGUCAGCCUCCGGCGGUGCAAUCUUUUGGUGGUGUUUUUCAGCCUUUUCUGCUAUAGCGAUUCUUGUUAAAACAUUCAGGUGCUAGGGUUGUUUUGUUGGUAAAGGGAAUUGGAUUGUUGUAUCUGCGGUUGUGGCAAAGGUAAUUUUCUUGCCCUUGCUAUUCUUUUGGGAUGUCUGAUUAUAAAUAGCCCUUCUAACUUUGUUCACCUGUUCUGUAUGAUGUGUGUCAUUUGUGAUUGAGUCGAGCAGUAUAUCAUUUUGAUGCAUAUUGUUAAUUUCACUCUGGGAAAUUUUUAUGCUGAUGUUUGGGCAAUUAAUUCUGGUUAUUUCGUUGAUUUUGUUUGUGGUUUGUUUCCACCUGCCAUUAGAACUGUAAAGUAAAGUGUAUUUAUUGAUCAUGAUUCAAGUGUUUGUAGAUAAUCGAUGUGGGUGACAAAGAAGCUGCAAAUGAUGAUGGUUCUUCACAAAUUUUAUCUGCUUUGCUUCCUUUUGUUGUGGCUCUCACCAUGGUUGUCAAGUCGACGACUGCUGUUGCUGCUCUUGCUCAGCCCUCAACUUUCACCUGGUAACAACUUUUGUAUGUUUGGUAAAAUAUUUUGAUUUUUUUUUUUUUGUAAGGGUAAAAUAUUUUGAUUGUGAUAAGCUAAUUUAUUGUUUUUUAAUGAUUCCAACACUACAACAGAUUUAGCAUCACACAACGGUUUUUGCCCGUUGUCUGAGACCACGGAAAACCGUGGUCUAUCGAGACGCCGUCUGAUAUGCGUAUCAGACAACGGUGCGCACCGUUGUGUGAUAGUGCUAAACACGAUGGUUUACGUUAAAAAAAUUGUUGUGCAACACCCAGAACCAACAACGUUUACUCUUAAACGUGGUGUUGUUAGAAACACUCCUUAACAAUAGUCGAUUUCAAAAAUGGUGUUGUUAGAGAGACUAUCCACAACAGUUUUAUUAGCUCGCAAGACUUGUUGGAAAGAUGAUCAUACAACAGUAGUUGAAAUAGAGAAGCUCGUUCUUUCCUCUCUUGUACAACGGGUUUCGAACACCAAGCCACUUGUGUAAGGCCCCUUCUAACAAUGUUUUAAUUAGUGAGGUUGUUGUGUUUAGUUACGUCAGACAAUGGUUUUCUUUCAUAGUUGGUUGUCGUUUACAUGUUUUAACAAUUGUUUCUGUUUCAUCAUUAUUGCAAGUCAUUUGUUUGGACAAUGGUUUUGUGACAAUAAAUCAUUGUUUCCAGUUUUAUGAGACAAUGUUUUUAAUGAAUAAUGAUUAUUGUAUCAUGUUCAGUAUGACAAUGGCCCUGUAUUAUCCCAUUACCUAAAUACAUAAUAGACAAUGAUUAACAUAACUCGAUUAAACUAAGCUAGAGAAUGUAAUUAAAAAGCCAAAAAUUUGUAAACAAAAAAUUUCAUUAUGCACUAAUAACCAUUGUUACAACCAAAUCAUAUAUACCAUCCAAUAUCCAGAAAUAUUUCCCCCGAGGAUGGCAAAUCUCAAAAAUAUAAAUACCUACAAUAAAUGGUAGCAUCUAGAGAGGCAUAUGUGACUACAAGAGUCUUUUGUGAGCUUUUCAACUACCCAGCCCAGGAACAAUCCUCUGAUUGCAUUCUUUUGAUUCGGAUGGAGCCCUCCUGCUAUCUCUUUUGGAAGUGACUCUACUGCAACCACCUGUAAUACAUAAAAAAGUUCUUGAUAUGCUUUUCGUACAAAGAAAUUAAUGUGGUUGAGGAGUAUGUUUCGAGUUCAAAAUAUACCAGUGUGCCAUCUUCCAUGGUUUCACGUCAUUCAUACACAAUAAAUUGUAGCAAUUGUGAGCCCUAUCAACAUACCAGUCUUUCUGUAUUUAGAGUUGGAGCAGCUAAGCCAAAAUCAGACAAAUGGGGAUUGAGUUCAUCAAGUAAAAUAUUUGCUGACUUUAAGGUACUAUUAACAACAUAAGGAACAACAUCAGCAUCUUGCUUCUAUCAUCAGUGAAGUAUAAAAACUCUUGCAAGCUACUAUUUGCAAUAUAAUCAUGGACCAGAAGACGUACCAUGUUCAGCGGAAUAUCAUUCAAAUCUCUGGCAUGGUUGUUGUGAUGGAUAAAAAUAAGUUCCUUUAUGACCUGAAUUAAACAUUAAAAGAUACCAAAUUAACCGAAAUGCGUAGAGAUGCACAAAAAGUCCAGGCCCGAAAAUAUGGUCAUAGAGAUUUAAAAAAAGUCGAAAAUAAAGACAAACCAUGUGAGUAAAAAGCAGAGUAAGGAGGAUUGAUGGUAGUGUUUGAUAUAGAUGCCAUGUGGGUAGAUCCAUAUGAGCUGCUGGAAGCAGAGAGAUUUCUUCCAAACUCUCUUACAUUAUUGACAACAUUUGUGUUAACAUAUAUGUGUUGUAUAUGAAAUUUUAAAGAUUAGAUACAUAAAUAUAAUAUUAUUCGGAAAAUAUAACAUACCAUCUCGAGUCAUUUUCUUGCUUGGUCAUUAAAAUAACCUACAGCAAGUAAUGUACCCUCACUCUAUAAGAAGAAGAUGGACAAAAAGAAGUCAGUUGUAUGGAUGCCUCGGAAUAUAUACAAGAAUGUCCCAGGGAUAUUUAUUCAGUUGAUGAAGCAUGUAUAUCUAGAAAUUAACAAACCUCAUCAGCCAAAACAAAUAUAAAAUUAAUAAAAUCAUCUGUCUCCAAACACACAGAUUAAAAUCAAAGCACAAAUGUUAUCACACAAAACCAAGACAACACAAGAUCCAUCACUAAAACACACAACUACUACUAAAAUCAAACACACAAACAAAAAUCUCAUAUAGAUUCAAACUUUAUCCCCAAAAUCAAGUAUAAUUACACAGUAAAAAGCAUUCGUUUACCUCUUCAUAAGGUGAAUUGUUGUUAAACUAAUCAGCACGGUCAACACCGGCAUCAAAAACUUGAAUGGCCUUUGGGGUUAUCGCCGACAGAACAGAUCUGAGUAAGCUUUGUAGAAAAUGAGAUAGAGACGGGGGAGGGAGGGGAGAGUUCAGAGGAGGGUGAGGGAGAGACAGAGGGCGAGAGGGAGGGGAGGGGCGAGAUGCUUUAACAAAUCAAUUGCGGCAAGAGUGGGGAAGACACAGCCGCACCAGAAGAGGAAGAGAUAGAUUCAGAAGAAGAGAGAUUUACUCUCACUUACAAAUUUUAGGUCAAAAUAGAGGGGGGGAAAUGAAAAUUUGGAUAAACAAGUAGAGAGGGAAUUGAAAAUUUUUGUAAGGUGGAAAUCAUUCGUUCAUCCCGUGUAAAUAACAAAAUCAAUGUAUUAUAAUAUCCAUAUAGUUGAAUUAUAAAUAAAUGAAUUUUUUAAAUUAUAUUUUUGUAUUUGAUUACAAAUAUUUCAUAUUAAAUAAAUUUUAAAAACAAUUUUAAUGUAGAUGUCAAUAUCUAAUUAUUUUAGUUAUUUGUGAAAAUCUUCAAAAAAUUAAAAAUUAAUCUGGUAAAUCUUUUUGACAAAAUAUAGUUGAAAUACAACUAUUUAAUAAAAAAUUAAUAAUUCUUUAAAAGUUAAAAUUCUCAUUUUCUCGAUGUAUUCCGUUUUUGUACUCUUUGUCUAAAUAAAAUAUACACAAAUUUUUAUUAUUCAUUUGUAAUAAGAAGAUAUUUGUGUGGUUCAAAUGUCAAUAUUAGUAUAAAUUUCAUAUUUACAAUAUAGGAUGUACUUAAUAGAAGUUUUGUGAUCUAUAUGAUUAACCCCGUAUUAAUUUUGAAAUAUUUUCGAUCAUCCAAACAUAUAAAGAUCUUAAUAUCUAUCAAUAUUAGUCAUGUAUAAUAUUUUUAAAUUUUUCUAUAUUUAUUUAUAUCUUGUUGUAACAAAACUAGUGAUGAUCGUUGUUUUUAUGUCAUUUCUUAUUUUUGUACUUUUUAUCAAAAAAUUAUAUUUAUAUUAUGCAUAUGUCCAAAUUUGUAUUAUUCAUUUGUAAUUGGAAGAUAAUUUUGUUGUUCGGACCUGAGUAUUACUAUGUGUUUUAUGUUCACAAUUUAGGAAGCACUAGAUAGAAUUUUUGUUAUCUACAAAAUUUGCUCUGAAUUAAUUUAUAAAUAUUUUUUUCGAUGAUAUAACCGUACGGAUGUUAAUAACUAACAAUAUUAGUCAUGCAUAAAAAAAUUAGAUUUUUUUAUGCUUAUUUUAUAUGCUUUUUUUACAAAACUAGUCAAUUGUAAAUUUUGUCUUAUUGUAAAAAGGUAAUUUUUGUCUUGUAGUGUCCAACAGACAACGGUACUUAUAGGCACGUGUGUUGUAUGAGUUAAAAUGACACAACUGUUAUGGACAUUAUACAGUCAUAACAAAAUCUAUUGUCUAAAAUAGGCUCAAACAAUGUUUCGGGAAAAACUCGUUGUGUGUAAGUAGUGUAGACAAUGGUUUCUGGGAGGCAAACCGUUGUAUAAUAAAUUUUCAUUUUUAAGAGUUAGAAAUUCACAUUUUCUUGAUUAGUUCUUGUUUUUGUACUCUUUGUCUUAACAAAUAUACUUAUAUUAUGUAUAUAUGCAAAUAUCAAUUGUCAUUUGUACUAUGAAGAUAAUUUUGUAGUUCGAACAUGAGUAUUGGUAUGUGUUUUAUAUUUACAAUUUAGAAAGUACUGAAUAGGAUCUUUGCUAUAUAUAAGAUUAGCUCCGUAUUAUUUUAUAAAUAUUGAUUUUGAUGAUCUAACCGUACGGAUGUCGAAAACUAACAAUAUUAGUCAUGUAUAAAAAAAAUCAAUUUUUUAUGUUUAUUUUGUAUGUUUUUUUUAACAAUACUAGUCAAUUGUAAAUUUUGUCUUACUGUAAAAAGGUAUUUUUUGUCAUGUAGUGUCUAACAUACAAUGGUUUUUAUAUGCACCUAUGUUGUAUAAUUGAAAAUGAUACAACUGUUACAGAAGUAUACCGUUCUAAGAAAAUCUAUUGUCUAAAUUAGGCUCAAACAACGGUUCACGGAAAAUCCGUUGUAAAAAAGUAGUGUAGACAACAGUUUAUGGGAAGGAAACCGUUGUAUAAUAAAUUUUCAUUUUUAUGAGUUAAAAAUUCGCAUUUCCUUGAUCAAUUCUUGAUCUAAUGCAAGAAAAACAUAUGACUAUCAAGAAAUUGAUUGUUUUGUUAUAACUUUGGUUAGGACUUUGAAUCUUUGCACUCUCUUAUGUACAUCCAUUUUCUUAAAAUUCAUUCAAUCAUACAACAUUUUAUUAGUUAGUAGAGGCUUGUCUAUAAUGCCAUGCUACAAUGCUAACAAAAACACUUGUAUGUUAGCUUCCCAGUCACACAACACUAUAUAAAACCCUUGUUUGAACUCCUCGUAAACAACACAACAAAUAAAACACUUGUCUAAUUACAACGACGGUUUCUUGAACUAUUGUCUGAAGUUUCUUCACACAUCGGCUCUCAAAACAGUUGUCUAACAUGCAUCAUUACACAAUACCACAGUUAAGAAACCAUUGUCUAAUUGAAUUUACUAGACAACAAUUUUUUAACCGUUGUAGGUCGUAGAUGUUAGACAAUAGUUUUUCGAGGCCGAAAAGAAAGUGUUGUGUCUUUUUUCCAAACAACGCUUUUUUCACCGUGCGUUGUCUGAUCAGUGUUGUCUAAUGGUGUUAUUGUUGUAGUGCAAGUUGGAUUUAUUUAAUGCUAAUAGGUACUUGUUCAAGUGAGGAGAUUUAACUGAGAUUCAGGUUCUGGCAUUUGUCUUGUGUUGUUAUUUGUUUAUGUACCGGUUUUGAGAGUCAUUAGAGAUAUGUAAGGUAUUUAUUCCUAUUUUUUAUUAUUAGUAUUACAUCGUUUUCGGGUAAAAUAAUCGAUGAUUGUUUGUUUUAACUGUGUAAUAGCCUUAUGAUCUGCCAACUUAUGUAGACAUGUGAUAAACAUGUUGACUGUGGUCAAUAUUUUAGAUGAGGUAGUGUGUUUGUUGUUAUUGCAAGACUUUUUGGAAUAAUCAUUGUCAAAAAGAACUAACGAUGAAUGGAAAUGAAGUUCUGAAGAAGUGAUGAUACAAUGUUAAAGAGAUUGCUUUUUGUUGAAUUUUUCUGACUCUGGAAUUAAACUGCGUUAGUAUCUUCUUCUCUGAUUUUCCUUAUUUGGUAGACCUACUACUUUCAGAAGAUACAUGUGGUAUUUGUUUGGUUGAUUAAUUUUGGUAAGAUACAGUUUCCGUUUGGAAUCAGACUAUCCAUUGAACAAUCAGACUAUCCAUUGAAGAUUUUAUGCUCGCUCUUAAAUGGUUGAUCCACUGAUCUUAUUCUUACUUCAUAUGAGCUAAAGCCAGCUCUAGGGGUGUUUCUCGCAUACAAAAAAAUUAAAAAAAAUAUUAUGAAACUAUACUUUGCAGGAGUCUCAAAAUAAAUAAGUGUAAACGAUAAACUUAAACACCUAACUUCUUAAACACCUAGCAUAACACGGGUGAGCAUAUGGUCAAUCAUACCAAAUUGAAUAAAUCGAAAUUAAAAUUUAAAUAUUUUUAGACUGGACCAAACUGAAAUAUUUUGUCCGAUCCAGUUCAGUAUGAUCGAAAAGAAUUGAUUCUUUUGGAAAAAGUAACUUAAUAUUAUAAAUAAAAUUAAGAUUUAUAAUUUAUUUAAAAACUAUCAAUGAAUCAUCAACACUUCUUCAAAAAUAGAUACAUUUGAAUUUAUACAUUAGAUAUUAUAACUUCUAAAAAGUAUAUAAAAAUAUAUAAUAUAAAUAUAAAUUUAUAGUAUAAUUUUUUUGACUAUUUAGAAUAUAUUUUUAACCCAAAUAUUUUUUUUUAAAAUCAAAUUUUAUUUCGAUGAACUUUUCUAGAAAAUUAAGAUAGAAACGAAACUCAUUCCUACAGUAAGGUUUCAGUUUUUCGGCUGCAAUACGGUUUUGCUCAUCAUUAGCAUAAAUGGAGUAUGUAGUAAAUAUGAAUGAAUGGCAUGGGAAUUCUUGGAAUGGUAUCAAGAAUUAAGAUUAAAGCACAUUAGAAGUUUAGAACCAUGAAUGUUAUUUUUGAAAAUAGUAAUCCCUCCGUUUCUUAUCACGUUUCUCGUUUGAUAUGUCGGAACGGUUCAUAAUAUGAGACAAAUUAGUAAUUUAUGUCCAAUUUAUAAAAUUAAAUAUAGUCAUGAGUGAUCUUGUUGGAUUCGUAUCUAUGAGUACUUUAAUAAGAUGAAAUUUUUAUAUUUAAUGUUAAUACAAAAUUAAAAUAUAUUAAUUAAAAAUAUAUAUUGACAAACGUGAUAAAAACAAACAGCAAAAAUAUUAAGAAACGAAGCGAGGGAGUAAUAAAUAUGCUUUAUGCUGAACUGAAUUGAGUGCGUGGAAGCUUGGGGAGGCAGCUUACUACAGUAUCUACGUGUAUCUGUAUAUGCAAUAAAGACACAAAUACUCACAGGAGAUUAUUUUUCAAACACUUAAUUUCCCCCUUUCCUUCUCGUAAUAUUCAACUCAAUUCAUCACAUCAUCUUCUUCAGACAAACAACUAUACUCACUUCAGAUCAUCACAUCAUCUUCUUCUUGACUUCAGAUCCACAUUUCAAACCCUAAUCAUUCGCUUGGUCCCCUCCCUCUCUGUAAUAAUACAAUUCUUUCUACACACAAACAAUAACAUCAUCAUCAUCGAGUGAAGCUUCAUAUCCACAUUCCAAGACCUAAUUACUCGCCAAACCACUCUCGCUCUCAUGGAGGAGGCCUUAGAAAUGGCGAGAUCGAAUGAUACCAAGAAGCGAAGGGCGGGAGUGGAUCGGCUGCAACAGCUUCUUGAAGAUUCAAGAAAGUGCUUGUCAUCGUCGGAAGUGACGGCGCUAGUCGACACGUGUCUUGAGCUUUUGAAGGACACGUGUGUUGCUGUCGUCGGCCGCGGAGUUGUUUAAGUUGCAUUCUGAUAGAAUUAUGACGGCGGUUGUUGAUAGGUUGUGGGAUGGGGAGCAGCGGGUUCGAGACUCGGCGAGGAGGCUGUUGAUUACCCUUAUGGAGGUAAUUUAUUAAUUUUCUUGGGGAAUGCCAGUUGAUUUUAUGGAAUGUGAUAUAGUAUAGUUUCUAUCAAUCGAGUAUCUUAAAUUGAUGACUACAACAAGUAUUAUCGUUUUGCACGCAAGUGGCUAAACUUUUAUGCAUGCCAAAUUGCCAAUCGGGUUUCAAUUUCAGAUCUCUGCCUUCACUUGCAUACGAACACAUUUGAGUUUAAAAAGAUGAAUCACCUCAUAAAUAUCAUUAAUAAUUAGUUGGUGUUAAUAGUGCACUGAAAAAUGGGAGAGAAUGACAAGACUAUAGACAGUAGUAGGGCUGAGCGAGAUGUUAAUUGAGUACUUAUAUGAUGCUUCACUAUGUUCAGGGAGUUAGUUUAUUGCUUCUUUCCUACACUUUCACUUGAAUUAGUACUAAUUAAUAAUUCCUUCUCUAUCUUGUAAAAUUUCUCCUUCAUUGCUAAGCAUAUCUACUCUGAUUAAUUUUCAAACAAACUUUACUACUGAGAUAGGAUUGUUUGCUGGGUAGGAGCACCAUAGAAUGAGUAGCUCUAUUGCUAUAUACUGAAGGGUGCGGUGGCAUCCUCGGUUAUAUUUUAAGUGCUACUUCGAAUUUAGUUGUUGGCUUUUGCAAUUUAUUUUCAUUCACAAUGUUUUAAUAAUGAUACCCCAUAUUAGGUGAGAGAUAUUAGUGCCAGGCUGGAGCAGAUUCAGAUUCAACCAGCAACUUCCGUCUCUUCCAUCUCUGAAGGACUUAAUAGUAAUCUUCUCCACCAUGCACCUGAUUUAGAAGUAUAAUGUAUUAAUGUGAACUUUUUAUUUAUAUUUAUUUCCAUGUGUAGUAAAACGAUCACAUCUUUUAAGAGCUUAGUACAAUGUUAUGUACAAUGUGUAAUUAAUUAAGAGGUUUGUACAUAGUUUAGUAUGAAAUGGAAAAAGUUUGUACAGAAGUUUAUUUGUUCACAUUACAGCUGAGACGAGCAAGCAAAAACCAUCAGAGAAUUCAAAGGAUAAUGAUAAAGGAAUUGAGCCCCUACUGGAACUGCCGGAAGAUAUUAUCUUUCUACAAAUUCUGCCUAAGUUGAACAGCCUAGAUGUUCUUCCCCUGGUUUUGGUGGCUAGGAGUUGGGCCUCCUUUCUUUUGCAUGAGGGACCCAGACUGAUGUUAUUCAACCCACCUAAAAAUCCUACACCUAAACACACUUCAAUUUUAUUUGAUGUAAGCCCGAUUCCGUACUCUGUUUCAGUUUUGUUAUCCCCAGAGAGCCGCCAACUGUGUCAGUCUAGGUGUAUAAUUGUUCCAAUCUUGAAUUCUGGUAUAAAACAUGCUGUUCCAAUUUUCACUGACUACCCAGAUUUUUUAAAGCAGGGGGAAGUCCCAACUGUAGUGGGAUCUUCCAGUGGUAUUAUAUGCCUCUAUAUCACCAGUUCUCCCUCUAGAUACAUCCUGCUAAACCCCUUAACAAAACAUUAUAAAGAGGUUGGGGCCCCUUAUAUUUUUGUACCAGAUUGUGAGCAAGCUUCUGUAACUUCUGGAUUCUUUUAUGAUGAAUGGACUGAUGACUUAAAGAUCGUACAAUUGUUGAGAUGGGAUCAAAGGCUUACGAGCUUGGAUGCUCCGGGACCCAAAAAGAUACAUGCGCUUCGCGUUUGUUCUGUAAAUUCUGCAAAUUGGGAAGUUGUUGACUUGGGGCCAAUGAAAGUCUCCGAUCGUCUUGGUGGUGUGUUAUUUUUGCCGAAAGCUCUCGUCACAUUUGUAGAUGCGUUUGCUACAGAGCCGGAGAUUAACUUUUGGUUGGAUUUUCGUGAUUGCCGUCUAAAGGCAGUUCCGGAAUUAGAAGGGGCUGAACUCAGUAUGAAAUCGGUUUGGUGGAAUAACCAGGUUGGUGUUAUUGUUGGAACUGACAGCAUUUAUGUCCUUGAUGAGGAGUUUGCAGCCUGGUAUUACUGCACAGUGCUUCCGGACGUGGGAAAUUGUGUAUUCUGUUUAGAUGAGAACAAAAUUGUGGGGAUGGGGGCUGGGGAAAGCGGAAGCGUAAAUGAUUACAAUAUUCUUAAUUCCACAAGCGGCGAAAUCCAACAUAUAAUCUCGUUGCCUUCUUGCAGGGUUUUUCCGUAUGUUCCUACAUUCUACUAUAUCGAGGGAAUGGCUAAUUUUUAGACUUUUGCAAGUCACAAUGUAAUAAAAGAAUGUAAACAGUACAUAGCAGCAAUACCUCUCUAUAGCAUAUAGUUUCAGAUACAACAUGUAUUGUGAUGCCAGCUUGUAGAGUACAAGUAUUAUUCUAGGUGAUUGAUUGUUGAGAAUAAUAGAGGCAACCGGUUGCAUGAUGGUAUCCUUGAAACUUUCAUAAUUACUAAUAUCGAACUCAGAUAGCAUGCAAUUUUUCCGGAGAUCAUAUUCUUUAGCUAUCAACUAACUCUACAUUAUAUAUUAUGUCCCAGAUCAAUGAGUUUGUUUGCUAUAAUGUCCUAUUUUAUAUGUGAUUUAGGAAUAUGUUCCAUUAACUUGUUAUCACCCUCAAAUCUAAAAUCUAAGACUACCAUGUCCUUAGUUUAUUUUGUUUAAUAUUUGUGAAUAGACUCUAAUCUGAUCAUAUCAAUUAUAUUUUAGUAACAGAUGUUUAAAUGCAUAUGUUUUUGUUAUCUAGUUAUUUCAAUGAUGAUGGGAUUAAAUUUUUUUAUUCUUGUAAUAUGUACAAUGAUUGGUUUAGCUUUAAUAUUUAUUUUUAUUUUUAUUUACCAAUUUUAAUGUAGGUAAAGUUUUAUCAGCAAAUUUUAUUUUUUGUAUGCAGUAAUCUGUUCUAAUAUCAAAUUUUGAUUUAGAUCGAGUAUUAGUAUGUUGAAUUUGCAUUCAUCUAGUUAGAUGAGUGAAACUGGCUAAUUAAUGGAAAAUCAUAAGUACCUGAGUUGUUUUCAAAUUUUUUUCCCAAAUUUUAAUUGUUUGAUUGGUUUCUUCAAAUUAAUAUUAAUGGAAUCAUGAACGCACAUAAAUAAUUUAAUUAAAAAUUAUUUAUUUAUGUGUCAUUUAGAAAAAAUUGGGGACAAAAUUUGGGAUAGUAAUGGGGACGAAAUAUGUGUUAGCGUUAAUGGUUUAGCGGCAGUGGAGAACGCAAUUUAAGAGCAAAUCCAAUAGUGUCCUAAACUAGUAUCCUAAAUUAAAAAUUAAGGUAUUUAUAUAAAUGAGUGCUCCACCUAAUGAGUGCUCCACCAAUGUCCAGUGAUACCUUAAAAUACUAGGAAAUCCAUCAAGCGUCUCGUUUUUAAGACAUCACUAGGCAUGCCCUAUUUCACUUCUAUCAAUAAAAUAUAUCUUUCCCUCGUUUUUUACAGAUCUCUUCUCUCUCAUUUUUUCCAUUUAUGCCCAAUUAUAAUUCAAAUAUAAUACACCUUCAGUCCCUUUUUAGUUGUGAAAUUUACAAAAAUAAUUUGUCCUUAAAUAAUAUUCUCAUCCUUGUUCCAAUACAUAUUUAUACAUAUUUUUUCAUGUUUACCCCUUGAUUGUUGGUUCAAAUGUUUGACUGUACUACUAAUAUAUACAGUUUUGACUUAGUAUUUAAUAUAAUAAAUAAGGGCAUGCGUGGAAACAACUUACAACAUUUAAUUUUCUUUAAUAUAUGUAUUUUUGCAAAUGUGACAACUAAAAAGGAACAGAGAGAGUAUUAUUUUAAUCAUAAAACAUAUUGUUGGAGUUAAUAUAAAAAAAUCAUGUCUUAAAUCAUAAGAUUACUAUAUUUAAUUAUAUUUAUAAGGCAUCUAAUAGUACAAUAUUGGAUUUGCUCUGAUCACAGAUCAAUCAAAUGAUCGGCAACUUAAGCGAUCAAAUGAGAUGACUCGCAUAGUCCACGCUAAUCGAUAUCCUUAAGAGGAUGUUUGCCUGGGCUUAAAGCCCUUGCUUUAAGCCAUCUUUGGCUUUAAGCUGAAAAAUGUCUGUUUGUGUAAUAAGUCAGAAGCCAGCCUAAAGUCAGAAAUAAGCCAGAAGCUGACUUAAAGCCAGAAGUUAAUUUGAGGUACUUUUUUCAGUGGCUAAAUUUUUUUGAACUUUUUUUUUGAUAAAAAUUACUCCUAAAUCAUAAGUUUCUUAUAAAUCACUUUUAUUUUUAUUAUUAUAUUUUUAAUAACUCAUAAGUCAUUCAUAAGCCAAAAUUACCCAAACAGACAUUUUAAGCUAUCAGCUUAUCAGAUAAGACACGUUAAGUCACAAGUCACAUUAAGUCAUAAGCCAUAAGCUCAGCCAAACGGGCAAGUUUUCUAAGAGACAUUCCUGCUUAGUGCAUUUUUAAUAGGGUUGCCUAAAUCGUUGACGAAAUUGGACAUGUGAGACAUUAUAUAAAAUUUGUUAAACAUGUAAGUGAUUGUGUUUCAAUAAUGUUAACUACAUUGAUAGAUUAUAACUUAAAAAUAGUAUGUUAUUAAUAUUUAGAUUGUUAUAAAAAAAUAUAUGAGUUUAAUAUGAUAGGAAAUGAUGUGUAAAUUACCCCGAUUAUAUAUAUAUAUAAAUAAUAAUAUAUUUAUAUAUAUUAUACUAAAUAUAUUAUUAAAAAUAGAUAAAUUUUAUAAUAUAAUCAAAAGUAAAAAAUAAUCUUUAUUUUUAUUGAUUGAUUAUAAAUAUAUUGUAAUAUAAUAUAUUUUAUAAUUUUAAAUUGUUGUUUAUUUAUAUUAUAAAUCAAUUUUAAUAUGAUUUGAGGUUGAAAAUAUAAGAUAAUAUUAUUUUAUUAUUAUAUUAGGAGUUUGUAGUUUGUUUUUUAAUUAAAAAAAUAUAUUAUAUAUUAUAAAAUUAUUAUGUUUUUAUUAAAAAAUAAAAUUCCCCGAAACCCCGCGGGGAUCCCCGUUCCCCGUUCGGGGCGGGGAUCGGGGCGGAAAAUAAUCCCCGUUCGAGGUUCGGGGCGGGGUCGGGUAGGGCCGUAGGGGUAUUGAAUUCGGGGAUCGGGGUCGGGGAUAGCACUCCCCGCCCUCGAAGUCUCCCCGUGCCCAUCCCUAGUCGAACCUCUAGAGGUCCGUAAAAAAUCUCCAAGAAGAUUACACUAUGUAAUCUUCUUGGAGAUUUUUUACGGACCUCUAGAGGUUCGACAAAUAUAGUGGCCGGUAGGAUGUUGGUUAAAAUUAUAGAUAAGUGGUGUCUAUGGUUGAGUGUGAUUUUUUUGAAUAGAAUGGCUAUAUAUUUUAUUUUUGGGAUGCCAACUCAAUUUUUAAACUAAGGACUUCUCAUAUUUGGAGAUGCUAUAUGAUGGCAAAUCCCGCAAAUCUUCAAUUUUGACAUAUAUUAUCCUAAAUUCUCUUUCAACAAUGAUUGAUUCAAAUUUGGAUCAAGAUUGUUGGAUCCCGCUGACGUGGCAGUGACGUCAUGUUGACGUGGCGCCCUGGGGUGGACCCCGGUGCUGACGUGGCAGAUGACGCGGCGGUGACAUGGCGCCUGGUUGGGGUCCCAUUACUAACGUGGCAUUUGGGUAGAAAGUAUAAAUUACGGAAAAUUGAUGACAAACUGAGAGGUGCAUAUUAUAAGUUUUAAAAAGUAUGAGGAGAUAUUUGAUCAGUUUAAAACUAGUUUUUAGGUUUUUAGGCUAACCGUGGUUUGUAUAUUCGAGCAUCCCCGUGUAUAUUGACAUAUAGGUAAACUCCUUGCAAUACUUUGAGCUGCAAAAUCCAUCAAAAUUUUGAUUUAUCAUGUAACUGUUUGACAGAGUACUUCCAACUUUCAAGCGUAAGUAUCAAAAUCACUACCUUCAUAUGUUCCAUUAAGCGUGAAAGGUACAGAAUAAGAAGUGAAAGAAAUCCUUUAUAUUUACACGGCCAUUGAUCUUAUAGGAUCACCUAGCCCAUCAGUGCUAGGGAAUACGGAACCAUCUUAUCAAUUAACGAAGAAAUGUAUGCAUGCAGUGUCACCACCACAAGUCAGAAAUGGUGAUGAUGCUAAUGAUAAUGAACUCAAUUGGGAGUGAUCCUAAUGGGAUAUGGAUGUGGAUUGGUAUGCGGAUUCUUUGGGGUUUAUUGUUCUUACAAUGGGAAAGCCUUGGUGGUUUAUGAGAUACAUUGAAGUAAGUUGAUAAUGACAUGCACGGCUUAAUUAAGAUUAAUUAAGACAAACACCUUGACAAAAUGUUGUCUUAGAAUGAUAUGUAUUCUGAUUUUUCCUAAUUUAAAAUCAAAUUUAUUACAAUUAAAGUUAAAAUCUGCGUAGCACAUACUAUACUUUGAUUAAAUUUUUAUUGAAGUUGUCCAUAUUAACCUAGUGGCCGAAAGUGAAUAAAUUAAAUUAGUGGGGUCUAAUAUAAAAAUUGCAUUAAUUAAAAUUUGUAAUGUAUAGAUUAUGCUAAAGCUAUUCAUUAUAAAGAACAUAGGAAUGUUAAUCUCUUUAUAUGUUUGCAUGCGGAUAGUCUCUCGGGAGUGUGGUAUAUUGUCAUGGCUGGAAAAACGGCUAAUUUCUACGGUUUUUUUUUGACAGAAAUUAAUUUUGACGGAAUACUGUCGAAAUAUCGAAAGUCGAAAAUAAGCCGCAAAAUUACUUUUUUCAAUUUUCAAUUGAAAACUGUCAAAAAAGUCUCUGGCAAAAUUAUAUUUAUUUCUACAGAUAAUGUCGAAAAUAUUUUCCUGCAAAUUUCCCGCACCUUAGUUGUGAGCGGAAAUAGAUAGUUUGGACAGAAUUCCGUCGAAAUUACGCGAGUUCUUUGUAGUGUGUUUUCACACAUACGCUGAUAAUCUUUGGGGACUGGGGUAUAUUGUUUUCGCAAAGCACUGGUAGUUUGUGAGCUUGUCCAAUUUUUCCCCCCAUGCCUAUACUGGUUGGUCUCAGUCUUAGUGGUAAUAAGCUGGCGUCAAAUUUUCCAGAAUUCAUAUAUAAUUGCUAUAACAUGAUCCGAUGCCUGAAUCAGCAGCUAACAAUUUACGUAAUCUUGAAGAACUAUAUCUUGGUGCCAAUUCUUUCGAGGGCUCAUUUCCAACGAAUAUAUUCAAGCUUUCCAAAUUAAGGGUUCUUGACCUAUCUGUGAAUAAUUUUUCAGGUUCCAUUCCCAAUGGUAUAGAGAUGCUUCCCGAUCUUGGAAUAAAUCGUAUUUAUAAUAAUUCAUUUGAAGGAAUUAUUCCUUCUUCAAUUAGUCUACUUAAAGAUCUUCAACACCUAGACUUCGGUGACGACAACCUUGUGGUUUCAAGUAUAAUGUCUUACGGGUCCAAUCUAACCGAUCAUUACAGGCAACCCCAUUGGAGAUGCUCUUAAUAACAUUUUAACUAGAGAGUAUUUUCUAUCAAUUGCAUUUGUAUUAAAUUUGAUUUAGAUGAAGAGAAACAGAAUACAUAUGAUCCCGAGACAACAUUUUGUCAAUGUUUUCGUCUUGAUUGAACAGUCUUCUUCAUGCGUGUCCUUGUCAACUUCAGUUGCAGUAAUUCAAUGUAUCUCAGGAACCACCUUGGCUUUCCCAUUUUGAUAACAAGUAUCCUGAAGAUAAUCCGCAUAUCAAUCCACAUCCGCGCGUAUCCCAGUUGAUUUAUUAAUUUAUUCAUGAAGUGUUGCGAACGACAUUCCUGCAAAAGUAAAAGUCAGUGGAAUUUGUAUGAUAGCAUGAUGAAUAUUUAAAGUUUCAGUUAAAAUUUCACCAAGUAUUUUAUUUCUGGCUUAAGUCCCGGAUUGACGAAUUCUGCUGAUCACAUUUCUAAUCGACCAAUUCUGGUCGAAUAAAUUAAAUGGCACACUUCCUGAGUUGGUGGUAGGGGCGUUCUUCUUGUGUUUCUUUCUUUUCAUUAUUGACAUUGUUAUCCAGGCCCUUGCUUCUGGGCUUUUGUAAAGCACCCAUUUACGCCAUUGUCAUGAUCAUAGCUAGUCUUCCAUAUCCAAGAUACGCGCAUUAUAGUGGAUUUAUCUUUAUUAGUGAUUUCUGUGGAAAUGCAUAAUCUUAAUUAUAAGCUCCAAUAUUAUAAAAUAAACCUAACUUAUUAGAGUUAACAGGGCAUUUGUGUUGAUAAUUUGCGCAAUGUUAAUGGGGAUCGCUCCCAAGUCUUGGACGGACUCUUUCCAAGUCUUCUGAGGACCCAUCUGCACACUAAUUUGUCCGCCAACUAAAAAUUUAUAUAUAUUUUUCCAUAGAAUAUAAAUAGUUGGGGGUACUAACAGAACCUCUAGUAAAAUUAAUUAAUACCGUUAUGAUUUCGCAAACACAGCAGACAGCAGGCAUAAGGCUUAUAAAUAGAAGUGUCGUAUUUGGUUGAUGGUCAAGUUGAGUGGAAAUAUGGCACACUUUGUAAAGCCUUGUUAUCCUCUUCUCUUUGUUUUCUUUCUCUCAUUACUUCAAUCCAUUCUAACAACACAAGAGGGAGAAGCUCUUGUGAAAUGGAAGAAUAGCCUAGCCCCUUCUUCUUUUCUCGACUCUUGGUCACUCACCAAUCUCGAUAAUCUUUGCAACUGGACUGGCAUUACUUGUAACUCUGCAGGUUCAGUCUCUGAGAUUAACCUUAGUGAGAAACAACUUGAUGGAAUGCUGUCCGAGUUUGGUUUCACUUCAUUUCCAAAUCUCAACAAUCUCACCCUCGCAAUUAACUACUUCUCGGGUCCAAUACCACCAGCCAUUGAGAAUUUAACACAGCUUCAAUAUCUUGAGUUGAGCAAUAAUUAUCUAGAUGGUCCCAUUCCUUUCCAGGUUAGCAAUCUUCAGAGGUUGCUCAUCUUAAACCUGUCAGAGAAUGAACUGCAAGCUCCAAAUUGGUCCAAUUUUUCCCCCAUGCCUUUUUUGACCAUCCUCGACCUUUAUAAAAAUAAUCUUUUGUCAGAAUUUCCCGAAUUUAUAUCUAACUCGUGUAACCUUACGUACCUUGACCUCUCAUCCAACAAGUUUAGAGGGGAUCUUGCGCGAGAAUCAGUAUUAACCAAUCUAGGUGAUCUUGAAACCCUCUAUCUUAUUAGAAAUUCUUUCAAGGGGUCAUUUCCGUCAGAUUUAUUCAAGCUUUCUAAAUUAAAACGUCUUCACCUGUCGAGCAACAAAUUUUCAGGUUCAAUUCCUAAUGCCAUAAGGUUGCUUUGUGAUCUUGAAUUCCUAUAUUUAGGCAACAAUUCCUUUGAAGGACUGCUUCCACCAAAUAUAUUUAAGCUUUCAAAAUUAAAACAUCUUGUUCUUCGGAGUAAUAAGUUUUCAGGAUCUGUUUCCAAUGAUAUAAAUUUGCUUCCUGAACUUGAAUAUCUCGAUCUUAAUUCUAAUUUUUUUGACGGGCCGCUUCCUCCAGAUGUAUUCAAGCUCUCCAAACUAAGGUUUCUUUACCUCUCGGGUAAUACCUUUUCACGUUCUGUUUCCAAUGAUAUAGGUUUGCUUUCUGAGCUUGAAACCCUCGAUCUUAACUCUAAUUUUUUGAGGGUCCGCUUCCGUCAAAUAUAUUCAAGCUCAAAUUAAAAAUUCUAGACCUCUCAAACAAUAGAAAUUUAUUUCAAAGAAGUUUUCCUAUUGGACUGGAACUCUUGAGUAACCUCAGCUACUUAGGUCUAAGUUCCAGUAAUCUCAGUGGCAAUAUUCCAUCUUACAUUGGAAACCUGAAGCUACUAAUAUCUCUUGAUCUCAGUUCUAAUCAAUUGACUGGACCGCUUUCAAAGCUCGUUUCUAAUGUCACAAAUCUUAUAUUUCUUGAUUUAAGAGAUAAUAGUCUUAGUGGAAAUAUUCAGACUGACUUGUGGAAAUAUAACGAUCAUCCAACUCUGGAAUACAUCAAUUUGAGUGGGAACUAUUUUACGGGUAUAGUUUUUCUCUAUAGAUCUUUUCUUUUGUCAUAUGUAACUAAGCUAGUAAUCUGAUUAAUUGCAGUUUUACCAAAGUUUCAACAAUCUUGACAGGUGAGCUUCCAACAACAAUUUGCAAUGUCACUUCCCUUUCGGUUCUUGAUUUGUCAAAUAAUAACUUAAGUGGUGCACUUCCAAAAUGUUACGGGAAUCUUGCUGAUGGAUUGCUUUACAUUAAUCUUGCGAAUAAUCACUUUCGAGGAACAAUACCCACUACUUUCUCCAGGAGUUGUCAGCUGAUAUAUCUGAACAUGGAUGAUAAUGAGUUUGAAGGAUUGAUGCCCCCAUCUUUGGCGAACUGUAAGCACUUGAAAAUUUUUGAUAUUGGCAAUAAUAAAAUAGGUGGUACAUUUCCGUCAUGGCUUUAUGCACUUGGAGAGCUAGAAGUCCUUGUCUUGCGAUCAAAUAAACUCUAUGGUACAAUAAGUGGAAGGAGCAUAGAAGAUCCCUUCCCCAAGUUGCGGAUUGUGGAUCUGUCCAACAAUCAAUUCACAGGCCAUUUGCCAAUUCAAUACUUUAAGAAUAUGAAAUCAACUGAUAAUUUGUAUCGUUAUCAGAAUGACACAGGAGUUUUUUCUUUCCAUUAUGAAGCAUCUGUCUCAUUAACUGUGAAGGGAACAGAGUAUGAAGUGAAAAAUAUCCUUCAUAUUUACACAACCAUUGAUCUGUCCUGCAACAAGUUUCAAGGAGAAAUUCCUGACGUUAUUGGAGAGCUUAGAUGGCUUGCAUUGCUGAACUUAUCUCAUAAUAGUCUAACAGGACAUAUCCCAUCAUUGCUGAGAAAUAUGAAAGGACUCCAAUCUUUAGAUUUGUCUUCAAAUCAACUGAAAGGGGCUAUUCCACUUCAGUUAACUGCAUUGACAUUUCUAGAGGUCUUGAACCUCUCGGGAAACCAUCUUAGUGGAGAGAUUCCUCAGAAAGGGCAGUUCAGCACAUUUAACAUUGAUUCUUAUCUAGGAAACUCCGCGUUAUGUGGUUCACCUUUGAUGAAGAAAUGUGCAAACACAGCAUCACCUCCACAAGAAGCCGGAAAUGGUGAUGAAGAUGAAGCUGGUGAUGAAUUGACAUGGGAAGCAAUCGUGAUGGGAUAUGGAUGUGGACUGAUAUGUGGAUUGUCAUCUGCAUACAUUGUUCUCAAACUAGGAAAGCCUUGGUGGUUUGUGAGAUAUAUCGAAGUACUGCAACAGAAGUUGAUGAAAAGAUAUGCAUGAAGAAAGGUACUGGUAGAUCAAGAUGAACUUGAAAGUUGUUGUCGUGGUAGACAUUUGUGAACCAGUAGUGUACUAGCUGCAUAAGUAUUUGGUAUUAUGUAAUAAUCCGUUUGGUCGGGACUCAAAAUGAUUUCUCUUGCUUCAGGGGUAUUAAUAUUAACCUUGCUAUCUUGAUCAAUGUUAGGGCAAAUUAAAAAGAAUAUAAAAGCAAAAAAUUUGCAUCAAACACCUGUUGUACCAACAUGCAUCCAUUAAUUUGCUUUCAUCUAUUAAGUAACAAUUUAAGAGCGCUUCCACUCUGUUUAAGCAUGGAGAUAACACAAAGAAGGCAAGUCCAUGGACUAAUAUAUUAACACGUAGUCCACAUCUAUGGUAUGAACAAUUCAUAUUGCUCUUCUAUCUGUUCAACAGUCUCCCGAAGAUAGGCCAAAAAUGUCAUCUGUGGUUCUUAUGUUUGUCAGUGAAGGAGAAUCUCUGAUGCCUACACAACCUGGUGUUUUUACAGAAAGGAAUGUAGGUGAAACCAGGGGCGUAAAAUGAAUCAGGACUAAAAUCUGCUAAAAUGAUAAUUAUUUACUCAUCAUUCAAGAUUAGUCGGGCUCAAAGAUUUAUAUGGAUUUUAAGAACAAACUAUGACUAAAUAUGAAAAAAUCAUUAAUUUUUCCGACUCAAUAUUUUUUAGCCUCCCCCGGCCCUGGGUGAAACCAUAAGCUUCUCUGGUGCACAUCCAAAUCAUUCAGUUGGUUCUACUUUCAGCUCACCCACAGGAACAUCAUUCUGCAGGUACUCUUUUAUCUGUACUUUCUUAUAUUGUAUGCCAGUAAAUUUUAUAUCGACAAACUGCACAAUACACCUCGAUCUCAUAUUAUUGACAGGUGAGCUCCUCUCAUAAUGCUCACAGGCGAACCCCUGCAUAUAUACUUUGUGAUGUCAUUGAUGAUCGAUAGACUUGAAAAAAAAUUAUGACAAAGAUUCAUAAAAUAUCUACUUCCAUCCUAAUUCAGUAUUCAAUAUUAUUCAUUCGUAUCAUCAUCCAAUCAAUUCUAAUAGUUCUUCUUUAAAUCAGUACAAAUAUUGUUAAAUACCUGGAUGAUGGUUGUCUUUCCGCGAACCAAUCAUGAAAUUACCUCUGUAUAAAUCCAUCGGAAAUAAGACAGUUAAUAUCCCAAUCGAAUACACCCCGUCAGUUGUCAAACUCCUCGAAACGUAUUAAUCACUUUAGAAAAUUUGUUCCACUGGCGCUAGUCAGUCCCAGAGUUGGUGGUGGGUGCUUCUGGGCUUUCGAAAAGCACCCAUUUACUCCAUUGUUUAGAGAAGUAAAACCCCACCUUCCGCUCAUUUGAUUGAUCAGCUGAAUUAGGCAGAGUUUACAUGGUCAUGAUCAUAGUCUCCCAUNUUAAUAGUCUGACAGGACCUAUCCCAACAUUGCUGAGAAAUAUGAAAUAACUCCAUUACUCCAAUCUUAGAUUUGUCCUCAAAUCAACUGACAGGGGCUAUUCCACCUCUGUUAACUGCAUUGACAUUACUUUUCUCUUUAUAUUCUUUCCUUUUGUAUGUACCUAUGCUAAUUAUCUGAUUAUUAAAAUUAUAACAAAGCUUCAAGAUUUUUAACAGGUGAGCUUCCACUAAAAAUUUGCAAAGUCACUUCCCUUUCGCGUCUCAUUAUGUUAGAUAAUGGGUCAAGUGGUGCACUUCCACAGUGUUUGGGGAACCUUUCUUUGCUUGGUUUCAAUAAUCUUGCUAAUUAUCAAUUUCAAGGACCAAUACCAACGACUGUCCAAGACUUGUCUGUGCAUAUCUAAACAUCCAUAACAAUCACUUUGAAGGUUUGUUGCUCCAAUCUUUGGCAAACUGUAAACACUUACAAAUUCUUGAUAUUGGAAACAACGUUGGAGAGCUAGAUGUCCCAGUUAGGGCGGUAAUUCGACUAGAGCAAACCGAGUUUUGAGCGGAGCCAAAUUCGAGCCAAGUUUAAUCGAGUCGAGCCGAGUCGGCUCGUUUAGCUAAUCGAGCCUAAAACUUAGCCCGAACUCGACUCAUUUAAUUUCACGAGUCGAGUCGAGCCAACUCGUUUAGCUAAAUGAGCUGAUUUUAACAAGUCGAGCGAGCGAGCUCGUAUAAUUUUAACUUAGUCGAGCCUGAAUCUCUACCCAAACUAUUGGCUCGUGUAAUUUCGCGAGUCGAAUCGAGCCGGCUCGUUUUAUUAAACAAGCCGAAAUUUUUGCCCGAAUUUGCUCGUUUAACAAGCCGAUCUGAGCCUAGUUAAAUGAGUUCGAGUUAGUCGAGCUCGCGAGCUGCGAGCUCACCUGCCAGCUCUAGUCCUAGUCUUGCAAUCAAAUAGGUUUAACGGUAUAGAAAGUGGAAGGAGCACAAGGCAUCCAUUCCCCAAGGCUAUUUACCAAUUCAGUACUUUGAGGAUACAAAAUCAUUCUGCAGGUACUCUUGUAUCUGUACUUUCUUGUACUGUAUGCCACUUUGACAGUAGAGUAAAAUUUAUAUCGACAAACUGCAUAUGUUCUGAACUACUCCUCUAUCCCAAAUUAGAUGAGCUAGUUGACUUUGAGCACGUAACUUAAGGUACAUUGACCAACUAGUUCCGAUAUUUAUUUUUUUAAUUUUUCUUUUGUAAAUGAAAAUUUCAUAUUUAAAUUUUUAUUUGCAAAACUAAAAUUUAAAAAUAUGUAAUGUGGCUAUGCGGUCAAUGUCAACGAGCUCAUCUAAUUUGGGAUUGGGAUGCAGGGAGUAUUACGUACUAUGUUAUGCAAGCUGUUUACAACUUUCAUCAAAAUUUUCAAACAUUUCUGAAUAUGUAUUUUCAAAGAAUUCUCGGGCACUCUUAAGGCCUAUAAUUAUUGGAACUCUCACGUUAUGGACCAGAGGACCACUAUGUAUUUUACAAGCACGACGAAUCAUGUGGUCAUUAUGGACUCCCCAAGCCUUAGAGGACUCAUUCCAGGUUUUAGGAGGACCACUGCCUAGCUCACCCUUUCGGAGUGAUGUAAAUUAGUUUCCAGACACUAAAAAUAAGUAAUCAGAUUAAUCAUUACAAAAUUUUGAUAUAAAAUCAGAAUAAAUCCUAAACUUUGAUGAUACAAAAAAAAUUAUAAUUGUAAAUUAUACAAUCAAAUUAAGAUCGAAUUAACUUCCCUCACACUUAAAAUUUAUAGCGAUCAAAUCAAAAUCGAAUUAACUUUCCUAUUACUAAAAUUUAAUUACAAUAUUAUUAGAUAAAGAGAAUAUAUAAUAAUCAAGAGAAAAUAGAUUUUUUUUUGCCACUCAACUUAUUGUGUUUUAAGAAACUUACCACCCAACUAAAUUUUUUUCCUUUUGCUCACUAAUGUUAGGUUUGGAUUUGUUUUUAGCCACCAAAUAAGGUUCGGAUUUGAUUACCAGCAUUAUGAUAAUUUUUUUUGUCACUAAACUUAUUGCGUCUUUAGAAACUAACCACUGAACUAAAUUUUUUUUAUUUUACUCACUAAUGUUAGAUUUAGUUUUUUUUGUCACUAUAGUUAGGUUCAGAUUUGAUUAUUAGCAUUACAUUAAUUCUGUGUAGCAUUUUUAAAAUAUGGUAGUAGUCUGUGAUAUUUAGAUGAUUUGAUAUAUGUCUGUAUUUUUAUAUAUAGUAUAUUUUAUGUCCCCAAGGUCGUUUACCUUGGGUCAUAAAAAUUUUACACUCAUUUUAUGACUUUUAAAAGAUGUAGUUUCAUAAAUAAUUUUAUUUUUUUCUUUCGAAUUAAAAUUCAGCAUUUGAAUUUUACACACAAAAAAAUCGCAAGAAUAAGAUAUGAAACUAUGCUUUACAAGAGUCUUAAAAUACGUGCUAAACGGUAGAAAAAACUGUAAACUAAUGAGAGGUACAUAGGGAGUAAUAAUAACAUAAAAUGAUGCACAAUCAUCGAAUUAAGUUUUCCUCUCUCUAUAUAUUUAUUUUGUAAAUUUUAAUAAGAUAAAGUUAUUAAAAUUUAUGAUAUAAAUUUAAGAGAUAUCUUAGAUUGAGUGGCAAAAAUUUAGUUGGGUGGUAAGUUUCUAAAAACACAAUAAAUUGAGUGGGAACAAAAUCUAUUUUCCCAAUAAUGAGUGGGAAUAAAAUCUAUUUUCCCAAUAAUCAAAGUGACGAAAAAUCAAAGUCAUCUAAUAAGUCCAGAAAAAAUAUGACCAUUAGUAUAUUGAAAUAAUAUUCACGCAUUUAUAUACGAGAAUAUAUGGUCCACAAGUUAGUGCACAAUGUCCAAGAAUCUUUAUCAAAUAACACGGCAAGCAUGCAGCAUAUAAAUAAGAGUGGGCAGUAUGGUAUUGCAUUCAUAACCCACUUGAGCAGAAAUAUGGCACACUUCCUAAAGCCUUCUCACCUUCUUCUCUUUGUUUUCUUUCUCUCGUUACUUCAAUCCAUUCUACCAACAAGACCAGAGGGAGAAGCUCUUGUGAAAUGGAAGAAUAGCCUAGCCCCGUCUUCUUUUCUCGAUUCUUGGUCACUAACCAAUCUCGAUAAUCUUUGUAACUGGACUGGCAUUACUUGUAACUCUGCAGGUUCAGUCUCUGGGAUUAACCUUUAUGAGAAACAACUUGAUGGAAUGCUGUCCGAGUUUGGCUUCACUUCAUUUCCGAAUCUCAACAAUCUCACCCUCGCAUACAACUUCUUCUCGGGUCCAAUACCACCAGCCAUUGAGAAUUUAACACAGCUUCAAUAUCUUGAUUUAAGCAUCAAUAGUCUCGAUGGUCCCAUUCCUUUCCAGGUUAGCCAUCUUCAGAGGUUGCUCGUCCUAAACCUGUCACAGAAUGCAUUGCAAGCUCCAAAUUGGUCCCAUUUCUCUUCCAUGCCUUUUUUGCGCAUCCUCAAGCUCAGUAGGAAUCAUCUUGUAUCGAAAUUUCCAGAAUUUAUAUCCAAUUCUCAUAGCUUGGCUAUCCUUGACCUUGGCCAGAACAACUUUACAGGUGAUCUUGUGCGUGAAUUUACCAAUCUACAAAAUCUUGAAACCCUCUGGCUUUAUCGUAAUUCUUUUGAGGGGCCAUUUCCGCCGGAUAUAGUCCAGCUUUCCAAACUAAAAGAUCUUGCCCUGUCAAGUAACAAAUUUUCAGGUUCAGUUCCCAAUAACAUAAGGUUGCUUUGUGAUCUUGAAUACCUAUAUUUAGGCAACAAUUCCUUUAAGGGGCCACUUCCACCAAAUAUAUUUAAGCUUUCAAAAUUAAAACAUCUUGUUCUUUGGAGUAAUAAGUUUUCAGGUUCUGUUUCCAAUGAUAUAGGUUUGCUUCAUGAGCUUGUAACCCUCAAUCUUAACUCUAAUUUUUUUGAGGGGCCGCUUCCGCCAAAUGUAUUCAAGCUCUCCAAACUAAAGUUUUUUGCCCUUCAUGAGAAUAACUUUUCAGGUUUUAUUUCUAAGGAUAUAGGUUUGCUUUCCGAACUUGAAAUCCUCUAUUUUGGCUCUAAUUUUUUUGAGGGGCCGCUUCCUCCACAUGUAUUUAGGCUCUCCAAAUUAAGAGGUCUGGACCUCUCACACAAUAGAAAUUUAUUUGAAGGAAGUAUUCCUAUUGGACUGGGACUCUUGACUAACCUCAGGUACUUAGAUCUACAUUCCAAUAAUCUCGGUGGCUAUAUUCCAUCUGACAUUGGAAACCUGAAGCUACUAGUACUUCUUGAUCUCGGUUCUAAUCAAUUGACUGGACCGCUUUCAAAGAUCGUUUCUAAUCUCACAAAUCUUAUAUGUCUUGAUGUAAGUCAUAAUAGUCUUAGUGGAAAUAUUCAGAGUGACUUGUGGAAAUAUAACGAUCAUCCAACUUUGGAAUACAUCAAUUUAAGUGGGAACCAUUUUACGGGUAUAGUUUUUCUCUAUAGAUCUUUUCCUUUUCUCAUAUGUAACUAAGCUAGUAAUCUGAUUAUUGCAGUUUCACCAAAGUUUCAACAAUCUUGACAGGUGAGCUUCCAACAACAAUUUGCAAUGUCACUUCCCUUUCGGUUCUUGAUUUGUCAAAUAAUGAAUUAAGUGGUGCACUUCCAAACUCUUUGGGGAAUCUUGCUGAUGGAAUGCUUUACCUUAAUCUUGCUAAUAAUCAGUUUCGAGGAACAAUACCAACUACUUUCUCCAGGAGUUGUCGGUUGACAUAUCUAAACAUGGAUAAUAAUGAGUUUGAAGGAUUGUUGCCCCCAUCUUUGGCGAACUGUAAGCACUUGAAAAUUCUUGAUAUAGGCAAUAAUAAAAUAGGUGGUACAUUUCCGUCAUGGCUUUAUGCACUUGGAGAGCUAGAAGUUCUUGUCUUGCGAUCAAAUAAACUCUAUGGUACAAUAAGUGGAAGGAGCAUAGAAGAUCCCUUCCCCAAGUUGCGGAUUGUGGAUCUGUCCCACAAUCAAUUGACAGGCUAUUUGCCAAUUCAAUACUUUAAGAAUAUGAAAUCAACUGAUAAUUUGUAUCGUUAUCAGAAUGACACAGGAGUUUUUUCUUUCCAUUAUGAAGCAUCUGUCUCAUUAACUGUGAAGGGAACAGAGUAUGAAGUGAAAAAUAUCCUUCAUAUUUACACAACCAUUGAUCUGUCCUGCAACAAGUUUCAAGGAGAAAUUCCUGACGUUAUUGGAGAGCUUAGAUGGCUUGCAUUGCUGAACUUAUCUCAUAAUAGUCUAACAGGACAUAUCCCAUCAUUGCUGAGAAAUAUGAAAGGACUCCAAUCUUUAGAUUUGUCUUCAAAUCAACUGAAAGGGGCUAUUCCACUUCAGUUAACUGCAUUGACAUUUCUAGAGGUCUUGAACCUCUCGGGAAACCAUCUUAGUGGAGAGAUUCCUCAGAAAGGGCAGUUCAGCACAUUUAACAUUGAUUCUUAUCUAGGAAACUCCGCGUUAUGUGGUUCACCUUUGAUGAAGAAAUGUGCAAACACAGCAUCACCUCCACAAGAAGCCGGAAAUGGUGAUGAAGAUGAAGCUGGUGAUGAAUUGACAUGGGAAGCAAUCGUGAUGGGAUAUGGAUGUGGACUGAUAUGUGGAUUGUCAUCUGCAUACAUUGUUCUCAAACUAGGAAAGCCUUGGUGGUUUGUGAGAUAUAUCGAAGUACUGCAACAGAAGUUGAUGAAAAGAUAUGCAUGAAGAAAGGUACUGGUAGAUCAAGAUGAACUUGAAAGUUGUUGUCGUGGUAGACAUUUGUGAACCAGUAGUGUACUAGCUGCAUAAGUAUUUGGUAUUAUGUAAUAAUCCGUUUGGUCGGGACUCAAAAUGAUUUCUCUUGCUUCAGGGGUAUUAAUAUUAACCUUGCUAUCUUGAUCAAUGUUAGGGCAAAUUAAAAAGAAUAUAAAAGCAAAAAAUUUGCAUCAAACACCUGUUGUACCAACAUGCAUCCAUUAAUUUGCUUUCAUCUAUUAAGUAACAAUUUAAGAGCGCUUCCACUCUGUUUAAGCAUGGAGAUAACACAAAGAAGGCAAGUCCAUGGACUAAUAUAUUAACACGUAGUCCACAUCUAUGGUAUGAACAAUUCAUAUUGCUCUUCUAUCUGUUCAACAGUCUCCCGAAGAUAGGCCAAAAAUGUCAUCUGUGGUUCUUAUGUUUGUCAGUGAAGGAGAAUCUCUGAUGCCUACACAACCUGGUGUUUUUACAGAAAGGAAUGUAGGUGAAACCAGGGGCGUAAAAUGAAUCAGGACUAAAAUCUGCUAAAAUGAUAAUUAUUUACUCAUCAUUCAAGAUUAGUCGGGCUCAAAGAUUUAUAUGGAUUUUAAGAACAAACUAUGACUAAAUAUGAAAAAAUCAUUAAUUUUUCCGACUCAAUAUUUUUUAGCCUCCCCCGGCCCUGGGUGAAACCAUAAGCUUCUCUGGUGCACAUCCAAAUCAUUCAGUUGGUUCUACUUUCAGCUCACCCACAGGAACAUCAUUCUGCAGGUACUCUUUUAUCUGUACUUUCUUAUAUUGUAUGCCAGUAAAUUUUAUAUCGACAAACUGCACAAUACACCUCGAUCUCAUAUUAUUGACAGGUGAGCUCCUCUCAUAAUGCUCACAGGCGAACCCCUGCAUAUAUACUUUGUGAUGUCAUUGAUGAUCGAUAGACUUGAAAAAAAAUUAUGACAAAGAUUCAUAAAAUAUCUACUUCCAUCCUAAUUCAGUAUUCAAUAUUAUUCAUUCGUAUCAUCAUCCAAUCAAUUCUAAUAGUUCUUCUUUAAAUCAGUACAAAUAUUGUUAAAUACCUGGAUGAUGGUUGUCUUUCCGCGAACCAAUCAUGAAAUUACCUCUGUAUAAAUCCAUCGGAAAUAAGACAGUUAAUAUCCCAAUCGAAUACACCCCGUCAGUUGUCAAACUCCUCGAAACGUAUUAAUCACUUUAGAAAAUUUGUUCCACUGGCGCUAGUCAGUCCCAGAGUUGGUGGUGGGUGCUUCUGGGCUUUCGAAAAGCACCCAUUUACUCCAUUGUUUAGAGAAGUAAAACCCCACCUUCCGCUCAUUUGAUUGAUCAGCUGAAUUAGGCAGAGUUUACAUGGUCAUGAUCAUAGUCUCCCAUAUAUCCCUGAUACGCACAUUAUAGUGGAUUUAUCUUUAUCAGUGAUUUCUGUGGAGAUGCAUAAUCAUUAUAAGCUCCAAUAUAAAAUUUUAAAGUUAGUAUGGGAAUUUGUGUUGAUAAUUUGCGCAAUGUUAACAGGAUUGCUCCCAAGUCUUGGACGGACUCUUUCAAAGUCUUCUCAGGACCCAUCUGCACACUAAUUUGUCUGCCAACUAAAAAAUCAACAAUAUGUUACUCCCUCCGUUUUUCUUAAACUGAGGUUAAAAUUUUUGACACAAGAUGGGUUGACAGUAUAAAAUUAAAAUAUUUGUGAAUAAAAAUUUUGGUUAUAUUUUUUAUUUAAAAAGAAAAUCUUGAAAAUAAUAUUAUUAACUACCAGUCAGAUCACUUAAGUGUAUGUCCAAAAUUAAAGCGGCAUAUAAAAAAAAGGGAGGAAGCAUGUACUAACUGUUUCCAUAACAGUUUACAAGUAUAAGCUAUACCCCCUCUCUAUUUUUUUCUAUGACAGCUUUGAUUUUGGGCACACAUUCUUAAGUGUUUUGACCGGAUAGUUAAAAAUUUAUCUUCUAAAAUUUUUAAAAAAAGUAAAAUCGCAAAAAAAAUUAGAAAGCUGGUAUUUUUGAUAAAUUUCCAAAUAUGUAAUCAAGAAAAAUAACUUUUACUAUCCAAUCAACUCAUUUAAAGAUGUGUGUCAAAAAUCAAAAUAUCAUACAAAAAAUAGGUAUACAUUUUUUUAAUAGAUUAUACUCCCUCUGUUCCAAAAUAAGUGUCAGCUGGGGGUAAUAACAAGACCUUAGUCAACCCAAGCACAGCAGACAGCAGGCAUAAGGCAUCAGGAAUUUCACAGGACCAUUAUCUUUCUCUUAUUAACUGUGAAGGGAACAGCGUAUGAAGUAGCAAGAACCUUCAUAUUUACACAGCCAUUGAUCUGUCGUGCAACAAAUUUCAGGGAGAAAUUCCAAAGGUUACCGGAGAGCUUAGAUGGCUUGCAUUGCUCAAUUUAUCGCAUAAUUAAUAGUCUGACAGGACCUAUCCCAACAUUGCUGAGAAAUAUGAAAUAACUCCAUUACUCCAAUCUUAGAUUUGUCCUCAAAUCAACUGACAGGGGCUAUUCCACCUCUGUUAACUGCAUUGACAUUACUUUUCUCUUUAUAUUCUUUCCUUUUGUAUGUACCUAUGCUAAUUAUCUGAUUAUUAAAAUUAUAACAAAGCUUCAAGAUUUUUAACAGGUGAGCUUCCACUAAAAAUUUGCAAAGUCACUUCCCUUUCGCGUCUCAUUAUGUUAGAUAAUGGGUCAAGUGGUGCACUUCCACAGUGUUUGGGGAACCUUUCUUUGCUUGGUUUCAAUAAUCUUGCUAAUUAUCAAUUUCAAGGACCAAUACCAACGACUGUCCAAGACUUGUCUGUGCAUAUCUAAACAUCCAUAACAAUCACUUUGAAGGUUUGUUGCUCCAAUCUUUGGCAAACUGUAAACACUUACAAAUUCUUGAUAUUGGAAACAACGUUGGAGAGCUAGAUGUCCCAGUUAGGGCGGUAAUUCGACUAGAGCAAACCGAGUUUUGAGCGGAGCCAAAUUCGAGCCAAGUUUAAUCGAGUCGAGCCGAGUCGGCUCGUUUAGCUAAUCGAGCCUAAAACUUAGCCCGAACUCGACUCAUUUAAUUUCACGAGUCGAGUCGAGCCAACUCGUUUAGCUAAAUGAGCUGAUUUUAACAAGUCGAGCGAGCGAGCUCGUAUAAUUUUAACUUAGUCGAGCCUGAAUCUCUACCCAAACUAUUGGCUCGUGUAAUUUCGCGAGUCGAAUCGAGCCGGCUCGUUUUAUUAAACAAGCCGAAAUUUUUGCCCGAAUUUGCUCGUUUAACAAGCCGAUCUGAGCCUAGUUAAAUGAGUUCGAGUUAGUCGAGCUCGCGAGCUGCGAGCUCACCUGCCAGCUCUAGUCCUAGUCUUGCAAUCAAAUAGGUUUAACGGUAUAGAAAGUGGAAGGAGCACAAGGCAUCCAUUCCCCAAGGCUAUUUACCAAUUCAGUACUUUGAGGAUACAAAAUCAUUCUGCAGGUACUCUUGUAUCUGUACUUUCUUGUACUGUAUGCCACUUUGACAGUAGAGUAAAAUUUAUAUCGACAAACUGCAUAUGUUCUGAACUACUCCUCUAUCCCAAAUUAGAUGAGCUAGUUGACUUUGAGCACGUAACUUAAGGUACAUUGACCAACUAGUUCCGAUAUUUAUUUUUUUAAUUUUUCUUUUGUAAAUGAAAAUUUCAUAUUUAAAUUUUUAUUUGCAAAACUAAAAUUUAAAAAUAUGUAAUGUGGCUAUGCGGUCAAUGUCAACGAGCUCAUCUAAUUUGGGAUUGGGAUGCAGGGAGUAUUACGUACUAUGUUAUGCAAGCUGUUUACAACUUUCAUCAAAAUUUUCAAACAUUUCUGAAUAUGUAUUUUCAAAGAAUUCUCGGGCACUCUUAAGGCCUAUAAUUAUUGGAACUCUCACGUUAUGGACCAGAGGACCACUAUGUAUUUUACAAGCACGACGAAUCAUGUGGUCAUUAUGGACUCCCCAAGCCUUAGAGGACUCAUUCCAGGUUUUAGGAGGACCACUGCCUAGCUCACCCUUUCGGAGUGAUGUAAAUUAGUUUCCAGACACUAAAAAUAAGUAAUCAGAUUAAUCAUUACAAAAUUUUGAUAUAAAAUCAGAAUAAAUCCUAAACUUUGAUGAUACAAAAAAAAUUAUAAUUGUAAAUUAUACAAUCAAAUUAAGAUCGAAUUAACUUCCCUCACACUUAAAAUUUAUAGCGAUCAAAUCAAAAUCGAAUUAACUUUCCUAUUACUAAAAUUUAAUUACAAUAUUAUUAGAUAAAGAGAAUAUAUAAUAAUCAAGAGAAAAUAGAUUUUUUUUUGCCACUCAACUUAUUGUGUUUUAAGAAACUUACCACCCAACUAAAUUUUUUUCCUUUUGCUCACUAAUGUUAGGUUUGGAUUUGUUUUUAGCCACCAAAUAAGGUUCGGAUUUGAUUACCAGCAUUAUGAUAAUUUUUUUUGUCACUAAACUUAUUGCGUCUUUAGAAACUAACCACUGAACUAAAUUUUUUUUAUUUUACUCACUAAUGUUAGAUUUAGUUUUUUUUGUCACUAUAGUUAGGUUCAGAUUUGAUUAUUAGCAUUACAUUAAUUCUGUGUAGCAUUUUUAAAAUAUGGUAGUAGUCUGUGAUAUUUAGAUGAUUUGAUAUAUGUCUGUAUUUUUAUAUAUAGUAUAUUUUAUGUCCCCAAGGUCGUUUACCUUGGGUCAUAAAAAUUUUACACUCAUUUUAUGACUUUUAAAAGAUGUAGUUUCAUAAAUAAUUUUAUUUUUUUCUUUCGAAUUAAAAUUCAGCAUUUGAAUUUUACACACAAAAAAAUCGCAAGAAUAAGAUAUGAAACUAUGCUUUACAAGAGUCUUAAAAUACGUGCUAAACGGUAGAAAAAACUGUAAACUAAUGAGAGGUACAUAGGGAGUAAUAAUAACAUAAAAUGAUGCACAAUCAUCGAAUUAAGUUUUCCUCUCUCUAUAUAUUUAUUUUGUAAAUUUUAAUAAGAUAAAGUUAUUAAAAUUUAUGAUAUAAAUUUAAGAGAUAUCUUAGAUUGAGUGGCAAAAAUUUAGUUGGGUGGUAAGUUUCUAAAAACACAAUAAAUUGAGUGGGAACAAAAUCUAUUUUCCCAAUAAUGAGUGGGAAUAAAAUCUAUUUUCCCAAUAAUCAAAGUGACGAAAAAUCAAAGUCAUCUAAUAAGUCCAGAAAAAAUAUGACCAUUAGUAUAUUGAAAUAAUAUUCACGCAUUUAUAUACGAGAAUAUAUGGUCCACAAGUUAGUGCACAAUGUCCAAGAAUCUUUAUCAAAUAACACGGCAAGCAUGCAGCAUAUAAAUAAGAGUGGGCAGUAUGGUAUUGCAUUCAUAACCCACUUGAGCAGAAAUAUGGCACACUUCCUAAAGCCUUCUCACCUUCUUCUCUUUGUUUUCUUUCUCUCGUUACUUCAAUCCAUUCUACCAACAAGACCAGAGGGAGAAGCUCUUGUGAAAUGGAAGAAUAGCCUAGCCCCGUCUUCUUUUCUCGAUUCUUGGUCACUAACCAAUCUCGAUAAUCUUUGUAACUGGACUGGCAUUACUUGUAACUCUGCAGGUUCAGUCUCUGGGAUUAACCUUUAUGAGAAACAACUUGAUGGAAUGCUGUCCGAGUUUGGCUUCACUUCAUUUCCGAAUCUCAACAAUCUCACCCUCGCAUACAACUUCUUCUCGGGUCCAAUACCACCAGCCAUUGAGAAUUUAACACAGCUUCAAUAUCUUGAUUUAAGCAUCAAUAGUCUCGAUGGUCCCAUUCCUUUCCAGGUUAGCCAUCUUCAGAGGUUGCUCGUCCUAAACCUGUCACAGAAUGCAUUGCAAGCUCCAAAUUGGUCCCAUUUCUCUUCCAUGCCUUUUUUGCGCAUCCUCAAGCUCAGUAGGAAUCAUCUUGUAUCNUUUUUAUUUAAAAAGAAAAUCUUGAAAAUAAUAUUAUUAACUACCAGUCAGAUCACUUAAGUGUAUGUCCAAAAUUAAAGCGGCAUAUAAAAAAAAGGGAGGAAGCAUGUACUAACUGUUUCCAUAACAGUUUACAAGUAUAAGCUAUACCCCCUCUCUAUUUUUUUCUAUGACAGCUUUGAUUUUGGGCACACAUUCUUAAGUGUUUUGACCGGAUAGUUAAAAAUUUAUCUUCUAAAAUUUUUAAAAAAAGUAAAAUCGCAAAAAAAAUUAGAAAGCUGGUAUUUUUGAUAAAUUUCCAAAUAUGUAAUCAAGAAAAAUAACUUUUACUAUCCAAUCAACUCAUUUAAAGAUGUGUGUCAAAAAUCAAAAUAUCAUACAAAAAAUAGGUAUACAUUUUUUUAAUAGAUUAUACUCCCUCUGUUCCAAAAUAAGUGUCAGCUGGGGGUAAUAACAAGACCUUAGUCAACCCAAGCACAGCAGACAGCAGGCAUAAGGCAUCAGGAAUUUCACAGGACCAUUAUCUUUCUCUUAUUAACUGUGAAGGGAACAGCGUAUGAAGUAGCAAGAACCUUCAUAUUUACACAGCCAUUGAUCUGUCGUGCAACAAAUUUCAGGGAGAAAUUCCAAAGGUUACCGGAGAGCUUAGAUGGCUUGCAUUGCUCAAUUUAUCGCAUAAUUAAUAGUCUGACAGGACCUAUCCCAACAUUGCUGAGAAAUAUGAAAUAACUCCAUUACUCCAAUCUUAGAUUUGUCCUCAAAUCAACUGACAGGGGCUAUUCCACCUCUGUUAACUGCAUUGACAUUACUUUUCUCUUUAUAUUCUUUCCUUUUGUAUGUACCUAUGCUAAUUAUCUGAUUAUUAAAAUUAUAACAAAGCUUCAAGAUUUUUAACAGGUGAGCUUCCACUAAAAAUUUGCAAAGUCACUUCCCUUUCGCGUCUCAUUAUGUUAGAUAAUGGGUCAAGUGGUGCACUUCCACAGUGUUUGGGGAACCUUUCUUUGCUUGGUUUCAAUAAUCUUGCUAAUUAUCAAUUUCAAGGACCAAUACCAACGACUGUCCAAGACUUGUCUGUGCAUAUCUAAACAUCCAUAACAAUCACUUUGAAGGUUUGUUGCUCCAAUCUUUGGCAAACUGUAAACACUUACAAAUUCUUGAUAUUGGAAACAACGUUGGAGAGCUAGAUGUCCCAGUUAGGGCGGUAAUUCGACUAGAGCAAACCGAGUUUUGAGCGGAGCCAAAUUCGAGCCAAGUUUAAUCGAGUCGAGCCGAGUCGGCUCGUUUAGCUAAUCGAGCCUAAAACUUAGCCCGAACUCGACUCAUUUAAUUUCACGAGUCGAGUCGAGCCAACUCGUUUAGCUAAAUGAGCUGAUUUUAACAAGUCGAGCGAGCGAGCUCGUAUAAUUUUAACUUAGUCGAGCCUGAAUCUCUACCCAAACUAUUGGCUCGUGUAAUUUCGCGAGUCGAAUCGAGCCGGCUCGUUUUAUUAAACAAGCCGAAAUUUUUGCCCGAAUUUGCUCGUUUAACAAGCCGAUCUGAGCCUAGUUAAAUGAGUUCGAGUUAGUCGAGCUCGCGAGCUGCGAGCUCACCUGCCAGCUCUAGUCCUAGUCUUGCAAUCAAAUAGGUUUAACGGUAUAGAAAGUGGAAGGAGCACAAGGCAUCCAUUCCCCAAGGCUAUUUACCAAUUCAGUACUUUGAGGAUACAAAAUCAUUCUGCAGGUACUCUUGUAUCUGUACUUUCUUGUACUGUAUGCCACUUUGACAGUAGAGUAAAAUUUAUAUCGACAAACUGCAUAUGUUCUGAACUACUCCUCUAUCCCAAAUUAGAUGAGCUAGUUGACUUUGAGCACGUAACUUAAGGUACAUUGACCAACUAGUUCCGAUAUUUAUUUUUUUAAUUUUUCUUUUGUAAAUGAAAAUUUCAUAUUUAAAUUUUUAUUUGCAAAACUAAAAUUUAAAAAUAUGUAAUGUGGCUAUGCGGUCAAUGUCAACGAGCUCAUCUAAUUUGGGAUUGGGAUGCAGGGAGUAUUACGUACUAUGUUAUGCAAGCUGUUUACAACUUUCAUCAAAAUUUUCAAACAUUUCUGAAUAUGUAUUUUCAAAGAAUUCUCGGGCACUCUUAAGGCCUAUAAUUAUUGGAACUCUCACGUUAUGGACCAGAGGACCACUAUGUAUUUUACAAGCACGACGAAUCAUGUGGUCAUUAUGGACUCCCCAAGCCUUAGAGGACUCAUUCCAGGUUUUAGGAGGACCACUGCCUAGCUCACCCUUUCGGAGUGAUGUAAAUUAGUUUCCAGACACUAAAAAUAAGUAAUCAGAUUAAUCAUUACAAAAUUUUGAUAUAAAAUCAGAAUAAAUCCUAAACUUUGAUGAUACAAAAAAAAUUAUAAUUGUAAAUUAUACAAUCAAAUUAAGAUCGAAUUAACUUCCCUCACACUUAAAAUUUAUAGCGAUCAAAUCAAAAUCGAAUUAACUUUCCUAUUACUAAAAUUUAAUUACAAUAUUAUUAGAUAAAGAGAAUAUAUAAUAAUCAAGAGAAAAUAGAUUUUUUUUUGCCACUCAACUUAUUGUGUUUUAAGAAACUUACCACCCAACUAAAUUUUUUUCCUUUUGCUCACUAAUGUUAGGUUUGGAUUUGUUUUUAGCCACCAAAUAAGGUUCGGAUUUGAUUACCAGCAUUAUGAUAAUUUUUUUUGUCACUAAACUUAUUGCGUCUUUAGAAACUAACCACUGAACUAAAUUUUUUUUAUUUUACUCACUAAUGUUAGAUUUAGUUUUUUUUGUCACUAUAGUUAGGUUCAGAUUUGAUUAUUAGCAUUACAUUAAUUCUGUGUAGCAUUUUUAAAAUAUGGUAGUAGUCUGUGAUAUUUAGAUGAUUUGAUAUAUGUCUGUAUUUUUAUAUAUAGUAUAUUUUAUGUCCCCAAGGUCGUUUACCUUGGGUCAUAAAAAUUUUACACUCAUUUUAUGACUUUUAAAAGAUGUAGUUUCAUAAAUAAUUUUAUUUUUUUCUUUCGAAUUAAAAUUCAGCAUUUGAAUUUUACACACAAAAAAAUCGCAAGAAUAAGAUAUGAAACUAUGCUUUACAAGAGUCUUAAAAUACGUGCUAAACGGUAGAAAAAACUGUAAACUAAUGAGAGGUACAUAGGGAGUAAUAAUAACAUAAAAUGAUGCACAAUCAUCGAAUUAAGUUUUCCUCUCUCUAUAUAUUUAUUUUGUAAAUUUUAAUAAGAUAAAGUUAUUAAAAUUUAUGAUAUAAAUUUAAGAGAUAUCUUAGAUUGAGUGGCAAAAAUUUAGUUGGGUGGUAAGUUUCUAAAAACACAAUAAAUUGAGUGGGAACAAAAUCUAUUUUCCCAAUAAUGAGUGGGAAUAAAAUCUAUUUUCCCAAUAAUCAAAGUGACGAAAAAUCAAAGUCAUCUAAUAAGUCCAGAAAAAAUAUGACCAUUAGUAUAUUGAAAUAAUAUUCACGCAUUUAUAUACGAGAAUAUAUGGUCCACAAGUUAGUGCACAAUGUCCAAGAAUCUUUAUCAAAUAACACGGCAAGCAUGCAGCAUAUAAAUAAGAGUGGGCAGUAUGGUAUUGCAUUCAUAACCCACUUGAGCAGAAAUAUGGCACACUUCCUAAAGCCUUCUCACCUUCUUCUCUUUGUUUUCUUUCUCUCGUUACUUCAAUCCAUUCUACCAACAAGACCAGAGGGAGAAGCUCUUGUGAAAUGGAAGAAUAGCCUAGCCCCGUCUUCUUUUCUCGAUUCUUGGUCACUAACCAAUCUCGAUAAUCUUUGUAACUGGACUGGCAUUACUUGUAACUCUGCAGGUUCAGUCUCUGGGAUUAACCUUUAUGAGAAACAACUUGAUGGAAUGCUGUCCGAGUUUGGCUUCACUUCAUUUCCGAAUCUCAACAAUCUCACCCUCGCAUACAACUUCUUCUCGGGUCCAAUACCACCAGCCAUUGAGAAUUUAACACAGCUUCAAUAUCUUGAUUUAAGCAUCAAUAGUCUCGAUGGUCCCAUUCCUUUCCAGGUUAGCCAUCUUCAGAGGUUGCUCGUCCUAAACCUGUCACAGAAUGCAUUGCAAGCUCCAAAUUGGUCCCAUUUCUCUUCCAUGCCUUUUUUGCGCAUCCUCAAGCUCAGUAGGAAUCAUCUUGUAUCGAAAUUUCCAGAAUUUAUAUCCAAUUCUCAUAGCUUGGCUAUCCUUGACCUUGGCCAGAACAACUUUACAGGUGAUCUUGUGCGUGAAUUUACCAAUCUACAAAAUCUUGAAACCCUCUGGCUUUAUCGUAAUUCUUUUGAGGGGCCAUUUCCGCCGGAUAUAGUCCAGCUUUCCAAACUAAAAGAUCUUGCCCUGUCAAGUAACAAAUUUUCAGGUUCAGUUCCCAAUAACAUAAGGUUGCUUUGUGAUCUUGAAUACCUAUAUUUAGGCAACAAUUCCUUUAAGGGGCCACUUCCACCAAAUAUAUUUAAGCUUUCAAAAUUAAAACAUCUUGUUCUUUGGAGUAAUAAGUUUUCAGGUUCUGUUUCCAAUGAUAUAGGUUUGCUUCAUGAGCUUGUAACCCUCAAUCUUAACUCUAAUUUUUUUGAGGGGCCGCUUCCGCCAAAUGUAUUCAAGCUCUCCAAACUAAAGUUUUUUGCCCUUCAUGAGAAUAACUUUUCAGGUUUUAUUUCUAAGGAUAUAGGUUUGCUUUCCGAACUUGAAAUCCUCUAUUUUGGCUCUAAUUUUUUUGAGGGGCCGCUUCCUCCACAUGUAUUUAGGCUCUCCAAAUUAAGAGGUCUGGACCUCUCACACAAUAGAAAUUUAUUUGAAGGAAGUAUUCCUAUUGGACUGGGACUCUUGACUAACCUCAGGUACUUAGAUCUACAUUCCAAUAAUCUCGGUGGCUAUAUUCCAUCUGACAUUGGAAACCUGAAGCUACUAGUACUUCUUGAUCUCGGUUCUAAUCAAUUGACUGGACCGCUUUCAAAGAUCGUUUCUAAUCUCACAAAUCUUAUAUGUCUUGAUGUAAGUCAUAAUAGUCUUAGUGGAAAUAUUCAGAGUGACUUGUGGAAAUAUAACGAUCAUCCAACUUUGGAAUACAUCAAUUUAAGUGGGAACCAUUUUACGGGUAUAGUUUUUCUCUAUAGAUCUUUUCCUUUUCUCAUAUGUAACUAAGCUAGUAAUCUGAUUAUUGCAGUUUCACCAAAGUUUCAACAAUCUUGACAGGUGAGCUUCCAACAACAAUUUGCAAUGUCACUUCCCUUUCGGUUCUUGAUUUGUCAAAUAAUGAAUUAAGUGGUGCACUUCCAAACUCUUUGGGGAAUCUUGCUGAUGGAAUGCUUUACCUUAAUCUUGCUAAUAAUCAGUUUCGAGGAACAAUACCAACUACUUUCUCCAGGAGUUGUCGGUUGACAUAUCUAAACAUGGAUAAUAAUGAGUUUGAAGGAUUGUUGCCCCCAUCUUUGGCGAACUGUAAGCACUUGAAAAUUCUUGAUAUAGGCAAUAAUAAAAUAGGUGGUACAUUUCCGUCAUGGCUUUAUGCACUUGGAGAGCUAGAAGUUCUUGUCUUGCGAUCAAAUAAACUCUAUGGUACGAUAAGUGGAAGGAGCAUAGAAGAUCCCUUCCCCAAGUUGCGGAUUGUGGAUCUGUCCCACAAUCAAUUGACAGGCUAUUUGCCAAUUCAAUACUUUAAGAAUAUGAAAUCAACUGAUAAUUUGUAUCGUUAUCGGAAUUCCACAGGACCAUUAUCUUUCUCUUAUGAAGCAGCAGUCUCAUUAACUGUGAAGGGAACAGAGUACGAGGUAGCAAAGAACCUUCAUAUUUACACAGCCAUUGACCUGUCGUGCAACAAAUUUCAGGGAGAAAUUCCAAAGGUUACUGGAGAGCUUAGAUGGCUUGCAUUGCUGAAUUUAUCUCAUAAUAGUCUGACAGGACCUAUCCCAUCCUUGCUGAAAAAUAUGAAAGAACUCCAAUCUUUAGAUUUGUCCUCAAAUCAACUGACAGGGGCUAUUCCACCUCAGUUAACUGCAUUGACAUUUCUGGAGGUCUUCAACCUCUCGGGAAACCAUCUUAGUGGAGAGAUUCCUCAGAAAGGGCAGUUCAGCACAUUUAACAAUGAUUCUUAUCUAGGAAACUCCGCGUUAUGUGGAUCACCUUUGACAAAGAAAUGUGCAAACACAGCAUCACCUCCACAAGAAGUCGGAAAUGGUGAUGAAGAUGAUGCUGGUGAUGAAUGGACAUGGGAAGCAAUCGUGAUGGGAUAUGGAUGUGGACUGAUAUGUGGAUUGUCAUCUGCGUACAUUGUUCUCAAACUAGGAAAGCCUUGGUGGUUUGUGAGAUAUAUCGAAGUGCUGCAACUGAAGUUGAUGAAAAGAUAUGCUUGAAAAAUUGUACUGGCCGAUCAAGACGAACUUGAAAGUUGUUGUCCUUGUGGACAUUUCUGAACCAGUAGUGUACUAGCUGCAUAAGUAUUUGGUAUUAUGUAAUAAUCCGUUUGGUCAGGACUCAUAAUGAUUUCUCUUGCUUCAGGGGUAUUAAUAUUAACCUUGCUAGUUAAUUCAAAUUAAAACAAAUAUAAAAUCAAAAAAUUUGCAUCAAACACCUGUUAUACCAACAUCCAUUAAUUUGCUUUCAUCUCUUACGUAACAAUUUAACAGCGAUUCCACACUGUUUUAGGCAUGGAGAUUACACAAAGAAGGCAAGUCCAUGAACUAAUAUAUUAACCCGUAGUCCACAUCUAUGCUACGAACAAUUCAUAUUGGUCUUCCAUCUAUUCAACCGUCUCCCGAAGAUAGGCCAAAAAUGUCAUCUGUGGUUCUUAUCUUUGUCAGUAAAGGAGAAUCUCUGAUGCCUAUACAACCUGGUUUUCUUACAGAAAGGAAUGUAGGUGAAACCAGGGGCAUAAAAUGAAUCGGGACUAAAAUCUGCUAAAAUGAUAAUUAUUUACUCAUCAUUCGAGAUUAGUCGGGCUCAAAUGAAGAUUUAUAUGGAUUUUAAGAACAAACUAUGACUAAAUAUGAAAACUAGACAACCUGGUUUUCUUACAGAAAGGAAUGUAGGUGAAACCAGGGGCGUAAAAUGAAUCGGGACUAAAAUCUGCUAAAAUGAUAGUAAUUAUUUACUCAUCAUUCAAGAUUAGUCGGGCUCAAAUGAAGAUUUAUAUGGAUUUUUAAGAACAAACUAUGACUAAAUAUGAAAAAAAUCAUUAAUUUUUCCGACUCAAUAUUUUUUAGCCUCCCCCGGCCCUGGGUGAAACCAUAAGCUUCUCUGGUGCACAUCCAAAUCAUUCAGCUGGUUCUGCAGGUACUCUUCUAUCUGUACUUUCUUAUAUUGUUUGCCAGUACAUUUUAUAUCGACAAACUGCACAAUACACCUCGAUCUCAUACACAGGUGAACUCCUGCAUAUGCUUUGUGAUGUCAUUGAUGAUCGAUAGACUUGAAAAAAAAUUAUGACAAAGAUUCAUAAAAUAUCUACUUCCAUCCUAAUUCAGUAUUCAAUAUUAUUCAUCCCGUAUCAUCAUCCAAUCAAUUCUAAUAGUUCUUCUUUAAAUCAGUACAAAUAUUGUUAAAUACCUCGAUGAUGGUUGUCUUCCCGUGAACCAAUCAUAAAAUUACCUCUGUAUAAAUCCAUCGGAAAUAAGACAGUUAAUAUCCCAAUCGAAUACACCCCGUCAGUUGUCAAACUCCUCGAAACGUAUUAAUCACUUUAGAAAAUUUGUUCCACUGGCGCUAGUCAGUCCCAGAGUUGGUGGUGGGUGCUUCUGGGCUUUCGAAAAACACCCAUUUACUCCAUUGUUUAGAGAAGUAAAACCCCACCUUCCGCUCAUUUGAUUGAUCAGCUGAAUUAGGCAGAGUUUACAUGGUCAUGAUCAUAGUCUCCCAUUUCCCAGAUACGCGAAUUAUAGUGGAUUUAUCUUUAUCAGUAAUUUCUGUGGAGAUGCAUAAUCAUUAUAAGCUCCAAUAUAAAAAUUUAAAGUUAGUAUGGGCAUUUGUGUUGAUAAUUUGCGCAAUGUUAACAGGAUUGCUCCCAAGUCUUGGACGGACUCUUUCAAAGUCUUCUCAGGACCCAUCUGCACACUGAUUUGUCUGCCAACUAAAAAAUCAACAAUAUGUUACUCACUCCGUUUUUCUUAAACGAGGUUAAAAUUUUUGACACAAGAUGGGUUGACAGUAUAAUAAAAUUAACAUUUUUGUGAAUAAAAAUUUUGGUUGUAUUAUUUUAUUUAGAAAAAGAAAAUCUUGAAAAUAAUAUUAUUAACUACCCAGUCAAAUCACUUAAAAGUAUAUGUCCAAAAUUAAAGCGGCAUAUAAAAAAACCGAGAGAGAGUAUGUACUAACCUGUUUCCAUAACAGUUUACAAGUAUAAGUUAUACUCCCUCUCUAUUUUUUUAUAUGACGCUUUGAUUUUGGGCACAUAUUUUUAAGUGUUUUGACCGGAUAAUUAAAAAUAUUAUUUUCUAAAAUUUUUAAAAGAAAGUAAAAUUGAAAAAAAAAUAGAAAGCUGGUAUUUUUGAUAAAUUUCCAAACAUAAUCAAGAACAAUAAUUUUUACUAUCCAAUCAACUCAUUUACAGAUGUGUGUCAAAAAUCAAAAUAUCAUAUAAAAAACAACAAUAUGUUACUCCCUCCGUUUUUCUUAAACUGAGGUUAAAAUUUUUGACACAAGAUGGGUUGACAGUAUAAAAUUAAAAUUUUUGUGAAUAAAAAUUUUGGUUAUAUUUUUUAUUUAAAAAGAAAAUCUUGAAAAUAAUAUUAUUAACUACCAGUCAGAUCACUUAAGUGUAUGUCCAAAAUUAAAGCGGCAUAUAAAAAAAAGGGAGGAAGCAUGUACUAACUGUUUCCAUAACAGUUUACAAGUACAAGUUAUACUCCCUCUCUAUUUUUUCUAUGACGCUUUGAUUUUGGGCACACAUUCUUAAGUGUUUUGACCGGAUAGUUAAAAAUUUAUCUUCUAAAAUUUUUAAAAAGAAGUAAAAUCGCAAAAAAAAUUAGAAAGCUGGUAUUUUUGAUAAAUUUCCAAAUAUGUAAUCAAGAACAAUAACUUUUACUAUCCAAUCAACUCAUUUAAAGAUGUGUGUCAAAAAUCAAAAUAUCAUACAAAAAAUAGGUAUACAUUUUUUUUAAUAGAUUAUACUCCCUCUGUUCCAAAAUAAUUGUCAGCUGUGACAUUUUGCAAAAGUAGCUGGGGGGUAAUAACAAGACCUUAGUCAACCCAAGCACAGCAGACAGCAGGCAUAAGGCAUCAGGAAUUUCACAGCACCAUUAUCUUUCUCUUAUUAACUGUGAAGGGAACAGAGUAUGAAGUAGCAAGAACCUUCAUAUUUACACAGCCAUUGAUCUGUCGUGCAACGAAUUUCAGGGAGAAAUUUCAAAGGUUACUGGAGAGCUUAGAUGGCUUGCAUUGCUCAAUUUAUCUCAUAAUAGUCUCACAGGACCUAUCCCAUCAUUGCUGAGAAAAAUGAAAGAACUCCAAUCUUUAGAUUUGUCCUCAAAUCAACUGACAGGGGCUAUUCCACCUCAGUUAACUGCAUUGACAUUACUUUUCUCUUUAUAUCCUUUCCUUUUGUAUGUACCUAUGCUAAUUAUCUGAUUAUCAAAAUUAUAACAAAGCUUCAAGAUUUUUAACAGGUGAGCUUCCACUAAAAAUUUGCAAAGUCACUUCCCUUUCGCGUCUCAUUAUGUCAGAUAAUGGGUCAAGUGGUGCACAUCCACAGUGUUUGGGGAACCUUUCUUUGCUUGGUUUCAAUAAUCUUGCUAAUUAUCAAUUUCAAGGACCAAUACCAACGACUGUCCAAGACUUGUCUGUGCAUAUCUAAACAUCCAUAACAAUCACUUUGAAGGUUUGUUGCUGCAAUCUUUGACAAACUGUAAACACUUACAAAUUCUUGAUAUUGGAAACAACAAAAUAGGUGGUACAUUUCGGUCAUGGCUAUUUAUUUUGGAGAGCUAGAUGUCCUAGUUAGGGCGGUAAUUCAACUAGAGCAAACCGAGUUUUGAGCGGAGCCAAAUUCGAGCCAAGUUUAAUCGAGUCAAGCCGAGUCGGCUCGUUUAGCUAAUCGAGCCUAAAACUCUGCCCGAACUCGACUCGUUUAAUUUCACGAACGAGUCAAGCGAGUGAGCUCGUAUAAUUUUAACUUAAUCGAGCCUAAAUCUCUACCCGAACUAUUGGCUCGUGUAAUUUCGCGAGUAGAAUCGAGCCGGCUCGUUUUAUUAUAGAAGCCGAAAUUUUUGCCCGAAUUUGGCUUGUUUAACAAGCCGAUCUUUCAUCAAAAAUUUCAAACAUUUCUGAAUAUGUAUUUUCAGAGAAUUUCUCCAGCACUCUUAAGGCCUAUAAUUAUUGCAACUCUCACGUUAUGGACCACUGUGUAUUUUACAAGCACGACGAAUCAUGUUGUCAUUAUGGACUCCCCAAGCCUUAGAGGACUCAUUCCAGGUCUUAGGAGGACCACUGCCUAGCUCACCCUUUCGGAGUGAUGUAAAUUAUUUUCCAAACAUUAAAAAUAAAUAAUCAGAUUAAUCAAUACAAAAUUAAAGAUAUAAAAUCAGAAUAAAUCCUAAACUUUGAAUAUACAAAAAAAAUUAUAAUUGUAAAUUAUACAAUCAAAUUAAAAUUGAAUUAACUUCCCUCACACUUAAAAUUUAUAGCGAUCAAAUCAAAAUCGAAUUAACUUUCCUAUUACUAAAAUUUAGUUACAAUAUUAUUAGAUAAAGAGAAUAUAUAAUAAUCAAGGGAAAAUAGAUUUUUUUUUUUUGCCACUCAACUUAUUGUUUUUUAAGAAACUUACCACCCAACUAAUUAUUUUUUCCUUUUGCUCACUAAUGUUAGGUUUGGAUUUGUUUUUAGCCACCAACUAAGGUUCGGAUUUGAUUACUAGCAUUAUGAUAAUUUUUUUUGUCACUAAACUUAUUGUGUCUUUAGAAACUAACCACUCAACUAAUUUUUUUUUAAUUUACUCACUAAUGUUAGGUUCAGUUUUUUUUUGUCACUGAAGUUAGGUUCGGAUUUGAUUAUUAGCAUUACAUUAAUUCUGUGUAGCAUUUUUAAAAUAUGGCUCAUAAGAAUUUUACACGCAUUUUAUGACUUUUAAAAGAUGUAGUUUCAUUAAUAAUUUUAUUUUUUUCUUCCGAAUUAAAAUUUAGCGUUUGAAUUUUACACACAAAAAAUCGAAAGAAUAAGUUAUGAAAGUAUGCUUUAUAAGAGUCUUAAAAUACGUGCUAAACGGUAGAAAAAACUGUACACUAAUGACAGGUAAAUAGGGAGUAAUAAUAACAUAAAAUGAUGCACAAUCAUCGAAUUAAGUUUUCCUCUCUCUAUAUAUUUAUUUUGAAAAUUUUAAUAAGAUAAAGUUAUUAAAAUUUAUGAUAUAAAUUUAAGAGAUAUCUUAGAUUGAGUGGCAAAAAUUUAGUUGGGUGAUAAAUUUCUAAAAACACAAUAAAUUGAAUGGGAACAAAAUCUAUUUUCCCGAUAAUCAAAGUGACGAAAAAUCAAAGUCAUCUAAUAAGUCCAGAAAAAAUAUGACCAUUAGUAUAUCGGAAUAAUAUUCACACAUUUAUAUACGAGAAUAUAUGGUCCACAAGUUAGUGCACAAUGUCCAAGAAUCUUUAUUAAAGUAACACGGCAAGCAUGCAGCAUAUAAAUAAGAGUGGGCACUGGGCAGUAUGGUAUUGCAUUCAUAACCCACUUGAGGAGAAAUAUGGCACACUUCCUAAAGCCUUCUCACCUUCUUCUCUUUGUUUUCUUUCUCUCGUUACUUCAAUCCAUUCUACUAACAAGACCAGAGGGAGAAGCUCUUGUGAAAUGGAAGAAUAGCCUUGCCCCUUCUUCUUUUCUCGAUUCUUGGUCACUCACCAAUCUCGAUGAUCUUUGUAACUGGACUGGCAUUACUUGUAACUCUGCAGGUUCAGUCUCUGAGAUUAACCUUUAUGAGAAACAACUUGAUGGAAUGCUGUCCGAGUUUAGUUUCACUUCAUUUCCAAAUCUUAACAGUCUCACUCUCGCAUACAACUUCUUCUCGGGUCCAAUACCACCAGCCAUUGAGAAUUUAACACAGCUUCAAUAUCUUGAUUUAAGCAUCAAUAGUCUCGAUGGUCUCAUUCCGUUCCAGGUUAGCCAUCUUCAGAGGUUGCUCGUCUUAAACCUGUCACAGAAUGCAUUGCAAGCUCCAAAUUGGUCCCAAUUCUCUCCCAUGCCCUUUUUGUGCAGCCUCAACCUCAGUAGCAAUCCUCUUGCGUCGAAAUUCCCAAAUUUCAUAUCCAAUUCUCAUGGCCUGACUCACCUUAGCCUUGAUCAAAACGAGUUUACAGGUGAUUUAGCGCGUGAAUCAAUAUUUGCCAAUCUGCAUAAUCUUGAAGUCCUCAGUCUUGUUGGCAAUUCUUUUGAGGGGCCAUUUCUGCCAAAUAUAUUCAAGCUUUCCAAAUUAAAACGUCUCACCCUGUCAAGUAACAAAUUUUUAGGAUCAAUUCCCAAUGACAUAAGGUUGCUUUGUGAUCUUGAAUUCCUGUAUUUAGGAAACAAUUCUUUUGAAGGACCGCUUCCACCAAAUAUAUUCAAGCUUUCAAAAUUAAAACAUCUUGUUCUUUGGAGUAAUAAGUUUUCAGGUUCUGUUUCCAAUGAUAUAGGUUUGCUUUCUGCGCUUGAACUUUUGAAUCUUCACUCUAAUUUUUUUGAGGGGCCGCUUCCGCCAAAUGUAUUCAAGCUCUCUAAACUAAGGUUUCUUAACCUCUGGGGUAACAACUUUUCAGGUUCUGUUUCCAAUGAUAUAGGUUUGCUUCCGGAGCUAGAAAUCCUCAAUCUUCACUCUAAUUUUUUUGAGGGCCGCUUCCGCCAAAUAUAUUCAAGCUCUCUAAACUAAGGUUUCUUAACCUUUGGGGUAAUAACUUUUCAGGUUCUGUUUCCAAUGAUAUAGGUUUGCUUCCUGAGCUAGAAUUCCUCAAUCUUCACUCUAAUUUUUUUGAGGGUCCGCUUCCGCCAAAUGUAUUCAAGCUCUCUAAACUAAAGUUUCUUCAUCUUCGAGGUAAUAAGUUUUCAGGUUCUGUUUCCAAUGAUAUAGGUUUGCUUCCUGAGCUUGAAAUCCUCAAUCUUCGCUCUAAUUUUUUUGAGGGGCCGCUUCCGCCAAAUGUAUUCAAGCUCUCCAAACUAAGGUUUCUUUCCCUUAAGGAAAAUAAAUUUUCAGGUUCUGUUUCCAAUGAUAUAGGUUUCCUUUCUGAGCUUGAAUACCUAUAUCUUGACUAUAAUUUAUUUGAAGGAAGUAUUCCUAUUGGACUGGGACUCUUGACUAACCUCAGCUACUUAGAUCUAAGUUCCAAUAAUCUCAGUGGCUAUAUUCCAUCUGACAUUGGAAACCUGAAGCUACUAGUAUUUCUUGAUCUCAGUUCUAACCAAUUGACUGGACCGCUUUUAAAGAUCGUUUCUAAUCUCACAAAUCUUAUGAAUCUUGAUGUAAGUGAUAAUAGUCUUAGUGGAAAUAUUCAGAGUGACUUGUGGAAGAACUCUAUAUCCUUACGUUACAUUAAUUUUGCAAAUAAUUAUUUGUCUGGGAACAUUCCUAAGGAAUACAACGAUCAUCCAACUUUGGAAUACAUCAAUUUAAGUGGGAACCAUUUUACAGGUAUAUUUUUCUCUAUAUAUCUUUUCCUUUUCUCAUAUGUAACUAAGCUGGUAAUCUGAUUAUUGCAGUUUUACCAAAGUUUCAACAAUCUUGACAGGUGAGCUUCCAACAACAAUUUGCAAUGUCACUUCCCUUGCGGUUCUUGUUUUGUCAAAUAAUGGAUUAAGUGGAGCACUUCCAAAUUGUUUCGGGAAACUUGCUGAUAGAUUGCUUUCCAUUAAUCUUGCUAAUAAUCAGUUUCGAGGAACAAUACCAACUACUUUCUCCAGGAGUUGUCAGGUGAAAUAUCUAAACAUGGAUAAUAAUGAGUUUGAAGGAUUCUUGCCCCCAUCUUUGGCGAACUGUAAGCACUUGAAAAUUCUUGAUAUUGGCAAUAACAAAAUAGGUGGUCCAUUUCCGUCAUGGCUUUAUGUACUUGGAGAGAUAGAAGUCCUUGUCUUGCGAUUAAAUAAACUCUAUGGUACAAUAAGUGGAAGGAGCGUAAAAGAUCCCUUCCCCAAGUUGCGGAUUGUGGAUCAAUAGACAUCGGCUAAAAAGCGAUGUCUAUGUAAAAUCAGACCGAUGUCUUCGUGGGUGAUGAGAAAAGUAAGUGCAUUACACAUCGCUUUCUAGCCGAUGUCUAUAACCUAUUUACACAUCGUUUAAUAUGACAAUCUGAUGUAUUUUUUAACAGUAGAUACCUUCACUAUAAUUUCAGUUCCUCAUUCCUAUGCCCUCUAUAUCAUUUUAAACUUGUCACAUGCUUAAUAAAAUGAUACUUUAACAUCUUAAAACUUGUAAAAUAGAUGUAUAUGAUAACCUUUUACAUCAUGCUUUUAUAGGAAGUGAUGUGGUACCCUUCUUUUCUUUAAGAAAGCGAUGUCUUUGUUCUUGUUUUACAUCAGUGAUUUUUAUACUCUGAUAUCUAUUAUAUAGUUUAACAUCAGGCUUUUUCUUGUUAACUGAUAUGUAUUCAUUCUUAUGACAUCGCUUACUAAGUGAUGUAAAUGUUAGUUUUAAAUUGCCAUGAAUCCUCCUGUUUCUUAUGAAUCCCCCUGUUUCAUUUAAAUUUCCAACAAAUUCCAAAACAACACCAAAGCUAUACUAAUUAAACAACCAAUUACCAAUGUCUAGCCUACCAUAACAGAACUAAAACAAAACUAGCUAGCAAAACAAUACUUCCGCAAAAGCCAAAUAUAUUACCAUCAAUCAUUACCAAUCAAAUUACAUCCCACAAUCAAAGAAACUGCACAAAUCCUAAAUAUUAACCAAGCAACCAUAAUUUACAAGCAGUUCACCACGUACUCCAGCAACCAUAAUUUACCAACUACAUUUCCCUCCAUUUAUCAACAAAAUCUACUUAGCUAGCUAGUGUCACUGUCUUACAUAAACUGAACUAAUUAAAGGAAACCAAAGUUCUCCAAUAAACCAAAGGCCUGUUUAUAAGAAGGACUCGAUAUGGCUAAGUGUCUCAAACCGAACCUCGUCAAGCUCAGCCUUGGAACAAAUCACUUUUCGAUUCUUGGAUGCCCACUGAAAAAUGUAAAACAAUAACAUUGAAUUAUACCUAAAUUUAUAUGUACACCAUUUAAUUAUAUCAACAAUGGAUUAGGCAAAGAAAAAUACCCUUUUAAAAAAUGUCAUUUCAUUGUCCAUGACAAUCUCUUUCAUAUACCGCAUAAUAACAUAGCCGCAUUCAGUUCCACCGGGCUGUUUAGGACAUCCCUAUUUAACCAAAAAAAACUCAAAAUAGUAAGUAAAGUAAUGCCCCUGGUUCUAAGCAUCAGUAGCACAAAUUGUUAAAAAUAAAUACGAAAGCUUACUGUAAUAUAUUUGAAGCUUGGGGCUUUAUUUCCCCUUCCGGCCUGAACAUUGAAAGUAAUCACAGCCCUGUCAUCUUGGCAGUGUUAAUAAUGCACAUGCAUUUAUAUCUCCAUAAGAAAGAUAAUCAAUAAAAAAAUAAAUGAAAAUACCUUGAUAUUGCUUUUUCCAAGUUGGGGAAACUAGUUGAACGAGGCAGAGGAUUAAGUAUGAAAACCUCGCCACCCCAAAACAGAACCAAUACCCAAUGGAAACUAUUUUUAACAAAUAUUUAUGAAAAACACAAUUACUAUCAAAAUCAUAUAAAUUUUAUUUUCAGUCAUGUAAAAAACUAAAUAAAAGAGAUUUAUAAUAAAUAAGAAAACACUUAAGCUACUUACUUGCUAUUAUGCGGCAUCAAAAAGAGACGAUCAGGAUUACCCUCUUUAAAUCGAUUAACCAAGUUAUCUUCAAAAGAAUUGUUCAUCAAGUUCAGCGAGGCUCCAGGAUCACAAAAAGCAAAUUGAUCCUUAGUGCCAUUUUCACGAACCACGCAAUGCAAGUAUCUACAUUGUAAAUGAAAUGAAAUUAUAUAAAAUUACACGAAUAUGAAUUAUAACUAAACAACAGUCAUGAUCUAGAAGACAGUAAUUAAAAAAAGUUUACUCACGCCAUGUAUGCAGCAAUUGCUGCUUGGCCAAUCAUAUUAAACUCCAGCAAGGCGACUAUGUUUUCAUACAAGAUGAAGAUUCUUUUCUCGAUACCAAACACCUCAGCAUCACACGGGAUUUGAAUUGAGUCUCCGGAGGAUUGCAUAAAUGUUGUUGCAUGUUUAUACAACAACCGAAAGCGUUUUGGAACAUUUUUAUUGAUCUCCAUGUUAUGAAACAAGGACUGGACUUUAUCUAAAUCGGUUUUAGGUUCCUUUACUUUCCGUUUACCUUUCUGAAAAAUGAACAAAAUUAAUUUAAAACAAAAUAUAACAAAAUAUAGGGGUAACAUAUAAUAGUACAAUCCAGUACAACAAUUAUGUUAAAGUACACACCAUAGUAGGAAUAGUAGGAGGGGCAUUUGGGAAUAUGAUCAAGUCGCGGGGCCAUGAGACGUACGAGCCAACAGCUUGCUCUACUGUUUCAAUCUCACCUGGUACCGGUUUAGGAAUCUUGGCUUGUCCUUGAAUUGGGCCAUCCACUGAGACGCGAACACAUCCAGGCUCUAUCGGCACUCCAUGUAUAGAUUUGUUCAUGUUAUCAUCAUCAAACAACAAACCAAAUGCCACUUUAUUUUCUAUUGUGCCUACAGCCAACUCACAUUUUCGUGGACCGGCCUACACACAUAUAUUUAAACAAUUAUGACGAAUGCUUGAAAUAUGUUGAGCUAAAUUGAAUAAAUGUGCUAGUUAUUUUACCUUAUUCUCUGGUGGAUUAGGUUCCAAGUCAACUUCAAUCAUCUCUGGUUCCAGUUUUUUCACCACCUCUGUCUUAGCUUCUUUGACAGUGUUUGCCUCACAACUUGCUUUAUCAGAAGCAAUAGGAGAUGAAAUAUUUGCUUUGCUGAGCAAGGCCUUCAUUUCAGCCAUCUCCUGCCUUGUCUUCUCCAUUUCCAUGGCCAUCUCUUUCUUGGCUUUCUCCAGCUCCGCGUCCCUCUCUCGAUCCCUCUCCAACAACUCAGCUUUGGUGAUUCUAUUUCUUCUUCCUGGUGGUAUAUUAAAAAAAAUUGACGGGCUCACAAAGCCUCCAACUCCUCGAACCCUCCCCGAAUGUUCAGGAGUUUGUAGGGCCGUAGUCAACACAUCUCGACUCCCAGAAGGAGUGAAUUCCCCCUUACUUUGCUGCUCUAGUAAAAUAUUCUGACAUGAAAAAUAUGAACAUACAAAUCAUCAUCUAGUGAACCUCAUCAUCAAUAUUAACUUUAAUUUUACGAGCCUUUUAAUUAUAAAUACUCACAAUUCUUUUUCCUAUUUCAGCUAGGUCUGAAUCCUCAUCAUCAGCAUCAUCAGCCUCAUCAUCAUCAUCAACAUUAUCAUUAUCAUCAUCAAUUUUAAUUUUACGAGCCUUUUGCCACAUGAGAGCCCGAUCAGGUUCUUCAUCGGCAGCCAAAGUUCCUUUCUUGAUCUGAUUAAAAUCAAAAAAAAAUUAAAAAGGCCAAGAUAUGUAAAAUACAAUUAUUUAGGUUCAAUGCUUAAAAUACAACUAUUUUUAUACCUCUUCUUCCAAUAAUCCAAUGUAACCCUUUCUUGAUGUCCGGUGAGGAUAUUUUCGAUUACUCACCCUCAGCUUUUGUUUUUCACUAAAAGACUUCAAAUAUUUUAAAUAAUAUUAGAAUACUAUUUUUCAGAAUAUAAAAAGACAUUUAUAUCACAAUAAAGCAGAACAUAAAAUAUAUUUCAUACCAGAAAUUUCGAGGUAGUCCUCUCAGCAACAAAAUUUUUCCAAGCCUCCUUUCCAACAAAAGCAUACUUCUUUGGAGGCUUUCGUAAUUUCUUCUUCUGCCCAAGAUACGGCCUCACAUAAUCUCUUGUUAAAUUUGCUUUAAAAUUCCUCCACUUUGCUCCUGCAGACCUGAUCAACCCCUUCUCAAGUUGCUUAGGAACUUUAAAUGUCUCCUGCAACCAAUGUUAAUUGACAAAAUUUACAAAAUUAUACUCUAAAUGAGUAGAAGAAAAUGCAAAAUUUACAAAAUGCAUAGGAGAUUACUUAUUUUUAUACCUUCACAUCAAUCCAUAUUUUCUCCUUUAGUUCAUCAGGUACCUUUGACCAGUUAGGAUAAUCAAUCGGAAUCAUUGUCCUAGCCAACAUUCCAGUGUAGGAUUGUAGACUGUGCCUUGCAUCCCCUGUAGGAACUCCAUGUGCAUUACAUGAAACCUUUGUUUUCUUGCCCUGCGCCUUCCUCACCACCACUUUAUACAUAGCAGAAACCCCUCGGGCACCCCCACGCUUUUUCUUUGCUGUUUCAGAUGUUGUAACUGUUGCAUCCGUUUCCUCCACAGAAUUCACAUUUUCUCCCUGAGGUUCUGUUGUCAGCUCCAACCUUUUAUCUGAUGCCUCAUCCGACUUUUUGGAGUCUUCAUGGAAUUGUACUUUGGUUUUUUGCUUUUUAUUUGCCAUUUAUCUUCUUCAAUCUGAAAAUGAAACAUAUAUAAUCCAUUAGUCACAGGCAUAUAUACGAGCAAUUACAGGAUAAGCAGUUAUAAAGUUACAUAAGCCUACAUAAGCCGUUACAAAAUUGUAAAAAUGCAUAACUAAACAUUUACACAGAGUGAAAAUUACAGGAGUCUAAUUACACAGAGUAAAUUACAAAGUUGCAUCACAUAUAUUACAUGACUUGAAAUAAUGUUAUCACAGAGUAAAUUACAAAGUCUCAUCACAAAAUUAACUAUUACAUGACUUGAAAUAAUGUUAUCACUUCUUAACCCAAGUGCCCUUAAUAUUUUCUCUAAUACUUUUCUCAACAUCAUCACCGACAUCACAUGUAGGAAUUUGGCAGCAGAAUGGAGGAUUUUCCAUGGUUGUGUCUCCUAAAUCAUCAUCGUUAUACACCUCUUGGUAGUCUCGAGUUGUAGAGGUUAAUACGACGGACCACUUGGCAUCCACCGGAUCUUCAAUAUAAUAAACUUGCUUUACUUGAUCUAUAGACACGUAUUUAUCUCUCUUGUGGCCUUGUCGACUUAGAUCGACAAGUGUGAACCCAAGAUCAUCCACCUUAAUUCCCUUGUCAUUGUCCGCCCAAUUACAUAAAAACAGUGGGGCUUUGAAUGCAUGAUAAUCCAGCUCCCAUAUAUCUAGGAUAACACCAUAAAAUGUCAAGUCACUUUCUACGGGGUUUAAAUCUUUAGCGCUAGACACUUGGACAGUUUUAGCAACUAAAGACACUCCGCUGUUUUGAACUACCCUCACAUUGUCUCGCUGUUUUGUAAAGUAUCGGACCCCGUCUACUAGAUAAGCUUCGUAAGUCAUAACUGAAAAUGAUGGUUUUCCAGCUAUCCAUCUUACUGUCUCUGAAACUCCUCCAGGAUUCUCCACCAUUUCACUACUGACCUACACAUUUCAUAAACAGAAAUUAUCCUAAAUUACUAUAGAGAAAAUAAAUUAGGCACAAAUGAAACUAUAAAAAUACUAACUUUUUCUAGAAACCAAUCAGCAAAACUGUUAUUGUGCUCUCUCAAGAGCCAAUGAACGCUUUUCUUUUUCCCACGAUGGAUUUCCUCUAGAUACUCCUUAUGCAUUCUGCCAAAAAUUAUAUAUUCAUUAAAGAAGUAGUUUAUACAGAAUGUAUAUAUUAAUUGAACAGCCACAAAAUUAAAAAAAUCUUACAAGAUAUAUGGCUGUACUUCAAGGUUGUUUAGAAGAACGUGUAAAUGAGCUUCAUCCCUCUCUUUUUCUUCGAUUGAUUUCAUUACCGCAACAGAUAAUGGACCACUUAACUUGCCUUCAUCUUUGCGAAGACCAGCAGUGGUGCAAGUUUGCUUGACAAACUCUUGGCAGAAUUCAAUCGAUUCUUCUCCAAGAUAACAUUCUGCUAUACAACCUUCGGGGUAGUAACGAUUGCGUACGUAACUCUUCAACACCUUAUUAAACCUCUCAAAUGCAUACAUCCAUCUAUAGAAGACUGGCCCACAUAACCGUAAUUCCCGAACCAAGUGCACUAUGAGAUGUAUCAUUACAUCAAAAAAUGAUGCAGGAAAAAUUUUUUCUAGCUCGCACAAAGUUACUAUUACAUCUGAUUGCAAUUUAUCUAGUUUAGAUACGUCGACAACUUUGCUGCAUAAAGCAUUAAAGAAGAAACACAAUCUAAUUAUUGUGACCCUGACUUUUUUUGGAAGUACCGCGCGAAUUGCAAUAGGAAGUAAUUGUUGAAGUAGGAUGUGGCAAUCGUGGGACUUCAACCCAAACAUUUUUAAUUCUUCCAUGGAAACACAGUUUUUAAUGUUUGACGCGUGUCCAUAAGGAAGUUUCAUGUGCAUUAACGAUGACAACAUCUUCUUCUUUUCUGCCUUGGACAAAUUAAAAAUCGAAGGAGGUAAAUAGGUCUUUCUUUCUCCUUUUUGUGGAGCUAGAUCAGCCCUAACCCCCAUGUCAAUCAUGUCAAGACGAGAAGCUUCACUAUCUUUAGACUUAUGUUUCAUAUUCAGUAGUGUGCCAAUCAAGCUAUCACACACGUUUUUCUCCACGUGCAUAACAUCUAGACAAUGACGGACAUGGUGAAAUUUCCAAUACUCUAACUCGAAGAAAAUUGACUUUUUCUUCCAUGGACAGUCAACCUUCUUUGACUUCCUUACUUCUUUCCCAAACUGAAAUUCAAUUUUUUCUUGCUGCAAUAAAACCUCUUCUCCCGAAAGAGGUUGACGUGCCUGCCCUAAUUCUUGUUGUCCAUUAAAAGCAGCUUUUUGCUUCCUAUAUGGAUGAUUUCUAGCCAAGUAACGUCGAUGACCUUGGUAACACAUCUUCCUACUAUGGCUUAAAUACUUUGCAACAGUAUCAUCACCACAUAUUGGACAAGACAUAUAACCUUUAUUAACACAUCCGGACAGAUUUCCAUAUGCGGGAAAGUCGUUUAUUGUCCACAAUAAAAUUGCUUUUAAAGUGAAAUACGACUUAGUGUGUGCAUCAUAGACAUUUGGUUCACCUUCCUCCCACAACUUCUUUAAAUCAUCGAUUAGAGGCUGUAAAUAUACAUCAAGGUCAUUACCAGGCUCAUGAGGACCGGGAACUAAAACUGUUAGCAUCAUAAACUUCCUCUUCAUGCAUAACCACGGAGGAAGAUUAUAAGUCACUAGUACUACUGGCCAACAAGUGUAUCUAUUGGUUAGACCGUUAUUAUGCGGGUUUAUACCAUCUGCAGACAACGCCAAGCGAAUAUUUCUUGCCUCACUACCGAAGGCAGGCCACCUAUAGUCGAUAUUUCUCCAAGAAGGAGAGUCGGCUGGAUGCCGCAUCUUUCCAUCUUCUAUUCGCUGCUUUGCGUGCCAGGUAAUCAGUUCAGAUGUAGAAGGAGAUUUAAACAUUCGCUUCAAUCUCGGAAUAAUUGGAAAAUACCACAUUAUUUUAGCAGGAACAUUAAUCCUUACUUUACCAUCCUUUCCUAACUUCCAGCGAGAUAGACUACACUUAGGACACUUAGAAGCAUCAACAUAUACCCCCCGAUAUAGUAUGCAAUCGUUUGGACAUGAGUGGUACUUUAUGUAUUCUAGGCCUAAGUUGGAUAAUGUUUUCUUGGCUUCAUAUGCAUUAGGUGGCAUCACAUUUUCCUUAGGAAGGAGAGAGCCAACAGUAGACAAUAAAUCUGUAAAGGCGCUAUCACUAAUUCCAAACCUUGCUUUCCAAUUAUGCAGUUUUAGCAUCGACUCCAAUUUGGUACAUUCACUACCCUCAUACAAAGGCUGUUGAGCAUCAGCCACAAAUCUCCUAAACUGAUACGACUCAUUAUUGUACUCACUCGAAUUAUACGCAGCAUCACAAACAUUGACUGUUUGUGAUGCAUGACCAGGGGAAUGCAUCGAUGCAGGGUCAAGCGUAGGUGCAGGGCUAGGGGCAUUGUCAUGAACUGUUGAUCCAGUGAUUCCACACCCUUGUGUGUGCCAAAUCCAAUCAAGGUAUCCCAAACUAAAACCGUAUUCAUAUAAAUGUCCCCUAAUAAUCUUAACUGCAAAUUUUUUAAAGUUAACACAUCUUUUGCAGGGGCAUGGGAUUUUUUUAGUAUCACUAGCAUUUUCCUCGGCAAAUAUUAAAAACUCUUCAACCCCGAUUUCAUAGUCAAGUGUAUCCCUAUCUUUGAAAAUCCAAGACUUGUCCAUGUUAUUCUCAAACUACCUGAUUGUCAAAUAUGAUAUCAAAUUACAUGGUAACAAAGAUCCAAACACAAUAUACAAUUACAUUUACAAACUAAACAAACACAAAUAUAUUUACACAGCUGUGCAUAAAACAUAAAAAACAAAUCCCAAGCUCUAAACAUAUAUAACACAGUACAUAAAAAAGAAACCCCAAGCUCCAAACAUAUAUAAAACAUAUAUACAACUACACGUUUAAUUUUCACAUGCAUACAUAUAACUACAAAAAGUUAUACUUGCAACCGAAACAUUUAUAUAAAUAUAAAGAAGAAUAUAGAAGAAUAUAUAUACCUAAAACCCAGCAGCUUCGAAACCCAGCACCUCCAAAAUCCAGCAGCUAUCCAGCAGCUUCGAAAACCCAGCAACUACCCUAAUCUCCAAGCUUCAAAUCUCCAAGCUUCAAAGAACCCUAAUCUCCAAGCUCCACUCGACCCUAAGCUUGAAGAUCGAACCUUAAGCUUGAACACAGCAGCUUCGAAUCGCGCACAAAUCGCACCUAGGGUUUAGAAGAGAGGGAAUCAGUUAAUAGAACAUUUGAAAGGGGGUUUAGAAGAGAGGGAAUCAGUUAUUAAACCAAGAACGAGGAUUGAAGGACUGAAGGAUUGAAGAAAAUCGCAUACCUAGGUUUAGCUGUCGAGAGAAAGGGGGAAGAGCUGCUGUCUGAAAGAAAUAUGUAUAUAUGUCCCGAUUGUUUUCUUUUGAAUGCUUUUGUUUUAAUUUUGAUUUAUUUUUAAUGUUUUUUUAUUGUUUUAUACUGAGGCGGGAGUGAAUGAUAUGUUAAAGGGGGGGAAAACAGUAGGGGGAACUAAUUAAAAAAUUGACUAAGGGCGGGGGAGCGGAGGGCGCGGGCUUUAAUAUUUUUAAAAUUGAGAUUAGACAUCGCUUAAUAAACAAUGUGAUGUGAAAAAAUUUUAAAGUGAGAGCUUAGACAUCACUUAUGUUAAGGACUGAUGUAAAGAUACCAGAAAGACAUCACAUAUAAAACGAGCGAUGUAAAAAAGGCAUUUUACAUCGGUGACACUUCCGACUGAUGUCUAAUGUGCGAUGUCUAUUGACGAAUUUCUAGUAGUCUCCAAAGGAUAUUUAUCUUUCCAUCAUGAUGCAGCAGUCUCCUUAACUGUGAAGGGAACGGAGUAUGAGGUAGCAAAGAACCUUCAUAUUUACACAGCCAUUGAUCUGUCGGGCACCUAAUUUCAGGGUCGAAUUCCAAACGUCACUGGAGAGCUUAGAUGGCUUGCAUUGCUCAAUUUAUCGCAUAAUAGUUUAACAGGACCUAUCCCAUCAUUGCUGAGAAAUAUGAAAGAACUCCAAUCUUUAGAUUUGUCCUCAAAUCGACUGACAGGGGCUAUUCCACCUCAGCUAACUGCAUUGACAUUUCUAGAGGUCUUGAACCUCUCGAAAAACCAUCUUAGUGGAGAGAUUCCUCAGAAAGGACAGUUCAGCACAUUCAACAAUGAUUCUUAUCUAGGAAACUCCGCGUUAUGUGGAUCACCUUUGACGAAGAAAUGUGCAAACACAGCAUCACCUCCACAAGAAGUCGGAAAUGGUGAUGAAGAUGAUGCUGGAGAUGAAUUGACAUGGGAAGCAAUCGUGAUGGGAUAUGGAUGUGGACUGAUAUGUGGAUUGUCAUCUGCGUACAUUGUUCUCAAACUAGGAAAGCCUUGGUGGUUUGUGAGAUAUAUCGAAGUACUGCAACUGAAGUUGAUGAAAAGAUAUGCAUGAAGAAUGGUACUGCACUACAACAAAAACAGCAUCACACAACGGUUUUUGCCCGUUGUCUGAUACCCAAGAAAACCGUGGUCUAUUGCGAUGCCGUCUGAUACGCGCCUCAGACAACGUUUUAUUAGUUAAAGGCUUGUCUAUAAGGCCAUGCUACGAUGGUAACAAAAACACUUGUAUGUUAGCUUCCUGGUCACACAACACUGUAUGGAACCCUUGUUUAAACGGCUCGUAAACAACACAACAAAUAAAACACUUGUCUAAUUACAACAACGGUUUCUUGAAAUAUUGUCUGAAGUUUCUUCACACAUCGGCUCUAAAAACAGUUGUCUAACGUGCAUCAUUACACAAUAUCACAGUUAAGAUACCGUUGUCUGAUUGAAUUUACUAGACAACACUUUUUAAACCGUUGUAGGUUGUAGGUGUUGGACAAUAGUUUUUCGAGGACGAAAAUAAAGUGUUGUGUCUUUGUUUCGGCCAACACUUUUUCCAGCGUCCGUUGUCUGACUAGUGUCGUGUGAUGCCAGUUUUGUUGUAGUGCUGGUUGAUCCAGACGAACUAGAAAGUUGUUGUCCUGGUAGACAUUUCUGAACCAUUUGUGUCCUGGCUGAAUAAGUAUUUGGUAUUAUGUAAUAAUCCGUUUGGUUGGGACUCAAAAUGAUUUCUCUUGCUUCAGGGGUAUUAAUAUUAACCUUCCUAUCUUGAUCAAUGUUAAAUCAAAUUAAAUGAAUGAAAAAACAAAAAGUAUGCAUCAAAUCCGCUCCUGCUGUACCUAACAAUUUAACAGCACCCUUCCACACUGUUCAUACCUAAUUUGCGUGUAAUAUGAAAACUAAGAGGCAUGGCUUUUGUCUUUGAGAGAACUUAUUCCAAGUCUUCUUCGGAGGCCUACUGCCUCAACAACCUUUCAAAGACUAUGCAAUAAUCCACGUGACAGAAAAACCAAAGUCCAAUUAGUAUUAUAAGUUCAUAAAAAAUACUAUAGGAUCAUUAGCAUUAGCAUUACAUUAGCAUACAGCAUAUAUAUAAAUAGAAGAAUGCAGUGUGGUAUUGGAUUCAUAAUCCAAUUGAGCAGAAACAUGGCACACUUUGUAAAGCCUUAUGACCUUCUUCUCUGUGUUUUCUUUCUCUCAUCACUUGAAUCCAUUCUUGCAACAAGACGAGAAGGAGAAGCUCUUGUGAAAUGGAAGAACAGCCUAGCCCCGUCUUCUUCUCUUGAUUCUUGGUCACUCACUCAUCUCGAUAAUCUUUGUAACUGGACUGGCAUUACUUGUAACUCUGCAGGUUCAGUCUCUGACAUUAACCUUUUCAACAAACAACUCACUGGAAAGCUUUUCGAGUUUGGUUUCACUUCAUUUCCGAAUCUCAACAAUCUCACCCUCGCAGAUAACUUCUUCUCUGGUCCAAUACCAUCAGCCAUUGGGAAUUUAACACAGCUUCAAUAUCUUGAUUUGAGCAAUAAUUAUCUCAAUGGUUCCAUUCCGUACCAGGUUAGCCAUCUUUCAAAAUUACACGUCUUAAACCUGUCAGAGAAUGAACUGCAAGCUCCAAAUUGGUCCAAUUUCUCCCCCAUGCCUUAUUUGACCAUCCUCGACCUUUAUCAGAAUAAUCUUAUGUUGGAAUUUCCAGAAUUUAUAUCUAACUCGCGUAACCUGACAUACCUUGACCUUUCAUAUAACAAGUUCACAGGCGAUCUUGUGCGCGAAUCAGUAUUAGCCAAUCCAGGUGAUCUCGAAACCCUCUAUCUUAAUGAAAAUUCUUUUGGGGGGCCAUUUCCACCAGACAUAUUCAAACUUUCCAAGUUGAGAGUUCUUGCCCUGUUCAAUAAUCUUUUUGAGGGGCCGCUUCCGUCAAAUAUAUUCAAGCUCUCUAAACUAAGAUUCCUUUUACUUUGGAGUAAUAAUUUUUCAGGUACUCUUUCGAAUGAAAUAGGUUUGCUUUCUGAGCUUGAAGACCUAGAUCUUCACUCCAAUUUUUUUGUGGGGCCGCUUCCGCCAAAUAUAUUCAAGCUCUCUAAACUAAGAACCCUUUUCCUCUUGGGUAAUAACUUCUCAGGUUCUAUUUCCAACGACAUAGGUUUGCUUUCUGAGCUUGAACACCUAUAUCUCGACUCCAAUUCUUUUGAGGGACCUUUUCCAACAAAUAUUUUCAAGCUUUCCAAAUUAAUACAACUUGGUCUCGCAAACAAUACAAAUUUAUUUGAAGGAAGUAUUCCUCCAGGACUGGGGCUCUUGACUAACCUAGAGGACUUGUCUCUUGCUUACAAUAAUCUUGGUGGCUAUAUUCCGUCUUCCUUUGGAAACCUAACACUACUAGUAUAUCUUAAUCUCGCUCGUAAUCAAUUGGUUGGAACACUAUCAAAGACCAUUUCUAAUCUCACAAAUCUAUGGUUUCUUGAUGUACAUCAUAAUAGUCUCUCUGGGAAUAUUCAGAGUGACUUCUGGAAAAACUCUACAUCACUGCGUUACAUUAAUUUGGCAGACAAUAAUUUUUCUGGGAACAUUCCUAAGGAAUAUAAUGUUCUUCCAAUCCUGGAUCACAUCAAUUUUAGGGGGAACAAUUUUACAGGUAUUUUUCUUUCCAUAUUUUUUCCUUCUGUUGUAUUCAAUUAUGCUAGAAACUACAGCCUCUGUUUUUUCAAAUACAUAUCGUUUAACUUUUUGGCACAAAACUUUAUAAUAAUUCUAACUAAAAGGUCAAUGAACUCAAAAAUGUGUGUCAAAAAGUCAAACGUCAUUUAUCUGAAAUCAGAGGGAGUAUAUAUUACUGUUUUACCAAAGUUUCAACAAUCAUGACAGGUGAGCUUCCACCAACAAUUUGCGAUGCCACUUCCCUUUCGAUUCUUGAUCUGUCAAAUAAUGGAUUUAGUGGUGCAGUUCCACAUUGUUUGGGGAAUCUUGCGGAUAAAUUGAUUUCGAUUAAUCUUGCUAAUAAUCAGUUUCAAGGACCAAUACCAACAAAUUUCUCCGAGAGUUGUCGUCUGACGUAUCUUAACAUCUAUAACAAUCACUUCAAAGGUUUGGUUCCCCAAUCUUUGGCAAACUGUAAGCACUUGCAAAUUCUUGAUUUUGGAAAAAAUGAAAUAGGUGGAACACUUCCGUCAUGGUUUUUUACUCUUGGAGAGCUAGAAGUCCUGAUCCUGCGAUCAAACAGAUUUUUCGGGAGAAUAACUAGAAGGAGCAUACCACGCCCCUUUCCCAAGUUGCGGAUUUUGGAUCUAUCCAACAAUCAGUUCACCGGCUAUCUGCCAAUUUUAUACUUCAAGAAUAUGAAACCAAAUGAUAAUAAUUAUGAUUAUUUCAACAACACAAACGAAGCCUAUUACGUUUAUCAAGUUUCUAUCACAUUAAAUGUGAAAGGAAGCGAGCAUGAAGUGACAAAUAUUCUUCAUAUUUACACGGCCAUUGAUCUGUCGUGCAACAAAUUUGAAGGAAAAGUUCCAGACAUUACCGGAGAGCUUAGAUGGCUUGCAUUGCUAAAUUUAUCUCAUAAUAGUCUUUCGGGGCCUAUUCCAUCACAACUGGGAAAAAUGAAAGAGCUCCAGUCUCUAGAUUUGUCGUCAAAUCAAUUGACAGGUGUUAUUCCGGAUCAACUUACUAGUAUGACAUUUCUUGCUAGUUUGAACCUCUCAGAAAACCAUCUUUCUGGGAAAAUCCCUCGGAAAGGACAGUUCAGCACUUUUGGCGAAGAAUCUUACUUAGGUAAAUCGGCCUUGUGUGGAGUUCCUUUGACAAAGAACUGUAUAGACGAUGUGCCACCUUCACAAGUUGGAAAUGGCAAUGAUGAAAAUGUUGAUGAAGAUGAUACCGUUGAUGAAUUCAAUUGGAAAGUGAUCCUGAUGGGAUAUGCAUGUGGAUUAAUAGGCGGAUUGUCUGCAGGAUACAUUGUCUUCACAGUCGGAAAGCCUUGGUGGUUUUUGAGAUACAUUGAGACACUGCAGCAGAAGUUGAUCUGAUGCGCAACUAGAAACAACGUUAUAAUCUUAGAAUGACUUGUGUCUUUAAACAGAGUUAGGAACUUAGGAUGACUUGUGGUGCUAUAUUUUUUUUUUGAAAAAAAAAAACAUAUUUUUGUAAUUUUUUAGAUACAGAUGUUAAGAAGGUGUUGUAUAUUCAUUUUUUACCCAAAAAAAAAAAGAGGGCUUAUUUCAUGAAAAUUAGAGUUUUAUGUAUUUUCUCCAGAAAUUAGUCCUUAUUUCUGAAAAUAAGGUUAGUCAAAACGGUCACUACACGAUUGGUAGCCUUUCAGUUCUUCCUAGUGUCCACUACAGUUUCAUUCCUUACCAGUUAUUUUAUGCUCUGCACUGCAUUAUGCAGCUUUCAUAUUACUGACAGCUAAUCUCCUUCCAACACUUUGCGAUGCGAAGCAGGGACGCAUAAGUAUUUUUAUAUGUGUAUUAGUUUUGAAGAUUAAAGUUGCAUGGACAAUUGUGUUGAUAAUUUGAGCAAUGUUAACCGGGAUAGGUCUUCUUCUCUCUCCCAAGUCUUCUGAGGACUCAUCGGCUCAGAUUAGUCUAUCCAAAAAUUAUGAUCUGACGGCUAUUGGCACACUAACGAUUUACAUAUCACUUGAAUAUUACUGGAUACCCGCAUCUUGUUUUAAAUGGCGUAUAUCGGCUAAUAGUUCAACGAUGGUGACAAAUCCCGGUGAUCCAAAUAAUUGAUUGUCGCAAAAUUUUCCGCUUACAUCCAACUAACACGUAUUAGGAAAAAAAAUUAUAUAAUUAAACACGCUCAUGUAUCUAUAUCUUUUACAAGAUUGUAAGUCCCCAAUUCUAUGUGAUAUUAGCUAUAUGUGACUAGAAGGUUUAGAAAUACUAGAUUAUCAAGAUUUCUUUUUAUUCUAGCUAGUGUUGAGUUAUAUUUAUUUUCUUCAAACAAUCAAUACUUAUUUUUUAUUAAUAUGUGAAACUCCAAUAUAUAUUAUUAUACGAUAUAUUAUGAAAACACUAUAUUUUGUAAUGUUCAUCUUAUCCUACCAGCAAAAUUACAUCGCUAACAAAAUUAUAUCAAUUUUAUUUUAUAAACUCAAAUAAUUUAAUUUAUGAAACAACUCUAUGAGAUUCUUAUCAUGAGUUAGAAUUCAAAUAAAUAAAGAGUUCAUAUUGAUAAGUGGAAUUGAUGUGCAAGUAAGGGGUAUAAAAAAAUCUCAAAAUAACUCCAAAAAGCACAUGACAUGUUUGAUUUAAUAGAACUGGUACAUAAACAGGGGGACCAUUAUAUUUAUAAGCAAGUGACCAACAAUAGUUUACUACUGAUAUUUUGUGAUAUUUUUUGUGAUAUUUUUUGAGACCUUUAACAUUAUUCUGUGAAGUGGUAUACUACUGUUACUAGUUCUGAAACUUCAAACAAAGUAGGCGCAACAUUGUAAGAGUGAUUAAUAAAGUUGAGAAACAGUGUGUACAUUGAGCAGUAUGACAAUCAGGUUCAGCAUAUAAUACAAUCAGAUUCACAAUCAGGUUCACGAGAAACAUGCUGCAUUCCAAAAAGCCUUAUUAUCUUCUUCACUAAAUAACAAGGCAAAUACAGCAUAUAAAUACAAGUUAUAAGUACAAGUGUGGUAUUAGAUUCAUAACCCAGUUGAGGAGAAACAUGGCACACUUUGUAAGGCCUUCUCACCUUCUUCUCUUUGUUUUCUUUCUCUCAUCACUAGAAUCCAUUCUUGCAACAAGACGAGAGGGGGAAGCUCUUGUGAAGUGGAAGAAUAGCCUAGCCCCUUCUUCUUUUCUCCACUCUUGGUCACUCUCCAAUCUCGAAAAUCUUUGCAACUGGACUGGCAUUACUUGUAACUCUGCAGGUUCAGUCUCUGAGAUUGACCUUUGUGAGAAACAACUUGAUGGAAUGCUGUCCGAGUUUGGUCUCACUUCAUUUCCAAAUCUCAACAAUCUCACCCUCGCAGACAACUUCUUCUCAGGUCCAAUACCACCAGCCAUUGAGAAUUUAACACAGCUUCAAUAUCUUGAUUUAAGCAUGAAAAGUCUUAAUGGUCCCAUUCCGUUCCAGGUUAGCCAUCGUCAGAGCUUGCUCAUCUUAGACCUGUCACAGAAUGCAUUGCAAGCUUCAAAUUGGUCCAAUUUCUCUCCCAUGCCUCAGUUGCGCUUCCUCAAGCUCAGUAGCAAUCAUCUUGUGUCGAAAUUCCCAAAUUUUAUAUCCAGUUCUCAUAGCCUGACUUACCUCAACCUCUCAUAUAACAUUGGAAACCUCAAAAAAUAUAUAUUUAUAUAUUUAUAAUUAAAAAAUUGAAUUACUUAAUAUAUUAAAAAAUUGAAUAAAAUUUUAUAUAUUUUAUUAAAAAAUUGAAUAAAAAUUGAAUAAAAUUGAAUAAAAUUGAAGUACACGAAAAGGUACACGACACGAAAUACACGACUGAGAAGUCGUGUCGGUUUUGUGUUUACCCUUCGGGUACACGACACGAGGUACACGAAAUAAAUAAAUAAAUAUAUAUAUAUAUAUUUACCCUUCGGAUUAAGAGUUGGUCGCGGACAAAUUCAAAGUUUCCCAAUUAUCCUUUAUUUUAUGUAACUUUGCUUAUGUUUAAGCCUAAAUUUGGACAAUAUUUGUAAAAUAUUAAUAUUUCGUGUACUAAUUCGUUACCAGUUUCGUGUAUUUUUUCGUGUAUAUUUCGUGUUUUCGUGUUUUCAUGUACUAUUUCGUAUCGUGUCGUUUUCGUGUACAUGAAAAAAUUCGUGUACUACAGUUCGUGUCGUUUUUACCUGUUUCUAAAUCGUGUCGUGUUCGUGUUUACAAUCGUGUACACGAAUUGAAUUCGUGUCGUGUUCGUGUAUACCCACCAGAUACACGAAACACGAAAGUACACGACACGUUUAUACACGACACGAACGAUUUGCCAGGUCUANGAAACACGAAAGUACACGACACGUUUAUACAUGACACGAACGAUUUGCCAGGUCUAUUCAAACCUAGCAAGUAACCAAGAGGGGGCAAACUCCACCAGAGACAAAUCAAAGACCAUACCUGAGUAUUGCCAACAUAACAUUACAAACUGGCAGGUGAAAAAUAUGUGAAUAAGGUCUUCGUCACCAGAGUUACACAUGGGACAGUCAAGAGAAAGAUUUACUCCCUUAGAUUGUAAUCGACUUUUCACAGGCACAUUAUUCCUGCAAAAACGCCAUAAAAACACUUUGAUCUUAAGAGGAACCUCCAACUGCCAGAGUUUCUUCCACCCACUAGAUUGUGUAACAGUGCCAGUGCCAAUAUUUUGGGCAUGCCAAAACUGGUAACCUGUUUUCACAGAAUUUUGGCCGUUAGUAGUCUUUGACCAAGCUAGAUGAUCCACGGUCGACCUAUAGGGAACAGAAGUUUUUAAAAAUUAUGUAAUUCAUUCAAUUCCGUAUCAGACAAUACAUCUUAUCAUCGGUGAUAAUGGAAAUAGUGUAGAUGUUUGACCUAGUCCAUGUUUGACAACCAAUAUAAUAAGAAAUAAAUUCUUAUUUUUCUAAAAAAUAUAUUUUUGUAUAUAAAUGUUAAAGAGAUAUUUCUUAUUUGUUGUUUGAAAAAAGUAAAGACUUAUUUCAGAAUAAAUAAAAAUUAUUGUACAUUCUCUUUAUUUUUAAAAAUAAGUUUGGUCAAAUCGCCCAUAAUUCUCGUAAUUCAAAAGCCCAUUAUUUUUUUUUUUCUUGCUAAUUGAUCAGCACACGCACACGUUUCCAACUUCCCGCAAAGGGUACCGGAGUACCACCACACCGACGCUUUGUUGGGCCCAAUAAUUGGCUGAAGUUGAACGGGGCUUUCUGCCUCCGCUGGACCCCAGUUGGGAGGACUCUUUCCAAGUCUUUCGGAGACUCUUUCCCAUUGACUCCAACUUUCCAGGGUGUAUACAAAUUUUUUGAAAGAGGGUGUAUACAAAUUAUUCACGGCCAUCAAAUUAACCAGCGUAGCUGGUGAACAAAUAUUAUUGUUUAUUAUAAUUUUAUUUAAUUUAAAUGUGAUUAUAAAGAACAUAAGAGGACGUUUGAAAGUGUGGGUCUUAUUUCAAACAGUAGAUUUCAAAAAAUAUGAUUUCAAUUGUUAUUUAAAAUUCUUAAAUUUAUAUUAUAUUAAAAUGUUCUUAUCUAUACUAUACUAUUAAAACCGAAACAUUAAAAGUUUGGUCGGUCGGUACUUGGGCCGAUAUAUGGGCCUAUCUAUAUAACUAAUUAUUUUUUUUUAAUUUUGGGCCGAAAUACAGGCCUGUCUAUAUAAUCAAUUAUUCUUUUUAACUAAAAUAUGUUAUCUUUUUUACUAUUAAAGCCAAAACAUUAAAAAUUUGAUCGGUCGGUACUUGGGCCGAAAUAUGAGCGUAUCUAUAUAACUAAUUAUUUUUAUUUUUUUUUAUUUUUGGCCGAAAUACAGGCCUAUCUAUAAAAUCAAUUAUUCUUUUUAACUAAAAUAUGUUAAUUUUUUUUACUAUUAAAGCCGAAAUAUUGAAAGUUUGGUCGGUCGGUACUUGGGCUUCUAGGCCGAAAUAUAGGCCUAUCUAUAUCAUCAAUUAUUCUUUUAAACUAAAAUAUGUUAUCUUUUUUACUAUUAAAAUCGAAACAUUGAAAGUUUGAUCGGUCGGUACUUGAGUCGAAAUACGGGCCUAUCUAUAUAACUACUUAUUAUUUUUAACUUGGGCCGAAAUACAGGCCAAUCUAUGUAAUCAAUUACGCGGUAUUCUUUUUAACUAAAAUAUGUUAUUUUUUUAACUAUUAAAGUUGAAAUAUUGAAAGUUUAGUCGCUCGAUACUUGAGCCGAAAUACGGAUCUAUCUAAAUAACUAAUUAAUUUUUUUUAACUUUGGAUGGAAAUACAGCCCUAUCUAUAUAAACAAAUAUCUUUUUAACUAAAAUAUGUUAUCUUCUUUAUACUUUCUAACUAAAAACUCAAUCUUCUAAAUGAACAUGGAAGAAUAUAGUAAUUAUCUUUUUAACUAAAACAAAUUAUCGUCUAUUAAAUCAAAUUAUAACAAACUAUCCAUAAACAUCCUUAAUUUAUAACAAAUUAUUAAAUAUUUUUUAUCAUCUACUAAAUCAAAACAUUAAAAAUUAGAUUACCAUUAUGGAUCAGUAUUUGAAUUACGCUUCUCUUUAACUUAUAAUAUGUUUUAUACUAUAUUAUUAACUAUUAAUAACUAAAUAUUAAAACGCUGAUUGGGUUGUUUCUAUCUGGGUUUACGGGUCUCCUCAAAUUAUAAUCCCUCCGUUCUUAAAUAUCUGCCUUUUGACUUUUUGGCACGCAUGUUAAAGUGUUUUGAAUUUAUAGUAAAAAUAUUAUUUUUAAAUUUCUUUUUCUGAAUAAAAAUUUUAUAUCAAUACUUUUAUUCAUAAAAAGAAAUAUUUGAAAAUAACAUUUCUAGCUAUGUGGUCAAAAUAUCUUAAAAUGUGUGCGAAAAAGUCAAAAGGCAUAUAUUCAAGAACGGAGGGAGUAACAUGUAAAAAAAAUUAUUUUAACAUUAUCAUUAAAAAAUUAUAUAUUUGACCUAAUUAUAAAUUAACUAUUUGAAGGAAUAAACUAUUAAGAAUUUAUUUAGCUGCUAAAUAAAAGUUUUUUUAAUAACAUUAUUCUAUCACAAUUUUACUUUCAAUAAAAUUCGUUAAAUCUAAAAUAUAUGCGAUGAAAUAACAAAUAUUAAAACCGCCCGUGCAUUGCACGGGUUUUAAGCUAGUUCUAAUUAAUGAGUCACUAUUCGUAUUCUCAAGCAUGUUAGUUUGUUAAAAUUUAAAAUUUCAAAUGAAAUUAGGCUAAAAGACCAUAAUAUCAAAUCAAAAUCUCAUUAUCCAAUAUAUUGGUGGGCAAAAAUAUUAAACCUGGCUAUUCAUUAAUAUUGGUUCUUUAUUCAAAUUAUGUCAAAUUUAUAUAAAAUUUCGAAAAUUAUUUAUGAAUAAGAGUCGGCAUUCAUAUAUUUAUUAAGGAUACAAGUGAGAAAAUGUUAUUAAAUUAAUAUUUUUUAAUAUACGUAAGUUUUUUAAAAUAAAUUUGUAGCGUGGGACGGGAGUAUUAGACUGAUUCUGGCUUGGAGUGAAUCAGCCCAUAAAGUUUACAGGGUAGAUGACCAUUCUUAAAUCUUAAAGAAUCUUACGGUGACAGCUAACUGAACGACUCGGUUUCAGAAGUGCUGAAAAGUUUCGACGUAAACUACAAUUUGCCUAGCAUGUAAUUUCCAUGCAUUUUCUCGUUACGAGUAGGUUUGUCCGGAAGUACAAUUCAAAAUAGAGUGCUGUUAAAAAAAAUUGAGUUACUUAUUCAAUAACUUUUUUGAUAUUUAUAUAUUUUUAAUUAUAAUAAAGAUACUAGUGAUUAUGGUUAGCUUUUGGAGUACUUUUGGAGUACUUGGAAAUUUUCUUUUCGAGAAAAACGAGAGUACCUAUUUCAAUUUUUUACCAAAAAUUAUAAUUGAAAACAACGGACUUUUAUACUUAUCAUAACAAUUUUUAACAUCUUGUUUAGAAAUAACCUGUUGUUGUAUUAUGCAAAAGUAAUAUCACUAGUUUCUAUAUCCGUAUUCUAAUGAUAAUAAAAACAUCUCUAAUUCAUUAAAACUCUUACAUAGAAAUUGAUAAAAAAAGAAGAUAUAAAAUAAUUUAUUAAAAAUAUAUCAAAGUUUUUGCACUCGGUUAUAAUUAUUGUGUAAUUUUUUUUUUCAAUUCCAAGAUAUUGUUAUAAGAAAAUUUUACAUCAUAUAUAUAUUACAAAAAAAAUUAAUGUAUUAUAUAUAUAUAGGGUCCUACUCUGGUACAAACCUUUUUAGCGUACAAACUACAAACCAAAAUUAAAAAGUCUCUAAAUCAAAUCAGAAUAUAGCACAUAUGGUAUGGAAAUUGAUCGUUGCGAGAUGAACAAAAAUAAUGAUUAUAAAGUUUGUAUUUGAGCCAUUAUAUAUAUACUUACAAUAAAAGUAAUAAUAUAUUAUAUUCUAAAUAUAGUUAACCACUGCAGUUGGUCGCUUAUAAAUAGAAGUGUGCAUUAUAGGAUGAAACGUACAUCAAGCUGAGGAGAAACAUGGUACACUCUGCAAAGCUAUAUCAUCUUCUUUUACUUGUUUUCUUUUCCUCCUUACUUCCAUCCAUUCUAUUGGCAACAAGACGAGAAGGAGAAGCUCUUGUGAAAUGGAAGAAUAGCCUAGCCCCGUCUUCUUUUCUUGAUUCUUGGUCACUCUCCGAUCUCGAUAAUCUUUGCAACUGGACUGGCAUUACUUGUAACUCUGCAAGUUCAGUGUCUCAGAUAAAUCUUUCCCAAAAACAGCUCGAUGGAACGCUGUCCGAAUUUGGUUUCACUUCAUUUCCGAAUCUCGAAAAUUUGACUAUAAGAGACAACAGCUUCUCCGGGCUAAUACCACCAGGCAUUGCGAAUUUAACACAGCUUCAAUACCUUGAUUUAAGCUACAAUUAUUUCAGUGGUUCCAUUCCGUACGAGGUUAGCCAUCUUCAGAGAUUACGUGUUUUAGACUUGUCGUAUAAUGAAAUGCAGGCUCCAAAGUGGUCUGACUUCUCUCCCAUGCCUUUUAUGAGCAUCCUCAACCUACGGGCCAAUCAUCUUGUGUCGAAAUUCCCAGAAUUUAUAUCCAAUUCUUUUAGCCUGACUUUCCUUGACCUUGGAGACAACAAGUUCACCGCUGAUCAUCUUGUGCUCGAAUCAGAAUUUACCAAUUUGCAAAAUCUUGAAACGCUGUUUCUUGAUGGUAAUUCUUUUGAGGGGACGUUUCCACCGAAUAUAUUCAGGCUUUCUAAAUUAAAAUACCUUUCCCUAUCUGCUAAUAAGUUUUCAGGUUCUGUGCCGGAUGACAUAGGGAUGCUUCGUGAUCUUGAAUCCCUUUAUCUUGGUAACAAUUCUUUCAAAGGGAUGCUUCCACAAAAUAUUUUCAGACUUCCCAAAUUACGGGAUCUUUCCCUCUGGGGUAACAAUUUUUCAGGUCUUAUUUCAGAUGAUAUAAGGAUGCUUUCUAACCUGGAAUCUCUUGAUCUUAAUGGUAAUUCUUUUCAGGGUCCGCUUCCACCAAAUUUCUUCAAGCUUUCCAAAUUAAGACAUCUCGCCCUCUCAAAUAAUAAAAGAGUAUUUAAAGGAAGUAUUCCUCUUGGGUUGGGGCUUUUGACUAACCUUGACUACUUAUGUCUUAAUUCCAAUUAUCUCACUGGCUACAUUCCAUCUGACAUUGGAAAUCUAAAGCUACUAGAACAUCUUGAUCUCAGUUUUAAUCAAUUGACCGGACCGCUCCCAAAGAUCAUUUCUAACCUCACUAAUCUAACGCGUCUUGGUCUGAAUGAUAAUUGGUUUUCCGGCAGUAUUCCAAGUGACUUCUUGGAAAACUCUACAUUAUUAUUUUACAUUGAUCUUUCAAACAAUGAUCUGUCUGGAAGCAUUCCUAAGGAAUUCAACGUUCAUCCGACAUUGGAUUAUAUCAAUUUAAGUGGAAACCGUUUUAGAGGUCUACUUCUCUCUUUAAAUUUUUAUGUUCGUUUUGUAUAUGCUAGUAACCUGAUUAUUACACUUUUACUGAAGCUUCAACAAUUCUAACUGCAGGCAAGCUUCCAGCAACGAUUUGCAAUGCUACAUCCCUUUCGACUCUUGUUCUGUCAAAUAAUGAAUUCAGCAAUGCACUUCCACAUUGUUUGGGGAAUCUUGCUGAUCAACUUCUUUCCAUUAAUCUUGCUAAUAAUUUGUUUCGAGGACCAAUACCAACAACUUUCUCUAAGAGUUGUCGGCUGACAUAUCUAAACAUGUACAACAAUCACUUUGAAGGGUUGUUGCCGCAAUCUCUGGCAAACUGUAAGCACCUACAAAUUCUUGAUAUUGGAAACAAUGAAAUAGGUGGUAAAUUCCCGUCAUGGCUGUUUACUCUUGGAGAGCUGGAAGUCCUAGUCUUGCGAUCAAAUAGAUUCCACGGUCCAGUCAAUGGAACAAGCUCAGCAAAUUUAUUCCCCAAGUUGCGGAUUGUUGAUCUCUCCAACAAUCAAUUUACAGGCGAUUUACCAAUUCAGUAUUUUAAGAAUAUGAAACCAACAGAUAACCACUAUAGUUAUUUUUAUACAGAAAGUGGUUUUUACUAUCAUCAAGCAUCGAUCUCAUUAACUGUGAAAGGAAGAGAGUAUGAAGUGAAAAAGAUCCUUCAUAUUUAUACAGCCAUAGAUGUGUCAUGCAACAAAUUUCAGGGAGAAAUUCCCGAGGUUAUUGGAGAACUUAAAUGGCUUGCAUUGCUCAAUCUAUCACAUAAUAGUCUUAUUGGACCUAUCCCAUCACAGCUCGGAAAUAUGGAAUCACUUUUAUCUCUAGAUUUGUCUUCAAAUCAUUUGACAGGGGGUAUUCCCGAUCAGUUGAUUAGGUUGACAUUUCUAGAGGUCUUGAACCUCUCGGAAAAUCAUCUGACAGGGCCUAUCCCCCAAAAAGGACAGUUCAGCACAUUCAACAAGGAUUCUUACCUAGGUAACUUUGCCUUGUGUGGAUUACCUUUAACUAAUAACUGUACACACACUGUGUCACCACCACAAGAAGGCGGAACUGGUGACAAUGAUGCCUAUGAUGAACCCGAUUGGGAAGUGAUCCUCAUGGGAUAUGGAUGUGGACUAAUAUGCGGAUUGUCCACAGGGUACGUUGUCUUCACAUUCAGAAAGCCUCAGUGGUUUAUGAGAUACACUGAAAGCGUGCAACAGAAGUUGAUGAGAUGAUGCAUGUUGAGUACCGUUCAAUCAUGAAGCACAACUGGAAACAAUGUUAUCUUAGGAAAACAUGUGUUCUGAACCAGUAGUGUUUGCACAAAAUUUGUGGUGCUAUGUAAUACUUAUAUAAUUGUACGUAUGAUUAUUGAUUAGUCGUUGAGAAAAUGCAUUUUAUUUCAGUGUCAAUGAUAAUCUACAUGUUUUGGAUACUUCCAGCUUCUCAUACUAAUAUAGGAACCACUUGAAAAAUUUUGGACAGGCUCUGAGGAUGCUAAUGCUGCUGUUUAGUUUCUACCGCGGAAUUGACUUUAGCAUAUACUCGUAUGACAUAUUACUAGAUAUAUGGUUGUUAAAUAAAAUUAUCUUUUUGUGGAAUAAAUAGGAAAGCAAAAUCAUAGAAUAAUGUAUGUUAUAUAGGAAGGUAUUGUCCUCUUAGAUAGGUAUCAUUUAUGCCUCAUUGGCAUGUCUCAGAAAACUUUUGGGUUAACACAAUGUUUACUUAGAGCAUUGCCAUUCCUUAAAUAUAAUAUAAAAUAUUGGAUCUUAGUGACUUAAGAUGAUAAUAGCUAUUCGCACCUCCAACAAUAUUCCUUAUAUUCAUUCCUUAUAUACUAUUUUAUUAUUAAAAGUUACCAUUAUUGCAAUAGGUGAAAAGAGAGAACAUGUUUGUAUUCAAAAUUUAUUGUAAAAUAAUAUUUAGGAGAGGAGAGAGGUUACCUAAAGAUAAGGCAUGGCUAGUUAUUUAGAGAAUCACUAGGAUACUGUUGGAGUGGAUUAUUUUCCCAUAUUACUCAUAUUUUGGUUUAAGAUUCCUAAUAGGGAAGCUGCUGGAGUUGCUCUUAGAGCAUCUCCAAGAGAUUCUUCAUUUAAGCUCCUAACUUGAGAUUUGAGUAGGGAGAGGAAAAAUGUUGCUCCAAGAGACUCUUAAGUGGCUCUUAAAUCACUAAGAGCCUCUUGUUUCUCUCUCCUCUCUCCUCAAAGUUAAGAGCCACCACAUUGCUCCUAACUUAUUUUUUCACAAUAAAAAAAUCUUUUCCUCCAAUUCAGCUCCAUCUUUCCAUCUCUUUUGUUAUAGUGGAGCCCAAUAUAUGAAUAAAAUAUGAAAUAGAGAAGAGAUGUAGAGAGUAUUGUUGGAGUUUACACUCUUAACUUUGUCUUAAAUUGCUAAGAGCUAUUUUUUUAUAUUAUAUUUAGGAGCCAAUAAGGAGGCUCUUGGAGAUGCUUUUAGUACUAAUUGUUAGAAUAUGAAAAUGCAGUUAUGAACUAUUAUGCUAGAGAGAGAAAAAUUCAACAAACUUCAUUUCUGUAAACUACAACUAUUAGUCUGUUACAUUGCUGAAAGCUACAUUUAUACAUUUACAGUUUACAACAAACUAUGAAACUGAUUUUCCCGCGUCCUCCUCACUUGUCCACGUGGCCUGACUGGCUUGGUGUCCUUGACACUCUUUAUUAUUGCUAAUAUAUACUUAACACUAAUACCUCAAAGCAGGGUAUAAAUUCAAUAGCACAGCUUCUGGAUAAUGGAAAUUUAGUUAUCCAGAGGUCUUGGUUUUACAUAUCACUUGUAUAUUAUGUCUCGGUCUCAUUGAAGCAUACCAAACGAGAUUUUGGGUUUGUUAAUAUUUUUUUAGUCCAAAUUUGAAUAAUACUGUUAUGCUUAUUCACACGGUAGACGUGUUUUUAUUAAAAUACUGCAACUGAAAUUGAUGAAAACAUGCACAAAGCAUAGCAGACGAAAGACUUGAGGAGAUAUUGUCUUAGGCGAUGCAAUACGUUCUAAUAUAAUGCUAUAUUAUGCAAUCUCGUUUAAUACUUUCAUCAUUAUUCUCCAAGAUGUCUGAACAUGUAUUUUCAAAGAAUUCUCAGUUCACCUUUAGUCUUAUAGCGACAUUUUGAAGGCACUCUCAACUUACACCCUAUAUAUACACGUACGGUUCACUUCAGUACAAAGAUUUUAUGAUACAACUCUCAUAUUAUGAACUAGUUCUGUCGAAUACAUGAAUAUUGAUCAAUCAUUUGAACUCGAGUUUCCCAGCUGGCCAGAUACCCAGAUUAUUAGCCAUGCAAAACAUGCAGAACCACUAGUAAUGCAGAAAAACAAUAUAUUAGUUUUCUCCGGUGUUACAGAAAUCAGGAAUCGGACCUAAUCGGUUUAGCUACCGAUUUAGGGAUUAAUAGGAAAUAGGGGAUUAAUCGGAGUGAAAAUCGGAUUUAUUUUAAUAUUAAAAUAUUAUUUAAUAUUUAGUUAUUAUUAUAUUAGCUAUUUAGUAACUAAUAUAUUUACUAUAUUCAUAAACUCUAUAAUUAUUCGUAUUGAAAGUAAUAUAGUAUUUUAAUUUUAAUAAUUUACUAUAUAUACUUCGAUUAAGAAAUAUAUAUAUAAGGAUUAAUCGGAUUUCAAAAAUCGAAUCGGUGGCCAACCUUGCAGAGGAUUAAUCGGGGAUUAAUUGGUUGAAUCGGGGAUGUUUAGAACACUGGUUUUCUCCAAAUAUCACUACAACAAAACUGCCAUUUUACGACGGAAAUCUAAUAUUCUAAAGGGUUACGACCAAACUAUGUCGGUGGACUUUAUUUUAAUUUACCGUUUAACAGUAGUUAAUUUUGGAUAUCUACACUUGCGAUGGAAAACAUACGACAGUCUACUUCGUGAGAGAAAAUCAUUUUAUUUUAUUUUUUAGCGCCAGAAUUUUAAUACUGAAAUAUUAUAUAUAUGAAGGAAACUGAUCUCUAAUGUUUUCAGCUUGCUCAUCCAUCGUAAGUAAUCCGUCGAAAAAGUUAGUUUGUUGUGGUGGUGUCUUAUCAUGAGAGAAAAUGAUAAUAUCGCAAAAUAUUUGCAACUGAAAGAUAAAUUAUAAUUCUAGAAACCAUUUAGGUAACGAUGCACGAAGUUAUUUUCACUCACUUAGAAUUAAUGNUGAAAACAUGCACAAAGCAUAGCAGACGAAAGACUUGAGGAGAUAUUGUCUUAGGCGAUGCAAUACGUUCUAAUAUAAUGCUAUAUUAUGCAAUCUCGUUUAAUACUUUCAUCAUUAUUCUCCAAGAUGUCUGAACAUGUAUUUUCAAAGAAUUCUCAGUUCACCUUUAGUCUUAUAGCGACAUUUUGAAGGCACUCUCAACUUACACCCUAUAUAUACACGUACGGUUCACUUCAGUACAAAGAUUUUAUGAUACAACUCUCAUAUUAUGAACUAGUUCUGUCGAAUACAUGAAUAUUGAUCAAUCAUUUGAACUCGAGUUUCCCAGCUGGCCAGAUACCCAGAUUAUUAGCCAUGCAAAACAUGCAGAACCACUAGUAAUGCAGAAAAACAAUAUAUUAGUUUUCUCCGGUGUUACAGAAAUCAGGAAUCGGACCUAAUCGGUUUAGCUACCGAUUUAGGGAUUAAUAGGAAAUAGGGGAUUAAUCGGAGUGAAAAUCGGAUUUAUUUUAAUAUUAAAAUAUUAUUUAAUAUUUAGUUAUUAUUAUAUUAGCUAUUUAGUAACUAAUAUAUUUACUAUAUUCAUAAACUCUAUAAUUAUUCGUAUUGAAAGUAAUAUAGUAUUUUAAUUUUAAUAAUUUACUAUAUAUACUUCGAUUAAGAAAUAUAUAUAUAAGGAUUAAUCGGAUUUCAAAAAUCGAAUCGGUGGCCAACCUUGCAGAGGAUUAAUCGGGGAUUAAUUGGUUGAAUCGGGGAUGUUUAGAACACUGGUUUUCUCCAAAUAUCACUACAACAAAACUGCCAUUUUACGACGGAAAUCUAAUAUUCUAAAGGGUUACGACCAAACUAUGUCGGUGGACUUUAUUUUAAUUUACCGUUUAACAGUAGUUAAUUUUGGAUAUCUACACUUGCGAUGGAAAACAUACGACAGUCUACUUCGUGAGAGAAAAUCAUUUUAUUUUAUUUUUUAGCGCCAGAAUUUUAAUACUGAAAUAUUAUAUAUAUGAAGGAAACUGAUCUCUAAUGUUUUCAGUUUGCUCAUCCAUCGUAAGUAAUCCGUCGAAAAAGUUAGUUUGUUGUGGUGGUGUCUUAUCAUGAGAGAAAAUGAUAAUAUCGCAAAAUAUUUGCAACUGAAAGAUAAAUUAUAAUUCUAGAAACCAUUUUGGUAACGAUGCACGAAGUUAUUUUCACUCACUUAGAAUUAAUGCUAAAUAUUUGCAACUGAAAGAUAAAUUAUAAUUCUAGAAACCAUUUAGGUAACGAUGAGCGGAGUUAUUUUCACUCACUUAGAAUUAAUGAUAAAUAUUUGCAACUGAAAGAUACAUCAUAGUUCUAGAAAAGGAUCCACGAAGUUAUUUUCACUCACUUAGAAUUAAUUGUAAGUUAUUGUGAGUUUUUGAAUAUGAAUUAUCUCAAAUUUUAUUAAAACACAUGUUGAUUCUUAUAUACAAAUUUGCCUAUCUAAUAUUAUAAUAUUUAUGGAGAAGGUGUAUGAACAAUUGUGUAGAUAAUUAUACUUUACAAAGCAUACUUCUGCUAGCUGAAUUUUGAUUAAAAAAAUCGAAAGGGAUAGGUCUGGGUCUCUCCAAGUCUUUGAGGACUCAUUCCAAGUCUUCUGAUGAGGACAAAAUAUAUUGCUGGAAGUCUUUCAGUCCUUCCUAGAGUAUUUUGUGCUCUGCACUGCAUUAUGCAGCUCUCAUAUAACUGACCGCUAACCUCCUUCCAACACUUUGCGAUGCAAAACAGUGGCAUGUUAUAAGUAUUUCCGUAUGUGUAUUUAUUUGGAUAUUAAAGUUGCGUAACAUUUGUGUUGAUAAUUUGCGCAAUGUUGAUGAGGAUUGCUCCCAAGUCUUGGCGGACUCUUUCCAAAUCUUCUGAGGACCUAUGGGUUCAAAUUAGUCCAUUAAAAUGAAUACCAUUGUUUUGUGAUUAAGUUGUAUGGUUAAGAGCUUAUCCUCUGUCGUCCCAGGUCCUGGGUUCGACCCUGGCUCACCCCGAGAGUUUCGUAGAACAGAUACUCAUUAUAAGGCUAUAAGCCAUAUUUGUCAAAAAAAAAGUUGUAUAGGCAAUAUGCAUUGCAAAAUCAGCAACAGAAUAUAUACUAAUUAAUUACCUGAUAUCGGUUUGAACAAAUACUUUCUAUGUAGUUGUAAUAUUAGUCUUCUUUAAAAGUUAUCAUGAGGGAAGAUAUAUAUUGUGAUGCGGGGGAAAUAUUGUAACCGAAAAUAAUUAUAAUUCUAAAAAUUUCCAUUAUACACUUUUUUUAGUGUUCGUACGUGGUAAGUACUUCAGACGACAUUUCUCGCGUAUGCCUCCAAUUAAGAAUUUGAUGUUCAGCCUAGUCCUAAACUAAAAUUAUUAUAAAUGUGUAAUUCAAAAUUAUAUUGCUGGUAGGCUCUGAGAUUAACCUUAAACAAAAACAACUCAGUGGAACGCUUUCCGAGUUUGGUUUCACUUCAUUUCCAAAUCUCAACAAUCUCAACAUAGCACGAAACAACUUUUACGGUCCAAUACCACCAGCCAUUAAGAAUUCUAUUUUAAUAUGUAACAUUCUAUUUUCUAAAAUAAUAAAUAUUUUUUUUAAUAGUUGGUCAAAAAUUAGUCAAUUUGACUUCUCAAAAAGCAGAAAGGACAUGUAAAUUGAGACGGGGGAGUAUUUAACGGAAUUCAACGAAAGGUGUGCGUAUCGUUCUUGAAAUGUAAAAAUAGGUGGUGCAAUUCGAGUUUCCAAACCUAUGGGUACAAUAUCGUUUUUAAACGUAAGCUAGGGGGUCCAAAUUACAAUUACAUGUAUAUAUAGUGACUUAACGGAGUGCAUAUAGUUAACGGAAGUUAACGGCAGGGAGUGCAUCUCGGGCUUGAAUAGUAAAGAUAAAAGGUGCGAGUUGAGUUUCUCAAAGUAUGAGUACAAUAUCGUUUUUGAAUGAUAGUUAAGGGGUGCGAUAUGCAAUUACCUCAAAAAAAUAUGAUCAUUAGUAUAUUAUAUUAGUAUCCACACACUUAUAUCUCAAAAUCUAUCCUCCAAAAUUAUCAUCUAUAUAGGCUAGCCACAUAAAAUAAAAAUUUAAAGAUAUUAGAUAUUUAGUUAUUUCAAUUAUAUAAUUUUUCCACGCAAAAUAACAAAAUAUCUUUAUCAACUUAUUAUUUAUGAGUUAAAUAUUCAACUUAUAUAAUUCGGGCAUGCUGGGUAUAAAUAGAAGUGUAACGCCUAAUUUCCGGGGUCUGGGAGUAGUUAGCGGGGUAUGAGAGAGCAGGCUAUUUAGAAGUCUUGGUCAUGAAAACUUCCAAGCUAACUUCGACAACGGAAUCUUCUGAGGCUACUAUUCUAAAGCACGCAUAAUCAUUGUAUUCAUUUUCCUCUAACACUGGCAAAAAGUCUAUUUAAGCAAAUGAAAUACAAACAACUGAGUGGAAUGCUGACCGAAAGUCUUUUUGGCUGAGCUUAUGAUUUAUUAGUACAUGAUUAAUAUGAUAAGCUAAGCUGAGAGCAUAAGAUAUCGUGUGUAUAAUUUUGUGUUUAUUAAUGACUUAUAAAUUAUUAAAAAUAUAAUAAGAAAAAUAAAAAUGAUUUAUAACUAAUUUAUGUUUUAUGAGUAAUUUUUAUUAGAAAAAAGUUUUAAAAAAUUAUUUCACUGAAAAAAAAUCCUCCAACUAACUUUUGGCUCUAAGUCAGUUUUUGAUUUAUUUAUGAUUUUAAGUCGGAUUCUGAUUUUUACACAAACAGAAAAUUUCCAGCUUAAAGUUAAAAACAACUUUAAGCUCCGGUUUUAAACCUCUGAGUUUGGUUUCACUUCAUUUACAAAUCUCAACAAUUUCACCAUCAAACACAAUGACUUCUCCAAUCUCCGGUCCAGUUCACCAGCCAUUGAGAAUUUGGCACAACUUCAAUUCCAUACCAGGUUAGUCGGCUUCGGAGGUUACACGCCUUAGACCUGUCAAAUACAAAUUUCAAUCUCCAAACUGGUCCGAUUUAUCUUCUAUGCAUUUUGUUGAGUCCGGCUCAUCUAAAACCUGAAGGUGUUAGAAGAAACCCGAAUGAAUCUUAUAUAUGAAUCUUAUAUAUGCUAUAUUUAAACAAUUCUGAGCACACUCAACCUUGGUAUUAAUAAUAUCGUGUCGAUAAUUCCAGAAUUUAUAUCUAAUUCUCAUAGCCUAACUUUCCUUGACCUUUCCAUAUAACAAAUUUACAGUUAAUCCUGUGCUUGAAUCAGUAUUUGCAACCAAAAUUAUGCAAUUAUAGUGCAGGUAGUCUUCCAGUUCUUCCUACUCUAUGCUAUAAUUUCAUUUGAUACCAAUAAUUUUACGCUCUACACUCCAGGAUGAGCUCGCAUAUUAUUGACAGCAAUAAUCCUUCCAACACUUUGUGAUGCAAAGCAGGGGGGCGCCUGUAUUUUCAUAUGUCUAUAUUAUUGGAGAUUAAAGUUGUGUGGACAAUUGUGUUGAUAAUUUGCCCAAUGUUAACAGGGAUAGGUUGGCUUAAAAAUAUAUAAGGUCACUUGUGCAUCGCUGUUCACACACUUAGACCCUGUUUGUGUAAGCUUUAAGUCCGGGCUCAAGCAAUUUCGACUUAAUCACUUCCGAGGACCAAUACCAACAGCCUUCUCAAAGAGUUGCCAGCUAAGAUAUCUAAACAUGUAUGACAAUCAGUUAGAAGGACUAUUGCCCCGAUCUUUGUCAAACUGUAAGCACUUAAAAAUUCUUGACAUCGGGAACAAUAAAAUGGGUGGUACAUUCCCUUCAUGGCUAUUUAAUCUCGGAGAGCUAGAAAUCCUAGUCUUGCGAUCAAAUAGACUGUACGGUCCUGUAAGUGGAAGGAGCACAUCACAUCCAUUCCCCAAGUUGCGGAUUCUAGAUCUCUCCAACAAACAAUUCGCGGGCUAUUUGCCAAUUCUAAACUUUAAGAAUAUGAAACCAGCUGCUGAUGAUAACGCGUAUAGUUAUAAAAAUAAGUCACAAGGACUAAUUAAUUACAUCUAUGAAGCAUCUAUCUCCUUAAAUGUGAAAGGAACAGAGUAUGAAGUGAAGAACAUUCUUCAUAUUUACACAGCCAUUGAUCUAUCGUGCAACAAAUUUCACGGAGAAGUUCCAAAGAGAGCUUAAAUGGCUUGCAUUGCUCAAUCUAUCUCAUAAUAGUCUUGCCGGACAUAUGUUCUGAAUUAUUAUUAUGCUUUCAUCAAUAUUUUCAAACAUUUCUCAAUAUGUAUUUCAAAGAAUUCUCAAGCCCUGGAACAUUUGGACCGGUCCUUUCGAAGCCAAGAUGCCCAGGUUAUCAUGGCCAUGCACAAAAAUGAAUAAAUUAUUCCAAGUCUUCCAUGACUCAUUCCAAGUCUUCGGAGGAGACCCUGAGCACAAAGAUGCUCAGGGUCUCCCCAAGCCUUCCAGGACUCAUUCCAAGUCUUCGGAGCACGGCCUCGACUCGCCCUUUCAAAGAUGUGAUAGUAGCUCGAGAGUGAUAUAAAUUAUUUUCCGGACACUAAAAAUAAAUAAUCAGAUCAAAUUAAUCAAUAAUAAAUUAAGGAUGAAAUCCAAAUUAAUCCUAAAUUUUGAUAAUAUAUAAAAAUUAUAAUUAUAAAUUAUAUAACCAAAUCAGAAUUGAAUUAACUUCCUUGGCACUAAAUUGAUAAGGAAAGUAUAAUAAUUUAAAUUUAAUUGAUGAAAAGUCAAAGUCUUCUAAUAAAUCCAUAAAGAAUAUGAUAAUCAAAAUAACGAAAAUUAUAAUUGAAAAAUCAAAAUCAUUAGUGUAUUGGAAUAGUGUUCACACACUUAUAUAUCAAAAUUUGUGGUCCAAAAACUAUAGCACAAUAUCCUAAAUACACCACAUUAAAUAUUAGUUCAAAAAUAUUCUGUAAAUAAUUGUUUUCAUUCAUCAUUUUGUUAUUUAAAAAACUAAUAAUUUGGGUUGAUGUUAACCUAUAUUUUAAUAUAUAAUUAUAUUAUUUUCGUAUUAUUUUAUUUAACUAGAAACAAUAUUUUUAUCAGACAUCAAUUAUAUUAAAAGAUAUAAUUUUAUUAAAAAAAAUUGAAUUAAAUUAAUAGGAUAACUCUACGCCUCACCAAGUCUACAAGACUCAUUUCAAGUCUACCAAGGACCACUACCUCGGUCCUCAACCAUUGGGAGAUGUGAAAGUAGCUUGAGAGUGACAAAAAUUAUUUUCCUCACAAUAAAAUUUAAUAUCUGAUAUAAAUUAAUUAAAUUAGUUAAUAAUAAAUUAAAACUAAUCAUGAAUUAUGAUAAUAAUUAAAUAAAUUAUAAUUAAAUUAUAUAAAUCAACUCCAAAUGAUACAAAUGACACUAAACCUUAGUUACUUUAUUGGUAAAUAAAUAUAAUAUAAUAAUCAAAUUGAUGAAAAAUCAAAAUCAUCUAAUAAAUUCAUAAAAAAUAUAUGAUCAUUAAUAUAUAUUAUAUUAGUAUCCACACACUUAUAUUUCAAAAUCUAUCCUCCAAACUUAUCAUCUCUGUAAACUAGCCACAUAAAAUAAAAAUUUAAAGAUAUUAGAUAUUUAGUUAUUUUCAUUAUAUAAUUUUUCCACACUAAACAACAAAAUAUCUUUAUCAAAUUAGUAUUUAUGAGUUAAAUAUUCAAGUUAUAAAUCCAGCAUGCAGCGUAUAAAUAGGAGAAACAUGGCACACUCUGCAAAGCCUUCUCACCUUCUUCUCUUUGUUUUCUUUCUCUCAUCACUUGAAUCCAUUCUUGCAACAACACGAGAAGGAGAAGCUCUUGUGAAAUGGAAGAAUAGCCUAGCCCCGUCUUCUUUUCUUGAUUCUUGGUCACUCACUCAUCUCGAUAAUCUUUGUAACUGGACUGGCAUUACUUGUAACUCUGCAGGUUCAGUCUCUGAGAUUUACCUUUAUGAGAAACAACUUGAUGGAAUGUUGUCGGAGUUUGGUUUCACUUCAUUUCCAAAUCUCAACAAUCUCACCCUCGCAUACAACUUCUUCUCCGGUCCAAUACCACCAGCCAUUGAGAAUUUAACACAGCUUCAAUAUCUUGAUUUGAGAAAUAAUUAUCUAGAUGGUCCCAUUCCUUUCCAGGUUAGCCAUCUUCAGAGCUUGCUCAUCUUAAACCUGUCAGAGAAUGCAUUGCAAGCUCCAAAUUGGUCCCAUUUCUCUCCCAUGCCUUUUUUGCGCAUCCUCAACCUCAGUCACAAUCCUCUUGCGUCGAAAUUCCCAGAUUUUAUAUCCAAUUCUCAUAGCCUGACUCACCUUAGCCUUAAUUAUAACGAGUUUACUGGUGAUUUAGCACGUGAAUCAAUAUUUGCCAAUCUGCAUAAUCUUGAAGUCCUCAGUCUUAAUGGCAAUUCUUUUGAGGGGCCAUUUCCACCAGAUAUAUUCAAGCUUUCAAGAUUAAAACGUCUCUUCCUGGCAGUUAACAAAUUUUCAGGUUCAAUUCCCAAUGACAUAAGGUUACUUUGUGAUCUUGAAUACCUAUAUUUAGGCAACAAUUCUUUUGAAGGACCGCUUCCACCAAAUUUAUUCAAGCUUUCGAAAUUAAAGCGUCUUUUUCUUUGGAGUAAUAAGUUUACAGGUUCUAUUUCCAAUGAUAUAGGUUUGCUUUCUGAACUUGAAACCCUCAAUCUUCAAUUUAAUUUUUUUGAGGGGCCGCUUCCCCCACAUAUAUUUAGGCUCUCUAAGUUAACAGGUCUAGAACUCGGAGACAAUAGAAAUUUAUUUGAAGGAAGUAAUAUUCCUAUCGGACUGGGACUCUUGACUAACCUCAGGUACUUAGAUUUACAUUUCAGUAAUCUCAGUGGCUAUAUUCCAUCUGACAUUGGAAACCUGAAGCUACUAGUACUUCUUAGUCUCGGUUCUAAUCAAUUGACUGGACCGCUUUCAAAGAUCGUUUCUAAUCUCACAAAUCUUAUAUUCCUUGAUGUAAGUGAUAAUAGUCUUAGUGGAAAUAUUCAGAGUGACUUGUGGAAAUAUAACCAUCAUCCUACUUUGGAAUACAUCGAUUUUAGUGGGAACCAUUUUACAGGUAUAUUUUUUCUCUAUAGAUCUUUUCCUUUUGUCAUAUGUAACUAAGCUAGUAAUCUGAUUAUUGCAGUUUUACCGAAGUUUCAACAAUCUUGACAGGUGAGCUUCCAACAACAAUUUGCAAUGUCACUUCCCUUUCGGUUCUUGAUUUGUCAAAUAAUGAAUUAAGUGGUGCACUUCCAAACUGUUUCGGGAAUCUUGCUGAUGGAUUGCUUUACAUUAAUCUUGCUAAUAAUCAGUUUCGAGGAACAAUACCAACUACUUUCUCCAGGAGUUGUCAGCUGACAUAUCUAAACAUGGAUAAUAAUGAGUUUGAAGGAUUGUUGCCCCCAUCUUUGGCGAACUGUAAGCACUUGAAAAUUCUUGAUAUAGGCAAUAAUAAAAUAGGUGGUACAUUUCCGUCAUGGCUUUAUGCACUUGGAGAGCUAGAAGUUCUUGUCUUGCGAUCAAAUAAACUCUAUGGUACAAUAAGUGGAAGGAGCAUAGAAGAUCCCUUCCCCAAGUUGCGGAUUGUGGAUCUGUCCAACAAUCAAUUCACAGGCCAUUUGCCAAUUCAAUACUUUAAGAAUAUGAAAUCAACUGAUAAUUUGUAUCGUUAUCAGAAUUCCACAAAAGUUUUUUCUUUCCAUUAUGAAGCAUCUGUCUCAUUAACUGUGAAGGGAACAGAGUAUGAAGUGAAAAAUAUCCUUCAUAUUUACACAGCCAUUGAUCUGUCCUGCAACAAGUUUCAAGGAGAAAUUCCUGACGUUAUUGGAGAGCUUAGAUGGCUUGCAUUGCUCAACUUAUCUCAUAAUAGUCUAACAGGACCUAUCCCAUCAUUGCUGAGAAAUAUGAAAGGACUCCAAUCUUUAGAUUUGUCUUCAAAUCAACUGACAGGGGCUAUUCCACCUCAGUUAACUGCACUGACAUUUCUAGAGGUCUUAAACCUCUCGGGAAACCAUCUUAGUGGAGGGAUUCCUCAGAAAGGACAGUUCAGCACAUUCAACAAUGAUUCUUAUCUAGGAAACUCAGCGUUAUGUGGAUCACCAUUGACGAAGAAAUGUGCAAACACAGCAUCACCUCCACAAGAAGUCGGAAAUGUUGAUGAAGAUGAUGCGGGUGAUGAAUUGACAUGGGAAGCAAUCUUGAUGGGAUAUGGAUGUGGACUGAUAUGUGGAUUGUCAUCUGCGUACAUUGUUCUCAAACUAGGAAAGCCUUGGUGGUUUGUGAGAUAUAUCGAAGUACUGCAAUUGAAGUUGAUGAAAAGAUAUGCAUGAAGAAUGGUACUAGCCGAUCAAGAUGAACUCGAAAGUUGUGGUCCUUGUGGACAUUUCUGAACCAGUAGUGUUCUAUUCUCUUUGUGGCUGCAUAAGUAUUUGGUAUUGUGUAAUGUUCUGUUUGGUCUUGAAUCAUAAUAAUUUUUCUUUCUUCAGGGGUAUUUAUAAUAUAAACCUUGGUAUUGUGUACUAGCUGUAAUAUUCUGUUUGAUCAAUGUUUAUACCAGUAAUUUUAUGCUCCGCACUGCAUCAUGCAGCUCUCAUAUUAUCUUCAUAUGUGUAUUUAUUUGGAUAUUAAAAACAUAUGGGAUAUGUGUUAACAGGGACAGCUCCCAAGUCUUGGAUAGACUCUUUCCAAGUCUUCCGAGGUCCUAUAGGUUUAAAUUAGUCCAUUAUCUGCAUACUAAUUUGUCCAACUGAAAAAUCAAGGAUAUUAUGUAUUAACUGUUUUAAUAACAAUUUACAAGUAUAAAUUUCAUAUAUUUUUUCAUAGAAUAUAAAUUAGUUGACGUACUAAAAUCACUAGUCAAAUUAAUUUAAAUAAAUAUAUUGAAAAGAUGAUAAUAAAAUUAUGGUAAUUUAUCACUACAACAAUUCUGGACAUUAAUUAUAUGUAUACUUAAAUAUAUUGAAAAGAUGAUAAUAUAGUAGAAUACAAAUGGUUAUGAUUCCGUAGUAACUACACCGUCGUAAGUUCACAUAAUUAUAUAAUUAUAGUUAUUUGAAAACGAAAAAUAAAUGAGAAAAUAUAUAGUGACCAAAUAUGAAUCAAUCUAAAAUUUUCAUUAUGGAGAUCGUAAGAAACGUGAUGAAGAACUGGAAUGAGAAUUCCUUACAAAACAUUUGGGUUAUAUUAUCAAUGAUGAAUGUUGUAUAUUAUACCUAUGAUUUCAAGUCUCAUACAAAAUUAUAUUGCUCAUAGUCUUUCGAUCAGUUCUUACUAGUGUAUGCAAUAGUUUCUCAUUCCAUACCAGUUAUUUUAUGCUCUGCACUGCCUUAUGCGCGCAGCUAUCAUAUUACUGACAGCUAACCUCCUUCCAACACUUUGCCAUGCGAAGCCUGAAGAUUAAAGUUAACAGGGAUAGGUCUUCUUCUCUCCCAAGUCUUGGACGGACUCUUUCCAAGUCUUCUGAGGACCCAUCGGCUCAGAUCCGUCCAUUAAAAAUUUAUUAUUGAUUACUUAUUAUUAUUGAUUGAUCUAAGAUUCCAAAGACAUGUUCCCGUAAUUUUCAGACUUAGCCAGUUGGUGUGGGCAGAAGUUUUAGAAAUAGUAGAUUAUGGGGAUUUUAUUUAUUCUAACCAAUUUUGAGUUAUUUAUUUUCUUCAAAAAAAUCAAUACUUAUUUUUUAUUGUUAUGCGGAAUUCCAAUAAAUAUUAAAAUAUAUAAUUUUGAUUAUUAUCAUAAAUUUAUUUAUUCAAUAAAUAUUAUUAUACUAUUAUGGAAACAUUUUAUUUUGUAAUGUAUAGUACACCCUUAUCCCACCAACAAAACUACAUCACAAACAAAUUAUAUCAUAUUUAAUUUAAUAAACUCAAAUAAUUUAAUUUAUGUAACAACUCUAUAAAAUUAGAGUGAUUGAUACUUUGCACCCCUUAUGUUUAAGCGUUUUUUCAAUUUGGUUUCAAACAAUUUUUUUGGCAGUAUGCACCCCAAAAUUUGAAAAUUGCUUCGCUUUGCACCCUUUUAAUCGCUCUCCGUUUAAUUGAUAUUGACCGUUAAAGACUUAAAGUUGACAGAUAUGGGUUUACAUUUUCAACACCACAAUUUUAAUUUUUUUUCAUGGGUAUUUUGAAAUAUUCAGACGACUGGGAUGAUUCAAGUGUCUUCAUGUUAGACAGUGCGAUAGGUCGGUCGAGGGGUUUUCAGAAACUGGGACCAAAGAUUGGCGCCAUCAGAUUGGAUUUAUAUCAUUGGAAACUCUCUGUACACCUCUAUAGAAACUGGGACCAAAGACAAGAGGGAGAAGCUCUUGUGAAAUGGAAGAAUAGCCUAGCCCCGUCUUCUUCUCUCGACUCUUGGUCCCUCACCAAUCUCGAUAAUCUUUGUAACUGGACUGGCAUUAAUUGUAACUCUGCAGGUUCAGUCUCUGAGAUUAACCUUUGUGAGAAACAACUUGAUGUAAUGCUGUCUGAGUUUGGUUUCACUUCAUUUCCAAAUCUCAACAAUCUCACCCUCGCAGCUAACUACUUCUCCGGUCCAAUACCACCAGCCAUUGAGAAUUUAACACAGCUUCAAUAUCUUGAUUUGAGAAAUAAUUAUCUAGAUGGUCCAUUCCGUUCCAGGUUAGCCAUCUUCAGAGCUUGCUCAUCUUAAACCUGUCACAGAAUGCAUUGCAAGCUCCAAAUUGGUCCGAUUUCUCUCCCAUGCCUUUCUUGCGCAUCCUCAACCUCAGUAGCAAACCUCCUGCGUCGAAAUUCCCAGAUUUUAUAUCCAGUUCUAAUAGCCUGACUCACCUUAGCCUUAAUUAUAACGAGUUUACUGGUGAUUUGGUACGUGAAUCAGUAUUUGCCGAUCUGCAUAAUCUUGAAAAGCUCAGUCUUGUUGGCAAUUCUUUCGAGGGGCCAUUUCCGCCAGAUAUAUUCAGGCUUUCCAAAUUAAAACAUCUUAGCCUGUCAGAUAACAAACUUUCAGGUUCAAUUCCCAAUGACAUAGGGUUGCUUUUUGAUCUUGAAUACCUAUAUUUAGCCAACAAUUCCUUUGAAGGACCGCUUCCACCAAAAAUAUUCAAGCUUUCAAAAUUAAAAAAUCUUGUUAUUUGGGGUAAUAAGUUUUCAGGUUCUGUUUCCAACGAUAUAGGUUUGCUUUCUGAGCUUGAAAGCCUCUAUCUUGACUCCAAUUUUUUUGAGGGGCCGCUUCCGUCAAAUAUAUUCAAGCUCUCCAAAUUAAGGAUUCUUUUCCUUUGGCAUAAUAACUUUUCAGGUUCUAUUUCUAAGGAUAUAGGUUUGCUUUCUGGACUUGAAACCCUCUAUCUUGACUCUACUUUUUUUGAGGGUCCGCUUCCCCCACAUAUAUUCAAGCUUUCCAAAUUAACAAGUCUUGACCUCGCAUACAAUAGAAAUUUAUUUGAAGGAAGUAUUCCUAUUGGACUGGGACUCUUGACUAACCUCAGAUACUUGAGUCUAUCUUCCACUAAUCUCGGUGGCUAUAUUCCAUCUGAAAUUGGAAACCUGAAGCUACUAGAAGUUCUUGAACUCAGUUCUAAUCAAUUGAAUGGACCGCUUUCAAAGAUCAUUUCUAAUCUCACAAAUCUCACAGUUCUUGAUGUAAAUGAUAAUAGUCUUCGUGGAAAUAUUCAGAGUGACUUGUGGAAAUAUGACGAUCAUCCAACUUUGGAAUACAUCGAUUUAAGUGGGAACCAUUUUACGGGUAUAGUUUUUCUCUAUAGAUCUUUUCCUAAUCUCAUAUGUAACUAAGCUAGUAAUCUGAUUAUUGCAGUUUCACCAAAGUUUCAACAAUCUUGACAGGUGAGCUUCCAACAACAAUUUGCAAUGUCACUUCCCUUUUGGUUCUUGAUUUGUCAAAUAAUGAAUUAAUUAGUGGUGCACUUCCAAACUGUUUCGGGAAUCUUGCUGAUAGAUUGCUUUUCAUUAAUCUUGCUAAUAAUCAGUUUCUCCAGGAGUUGUCAGCUGACAUAUCUAAACAUGGAUAAUAAUGAGUUUGAAGGAUUGUUACCCCCAUCUUUGGCGAACUGUAAGCACUUCAAAAUUCUUGAUAUUGGCAAUAAUAAAAUAGGUGGUGCAUUUCCGUCAUGGCUUUAUGUACUUGGAGAGCUGGAAGUCCUUGUCUUGCGAUCAAAUAAACUCUAUGGUACAAUAAGUGGAAGGAGCAUAGAAGAUCCCUUCCCCAAGUUGCGGAUUGUGGAUCUGUCCAACAAUCAAUUCACAGGCCAUUUGCCAAUUCAAUACUUUAAGAAUAUGAAAUCAACUGAUAAUUUGUAUCGUUAUCAGAAUGACACAGGAGAUAUUUCUUUCCAUUAUGAAGCAUCUGUCUCAUUAACUGUGAAGGGAACAGAGUAUGAAGUGAAAAAUAUCCUUCAUAUUUACACAGCCAUUGAUCUGUCCUGCAACAAGUUUCAAGGAGAAAUUCCUGACGUUAUUGGAGAGCUUAGAUGGCUUGCAUUGCUCAACUUAUCUCAUAAUAGUCUAACAGGACCUAUCCCUUCGUUGCUGAGAAAUAUGAAAGGACUCCAAUCUUUAGAUUUGUCUUCAAAUCAACUGACAGGGGCUAUUCCACCUCAAUUAACUGCAUUGACAUUUCUAGAGGUCUUGAACCUCUCGGGAAACCAUCUUAGUGGAGAGAUUCCUCAGAAAGGGCAGUUCAGCACAUUUACAAAUGAUUCUUAUCUAGGAAACUCCGCGUUAUGUGGAUUACCUUUGACGAAGAAAUGUGCAAACACAGCAUCACCUCCACAAGAAGUCGGAAAUGGUGAUGAAGAUGAUGCUUGUGAUGAAUUGACAUGGGAAGCAAU
rnacentral:lncRNA from 1 species